UCGCUACAGUUGAAUAUGGGUGAAAGACUAUACAAUGAGGUUCUGGUAUUUUUAUAAAAUUCUCAGUUUUAGAUAUCUACACGGUCAAACUUCUAGUACUCUAUUGGAAUAAUUACCUUCCCAGCACAAAGUCCUAGAGUCGAGUUCAAAUUCUUCUCAACUGAAUCAAUAAUUGGCUUCUAAAUUCAAGAACUUCCAGAAACCAUUAGAACUAAUGGGCAGUACCAGUGUAGUUGCGUGAUUGAUUUAUUCUUGAAAUAUACGAGGGUUAGUGAUAUUUCAUGUUAUGCAGUGAUGUAUGCAUAACAAACACUCAAAGGCAACAUGGAGAUAAUUUAAAUUGUCUUGGUUUAUCUUUUGUGCGGCCUGGAAACUAGUUGAAUUAGUCCAAUUUAGUUAUUCAAAGCUCUUUUGUGGUGCGAUUAUAUUUUUUGUCCAAGUAGAUGGCAAUGUAAUUUGGAGCAGAAACUGUAGAAGAACUCUUGUUUUUGUGAACUAAAAUUUUGUGUGAUUUAGUGGUGCACAUAUUUUCAUUUAGCUAAACAUUUUGUUUUAUACAUUUUACAGGAUUUGAAGCUUCAGCUUACAAGCCGAGAUGAAAUUAUGAUGAUUUCAAACAAGUUGACAAAUUUUUGAUCAUUUUUCUAGGAUUGUUGAACAGAACAUUAUAAUAUGUAUGAAGGAUGUUAGCCUUUUUGGGUUAAUGACUUGUGUAAUAGUAUUGUUCCUUGAGCAUUUGUCUGUAGCAUUGGUUCUCUGCGGUGUUCAUACAUAUUUUGUAAUCAAUACAAGUGAUAACUCUGUUUACAUGUGCAUUUGAGAUUAUCUAUCUUAAAAAUGGUAUAAUAUCUUAGCAAAAUAUUCUUUAAUACUACUUCACUUUUGCUUAAAUUGAAAACAUAGCUUUAGGGACCAGAAUUUCUUUCCGUCUUUAAGGACCAAUAUUUUGUCGCAUCAGACCUUUAAGGACCAGUUGAGCGUGUCCCUGAAUAUUGUAUGCCACAUUGAAUUAGUAUGUUUAGGGACCAGAAAUAUGGUUCUUAAAAGCAUUCUACGGAUAAAAAAAUUUCUGGUCGUAAAUACUCGUUAACGAUCGAAAAUUAAAUGUCGUCCCAAUUGAUCUUUAGCGGCGGAGCCUGUAGGGACGGGUGGCAAAAAAAAUUUUCCCGUCCCUAUUAACAUUUAGGAACCAGAAAUAGACUUUUAGGGAUCAUUUUUCUCGUCCCUAAUGGCCCUUUUUCUUGUAGUGCAUGAGUUCACCAAUUCUCAAGAAUUUUAUGGUGAGAAAGAUUACAAGGUAAUUAAAUUUUUCCACUUCAUAUUAUCUACAUAUAUAUAAUAUACAAGAUAUUUGCAUAUCUUUAUCUAUAUAUGGUGAUUAGUAAAUGUAUGUUACGAAUUUUAAUAAUAUAUUUUUUAUCUAACUUUUAUAUUUUAAAUUGAGUUCUUUUAAAAUUGUAUAGUAAUCCACCAAAGACAGUGCCAUUUUAACUCGUUUGAAAACUUAUGCCAAGAGGAAAAAAUCUUACAAAAAGGAUAAAUCUACCAUAGUUGAUGAAGAUGUCCAUUGUAUCCGAUCAAGCAACAAGAUCCACAAAGGCGCUAAAAAGAAAAAGAAAUCUCCAUCCGCUGCCUCUAAAUGACUUUCUCUAAAGUUAAUUGUGUAGUAUCAUACUUUUAUAUUAAUCUAGCAGUUUCUUAGGAUUAGUUACAUUUAUCAUAAGUUAUUUAUAUCCUGUUAAGGGUAUACAUUUUACACAUUUUUUUAUUACAUAUAAUUACGUGUAUUUUACAUUCCAUCUCUACUCUAUGAUCUUCAAACACGAGUUUCAAUCAUUUAUUACAUAAUAUAUAUGUCACACUAUCAAUAUGAAUAUAAAAUAUUUAUGCAGGCCACAAGCUUUUAUUAUAAAUUUUAUCUAAGGAAAAUAUCAAUACUUGUGAAAUUGAGUAACAAAGGAAUAUAUCUAUACUUGUGAUAAUAUGAAUACUUGUGAAAAAAUUAAUUUCAAGAAUAAGAACUAACCAGUGCACCGGAAGUUUCACUUUAACCAAUUAUAAGUUCUGAACAUGCUACUCAAUUGUAACAUCCAUGAAGUGUUGUCAUUUCCACUAUAUUAUGAAUUUAUAAGCAUCAUUUAUACGGUGAUUUAUGUCGGAGAUAUACCAAAAAAAAUGACCUGCAAUAAAACAGAUAUAAAGACAUACUCAUACAUAUUGACAAAAUCAAUAGGCGGUUUCAGCCUUUGCUUCACUACAGUGAAACCCCACUUACUAAUAUGUGCCAAAAGUAAACCACAUAUAUCAGACCUAUUCAUGACAUCCUUCAACUAGUUUCCCAGAAAAUAAACCUCACCCAUUCAUAUCAAAAGAACAGGGAAUGUGGGGUUUUGAUGAUAGACAUAUGAUUAAAACAUGUCAUGAAAGCUGGUCCAUCCAAGUGAACAAAGCUUAGCUGCAGACAAGUUAUUGAUAAGAUAACUCUGCGUGUAAACAGGAGUGGAUAACACUUAUCACAUUGGGAGAUGAGUUAAACAAGAAGUCUUACAGGAGUGGAUAACACUCAUUAUAUCAGGAGAUAAGUUGAACAAUAAGUCUUACAGAAGUUGAAUUGAAUAAGAGGUCUUGCAGAGAUAACAGAAGAGUCCUAUUCAAAAAGGAAGUGUGAGAGGCACAACAAUAAUAAAAGUAAAAAAAAAAACUACCUGGAGUUCUAAGGAACAUAGAAGAUUACAUCAGCUGACGGACUCCAUGAGAUCUUGGGUUAAAUACAAGAAACGAAAUGAAAAUCUCUCGCUCAUGCACUGAUAAGAUAAUCAACAAUCAACAAAGCAGUUCACUUACUUUUUGAAGAACUUGGUUACUUACUUAGCAAGUCUUAGACUUUUUAUAUUAGGAAGAUUCUUUGAGUUGUAUUGGGUCAUUGUUCUAGUCUCAAUGAUCUAUAAACUAUGUUAGGAGUUGUGUCUUCAAGUCAUGGAACUCGAAGACUUGGCAACACUUAUUGUGGGAAGAUUUUUGUUUUUGUAGUUAUAGGAGUUAGAUGUUUUAAUUUUUAGUUUACAAAAAGUCUUAUAAUUUUUUUGAUAAUUAAGGCCCAAGAGUUAUAGUGAAGUUGGGGUUAAAUCCUAUAGAGAUACAGGUCAUGGUUUUUUACAACAUUUUUGAACAGGGUGUUUUUCACGUAAAAAUACUGUGUUCAAUUUUUUUUUCACGUAAAAAUACUGUGUUCAAUUUUUUACUUCUGUGAACCACGUUUACUUACUUGCUCCACAGAUAAGCAAUCAGUAGAGUUUAAUAUUAAAAGUAGUAGGGCUCAUACUCUAACAAGUGAUAUUAGAGAGGGUUGUCUUAAAUAAGGCUAGCACCUAAGAAAAGAUCAAUAUGAUGAAUUUUGUACCUUAUACUAGUCCCAGUAAAGGUCUGUCAACUACUAGACCGCAACUUUUUGAUGGCUCUCACUUUAUCUGGUGGAAAGUAAGGAUAGAGAUGUUCAUCCAAGUUAAUGACUAUGAAUUAUCGGACAGGAUUACUAAUGGUCCCACUAUUCCAAUGAAGUUGGUUGAUGGUGAACAAGUCAAGAAAGUAAGGAGUAAAUUUACUCCUGAUGUAUUGUUGGCUUUGAAAAAAAUGUAAAGGCUAAGAACAUCUUGGUUUGUGGAUUAGGACCAGCUGAAUACAACAGGGUAUCAACCUGCACUACUGCUAAGCAUAUUUGGGAUGCACUACUUAAUGCUCAUGAAGUUACCUCUCAAGUAAGAAAAUUCAGGAUCUCUCUCCUUUUCACUGAGUGUGAGAAAUUAAAAAUAAAUGAAAACAAAACCCUCCAUGAGAUGAUGACAAGGCUGACUUCCUUAGGAAAAGUCAUUUCUGAGGAGGAACAAGUUGAAAAGGUACUAAGGUUGUCCAGUCUGGCAAAUAGAAUGGAAGAAGGUAAGGGCAGAAAAGGAACUGAAGGCAAAAAGGAAGAAGGAACAUGCAAUGAUAGCAACUUUUGAAAAUUCUGACUUAGAUGAAAAAGAUGAUGGUUCUGAGGUAAGUAUACUGGAACUCAAAGAAAAAUUAUAAUUAUUUUCAAAACCUAAACUUGUUUCCUUGAUGAGUUCAUUGAUUGAUGAUUUCCAAGAGUUAAACUCUUAUAGGGAUAAAUUGUUCAACAGUCUUGCAAGCCUCAAAUUUGAUCUCAUUGAUUUAAAGGCUUGCACAGAUAAAGUUUAUAAGGAAAAUUGCACUCUCAAAAAACAGGUUGCAGAACUUGAGAUUUCAAAAAAUGAUCUUAAGUCAAAAAUUCUAAAAUUAAUUCUCACUAAAAAUGUGAAAAAGGCCAUGAGUAAAGAACAAGAAAAUACUGAACUUUAGCUAGUUAAAUAUAAACAAGAAUGCCAUAAUUUAACUAAAAAAAUGAAUAAGAUGAAACUUAAUCUUGGAAGGGGAAAUAGGUGGAAAAACUCCUCAAGAAUUUUUCACAAAUUGAGUGAAAGAAAUUAUAAUGAAAAGGCAGGUUUGGGAUUUUACAAAACUGUUGAUGAUCCAAAAUAUUUAUGCUACAUCUGUGGGAACCUUGGACAUCCUACUACUGAAUGUCCUGAGGCUUCUAGAAGCAGAUCAAACAAUUAAAACUAGCUUAACAGAUUUUCUCAGACCAAAAAGAAAAGGACUAGUUUUGGGCUGAGAAACAGGUUGCACUACAUGUUGCCUGCAUGGACUAGAAGAAAGUUGUUUUAUCCUUUCACUCAUAAAACUGAACCCAAUUUUUUCUGGGUUACUAAUUCUAACCAUUGAUUUCUUUUAUAGGAGAAGGUGAAAGGAAGCAAAAAACACUGGUACUUAGACAAUGCUUGCUCAAGGAAUAUGACUGGUGAUAAGAAAAAAUUUCUUUCACUCUCCAAAAUAGAUGCAGGAGGGGUUUUUAUUCGUGAUGGAAAAUAGGGAAUCAUUAUAGGAGAUGGAAAAAUUAGCUCAUCUAAGUCAAAAGCAUUGGAGGAUGUCUAUCUUGUAGAAGGAUUAAAGCAUAACCUGCUGAGAAUCUUAGAACUGUGUGACAAAGGUAAUAAAGUUGUUUUUACAGCUACAGGACUCAAAGUUAAAAGGAUGGACACCAAAGAGAUUAUGCUCACUACAAGAAGAUAUAGAAUUGUAUACAAAGUUGAAAUCAUGGCACUACCAAGACCUGAGUUGACUUGUCUAAGUGCCAUAGAAAAUGAUAGCCUUCUUUGGCACAUGACACUUGGUUAUGCAAGUCUAAAAUAACGAAACAUACUUUUCUCCAAAGACAUAGUAUUGGGAUUACCCAAAAAAAAGUUUAAGAAAGAAAAGUUAUGUAGUGCAUGUAUAAGGAGGAAGCAGAUAAGAUCUUCUUUUAAGUCAAAGUACCAUUUUAGCACCACCAAGUGCCUUGACCUGGUUCAUAUAAACUUUGUGGACCCAUGAGACUUCAAAGAAGAAGUGGAAAAAGGUAUGCUUUUGUAAUUGUUGAUGAUUAUUCCAGGUUCACCUGGACCUUGUUUAUACCAUCUAAAGAACAUCCCUUUGAUUUCUUUGAAAUUUUUAUUAAUAAAAUUGAACAGAAACUGGGCACAUCAUUAGUUUCCAUGAGUUCUGACCAUGGUAUAAAAUUUGAGAAUGUAAUGUUCUUGGAAUUGUGUUCAGCAAAUGGUAUAGAUCAUAACUUCUCAGCUCCUAGAACGCAACAAAAAAAUAGUUUUGGAGAGAAAAACUAGAACUUUGGAAGAUAUGGCUAGAACAAUGAUGCUUACAGCAAAUGUUGUAAAAACUUGUGGGCUGAGGCAAUAAGUACUGCAGCAUAUAACAUAAAUAGAUGCAUGAUUAGACAUAUUUUAGAGAAAACUCCCUAUGAAUUACUAAAAGGAAGAAAGCCUAACAUUUCUCACUUUACAACCUUUGGUUGUAAAUGUUUUAUACACAAUAAUAGAAAGGAUAAUAUGUGAAAAUUUGAUGCUAAAAGUGAUGAGAGAAUCUUCUUAGGUUAUUAACUUAAUAUUAAGGCUUAUAGGGCCUUAAACAACAGAACUAACUAUGUUGAAGAAAGCAUGCAUGCGAUCUUUGAUGAAUUCGGUGUUAAGACUAACCUGCAGGAAGGAAGUGACUCUGAGGAACAGGUUACACAACCUGAUUCAUUUAAUGAAGCUACCAAACAUGGAGUCACUUUAAUGGGGGGAACUAAAGCUGAAGACACAAUGAUAGGGGGAACCAAGCCACUACCUACCCCAGCUCAGAACAUCAGUAGUGAUCCUAGUAGCUCACUAGGCUUGAUCCUAAAAGGAUACAAGUAUCAAGGAUCACACCCUAUUAAGAAAGUUAUUACUGGUCACACAUCUGGGAUCACCACAAGGUCUUUACAGAGAAGUAUAUGUGCCUUCAAGGCAUUCUUUUUAGAGAUUGAACCAAAGAAGGUAACUGAAGCAUUGCUUGAUACUGAUUGGUUUAUAGCUAAGCAACAAGAGUUGAAUUGGUUUGAAAUAAGCCAAGUAUGACACUUAGUUCCUUUCCUAAAGGAUAGAUCAGUAAUUGGGACUUAGUGGGUGUACAGGAAUAAAGUGGAUGAGCAUGGAACAGUUACAAAAAAAAGGCAAGAAUGGUGGUUCAAGGAUACAAUAAAAGAAGUAAUUGAUUUUGAUAAGACUUUUGCUCCUGUAGCAAGACUUGAAGCUAUAAGAUUACUAGUUGUCUUUGUUGAUUAUACGGAGUUUAUUCUCUAUCAGAUGGAUAUGAAGAGUGCAUUCCUAAAUGAAAUUCUCAAGGAACAAGUUUAUGUUAAGCAACCUCUAGGAUUUGAAAGUAAGGAGUUUCCUGAUCAUGUGUAUAAAUUGGAUAAGGCCUUGUAUGGGUUGAAACAAGAACAAAAAGCCUAGUAUGAGAGAUUAUAAAAAUUUAUACUAGGGCAUGGGCAUACCAGAGGUAAAAUUGACAAUACCCUUUUCUUAAAAACUAAUAAAAAGGAUUUAUUAGUUGUGUAGGUUUAUGUGGAUGACAUUAUAUUUGGCUCAACAAAAAUGAAUAUGACUCAUGAGUUUGACAAACUGAUGAGUUAUGAAUUUGAGAUGUGCAUGAUGGGGGAGUUGAAUUACUUCUUGGGUUUGCAAAUAAAACAGGACAAUGAUCCAUGAACAGAAGUAUGCCAAAGAGCUUCUCAAAAGAUUCUCCGUGGAAGAGGCUAAAGAAAUCAAUACUCCCAUUGCAACUACCACAAAGAUUGAUCUAUAUGAAACAAGUCCAGAUGUGGAGCAAAAGAUGUAUCGGGGUAUUAUAGGCUCAUUAUUGUACCUCACAACUAGCAGAACUAACAUUGUGUUCAGUGUAGGGUUAUGUGAUAGGUUUCAAGCAAAAUCCAAAGAAUCACAUCUAAAAUCUGUGAAGUGAAUCUCCAGAUACUUAAAGGAAACCAGUGAUCUUGGCUUAUGGUAUUCCAAAGGUAGUAACUUUAAUCUGGUAGGUUAAUCUGAUAAUAAUUAUGUAGGAUUUUGUAGACAGGAAAAGAACUACAGGCAUGGCUCACUUCCUUGGAUCAUGUUAGAUUACCAAGUCCACUAAGAAGCAAAAUUCAGUAGCCUUAUCUACUACUAAAGAUGAAUAUGUUGUUGCAGGUUCUUGUUGUGCUCAAUUGCUAUGGAUUAAGAAACGACUUAUGGAUUUUGGUAUAGAUGUUGGUUGUGUUACCAUUUUUUGUGAUAACAAGUGCUAUUAACAUAGCUAAAAAUCCUUUUCAACAUAAAAGGACCAAGCAUAUUGAUAUUAGACAUCACUUUCUUAGAGAUAAUGUUGAAAAACGUUAUAUAUAAAUUAUGUUUUGUUCAACUGAGGAACAAAUCGCUGACACAUUUACUAAGGCUUUGAGUAGAGAACUCUUUGAAAUGAACCGGUUAGCCUUGGGGAUGAUUAAAAUUGUAUAAAUCUCCCUCAAUGAUUGAUUAGAAAAAAUUGUACUUAAGUGAUUGUUUAUUAAUUUAAUUGUGUAUCCUAACUCCAAGGUUUUAGAGUAAAUUAACUCAGCUAUGUGUUACUUUUGUAGACAGGUUGAACCAUCAAGGCUAAUUUUGUCCAUUAUUUAUCCACAGUUCAGGUAUAAUUUUCAUAUGUUCAUGAUAGCAUAAGAGAGAAACAAGCUGUUCACUUGGUCCUUUCCAUUACACUUAAACCACAAAAAAUCCAAAAGUCAUCUCCUUCAAAAAGCUGCCAGCACUUUCCCAUUAGUGCAGACCCCUUCAUCAUUACAUUUCUAUCAAAUCCAUUCCUCACAUGAUUCAUCUUCCCUCAAUUCCUUUUAAAUACAAAUCCUCCUUCUACUCUAUUUCUUAUUCCUUCUAAAUCCUCUCUAGAUAAAUCACUAACUUUAUAUUUCCCUAGUCAUGGAUUCCUUGUCAUCUUCUUUGUCCUCUUCACCUGACUCUACCAAAACGCCUUCACCUCCAUUGUCAUUCACCCAAAUAUAACCUUACUCCAUUAAUCCCUCCUUAAAUCUCUAGAAAAGUCUCUAAUUUUGCUGCGUUCAGAUACAUCUCAAACCCUUUACCCAAUUUUCUUCCACUGCCUCAUCCCAUCCCAACCCUUCACUUUCUCCACCAGCCACACUUUAAAUUAUUGGCCUUGAUGAUGAACCCAAUGUAAAUCUCAUUCCUCGAAGGUAAAGAUCUUCUCUAAAAUGAAAACCCUCUUUUGUUAUCAUUGAUGUAGAUAAAACUUCUUCAGUUCAGACUUCCCUUGUAGUAACUUCUCCUCGAAUUCUGGUUACUCUAGGAAAGAAACAAUGGCAAGAUGCUUCUUUGGAAGAAGCACUUUGAGAAAAUAAAAAGAAACGGGUUGCUCAUUUUGCUUCUCCAUCUCCAAGUUCUCCCUCCCCUGACAUUCUCCUUUUUUUACAAAAAAAAACUGAAGCACAUCAUUGCCAAGACCCCAAAAUCCUUGUUCACUCCUACGUCCACAUCCCAAAUUACUUCCAAAGCUUCCGUAUCCUCAAAAUCUACUGUGAAAGCUUCUACUGAGAAAGCCUUCACAGUAAAAGACUCCCCUUCCACUAAAGGUUCUUCAAAGUCCUCUUCCCUGAGGAAACAACUAUCCAAACCUGUUACUUCUGCUUAUCUAACUUAGAUUCUGAUUUUCUUCCUGAUACUCCUCCUGCUCCCUGUACUUACCCUGAUCCAGAUCUUGCCUAUGAUAUUAUUUUGGAUACUCCUGCUGACAUAGCUUCCUAGUCAACUUAUGCUCUCCACUUUAAAAAAUAUAAGUUGGCUAAGGGUAGAAUUGCCACUGGUUUUGUGGGACCUGAUGUAGAUGUGUUACUCACGAAAUUGAGAGCUCGGGAUUGGUCACACCUAUUUUUUUAAGGUGAUAAUCAAAGGAAAUUUGGGAAAGAUGAAGUAUAUGAAUUUUGUACAACUGGUGUUGCUAUUGGAGAAAUAUUCUCCACCACUGUCCAUGGUAAAACCAUUAAUCUUUUACGUGUUUCUACUGGGGGUUGGGGUCAUUAUUUGAAAGGAGAUUGGCCUUAUCUUGAUAACCUCCCUUCAACUAUAGAUAUUUCUAGAAAAUUCUCUGAAAAUCCUCUUUUUAAACUCAUCAUAUGGUUCACUUCUGUGUCAUUAAUGCAUUGCUUUUUUUUACUCUAAAGACUUCAUUGCUUUAGUGAUAGCCCCAGUGGCCAUUAAUUAUUAAGCUUUUUUCACUUAUUGGUCAAACUUUUCGAUGCUGUCAAAAGAGGGGAAAUAGAUUAUACAGUUCUUAUAACCCAAUUGACUAACCUGUGUUUCAUUCUGAUUCAUGUACUUAACUUCCUUAAGUGAGUAUGUCAGGUUUUGUUGGUGUUGUGCUGCUAUAUUUGUUAUCAUCAAAAAGGGAGAAUUUGUAAGGGCAUGUGGAGUUUUAAAUAUAUACAUGUGAAUGAAAGAUGUCAUGAAAGUUGGUCCAUCCAAGUGAAUAAAGCUUAGCUGCAGACAAGUUAUUGAUAAGAUAACUCUACGUGCAAACAGGAGUAGAUAACACUCAUCACAUUAGGAGUAGAGUUGAAAAAGAAGUAUUACAGGAGUGGAUAAAACUCAUCACAUCACGAGAUGGGUUGAACAAGAUGUAUUACAUAAGUUGAAUUGAACGAGAGGUCUUACAGAGAUAAAAGAAGAGUCCUAUUCAAAAAAGAAGUGUGAGAGGCGCAACAAUAAUAAAAGAAAAAAAUAACUUCCUGGAGUCCUAAUUAACAUAGAAGAUUACAUCAACUGAAGGACUGUAUGAGAUGUUGGCUUAAAUAUAAGAAAUGAAAUCAAAAGCUGUCACUCAUGCACUGAUAAUAUAAUCAACAAUCAACAAAGCAUUUCACUUACUUGAAGAUGAACCUGGUUCUUUACUCAGCAAGUCUUAAGACUUUUUGUAGUAGGAAGGUUCUUUGAGUUGUAUUAAGCCAUUUUUCUAGUCUCAGUGAUCUAUAAACUGAGUUAGGAGUUGUGUCUUCAAGUUAGGGGACUCGAAGACUUGGGAACACUUAUCUUUGGAAGAUUUGUGUUUUUUUAGGUAUAGGAGUUCAAAGUUUUAAUUCCUACUUUACAAGAAGUCUCGUAAUUUUGUUGAUUGUUGAGGCUCAAGAGUUACAGUGAAGUUGGGGUUAAAUCUUGUAGAGGCACAAGUCGUGGUUUUUUCCACCUUUCUCGAGUCGGGUGUUUUCCACGUAAAAACACUAUGUUCAACUUUUACUUCUGUGAACCACGUUUACUUACUUGUUCCACAGAUAGGCAAUCAGUAGAGUUUAAUAUUAAAAGUAGUAGGGCUCGUACUUUAACACAACACAGUUAAAUUAUUAGAUAAGAAAAAAAAUUACCAAAAUGUGACAACAUGGCAACUGUUAUGGAAGCUUUCUCAUACCCCAAAUGAGUUUAUCAUUGUUUUUUUUUAAUACUUAUUAGUUUAUGAAAGCUUUUCAUACCUUUUCAUAUAGUAGCAGUAACAGAUACUUCCAUGAUUAAAAAUAACGAAGGUUUGUUGAAAACUCGCCGAUUGCAUACAUCAAUGUGUAAACCACGACAUUGUCUAUGUAUAGAUUAUGAAACUAUGAUAACAGGACAUUUUCAUUAUAACCAUAUAUGAUAUACUUAUCUGCAAUUUGUUCAAAUCUCAUUUCAAAUUACACAUUUUUCUUUUCAUUAUAUUACUUCGAUUGCAAUGACUAAGACAGAUGCAUCUGAGUUGGCUGCUCAUUAAUUGGUAAAAACUAAGUCAUGUAGCAAUUCAAUUUAAUAUGGCAGAUCUAAAUGUACAGAAGGAUGUAUUCUACUGAAGCCUCUGCAUUUGAAAUUUAUAUUGUGCAAGUAGUGUUAAUAGUCUAAAUUAAGGACAAGAAGCAGUUAAAAUGAAGAUUGAAAUCAUGCUCGCUAGAGAUAACAUGUAUGUUUAUCACUGAUAUACCAUCUAAUAAAAAAACAUGCAACAAAUCUUUCAGCAUGCUUUCCUUCGUUUAACCCCAAAACACUUACACACACAAUCCACAUAAUAGGCAUGGCUUGAAGGUCUAUGUUUAUCUGAAAAAUUAAUACAUCAGUAUGUUCCACAAUGGUGUAAGGAAAAAUUUACCUAUUUUGUCACACUUUAUCACGUACCUAUCAAUACGAUUUAUAAAUGAAGCUGUUCAUAAUGAGAAAUAAUUCACCAUAUUUUGAUGUUGGGAAAAGAUGUUAAGUGUGAUCUACCACUAUUUUAUAUACCAAAUCAAACAUUUCAAAACAAAUAAGAACACAUUUAUAGCUUUAGAAUUAAGGUAUCAUCACAGCUUUUGACAAUAAUUUUUAGCCACCCAAGAAAACUUCAAAACCAGAGUUAUGUUCUAAUGUACAUAACAUAGGUUAACCAAAAUAAAUAAGGUUCAUCACAAGAUAUAUAAUAAGAUGAAAGAAAAUGAUAAAGACAAGAAUGUAGAUACAACACAAAAGAUCCAAGUUGCACAGACUCUUCGAUUUAGAUGUCACAAUCCUUUUUAUAUUCUAAAAAAUAUACUACUUUUGAGAUUUGAACACGCUACUGUAAAUAUAUUUGAAUAGUCCACAAUAUAGCCAAAAAACUUAAAUGUAUGCUCCGGUGAAUCUAAGGCAAACAUAAAACAUAGAAGAUAUUCCAAAAAAUCACAAAUUUCACUUGCAUGUUCACAAUCAAAAAUGAAAAAUAACAUCACAUGAAGAGGAGAAGCCUACUGAAAUUUAAAAGAUCACAAAAUCAGAUCUAAAGCCAAGGAAAAAAAAAAGAUUAAUUUCCAAAAUCUGCUACAAAUUCACAAAAAUUAAAUCAUCCAUUUCACUUGAAUGUACAGAUCUAAAUAAAGAAAUCAAUAAUCAAAAAAAUUGAUAGCUUACCAUACAUUACCAAGACAUCAAAAUCAUAUAUCAACUUGAGAUUAUUUUCAAAUAGCCGGAAAUUUAUUAAAGAAACUAAGAACAAAAAUAUAGAGCUUCUUCGUCCUUUCGACUUCCAUUUUUUCUUCAAAUAGAGACAUAUUUUUUUCUUACAAAAUAAUUUAGAAUAUGGAGUGUUUGUGAUAACGUUGGAAAAGAAAAGAAAUUUUUUUGUUGUUCAGACAAGAAAAUCUUCCAACAGUACUACUUAUUUCUAGAUUAUUCUAUUUAAAUAUAAAUAAGUAUAUUUUUUAACGUUUGGGCUGGACCUCUAUUUCAUUUUUUACUUUGGGCUGGAUUAUACAUUUAAUAGGUUAGAUCAAUUUUUCUUAACAAAAAUCAAUAACUAAAAAUUACACAAAUACACAACUUAUAUUUUCAAUAUUACAAAAAAUUCCAACUCCCUAAACAUAUUACAAAAAUUCCAACAUAAACAAAGAAAGUUAUGUAUACGUCGGCUAUGUUAUGUAUAUUAAUAGGGAGAGAGAGUAAAAUAAUUUAAAAAGUUGAAGAGAAUACAAUUUUUUUCAAAAGGGUUGGUAUUUAUGUUAUUUAUACUUAAACUAAAUAGAUAACACAUUGUAUUUGUUUUAUAAAACUAAUAUUUCCAUGGCCCACAUACAACUCUAUAUAAUUUAUUUGGUAAUUUUUACAUCUAUUUUUAAAAAAUAAUUUUCAAUGUAAUUAAUUUUACAUAAUAUUUUAAGUUCAUAUGGAUAAUAAAAAAUUUUGUUUUAAUAAGAAAGACAAAAAUUUGUCAUUUGAAUUAUAAAAUUUUAUAUUAUAUGUAUUAUAUUAAAAAUAUGAACAUUCACGUCAUUUUUAUAAAUAAUUUUAAAUAUUCAUGCCAUUAUCUUUAAAGAAUAGUACAAUAACGCUAUUUUAUAUAAUAAAAUGUUUUUAAUACCAUAAAUGAAUAGAACAAUAGAAUAAAAACUCAAUGAUCACUUUUGUAUCUAAAAUUUCAGCACAAAAUUUUAAUUACAACCGUUACCCAAUUAUGUCUUAGUCAAUAACAAAUAUUUAAAAACAUUACACCUAUACUUAAAUUUAUAAUUACUUAUCGUACUAGAAUACAACAUUCCAAUAUAUAAUUAUUUUAAAUAAUAUAUUUUUUUCCCCGCGCAUCGCGCGGGUACGUAUACUAGUUGAUUUUUUACAACAACUACUACUUGAGACGCUACAGAUGUAGCAUGUAUGUCAUUCCUAAGGUCAGAUCGCGCAGAAGACAUGUUCGAGAUUUCAGUCCAUGUUCCCAUUGCCAGAUCAUACUCCUCCGCACAUGUCAAGAGCUUUGAGUCGGCUCCUCCAAUGCCUACUAUAACAUAAAAUUUUCCAUCCAUGAAUAUGCCAGAUCACAUCUUACGUUGCCUAUUCAUGCUUUGCAAACUCCUCCACAUGCCUGUAUUUUAAUUGUGAAGUUCAACAGAUCAGCUAAGGAUUUUACCUUGUGAGUCACAACCGCCAGAAAAAAUGGCCACUUCCCCAAGGCUUGCUUUACCAAACAAACAUCAUGGCGCAUUCAGCUGCAUCACAGUUGACCACGUAUUUUGUCAGUAAGCUGUACCGAUAAAUGACAUGGGCCACACAUACUUUCCACAAACAAGAAGCUCCAUACUAAUCCCCAAUGAUUCCUUGUCGGAGAACAACACGAAACAAUCAUUGGGAGUCAUUAUCGGAAGAUGCAUCCAAUGCAGUCUAUCAAGGUCAAAAGAUUCCCACUCAGGCUGCUGGCAGGAGAAAUACACGCAAUGCUCAAUCACACCCUUUCGUCGCCGCACUGUAUAAAGUUCCCCACUCCUAAUUAAUGAGCGAAAGUUGCGGUUCAAAGAUGCUAUGGUUCCAUAAUCUGAUCUAGAGCAACAAAUGAGAGUAUUGAUGGAGUUGUCACGGUAAAUUGCAGGAAAAAUUGUGCUCCUGUCAGAAUUAACCCCAACAUGAUCCUGAUCGUCAGCUUCCUCAUCAAGGGAUGCUGAAGAACUCCCUAAGGAUAGAGUCACUCUGUAACACCGCACAAUUUUGGGCUAGAAUUUGAACUAUUAAUCCAACGUGUGUAGACCUGAACCCAAUGGUUUCUAUUUAUAUACAAGUGUGAAUAUCAAUUCUUAAGAGUGGGAACAUCAUUGGAGAUGGAUUGAAGUCAUAAAUAUUUCCUAGCUCAAAGUUGAGUUCAAAACUUUCCUACCUAUUGAUAUUUAGUAUCUGAUUUUACUUGGGUCGUUGGACCCUUUCUCCUAGAAUAUAGCAUGUUAUAUAGCCUACUAUAUAUCAAAUUAAAUCCCAUCGAGUAUUCUUUCCAACUCCACUUACCGUUAGUCAAUCUGAGUUUGGAGUAAAAAGUUGUGGGCAUUUUAGUGAGACACUGUCCAGGCUGCGCGAUGGCCGCACAACGAAAUUUUUAUGCCGCGCUAUUGGGUAUUAAACUUGCCAUUAACUUAUAUAUACUCGGACAUGAAGGAUUUGAGCAAAACACAAGUAUCUAGACAUUAAAAAGAAAUCCAUUUUCUGUGCAAUUCUCCAAAUUUUUGUUCUUUUUUUCUUUCCGUCACCAUUUAGAGAUUACCAAAUAUACCUUGUGAUAAUGAGAAUCCUAGGGAGGUCUUCAGAAUCAGGAGGUUUUCCAAAAGGUCAUUGUGUAGUAUACGUAGGAGAGAGUCAAAAGAAGACACUUGUCGUGCCAGUAUCAUACUUGAACCAACCAUCAUUUCAAAACUUGUUAGCUCAAGCUGAAGAAGAGUUUGUCUUUGAUCAUCCAAUCGGCGGUCUUAAAAUACAUUGCAAAGAGAAUGUAUUCAUUGAUCUCACUUCCCGCUUGAGGAGAUUAUAAGUAGGACCAUGGCGUAAAUUCUUCAGCCCAUGAAAUUUUGUAAUGCAGUAGGGUUAGAAUGUUUUCAAAGAAUUCACCAUUGCCUGCUUCAAUUACCGUAUUUUCACUAAUAUCUGAAUGUUCAGAUUUAUGAACAAAAAAUAGAAAUGCUUUACUACUUUUAGCAUAUCCUAUGAACAAGCAGUCUACCAUUUUAGGCCCUAUCUUAACCCUUUUAGGUACAGGAACUUGAACCUUCUCUAGACACCCCCACACUUUGAAAUAUUUCAAGUUAGGCUUCCUUCCUUUUCAUUUUUUGUAAGGAAUUGAUUGUGUCUUACUAUGGAGAACUCUGUCGAGUAUACGAUUGGCCGUAUGGAUGGCCUCGCCCAUAAGUUUUGCGGUAAACCAGAACUUAUAAGUAAGGCAUUCAUCAUUUCCUUCAAAGUUCGGUUUUUCCUUUCCGCAAUUCCAUUAGAUUGAGGUGAAUACUGGGCCAUAAUUUGAUAGAUUAUUCCAUUCUCUACACAUAUUUGUGCAAAGGGAGAUUCAUAUUCUCUGCCCCUAUUACAUCUUAUCAUUUUGAUCUUUUUGUCUAACUGAUUUUCAACUUCAGUUUUAUAUUACCUAAAAGUAUCUAGUGCUUCAUCCUUAUUAUUUAGCAAGCAGACAUAACAAUAUCUAGUGCAAUCGUCCAUAAAAGUUAUGAAAUACUUCUUCCCACCACGAGAUGGUGUUGACUUUAUAUCAGAAAUGUCAGUGUGGAUUAAGUCUAAGGGAUUCGAAUUCCUUUCAACGGACUUAUAAGGAUACUUGCAUACUUCGAUUCCACACACGUUUGAUAAUUUUAUUUAUUGCACUCAAAGUUUGGCAAAACUUCUAAGUUAAUCAGUUUUCGUAACGUUUUGUAAUUAACAUGGCCUAAACGUUCAUGCCAUAAAUCAUAAGACUCAAGCAAAUAAGAGGAAUUCGAACUUAUAUUCAUUUCAACAGUCAUUACAUUCAUCUUAUAAAGGCCCUCCACGAGAUAGCCUUUUCCUACAUACAUUUCUCCUUUGCUCACUACAAUUUGUCCGGAAAUGUUUACAUAUUUGAUUCCGUUCUUAUCUAAGAGUGAAACAAAAAUAAAAUUCCUACAUAACUCCGGAACAUAUAACACAUUGUUCAGUGUCAAGACCUUGCCUGAAGUCAUCUUUAGGCAAAUUUUUCCUGUUCCCUCCACCUUAGCAGUAGCGGAGUAUGUCAUGUAAAGCAUUUCUUCUGCUUGAGCCAGAGAAAAUGACAAGAACAACUCUUUGUUUGCGCAAACAUGACGUGUGGCACCUGAAUCCAUCCACCAUUCGCAUGGAUUCCCUACCAAGUUGCAUUCCGUGAACAUAGCACACAAAUCAUCAUAUUUUUAGUUAGAUUCAAUCAUAUUCGUUUGGUCUUUUUUCUUGCCUUUCUUCGGGGCUCAACAAUCUGUGGACUUGUGGCCAAUUUUGCCAUAAUCGAAGCAUUUUAUCUUGAACUUUUUCUUGGGUUGAUUGCUUCCAUGUUCAACUUUCUUUCUUUUCUUCGAGUUGUUUUGGCCAUCUUGUACAAUAUGUGAGAACUCAUUGUAGAAUUUCCCUUUGACCUUCUUUCGGCAACUUUAUUGUUCACUUCAAUACGAAGACGAACAGUAAGAUCAUCAAUGGUCAUCUCCUUGCGCUUAUGUUUUAAGUAGUUUUUGAAGUCUUUCCACAAAGGUGGUAGCUUCUCAACUAUGCUGCUACUUGGAAAGCAUCAUUCACAAUUAAACCUACAAAAUAGUUUAUGUGAGUAUUAUGAACAUUUUUAAUUUGUUCAACUAAGAUAUUUUUUAAAAAUAUACCUUCUUCUAAGAGAUCAUGUAUGAUGACGUGCAACUCCUGUACUUGAGAGACAACAGAUUUGCUAUCAAUCAUUUUCAAAUCCAGGAGCCGUGCAACAAGAAAUUUCUCAAAUCCCGCAUCUUCUGUUUUAUAUUUCUGUUCAAGUGCCCCCCACAAUUCUUUUGAUGUCUUGGUUCCACUAUAGACAUUAUAGAGGUCGUCUUGGAGACCACUUAGAAUAUAGUUCCUGCAAAGGAAAUUUGAAUAUUUCCAAGCUUCUAUAAUAAUGAAGCGGUCCUUUUCCGAGGUUCCCUCGGGCACCUCUGGAGCAUCUUCAUUAGUGAACCAUUGUAGACAUAAAGUGGUGAGGUAAAAGAACAUCUUUUGUUGCCACCACUUGAAGGCGAUACUAGAAAAUUUUUCGGGCUUCUCCACCGGUGCCAUUGUUGGUGGAGCAUUUGUACAACUUGAUGUGGCAAUAAUAUUUGCCCCAUAGACGUUGUCUCAUCCAUCAUUUAACUUUCAGUUGUCAUUUUUCCUGUCACCAAAAGACAAAAAAUUAGUAUUUUUCAUAAUAUUAUUAAUAAAGUUAAAUAACUUUGAACUCUUCUUUUUGUUUCUAGUUAACAAUGAAGUUUUUAUUACUUCGAAUUGUCAACUGAGUGAAUCUUAACUUGUCAUGAAGAUUUUAUGUCUUCUAAUCACUAGUUAAAUUCAAGCGGAGUAGAAAUCCUAUGCUUUAAUCUCCAAAAAUAAGUAAUACAAAUUUUGUAAGGGUUAUUCCUUAAUAUUGUUAUUUCCAUAAUAUAUUUGGGGAUGCAAAAUCUAUAUAUUGCAACAACAACUUCAACUCGAGUUCAAGUUUGAACAAGAACACAAUGAAGUAUCAAAUACCCUCAACACAAGAUCAAAAUGACCUUUCCAAGAGGUAUAUUUAUUUUUUUAGAAAAUAAAGAUGAAACAGAAAUGAUUAAGGCCAAGUAGUCCGAAUUCACGGAUUUUCCUUAGGGAAUAAUUCCCCUCACUGUAUCUGAGGUUAUGGAAUCUUCCUCCCAGGAUAAAAUGUCCUUCAAUACAACUAUAGCGGUACCUCAAAUAGGCGGAUUCUUCAAACACACUCACAGUUUGAAUGAUCACACUUAGAGUAUUUUUAAGACAAGAAGAAGAAGUUUUUCAUUUGAAAAUUUAUGUAUUUUCUAUCUUUAACCUGUGGAUGAAAACCAGGCUAUUUAUAGACACAAGAUACCUCUUUAGAAAGGAUGCAAUGGUUCACUCCAAAGGUUGCACCUUUGUUGUAAAUUCGUGUUUGUUCAUCAAAGAUUGCAUCUUUUCCUGAACAGUCAUAUCUUUCUAUGAAUUAGUGUGUCUUUUGCUGAAUGGUUGCAUCUGUAUAAUCAACCUCCUUAGAAAGGAUUUGUCCUCAAAUCUAAACCUUGCGAAAUAAUAGGAAGGACAAGCAAACCAAAGUUCCUCAAGGUACGAGGGUUGGGAUUAGUGUAAUUAAUCAUAGCAUCUUGUCAAGAUGGCUCAAACUUCAUAUUGACCCAAACAUCCCUCUUACUCGAAUACCUACCAAGGGAGAAUCAACUAGUUUAUCCACAUAAGUGUGACAAGAAACAAGGAACAAGUGUUUCUUAUCAAGUGGAAAACAUACACUCUUCUUGGAACAACAAUUAGACUUGAUAGACUAGAGAGGAAAGCCAUACAUUCCAUGCACAUUCAAGUCAUUCCAAAAGACAUCCUCAUCACCACACUUCAAAUAAUCACCGGAAUCAAAUGGGUAGAGUGGCCAUAGGCAUGGGUUGGGAAUAUACUUCCUUACCUUAAUACUACUACAAUAAUGAUCAAAUCUCCCCUCUAUACUAUCAUGGUCAAUAACAAAAACAACUAGAGGGUCAUCCGUAGUCAUUCAGCCAACAUGUUCAACAUCAUCAUUUUAACACACAAGUUGGUCUUUAUGACUUCCAUAGGAAAAUAUAAUACCACUUUCCACAAUGGCUUCAACACUAGGUGAAUCAACUAGUGUAUCCACAAUCUCAAGUUGUACAUUAUCAUCACAAAAUGAAGGCACAUUUGGCUCACUUAAAGACAAACUAUCAUUCAAACUUAGUUAGCUAUUAUCCUCAUUCACUAGAGUGCAAAAGUUAGUUUGAUUACCUUGUAGGUCAAGUGGAGCAUGGCCACUCAUGGGAAUUUAUUAGGAAGGCUUGGAUGCUCCGCCAAGUUGUCCAACUUCUUGCAUAGAGAGCCUUUUGUCCCUUCCAAUCUUCCUUCCAUUCUGUCCAUUAUUCGCCUAUCUAUGGCAUCAAGGCUUGCCAUGAUAGAUUUAACCCAACUAGGUAUUUUAGCUUCAUUCACCAUUGUACCCAUCAAGAGCUACUAAGAAAACAAAACGAAAACAACAAACGCAUUAAAGAUUAGCAAAAAUUAGCCUACAAUUCCUCACAAAAAAAUAGUCCACAAUGUGUCUCAAAAUAGUCCACAAUUCCUCACUUUCACACUUUGAAUUUUUCACUCGGUUGACCUUACAAGUGUUGAUAACUCACUUAUACUCUAAUGAGGUUACUUGGUCCCAAUUUUUGUUCGAUGUCGGAGUAGAUUCUUGUUUGAAAUGACUCAAAUAAGUAAUGUACUAACUUACAAGCUAGUAGGGUAUUACUAGGUUUUCAAUUAGUGUCGAGCAAACAAACAAAACCAGGAAACAAUAAAAUGAAACUAAUAAAUAUAAAAUUUGAACUCAAAAAUGUUGCAUGAACAGUACUUUAGUGACGUAGCAGUCCACUAUUGGCCUCAAGUUUUAUCAAAAUUUUAUUUCUCAAUUUCAAGUCUUGAUCAAUAUACAAUUUGGAAUUGGUGGAUUUGGUUAAUGGAGGGAAAAGUGGUCUUGGAGAAUUUUUGUUCAAAUUUCAAAAGCAAAACUUUACUUCUUUGAAAUUUCUCGUUGAAACAAGGUCCUUAAAUCAAGGAAAAGUCUUUGAAGUGAUAGGGACAAGUCUUUCACUAACAACUACUACAAGCUUGUCUUUCACCUUUGUAGAUCUAGUUUGCAUUUUAAGGAUUAACAAGAUGAUGAAAGGGUGAAGAACCUUAAGAACACAAAAACAACUCCAAGAACAACAACAAUUUCAGUUUCCAACUCCACUACAACAAGACCAUCAAAUCGGCCAAGGUUUAGGUAACAACAACAUCCUACUCGGCCACACCUUGUUCACAUCAACAACAUCAAGAAGUUCAAGUUCAAUCUUAGAUUUGGACACUUUUUAGUGUUGAUGAGAAAGAAACCAACACUAUAAACACUCUAAGAAAAAAAAAUACUACAAGUUCUAGACACACAGCAAACAAAUCUUGGCCAAGAUAACAACACCACAAUAUUCGGCCAAGAACACAAAAUGGACAGAUUUACACUUUUUGGAAUUUUUUUCAGUUUUCAGCUUUUUUUUUUUUGAAUUUUCGUCCAAUAGAACCCAAGAUUGGUAGUGUAGGAACAUAACCAGCCUUGCUUUCAUACCAAAUGUUACCAAAAUCCCCAAGAACACAACAACACAAACACCAAAAUCAGUCCACUAGUUCAAGAACUAUGGACCCUUUUGAUGACCUCUCUCGGAUUUGCAAGAAGAACAAGAAGGGAAUUGAUAUCAAGAGUAAAACACACUAAAACAAAAAAAAAAUUGAUGAACAAGAUGAAAUAACAAUAACACACGUUUACAAGACAAGAACACAAAUGGAUUACACUAGAUAUAGACAAACGAUUACAAGAAAGAAAAGAUAGAUAGAUAGAUAGAAAAGGGAUGGUACAAUAUUAACAACCCAAAAUAUUAUUCCACUUUUGGACCUUUAAUAUCACACAAAACCUAAGCCUACCCCUUACGUGACCUCAAGGGAACCGAUAUUCCCAAGCAAUCUCUAUUUAAGGGCAGAUGAACAGUGAACGUAGAUAAACAGUGAACAGUUUUGGAGCUUGUGGGACUUGCUCUCUACACUUCAAAGCUUUUUCCUUGGAUGGGAAGCCCACCGAUCUCGAGUCUUGAAGCAUUGGACCCCGAUCAUGAUCGUACCCGUAUCAGUCUUGGUCUAUCUUGAACCAGUUUUUUGAUGAUGUCAAAAUGAGGAAGAGAAGUUUGUGUAAAUAUUUAUAACCUAAUAACUAAUCUAUUUUAUUCUAGAGAAAGUGACACUAACACUCACGAAAACACUUACUAAGAUAGAAUCCAUCAACAAAUUAUCUUGGCAGUCCCAAAGCUUGAAGGAUUCAUAUUUGAUGUUUUUCCUAUUACUAAGAGUUAAUGAGUCCUAGGCUUUAUGUAUUUAGUUGGUUCUUGAGUUGUACUAUUUAUCUAUUUCUAGUCUCAGUGAAGUAUAAACUAAGAUAAGAGUAUUGUCUUCAUGUUGCGGAACUCGAAGACGUGGCAACACUUACCUUUGAAAGGUUUGUGUUUUGUAGAAGUAGGAAUUAGAAGUUUUUAAUUCCAUGUUUACAAAAGUCUUGUAAGUUGAUCAUUGUUGAGUCUCAAGUGUUUUAGUGGAGUUGGGGUUAAAUCCUGUAGAGGUAGGGGUCGUGAUUUUUUACACCUCUUUGAGCUGGGUAUUUUUGAUACCAGUCAAAUGGGCAUCAAUGCUUUUGAUCACACAACUUGAGGCCAACAUGAGGAGGUUCAAGCCUUGAUUGCCGUAAGGAUCCAAGAAUGUUCUUGGAGACCCUUCUUCGAGUUCAUAAUAAAGAAAUGUCAUGUUUGGAAGAUAUCUUGCGGUUGAAUAAAUCCAUGGCAAAGGAAUAAAGAGAGCACUUUUGGGCUAUUUCAGAAAUAGCCACUUUGGGCUAUUUUUGUAAUAGGCUAGUUGUGCAAAGGAAACUACUAUAAAUAGGUGCCUUAGACAUUUCAUUAGUAAGUUAUUGUUGAUUAAAUUACCUGAUGUAUUCAUGAGAACCCUAUGGGAGUGAUGAGGGCUUCAAAAAGCCGAUGUUGAACCUUGCUUAGAACGUUGGUUGUAAGGGCGAUCUAAUCACUUUUGAGGUCACGUAAGAGUUAGGUUCUUAUUGAUAUUCAUUAACAGAGGUUUUAGGGUGUGAAACACCCUUCAAUUGUCCUAUUGUUAUCAAUUUUAUAUCUAUCUUUCUAUCAUCAUUAUCUUAUCCUUCUAUCUUUACUCUUCUGCAUCUAGAUUCGAUUCCUCAUGAGUUGAUUCAUAUCAGUUUUCCACAUGAAAAUUCACUGUUACUUACUGUUUUAGCUAGUUUGAAACAUGUUAAUCAAUCUAUUUAAUUGAUAGGCAACAGCUAGGCUAAAAUAAAGUAAUCAGUAGGGCACGUACUUCAACAACUAACAACUCCAUUCAGUGGAAAAUAAUAAAUCUGAAGAUCAUGCUUCUAUGUGAACUUCAUACCAAAUAGAUGUGAAAUUACAUGAUUGUGAGUUCAAUUUGAGAAAAUGUCAUGUUUAGCUUAGUUUCUUUUCCUACGUUUUCUGUCUGAAUUUCUGAAUUUAAGCAUCCAGUAUCUCCGAUCAGAGAAGCAACCAAAUUGUUUGUUGUUCUACAAAGAUACCAAGUUCUGUUUCAUUGGCAAGAUAGGCUAUUGUAAACGUGCUCCAUAAUUCAUUUAAACUUGAAGCUACUUUGAUCCAGUUCCAUCUGAUAUAUAAAGUCUUCCUUAUUCAUUAAGACUUGCUAAACCACUUUGCUCUAUAGGUAGUUUGUCUUGCAACAUAUCCUGAUAUUAUGACCUGUUUACAUCUGAGUAUAAGCUAGUUGAAACUACAAAUGUAAAUAUCUUGACAUAUUUAUGACGGUGUCUCCAUCUCUCAAGGCGAGCUCUGGUAUUGUGGCCUGAGAUAAACUUGUGGGAUUUAUUUGUACAUGAAUGACCUUUACCAGAAACCGGAAUCAAAGUGGAAGCCCGAUUCGUGUGCCAUAGGACUAACCACUGAGCUUUGUUACUACAUCUAAAUGGUUGUUGUAAUUUAAACAUUUGGAUAUGAAUGGCCUUUAGCAGAAAAUAUAUCAGAUUUUCCUAAAUUGUUAUAGAAUAAAACAUUUUGGAGGCCCGACUAUGGACUUCUGAUUAAUAAGUAAAUAACAAUAUGUUUUACACUUGUUGAGUAUCGUAUAUCUAUUACAGAACUUAUGAUAGUUGAUUCAACAAACUAGCAAUUGCACGUUUCAAAAAAGGACACGAAGUUAAAGUGACACCAAAAUAGGCUAUAUUUUAAGAUCUCUCAAGUUAACGAGUUAACUUUUAAAAAGGCUACGCUAAAAUUGUUUGCUAAGCCAUUUUGUUAUCACUUUAACUUCGUGUCCUAUUUCAGUCACGUAUAACUAUUUGGGGUUCAUUUAGGCUCCAGAUCUAACUUUCAUGGGGUCAAAUAAUACAAGACGGAGGGAGUAUAUAUUUGUUGUAUAAAGUUAAAGUACUUUGACUACAAAAGCUUAUUUUCUUGCUUUUGCCGAACAUAUAUCUUAGGAAAAAAUACUUGUUUGUGCACUGAGAGAGAUGAAGGCGAAGAACCCUAGACCUAAAAGCUCUAAGCUUUUAACCUUUUUCAAUCCAAUACUAAGCUUCUUCAAGCCUAAUCAUAGAGAAACCAGAUUUAUGGAUCUUCCAAGUGUGAUUAUGGUGGAAAUACUCUCAAAAUUGCCAAUCGCGUCCAUUUUAAGCUCUAGGUGUGUUUGCAAACUCUGGUAUGAUCUUUUUUCUAACCCUUUAUUUCUUACCAUGUAUAGAUCAAGAUUACCUCCUCCCUGCAUUUUUUUUUUCACGUGAUGAUGGAUUAAGUAAGCUUCUUGAACUUGAUCUGUGUUGUGAUGAUUAUUCUUCUGGACUCCGUAACAGACCUAUUUUAUUGAGUUGUCCCGGUCUUAACUCACCAGUGAAACAGGGAAAGGACAUUCUAGUUGAGGAUUACCCAAUGUUGAGAUUAAUUGGUUCAUGUAAUGGAUUUAUUGGUUUGAUAACUAAUAUAUAUGAUAUAAAUACUUCAGUUUACAUUAAUAAUUCUCUUUUGGAUGAGUAUUUUAAACGUAAGUUACCCCAAUUAGAGAAAAGUGAUUGUGGUGUUGGUUAUAGAUUUUGCUUCAGUGAAUUCUCUGGAAAGUAUAAGCUAGUAAGAUCAAUGACUAAAAUGUUUGGGGAUCAUUGUUGAAACUAUGUCGCAGAAAAAAAGUAGGAAUAGAUAAUUUUUGUAGCUUUAAAUUAUUAGAGUCCUAUGUGAGUUAGGAAUUCGUUGUCCCUUCAUUAUUUGAAUAGGAAUUAGUUAUCCCAAUUUAAAUUGAAGUGUUGUUAGAAAUUUAGCUUUGAAUAUAUAUUUUGAUUUAUUAAUAAAAUAAUUUCCUUUGACAAUUCAAUUGCAGUAUUUUCUCCUCUCCAACACCUUCUCUGUUAUUUCUCUAAACUCAAAGUCAAAAACCAACAAUUGGUAUCAAGAGUCAGUCUCUUGAGGGAUUGUGAGAGAGAUGAAUUCUGAUAACAAAUUUUCCCAAAUAGCUCCUCCUAUCUUUGAUGGUGAGAAUUACCAUCUUUGGCAUUGUGAGAGAGAUGAAUUCUGAUAACAAAUUUUCCCAAAUAGCUCCUCCUAUCUUUGAUGGUGAGAAUUACCAUCUUUGGCAUUAAGAAUGGAAAUUUUUCUUGAGGCUUUAGAUCUUAGGGAGGCCAUACAGGAGGAUUAUGAUGUUCUUCCGCUAUCCGAUAAUCCCAUGGUGGGCCAGAUCAAAAGACAAAAAGAAAAGAAAAUCAGAAAAUCAAAGGCAAAAGCAAUUUUGUUUGCUUGUCUAUCUACAAUUAUUUUCAUUAGAAUUAUGAUACAAGAUCAAUGGUCUCCACUAUUUUGGGAUCGAUGCUUCAAGGAUCACAUCAAUGGAUCCAAGAUGUGGUUUUUCUAGGGGAUCAAAUACGCAUAUAGAUUAUAGCUUGGAGUGCGGGAGAAGAUACAUUUGGUGAUGUCAUCCACGGGAGCAUUGAGCCACGACGUGUUUGGAAAAUAGCGUGGGCUUCGACAGAGCAUGGACGCCCAUGACAUUAUUUUGGGCUUUGGGUCACUUUUGGGGCCAAUAGAUUUUAGGGUCAAUUUUGGGCCCACUGUGUAAUAAAGACCCAUGGCCUAUAAAUAACUAGUUUGCCUUCAUUUUAAGGGGAGAUUUUAGAGAUUUGAGAUAACAUAUUUAUAGCCACUUUUGAGAGCCUCUUUCAAGGUGGAAUCCUUAGGCAAGGUGGAAUCCUUGUUUUGAUGAUUUGCUUAGAAAUGGAGAUUUAUUGGGUAUUCCAGUUCCCUUGAGGUCAUGUAGGAGAUAGGUUUAGGUUGUGUGUGAUAUUAAAGGUCCAAAAGUGGAAUAAGCUUUUGGAUGGUUAAUAUUACAACUUCAUUUGUGUAUCUAUUUAUCUUUACUUUCUUGUAAUAGUUUAUCUAUAUCUAGUGUAAUCCAUUUUUGUUCUUGUCUUGUAACCGUGUGUUGUUGUUAUUGCAUCCUGUUCAUCAAGUGUUGUUGUUGUUGUUAGUGUGUUUUACUGUUGAUAUCAUUUCCUUUCUUGUUCUUCUUGUGAAUUCGAGAGAAGUCAUCAAAGAGGGUCCUCAAUUCACUAUUUAGGUGUAUGUUUUAGUGUCUUCCUUGUCAAUCUUGUAUCAUUUGGUAUCAAAGACGAGCUUUAUUUUGUUCCUACGAAGUCAAUCUUGGAUUUGUUAUCUUGAUAAUUGGAAAAAAAAAAUAAGUGUCAAAAUCGAAAAUUUUUAAAAAAAGUAUUAUUCUUGUUUGUAACAGGAGGUCAAAAUUUGAGUCUUUGAUUUUGUUGUUUUCUUGUAUUUUUAGUGUUAGAUUCUUGUUCUCUAACUCUAUAGGAGUCUAGGGUUCAAAUUUGAGCCAAAUAGGAGUUGAUUUGAGUGUUCUACCCUUGAUGUGGACUUAAACUUAAAGAAAGAGAGGUGGGUUCAAGAUCUGAAAUUUUUGGUUGAGAGACAGGAAAAAAAAUUGAUGUUUGGAAUGUGUUUAGAAGGUUGAAAAUAGGCUUGGUUAAAAAUUUCAUCGCAUUCCGAUCAUCGGUUUAAGAGUUAGAGAUUUUUGAAGUUGUUGGUGUUCUUGAGUGUUCUUUAGAAGGUUCAAACCUUCAUCUUGAAUUCUCUUCAAAAGGUGUUGUUUAAUCCAAAAAAUUGAAGAAAACGUUGUGUUGAGUUCCUAAUUUAUAAGUACCAUGGCUUUGGGAGAUGAGAUCCAACCUAUCUUAAAAGAGGUGAUAAUGAAAGCUCUCACGGAUUGGUGAUAAGAAUUGAAUAGUUCGAAGAAGGAUGGGUCAUGUUUGAAAGUAAACAUGGAAAAGGUGACAUGUCUUACUACCCAAACCCCACAAAAUGUACCCCAAACACCACAAUUCCACCAACAAACACCUCAUUACCAAAGACCACAUCCGAUUCCACUUCAAGAACAUGUUCCUACUACAAACCAAGUUCCCGACGACAAUGUUCAUCUAACCUAUAUCCAAAAUAAAAAGACCAAUUCUAACAUGGAACCUUUGUUACUUGCUACCAUGAUGCUAGCAUUUUACCUAGUAUCACUCCUUCAUUUAUGCAGGUUCAUGAACAAAUAAUAUCAAAGAAGGAUGCAAGAAGAAUGCCAUAUGAAAAUGAUCUUGAAAACCUAGUGGAGUUUUUACCAAAGAACUCCAAACUUGAAAGGUUCACUGACAAGUUGAUAAAGGAGUUGGAUUCGAGGAUGAAUCCUCUUCAAGAAAGAGAGGAUGAUACAAGAUCAAUGGAAUCCACUCCUUUGGGAUCGAUGCUUCAAGGAUCACAUCUAUGGAUCCAAGAUUUGGUUGUUUUAGGGGAACAAAUACGUCUGUGUAUUAUAGCUUGGAAAGCGGGAGAAGCUACAUUUGAUGAUGUCAUCCAUGGGAGAAUUGAGCCAUAACCUAUUUGGAAGAUGGUGUGGGCUUCGAGAGAGCAUGGACGCCCAUGAAAUUAUUUUGGGCUUUGGGUCACUUUUGGGGCCAAUAGCUUUUAGGGUCACUUUUGGGCCCAUUGUGUAAUAAAGACCCAUGGCCUAUAAAUAACUAGUUUACCUUCAUUUUAAGGGGAGAUUUUAGAGAUUUGAGAUGACAUAUUUUUAGCCACUUUUGAGAGCCUCUUUCAAAGUGGAAUCCUUGUUUUGAUGAUUUGCUUAGAAAUGGAUAUUUAUUAGGUAUUCCGGUUCCCUUGAGGUCAUGUAAGAGAUAGGUUUUCUUUGUGUGUGAUAUUAAAGGUCCAAAAGUGGAAUAAGCUUUUGGAUUGUUAAUAUUACAUCUUCAUUUGUCUAUCUAUCUAUCUUUACUUUUUUGUAAUUAUUUGUCUAUAUCUAGUAUAAUCCAUUUGUGUUAUUGUCUUGUAACCGUGUGUUGUUGUUAUUGUAUAUUUUUCAUCAAGUGUCAUUGUUGUUUUUAGUAUGUUUUACUCAUGAUAUCAUUUCCUUUCUUGUUCUUCUUUUGCAUCUAGGAGAGGUCAUCAAAGAGGGGUCCUCGAUUCUUCAAAUCGUUGACUAUUUUGGUCUAUGCUUUCGGGUCUUCCUUAUCGAUCUUGUAUCAAAUUAUGACCCUUAAAUUAGCAAAAGAAAUUUAAAAUUAUCUGAAGGAGCAAUAUAAGGAUAUGAAAGAAUAUGAGGCAUGAAGGUGUUCAAUCUAAUAAGGAAAUUCAAAUUGUAAAAGAUGAAGGAAUCUGACAUCGUCAAAGAGUACUCAGAUCGACUUCUUAGCAUUGUUAUCAAGAUAAGAUUUCUUGGCAUAAAAUUUAAAGAUUCAAGAAUUGUUGAAAAAAUUCUUGUUACUGUGUGACUGAGAGAUAUGAAGUAUCAAUAACUACCUUGGAAAACACAAAAAACAUGUCCAAGAUUACCUUGGCAGAAUUGUUAAAUACAUUGCAGGCACAAGAGCAAGGGAGGCUUAUGAGGCAGGUUGGUAUGGUUGAAGGAUCUUUGGAAGAAAACUACAAGACUCAAAUCAAGGUAAUAAUUCAAGGAAAAAUUACCUACCUUGCCACUGUGUAAAAUAGGUCAUUCUCUAUUUAAAUGUUGGAAGAGAGCAGAUGCAUAAUACAAGAUCUGCAACCGACUUGGCCAUGAAGCUGUGAUUUGCAAAAACAAGUCUCAAAAAUAUGAAGCAGAAGCCCAAGUCAUCAAAGAAGAAGAAGAAGAUCACUUAUUUGUGGCAACAUCUUCAACCAAGAAAUCUAAUUUUUUGAUGAUUGACAGUGGUUGUACAAAUCACAAGACAUAUGACAAAACUCUUUUUAAAGAGUUUUUGCCUUUGGAAAAUAACUAAAUCAGAAUUAAGAAUGGUAACUAUAUACCUGUAGAAAGAAGAGGGAAUGUUGCAAUAGAAACAGCUUUAGGUACAAAAAUAAUUUCAAAUGUCCUUUACGUGCCCGAUAUUGAUAAAGAUUGUUAAGUGUUGGCCAGCUAAUAGAAUAAGGAUUUAAACUAUUGUUUGGAGAUAAAUAUUGUCGAAUCUUUGAUUCCAUUAAUCUUGAGAUUUUACAAAUUGAUAUGAGAGGCAAAAGUUUCUUAUUUAAUCCAACGGAAGAUGCACAUAAGUCAUGCAAGAACAAAGAUGAAUUGGCAGAUUUAUUCAAGAGGUCAAAUUCAGCCGAAGCCGAGACAAUUUCUGAUCCAAGGAGGAGUGCUGAAACUAAGUCUCAGAAAUAAAGUAGGAAUAGAUAAUUUUAAUAGUUUUAAAUUAUUUGAGUCCUAUGUGACUUAGGAAUUAGUUGUCCCUUUCUUAUUUGAAUAGGAAUUAGUUAUCCCAAUUUAAAUUAAAGUGUAGUUAGAAAUUUAGCUAUAAAUAUAUGUUUUGAGUUAUUAAUAAAAUAAUUCACUUUGACUAUACAAUUGCAGUAUUUUCUCUUCUCCAACUUUUUCUCUGUUAUUUCUCUAAACUCAAAGCCAAAAACCAACAAUCAUCAUGAAGUAUCAGAAUUGGAGGUUUAUACUCUUGGGGGUGAUGAGAAAUGGAGAAAUUGGGGCCAAGUUCCAUAUCCUGUAUGGCAUUAUUUUGGCCUGGUUUGUGUGAAUGGAGCCCUUCAUUGGAUGGAUCCCGUCAAUAACGACAGCAUUUACUCCUUCGAUGUUGAGACUGAAAAGCUCAAGUCUGUGCCAGGUUCACCUGGUAUGGUAUUUCCAUUCAAGUAUUUGACCCAAGCAGAGUUGCAGAGAUCUACAUGUCAACCUCGUGUUUGAUGCUAGUAGAGUUGGGGAACUGUCAGUGUUUAGUGGUAGCAUUUUUUGGGCAUUUUGCUACAUGGUGGAUGAAAGAGUAUGGAAUAGCUGAAUCUUGGACUAAAGAUAUCAUUUUGGGGCUGGCUGGUUUUGGGAUUGAUAUUUGUUAUCAUAAAUAUUUACCAAUCCUAAUCUGGAAAGAUGGAGAAAUCUUGAUGCAAGGGAAAAAAGACCCACAGCUAUUUUCGUACAACCCAAAAGACGAGAUUUUUAGGGUGAUCCCCAUUAGCAGGAUAUUGGAACUGUAGCAACUAGAUAUCUUCCAAGUUUUUACUAACUCAAAACUGCUGUGGGGGGCGACUUUCAACUCUCAAAUGUUUAUCCGAAUAAAAUCUGAGAUAGUUGAGAUAUUUCGUUUUUCUUAUUUCCUCCAGGUAUUAUGCUUUGCUAGUAUGUCUCUGUGGUAAUUUGGUUUAGAACAACUUUUACUGUUGUGGCUGCAUUUGAUUUGUGUUGGAACAACUUUCUGUAUGUUUAUGUUGUCCAAUUGAAUAUUCCAAGUUAUUUAUAUUGCAAAAGUCUCCAAAACUGCAUUUUCUUUAUUCAUUUCAUUUGGCACUUGUCUGAAGAACAGCAACACGAAGGAAUUGAGAGGAGCAACUCCUUGUGAAGAUCUCCUGCAGCAACACCUUUCUUGAUAAGACAAAUAAUAUAGACCAUGAAGGAUGUUUCGCAGAGUACUGUAAUGGGGCCAGCACUUGACAGGCUAAACUCUUCUUCGGAUAAGAUUAAAAGUUGUCUCAUGACCGCAUUUUCAAGAUAAUCCAAGGGUAUCGCGAAGUGCGUUUGAUCAAUUGUAUACAUGACAAAAUGACCGUUCCUGACUAUUGAGGGUGAAGAUGUACUACAACUCUCUGCAUCACUACCAUUUCUUGUUAGUGACAUUCUCUUCCUCUGCAUGGCUGCAAAUUUCUGCCAUCUCCUAGCCAUUUUGAUAAGUUUCUAGGUACUGAUCAUUGUUUUUCUUUCCAUUUUUUCUUGAAAGUUUUGAAGCAAGAAAGUAGACUAUAUAGAACCUUUUGAUUGCUAAAGUGAUAAUCAAGAAAAAGUGUGUGUGUAUAACCCCAAACAAAUUUUGUUCAAUUAAAUCAGUCUUAUCAGGAAGACACAGGGUUUAGAAUCCAUAUCAGAGCAAGGCGGCAGAGGUGGUGUUUAUUUUAGGGUUGAAUCUGGAAGAUUUGUCAGAAGAACAGUCCUGUGUGGUUAUAAAGGAUUGUCGGAAAGAAAGUAACUGGACGGCUUGCAUGAGUUAUCGGCUGAUAGGAUUGAAGUGUAGAAUGUGAAAAGGCCAUUGGAAGAUGACAAGGUGGUUGAAAAUGUGAAAUGCAGGUUGCAAAAGCAGUCAGAUGGUUCAAACCUAGUGGAAGUGGAUCUUUCCUUGGGGAGUUCUUCAGCAUCCCCUGAUGAGCAAGCUGACAGCCAGGACCAUAAUGAGCAAGCUGACAAUCAGAACUUUAUACAGAGCGGCGACGAAAUGGUGUGGUUGAGCACUGGGUGUAUUUUUCCUGCCAACAGCCUGAGUGGGACGCUUUUGACCCUGCUAGGCUCUGUUGGAUGCAUCUGCCGAGAAUGACUCCCAAUGAUUGUUUCGUGUUCUCCGAUAUGGAAUCUUUGGCAUUUGAUAUGGAGCUUGUUGUUUUCGGAAAGGAUGUGUUUGCCCAUGUCAUUUACCAGUACAGCUUACUGACAAACACGUGGUCAACUGGGAUGCAGGUAAAUGUGCCAUGAUGUUUGUUUGGUAAUGAAAGCCUUUGGGAAAUCUCUAUUUUUGCUUGCGGUUGUGACUCACAAGGUGAAAUCCUUAGCUCGUCUGAACUUUACAAUUCGGAGACAGGCACGUGGAGGAAUUUGAGAAGCAUGAAUAAGCCAUGUAAGGUGUUCGGUUGUAUUCAUGGAUGGAAAGUUUUACGUGAUAGGAGGCACCAGAGGAGCUGACUCAAAGCUGUUGACAUGAGCAAAGGAGUAUGAUCUGGCAACGGGAAUGUGGACUGAAAUCCCGAACCUGUCUCCUGUGCGACCUAACAUUAGGAAUGGCAUACCUGCUACAUCUGCAGCGCCUCCAUUGGUAGCUGUUGUAAAUAAUCAAUUUGAGCUGCUGACUAUGCUGAAAUAUCGGUUAGGAAGUAUGAAAAGCGUAACAAAGAAUGGAUUUAUUGAGGUGAAUUCGUGGUACCUUGUGAAGGAUCUCAAGAAUGGAACUUGCUCGGCUAAAAGCAAUCACGUAGCUUUGUGCUAGACUUCGAGUAGUGUUUAAAGCUUCUCGAGGAAAGUCAUAGAAGUACUUAAUCUUUUUCUUUUUCUGGUUUUGUGAUCUUUAUUUUCUUGACUUUGUCGAGGAAAGAAAUAAGGGUCUGCAAUGUUGGUUGUUUGUUGGCAUCUUGGUUUGUGUAACCCAUGCUUGUUAUGUCAUUCCUAAGGUUAGGUGGCACAGGAGACAUGUUCGAGAUUUCAGUUCAUGUUUCCGUUGCCAGAUCAUACUCCUCUGCACAUGUCAACACCUUUGAGUCGGCUCCUCCAAUGCCUCCUAUCACAUAAAACUUUCCAUCCAUGAAUACGCCAUAACACAUCUUACGUUGCUUAUUCAUGCUUCGCAAAGUCCUCCACGUGCCUGUCUCCGAAUUGUAAAGUUCAGCAGAGCUAAGGAUUUUAACUUGUGAGUAAACUGCCAGAAAAAAUGGUGAUUUCCCCAGGGCUUGCUUUACCAAACAAACAUCAUGGCGCAUUCAUCUGCAUCCCAGUUAAGUACGUAUUUUGUCAGUAAGCUGUACCGAUAUUUGACAUGGGUCACACAUCCUUUCUACAAACAAGAAGCUCAAUACCAAUCCCCAAUGAUUCCUUGUUGGAGAACUACACGAAACACUCGUUGGGAGUCAUUCUAGGCAGAAGCAUCCAAUGCAGUCUAGCAGGGUCAAAAGCUUCCCACUCAGGCUGCUGGCAGGAGAGAUACACCCAAUUCUCCACAACACCAUUUCAUCUCGCCGCUGUAUAAAGUUCUCCACUCCUAAUUACUGAGUGGAAGUUGAGAUUCAAUGAUGCUAUAGUUCCAUAAUAUGACCUAGACAAACAAUCCCCCACCUCCUAAAUACCACUCCUUGGUCAUUAGCAAAAACGCCAAAAGCCCUAGCCUUUUCUUUUCUCUCUCUAAGCGACAUGGGAAACUAGGGAAGCUAUGGCUGCCACCGUCCCUCCCCAGCAUUUGGCUAUGGGAGAGCUUCUCCAAAACCCUACAUACAAACCUACAAACACCAAUACAAACUCUAAUUAUGUUGAUAAGUUAAAUCAAACACAAUCAACUAUUAAUCUUUCACAAACUAGUUUAAUACCUAUUGAAGUUGUUCAUGGAAUCCCAACGUUAAAAAUUACGUUGGAUGAGCGACAUGAUUUCUCCAAAGAGGAGGGACUUCAUCGAGCCAUAGUGGUUAAAUUAUCCAUGGGAUCACCAGAUUUGUCAAUUUUAAGAUCGAUUUUGACUAAGUUUCUCGGCAUUAUGGAACAUUGUCUUGUCGGGUUGCUUGCUCAAAGGAAACUUCUUAUUCGUAUGGAUCAAUAUGAUGAUUUUGUGGAUGCAUUAUCAAGAGGUGUGACUUAUUUCAUGCAGAACGGCAAAAAUCAUAUGAUUAGGAUUUUUCUGUGGACUAUUGGAUUCAACCCUAAGGAGGAGACUUCACGUGCGGCAGUAUGGAUUUUGUUUCCAAACAUGUCGAUGGAUUUGUUUGCUAAGAGGACUUUCCUUUCCAUUGAUUCAGCAUUUGGAAAACCAAUUGUUGUGGACAAGGCCACAGAAGUGAGAUCAAGACCGAGCACGGCUAGGGUUAGAAUCAUCCCUGACUUAAUGGACAAGCAUCCGGAUCGUAUUCAACUUCAAAGUCUGGACAAAGUUACAAGCAGAAUUAUUGUUGAGUUUCAGGAGGUGGUGUCUGAUAAUUUACCUCAAUAUUUCACCCACUAUAAGCACCGGGGUCAUGAUAAAAAGAAGUGUUGAUUUUUAAUUGAAAAAAAAAAGUUGUGCUCUAAAAAGAAAAUGAUACGACAAUGGAAAUUGAGGGAGAUUCGGUUGAAAAAUUGGAAGGAGAUGCACAUGAUUAUCUAAAUAUUUAGAAGAAACAAAAAAAUAGUGUUAACAUGGGGGAUAUCCAGUAGGUCAAGAUUUGGCUAGGGUGUCCGAAAACUUAUAGGAAAGAGCACAGGCUGAAAAAAAAGCUCUUCAAAAUCUGCCUAGUGUUGUGGAUAAAAGUGUCAGGACAUAGAGUUUGAUGGUUUCUAAGAAUGAUAUGGAGUUGAAUAAUACUAGAGAUGAUGUUGGAGAUAAGGUCUAGACAAUGGUUUCUCGCAAACAAUCUGUUACUCCUUAAACUAUCAAAGAACAUAAUGUGGAAAAGAAACAAUGCAUUGCAACAAAGGAUGUUGUGGAUCUUAACACCCUUGAGGAUCUUUUAUAUAAAAAGGAGCACUAAUAUAAUUCGGGCAGUCAUAAAUGUAAAAGUGCACUUUCAGAAGUGACAAAUUUUCUAAUGCAACAACACGUUGCAAGCUUGAUUUGUCCCGUACCUGUCUUGAAGCUGUUGAUGGCUACAUUGGAUGCUUUGGCGUGUGAGAUCCCUUCUCCAUCUAUGGAGUCAAUUGGAGAGAAAUGGGAUGACUUUAGACAUAAAUUAUUAUUCAAGGGAAAUGAACAAGAUGUGGAUGGGGUAGUGGUCUUAACUCCGACGCAUUCAAACAACAAGGUUGAAGCCAAGAGUGACCAAAAAAUAGCCACAUAUAUAAAGAGUUGGGCAGAUAUGGCAGAGGAGGAGAAACAGGCUUCAUCCCCUCCAACGUGUAGCAAGUUGAGUCCAACAAUCUCAGAAUUUGUGCCAAGUUAUGCAAUGGUUCUUCUAUCUUUAGCUGUGGAACAGCUUCUGGCUCAAACAAGUGCACCUUUGAAUGCUAUGGAGAAUCCUACCAAUGGGUUCUAGACCAAGAGGCAUGAGCCAGGAGAUUUGCUAGAAGAUCCAAUGGAAGAGUUUUGAGGGAGAUUUGGGUGUUGACAUAUUUGAUGAAGAAGAUGAGGAUGAAGUAUUGAAUGAAUGCUUUGCUAAAGUGGCUAGGGAUGGAGAUCUUUCACCCAGGAAACAAAGGAAAGGAUUCAAGAAAAAGAAGACUCAUGAAAGAAAACAUAGCUGGGAUGGUAAAGUAUCUGAAGAGGUUAUUCUAAGACAAUUACAAAUGAGAGUGGCAAAGCAGAAGGAAACAAGGUUCAAUUAUAUCAACAAGAUUCAAUAGUCCAAGAAGAAUUGAUGAAAUAUGAAGAUAUUUUAGACUGGUUGGAGGAAGAAGACAAGGUGACGAAUCUGAUCUUUAUAGGGCUACAUCUUCUUCAAGAUUUUUAAUUUUUAAAGAAACGUGGAUCUAACUCCACACUUUUUCUUAUUUGAAUCUUUCACAUCUUAAGUAUUAUCAUUUGUAAUAUCAUAAUAGAGUUGGUUAUUAACUCUGUUAUGACUAUAGAAUAUUUAGUUCUUUCUUCUUCUUAUUUUUUACGUGCAUGUUAAUAAGAAGAGGUCUUGUUAUUCCUCAAUAGGAUUAGGAAGGCAAGGCAUAGCCCCCCUUGCUUGUAAUUUAUAUAUAUAUAUAUAUAUAUAACUCCCCCCGGGCAUCUCACAUAGUGUAUUCUCUAUAACUAGCCCCGAGCAUCUCAUCUAAUGGAUUUGCUAUAAAAAAUGACCUAGAGCAACAAAUGAGAAUACUGAUGGAGUUGUCAAGGUCAAUGGCAGGAAAAAGUGUGCUCCUGGCAGAAUUAUCCCCAGCAUGAUCCUGAUUGUCGGCUUCCCCAUAAGGGGAUGAUGAAGAACAUCCCAAGGAUAGAAUUACUCUGUAACACCCCACAUUUUUUGGCUAGAAUUCCAACCAUUCAUCCAACGUGUGUAGACCUUAACUUAAUGGUUUCUAUUUAUAUGCAAGUUUGAAUAUCAAUUCUUUAGGGUGGGAACAUCUUUGGCGAAGGAUUGAAGUCAUAAAUAUUUCCUAUCUCAAAGUUGAGUUGAGAACUUUCCUACCUAUUGAGUUUUAGUAUUUGAUUUUACUUGGUUCAACCUCCAACGAUCAUUUCUCCUAGAAUAUACCAAGUUAUAUGGCCAACUAUGAUACGAAACGGUAUCUGAAAGAGCACGAAACAGUCCAUAAUCACACAAAUAGUCCACACGCACAAGACACUUAACGGAAACAACAAACACCAACUUAAAUGAUAGAAAAGAUAUGUAACUUAACGCAAGGAGAACUCAUAAUGCAGGAACUAAAGAGUGUAUUAAUACUCUAAAACCUCUACAAUAAAAGUUAACUAUCACCACGUUCUUACGGAACACAAGAGGAGCUCGGUUCUCUCAAGCACUGUCGUUUCUAGCCGAUACACACAACACAAGAAGAAACCAUUUCUUGUGGUGUCAAAUGGUGGUCUACUCUCUUCUUGAGAGGAAUAUGAUGUUCAAUAUUAGAAGUGGUUCUUAAGAAUAAGCUAACUAAAGAGAACAAGACUAAAGAAACACCUUAAAUAGUCUUUACAAAAAGGAUGGCAAAAGGACCCCUUUGCCCUUAAUGAAAAGGGAAGUUGUGGAGUGUUUGAGGAAGCCUUGGGGUGUAUUUUGGGCCACUAAUGUCAUCCCCCAUAUGUCAAUGCGCACACUCCCUAGGAAGAGUUUGGAACAAGCUCAAAUGCGUUAAUUUUCAUAAACACGCCUUGAAGCCUUUGUAGUUCCCGAGCUUGACUUCAUCUUGAGAGGAGUUUGACCUCAAACUCACGGUUUCUUCAUCUUCAAUGGUAUCAAUCCGUGAGAGUUCACACACGUUGAACGUGUUAUUCACUUGGUAUUCCGGUGGCAAGUCUAUCUUGUAAGCAUUAUCGUUGAUUCAUUCAAGAACUUGGAAUGGACCGUCACCUCUUGGCAGCAACUUGCCCUUUCUUUCGUUGGGGAACUGGUCCUUAUCCUUGAGUGCUUAAGAAUGAGUCUACUCUUGAGUUAGAAUGGAUUUUGUUUUUGAAGACUCAAGGAAGUUUCCUACGAAGUUGAACCAAGAACAACUACGAAUGGUAAACGAGCAAAGCACCACAAAGAACGUUGACACGAAGACGUACUCAAAAACUAGUUCACAACUUAGUAGGUUUUUACUUAGUUGCCAACUAGUGUAGGAUUCAAUAGAAAGAAAACGAAUAGAGACAAGGAAAGAAACUUGGAAGGUCCUAUGACUUGAGUUUUGUUGUUGAUGUGGCCCACAAUUUUAUUUUGGCCGUUUGGUGCUGUUGUUUUGUUGAAGUUUGAUGUUGUCCAACUUGAAUGAUUCAAUUUCUUUUGUUUGGUGAGGAUUUUUCGAUUUUUGGAGUGAAAGAUAAGGCCUUGGAGUUUUUCCAAAGGCCAAAAUAAAGGUGUCAAUAAAGUUUUCACCAACUUGCACCAAAAUGGCAAAACACCUUUUUUCUUAGGCUUUGUCCCUUCCAGCUUUUGGUUCUCUUUGAAAAAAGGCUUGACACUCUUUUGGUAAGUAAGAUUUUGGGCAGUACUUUGGUUACUUGCCUCUUUGGAGUUGUCUUGAAACUGAUUCCAAGACAAACACAAGACUUUGCUUCUCUUUUCCUUUUUAUCAAAUCAAACAAGCCUUUGAUCCAACAUUCAUCUCAAGAACAAUAUGAACAACAACAAGAACACUUAUGAACAACAACAAUAGCUAAUCCAUCCAACCGCUCAACAACAACUAAACAAACUCUCAAAUAUUGAACCUUAGACUCAAGUGUGCUAGGGAAAUAACAAGCUAACACACGAAACUACUAAUACAAGCAAAAUAACACCUAAAUCUAGACACUUCUCGGCCAAACACUAGUCACCAGAUAACAUCCUCUUUUAUUUUUUAUUUUUUUGAUUUUCAACUACAAGAGCCCAAGAUUGGUGGUGUAAGAACGUGACCAGCCUUUGCUCUGAUACCAAAUGGUAUCUAAAAGAGCACGAAACAGUUCGCAAUCACACAAACAGUCCACAUGCACAAGACACUUAAACGAAACAACAAACACCAACUUAAACGAUAGAGAAGAUAUGUAACUUGACGCCAUGAGAAAUCAUAAUGCAGAAACUAAAGAGUGUCUUAAUACUCUAAAACCUCUACAAAACAAUUUAACAAGCACCACGUUCUUACGGAACACAAUAGGAGCUCGGUUCCCUCAAGCACUCUCGUUUCUAGGCGAUACGAACAACACAAGAAGAAGCCAUUUCAUGUGAUAUAAAAUGGUGGUGUACUCUCUUCUUGAUAGGAAGAUGAUGUUCAAUAUUACAAGUGAUUUUUAAGGAUAAGUUAACUAAAGAGAACAAGACUAAAGAAACACCUUAAAUAGUCAUUACAAAAAGGAUGGCAAAAGGACCCCUUUACCGUUAAAGAAUGGGGAGGGAGUGGAGUGUUUGGGGAAGACUUGGGAUGUGUUUUGGGACCCUAAUUCCAUCCCCCACAUGUCAAUACGCACACUCCCUUGGACGAGUUUUCAGCAAGCUCAACCGCGUCCAUUUUCAUAAACACACCUUGAAGCCUUUGUUGUUCCCUAGCUUGACUUCUAGUAAAUGGUCUCAAGACCAUGACACCCGUAUCAUACUAUAUAUCAAAUUAAAUCCCUUCGACUCUUCUUUCCAAUGCCACUUACCAUUAGUAAAUCUGAGUUUGGAGUAAAAACUUGUGGGCAUUUUAGUGAGACACUGUUCAAGCUGCGCGAUGGCCGCGCAACGAAAUGUUUAUGCCACGCGAUUGGGAAUGAAAAUUGUCAUUAACUUAUAUAUAAUCGGACACGAAGUGUUUGAGCAAAACACAAGUAUCUAGACGUUAAAAAGAAAUCCAUUUUCUGUGCAAUUCUCCAAAUUCUUGUUCCUUUUUUCUUUCCGUGACCAUUUAAAGUUUACCAAAUAUACCUUGUGAUAAUGGGAAUCCUAAGGAGGUCUUCAACAUCAGGAGGUGUUCCAAAAGGUUAUUGUGUGGUAUACGUAGGAGACAAUCAAAUGAAGAGAGUUGUCGUUCCAGUAUCAUACUUAAAACCAACAGUCACUUCAAAACUUGUUAGCUCAAGCUGAAGAAGAGUUUGGCUUUGAUCAUCCAAUCGGCGGUCUUAGAGUACAUUGCAAAGAGGAUGUAUUUAUUGAUGUAACUUUCCGCUCGAGGAGAUUAUAAGUAGGACCAUGGUGCAAAUUCUUCUGCCCAUGAAAUUUUGUACAGCUAUAGGAUUAGAAACGUGAAAGAUGAGAUAUAGUAAAUAGGUCAUUUUGAUAUGAGUUGGACUUGACAAAAAAAGAAAACAAUUCCUUGUUUUUUCUCAACCAUUUUGUAUAGACAAAGUAAAGAAGGAUUAUCUGCUAGUAAAGAUAUAGCAAAUAAUGAUUUAAGCAAUUUUUUUCCAGUAACUUGAAUAGCAGACUGAAACCUUUUAUCAUUUCAUGUUUCCUGAUUCAGUAAUCAGUUGAUAUUUUGCCAGCUACACUGAUGGCUUUAAUGAUACCAGCAAUUAAGUAAAAUGAUCACUACUUACUGCUCUUCGACCCUUCUUUGUGUGACUAUACAUUAGAAUUCCUAAUUCUACAAGCUCCAAAUCUCCAGAUACAAAUUAUAUUUGAACAUGCAUCUGUGCAGGUAAACUCCUUAUCAUGUCUAAUAGAAGCGAAAAAGAACUUUGAAAUCACAUGAUUGUGAGAUUAGCUUAGUUUCUUCACCUUAAUAUAUGGAACUAGGGAAUUGCAGAAUUUGAUACUUUCUUUUGCAUAUUCUUCCUUCGUAAUUUCUAAAUUUGAGUUACCACUGAUUCUAGAAGAGAGCAACAAAAAGGUAUUUUGCUCUAUAAAUAUACCAAAUUCUGUUUCCUUGACCAAAUACACCAUAGUAAAGGCUCUCCAUAACUGGUUUAAACUUAACGCUACUUUACUCUUCAUUCCACUCUUCAUUCUACUAAGCAUAUUGUACACAAUGGUGUUUUCACUCUAUAUAAAUGCACUACUGAAAAUCUUUAUGAUUCAUUAUAAUUUGCUAAACCACUUUAUUUUAACAGCUGGUUCAUCAUGAUAUGUGACUUGUUUACAUCCGAGUCGUAAGCUAAUUGAACAAAAUACUUGUCAAUAUCUUGAUAUAUUUGUGACUAUGCUGAGUCUAUCGAAAAUAGCAUCUCUAUGGGAGUUAUGGCUUGUUAGUACACACUAUAAGCAUGUGUUGUUAGUUAGUUAGAGUUUAUUUUGAAGUGACAACCUUCACUUGUAGCACCCCGUAUUUUUGGGCUAGAGUUUAGACCUCCGUUCCUACGUAUAUAGACCCGAACUGAAUUAUUCUUGUAACGCCCCGCAUUUCAGUCUACAGUAUAGACCAUGAUUUUGAUGCGUUUAUAAUCCAAGCCACAAAUCCUAUGCCAAUAUGGUAUUUUAAUUAUUUGUGUAGUAUGUGAAUCCAUUCAACAUUGAAUUUAGACCAUAGAGGUCCUUCAACUCAAGGACGAGUUGAAACUAUUUCGAUCGAUUAAGUUUUAGGGGACGUUGUAAUUUGUGUAAGCUUCCAUUGACUAUAACUCUCUAUAUAUGUCGAAUUAGAGAGCCUACCAUGUGUCAAAUGAUAGGUCUUCGAGUUAGCUUUCCAACGAUACCAAUUUUGCUAAAUUCCGGCACCCGAACAAGAAGUUAUGGCCUUUCAAUGUAGUAGCCGGUGCCUAUGUAAACAUAAGUGAUAGCAUAGGUGGCACCUAUGUAAACAUAGGUGAUAGCAUAGGCAGUGCCUAUGUAAAGGUUUCAAGUGACUUAAACACUCCGUUUUUGGGGCAAAAUGGUCCUUUUCCACCCCUAUAUAUACCACCAACAUGAGAUUUAAUCCCUGAAACACCAAAAUAUUAUCAUAUUCAUCAAAUUAUCUCAAGAACACUCCUUAGGGUUUCAAAAUAAAAACCCAAUUAACUCAAGAACACUCCUUAGAUUGAAACCAAUUACAUAUUUGGAAUCCCCAGAACGUAGGCAUCUGGAUGAACCUAUAAUAUUCACAUAUAGAGGUACGUGGGGUUAUCCAAAAUUCUCAUGUGUAUUUAAAUUCAUAUUUUACAAAUGAGGUUUUGAAACUAUGAAUAUAAUUAUAUUUUGAACGUUUCUAUAAUAUUGAAUUUGGUCUUUAGUCCUACUUCCGAACGAUUUGACAUAUUAUAUAUGUAUAUGCGUGUGUUUCGAAAAGGUGAUAUUUUGAGAGCACGAAUUAUAUGAAAUCCCUCUCUUGAUGUGAAUUUGUUUUGAAUGUGCAUAUGAUGUAAAUUGUUUGAAAACAUCUUGAAAAGCAUGAAAUGAAAUAUUUUAAGAAUUUAUAUGAUUUUUACUUGAAAGAGAGAGGGAUAUUUAUGUUGAAACAUAUUGAAUACAAUGGUUGAAUAUGAAGAAAAAUGUGAUAUCAAUGGCUUGCAAGUCCCGUGUUUGCCGACACGAGAAUUUUGUACCAGGAUAAGUGAUCUUGAGUACUUGACUUUAUGUCAUUCCCAAAUUGAGAUUAUAGGUAGGAGCCCGGGCUAAGUGAUCUUGGGCACUACCAUUUGGUCGAGACGGCAUGCUAUGUAAUCUUGUGUGUCUUUCCCUCACGUAUAAUCUAAUCUCGGCGGCAACCGAGGUUUGACAGAUUGUGUAAAUUAUGUAGGGCAUUCCACCUAGCAAUGUUGUAUUUCAUUGUUAUUGAAAACAAUUACAUUAUAUCCAUGUGUUUUCAAAUGAUUUGAUAUGAACCUGCUUUAUAAUGGAUAUCACCUAUAUUGUGUAAAAAUAUUAUACUUCUAUUUUGAUUUCUCUGCGUACUAGUACUUUUGUAUUAACCCCCUUCCCUCCCAGGUUGAGAGGCACAGUCUAGGGGUACAGAUAACCAGUAAAUUUCUUUCAACAAAUCGUAGAAUCAAGUGGUGAGCCUUCUAUAUUUCAGAUGGCCUGACGUUUGCUAUUUCAUUUAUCAUUUAUUAGUUUUGGGUUUACUGGAGGCCUUGUCCCAGUUUUCAGAUAGACAUUGUUUCAGUCAUGUAGUAGAGAUUUUGCAGACGGUUUUAGAGAUGUUGAUUUAUAUUAUGGGAUGUUAUUCCCCAUUUUCAUUUUCAUAUGAUUCUUGACCAUGUUUCUAUUAUAUUAUGUAUCUUCCACAUUUCUUUUGUCAUGAAUUAUCUGCAUGAUUAUCAGACAGAUAGGGCUGUUUUGGGCCUUCAUGGUUCAGAAUACUCGUCACGGCCAGGGCCUUGGUUCGGGUCAUGACAAACAUGGUAUCAAAGAACGGUUCAUGGUCGCAGGGUAUUUGUAAAAUCACAUCAAGUAGAGUCUUGUUUAUGGGUGUGCAGCGUGCCACACUUAUAAGGAAGAGGCUACUACGCGUUUAGAAAUGUCUCUUUCUUCAUGUUCUAGUUCGUGCAAUAGAGUCAGAAUACUCCCCUUUCAUACUGUAAUUCAUGCUAUGGUAUCGCCCAUAUGAAAGUAAAGUUAUUCCAAAUUUUUUCCUUACUCUGAUGUUCUUAGUCAUAUCCCAUUAUUGGGCUCAUUCAAGUGCAAAAAGUUUAGAAUAUACAUGAUAUAGUCCUUUCCGAUUGAGUCCUAUAAGAUUUUAAAAAUUGUGCAAAGACUCGUGUUGACUCUGAUGUAAAUAUUGAUCCUGAUGGAAUCGUGCAUUCCAGCUUAAGGUAUUAACCGUAUCUUGUCCCUCUCAAAAUCUUGUUACAGAUGUGGAAAAAGUAUAGCAGAAUGUUGGAACUGUAUUUCUACCUGAAUAGUAGCAUAAGUUAAAGUGUUGUUAUGAUGACCUAUUGGUAGUGAUAUUGGAUCAAGAAGUUGGUGAUGUAAAGUCACAAUGUUAGAAGUCAGAGUGAGGGUGAUUUUGUGUAAAUGAAUAUUUCAGUUGAAUAAACGAUGUUUGAGGAUGAUUUAACCCUUUAUAGUGAUAAACCAAUGUAGUAGCUAGUAGCGUGUGUGGAUGGUAUGGUAGUCCAUGGAGGAAGUAUUUUACUUAGAUUUAUAUUUAUACAGAAUAAUAUCUAUAUUCUUAGACCAUUAAAUAUUAUGUGUCAAUUUUCUAUCCCUUGUAAUAUGUAAUCUUGUUAUCAUGGUGUUUUUGAAAAAAUAAUAAUUUAAAGUCUAGUGAAGCCGUGUAGGGCUCUUUCGAUUCACUAGCAUCGUUGACUUGUCAUUCAUCCCAUUUUUUUGUUCAAAAAAAUAUCAAAGUUUAGUGAAGCCGUAUGAGGCCUAUUUCGAUUCACUAGCAAUUUGUCGUUCAACGUGUUGUUCUUGUGUUGGUUGAAUAUAUGUAUCGCUGAAUCUUUUUGCAUGAGAUAGAGUUGGUAAUGAAGUGAUUCGUCCUUGUGUGUUAUUAGUAGAAGGUAGAGAAGGAGUUUUUGGUCAGGGUGAUUUGUUGGUCACUUGAAUGUGCUAUAUUAGCAAGUAAGUUAUGAUUAUAGACUCAUGGUUGCUUAAGGAAUUUGAAGGUAGUGUAAAUGUACGCUUGGGGUAAGUAAUUGUGAUUUGAGAAAGCAGUAUAAGUAGAUAUGAUUGUACGGGGUUAUAAUAUAAGGAUACGGUUGACCAUGUCUAUUAGGAGGCUUUAAGCCCCUUGACCUUCUUUUAUUGGUAGUUGUAAACUAGUACUACUUAUGAGAAGGUAUGGAGCUGAUUUUUAAGUAUUUGGGAUAGAAUGUUCCAAUUUGAAGGAUUAGUAUUUUAUGUUGCCCUGGUCAUUAGUGGUAGAUGAUUGAUGUUAGAUCAUUGGAUUGAAUCUAAUGUAGGAUGUGGUGAUAAAUAGUGGCAAGAGUUUAAUGAUGCAUGUUUUGUGGGAUUAGGUUAGUAGGCUUGAGGUGCUAAAAUAGUACAUGCUAAUGAAUUAUGAUCCGGGAAAACCGUUAGGUCAUGAUCGAUUAUUGUGGUUAUGAAGUUCUAGUGCACUAGUGUUUUGUGAUAUUUAUUUACAGUUUCCAAGUGAAAAUUUUGUGUAAGGUUGUGUUGUAAAUCAUACAUAGCACUAGAUAUUAAGGUUUAAUAGUUGAUGUCCAUGAAGGUGGAUGUGAUGAUUUCUUGCUUAAUGAUACUAGUUAUAUGGUAAUGGAAGUGAUCUAAUAGGCUUGAACGGUGUAUGAAAUUGCUUAAGUUUAAGUUGAUUCGUAAUGAAGUAUAAUGUUGUAGGUAUGGUGGGUAAAUAUGCCCAAGGCGAUAUGGAGUUGUGGCAUUUCACUAAGACUAUUACAUGUUGCGUGUGACUACUGGUACCGUUGAGUUACUAGUUGGAAAAAACUAGUUAGAUGGUAUAUGGUGUUCUAGAUAGCUAUGUUAAGGAGCCUUGAUGGAUAGUGUAGAGCCUUUUUAUGUGAUCUUGAUUCUCAUAGUAGAGGGAUAUAAAUUUGGAGUCGCAAUAGUGGUGGGUUGUGUCAAAAGUGAUAUGGUUCAUCAAAGGCUUUGUGAUAUCCAUGUUAAGAGUUAGAAUCUAAGUUUGAGUUCUGAAGGUUGAACCGAUAAAAAUAAGUGUGCAAGCAUUAUACUAUGACUAUUAGUGGCUAUGGAAAGAUAGAGUGCAUCCCAGAAGGUAGUCAUUCGGGUUAAGUUCUAUGAUAUUCAUGCAUUGUCAUUUUUUUCAGGCCCUAGAGUGCAGUAAGUGUAGUUCAGUUAAAAUCUGGUAAAGGAUCUCCCAAACUCUAGAUAAUGACGUGAAACUGAGGGGGAGAUGAUAGAAUGAAUGACCAAGUAAGGCUCUCAGAUUCUAGUAGUGAUGUAGUAUGAUUUAGAACAUCAGAAAGUGAGGGUGGAUGUCAACCAAUUCCUACCUCAGUAUUUUUCUUAGUUAUCCGGAUGCUUACUCAUGCCUUACGAUUCAAUUCCGUGAUCAUAGUUCAUGAUUCCGGUAUAUGAUAGAGAGUCAAAUACUCUUCUAGUUCCAAGAUAAUGAGUUCUAGUUCAUUCAAGUAGUCGGAAUCACAUUCCUUAUGUUAUGAACUCUAGUUAAGGCCAUGCAACUCUUGACGUAUGUACUCACUCUUUAUAGUGUGCUCUGUCCCGUAUAAAGAUUUUUCACGCUUGAGGGUCAUAUGUUUUAUACUUUUAGUGACCAUUCCUAUGCAAUGAUAGUGGUGAUGAUAUAAAUGUUCUUGUUUGUAGAAGAUCAUAGUAUGCUUGUUUAGAUAAGGCCAUAAGAAUGAAGUAAGAUUCAGGGUCAAGUUUUUGAUACAUGUGAUGGUUAGUGAAAAAGUUUAUGUGCGUAUGUCUAAGGGUAGCGCGUGGGAGUUAUAUCGACAAUAGUUUACAAACUAUGCAUUAGCGACCUCAUAUUAAGAGUUCAGAGUAGUCAUUGAAGUGGUAAGGCAUGUUAUACUUAGGAUGUGAUCUUUAAAGGAGAUAUAGAAGGUGGCAUCAUAUGGUUUAGAAUAAUAGUGUGGUCUGGCAUGUUGUAUAUGUUUAUUUUUUUUUGUUACUUAGAGUUAGGCUUGUUCACGGCGAAUAGAUUAGGUUAUUUCCGACAUUAGUAGAAAGAUUUGUCAAUGCUCAUAUGAGAAUUUUAAGCUGAGUUGAAUGAAUAUGAUAUUUAUAGGGAAUAGUAUAGUUAAGGGAUAUUCAGGAAGUGCUCUAAGACUGAAAGUAAGAAGUUGUAUUGCCAAAGGUCUGAAAAUUCUAUCCUAAUUUAAGAGUUAUAUGUCUAUAUUCCAGACUACAGAGUGGUUUCAUUGUGGUGAUUCCUUAGUGGGUGUCUUGUGUAAUCAUACCCAUGAUUUAUGGCUCCCUAUUACUUCUAGAACUUCCUUAGAGAGAGUGUUAAAGAGAAUACUCCAGUUAAGUAUCUGUAUAGUCAGUAAGUCAGUUUAGCAAGCAGAUUCGCAUGGCUUGUUUUCUCGUCUUUUCAUUUAUUCAUGCUACCCGAAAUAUCAGACAUGCUACUAUUCCAAGAUAGAGUAUACUAGUAAUUACGAGUAUAGAUUAGUUCAUGCAUCAUGAAUUAGAUUUAGAUUCAAGGGGUUAAGUUAUGAUUCAAUUCGUAGGUGCCCUGUACAUCGCCUCAGUUUCCCAAAUUGUGCAUUGCCUCACUAUGAUUCAAUUCAUAGUGAAUGCAUACCCCAUUCAGCCAUAUGCAUAGAGUCUUAUUACAAGCUUCGCACUAGAUAUCAUUAAGUAUUUAGUCAUAUGUCAUACGUCAGUUCAGUCAGAUAUGCAUGUAUUAGAAAUGCAUGUUCAAUAGAAAAGUCAGCUUAUUAGUGUAUUCAGUCCUGCGUUCAUGAGAAAAACUGAGUAACAAAUCCAUGCAUCAAAUAUGCAUGAUUCAUUAUGAGAAUUCAGCCUACGAGUCGCUUAAGUUGUGUAUUCCAUGCAUCAGACAUGCACGUCUAGUAUAAGAAUUUGGAACAUCAGUAGUUCCAGUCUUAUAGUCAUGUUUUCAGAUCAGUGUAUUCUUUCUUAGAGAAACAUAUCAUGUCCGCAUUAUUCCAUACCUCUAAUUUUCAAUAUGUUCCUACCCAUCAUUCGAGGACGAAUGAUUCAAAGGGGGAGAUAAUGUAACACCCCAUAUUUUUGGUCUACAGUUUAGACCGUCGUUCCUACAUAUUAGACCCGAACUUAAUUAUUCUUUUAAUGCCCCGCAUUUCGGGGUACAAUAUUGACAAUGAUUUCGAUGUGUUGAUAGUACUGAAGUCAUAAAUCCAAUGCCAAUAUGGCAUGUUAUUUAUUUGCAUAGUAUGUGAAUCCAUUCAAGCUUGAAUUUAGACCAUAGAGGUCCUUCAACUCAAGGACGAGUUGAAACUAUUUCGAUCGAUUAAGUUUUAGUGGACGUUGUAAUGUUUGUCAGUUUCCAUUGACCCUAACUCUCUGUAUAUGUCAAAUUAGAGAGCGUACUAUGUGUCAAAUGAUAGGUCUUCAAGUUAGCUUUCCAACGAUACUGAAUUUGCUAAAAUCCGGAACCCGAGCAAGAAGUUAUGGCCAUUCAAAGUAGUAGGCGGCGCCUAUGUAAACAUAGGUGAUAGCAUAGGCGGCGCCUAUGUAAACAUAGGCAAUAGCAUAGGUGGUGCCUAUGUAAACAUAGGUGAUAGCAUAGGCAGCGCCUAUGUAAAGGUUUCAAGUGACUUAAACACUCCGUUUUGGGGCUAAAAUGGUCCUUUUCCUCCCCUAUAUAUACCACCAACAUGGGAUUUAAUCCCUCAAACACCAAAAUAUUAUCAUAUUCAUCAAAUUAUUGCAAGAACACUCCUUAGGGUUUCAAAAUAAAAACCCAAUUAACUAAAGAUUUAGCCGUGGGUUUUUGAAACCAAUUAGAUAUUUGGAAUCCGCCGGACGUAGGCAUCAAGAAGCACGUAUCAUAUUCGCAUAUAGAGGUACGUGGGGUUAUCCAAAAAUUUCAUGGGUCUUUAAAUUAAUGUUUUACAAAUGGGGUUUUGAAACUAUGAAUAUAGUUAUGUUUUGAAAAUUUCGAUAAUAUUGAAUUUGGUCUUUAGGCCUACUUCCGAACGAUUUGACAUAUUAUAUAUGUAUAUGUGUGUGUUUCGAAAAGGUGAUAUUUUGAGACCAUGAAUUAUAUGAAAUACCUCUGUUGAUGUGAAUUUGUUUUGAAUGUGCAUAUGAUGUAAAUUGGUUGAAAACAUCUUCAAAAGCAUGACAUAAAAUGUUUUGAGAAUCGAUAUUAUUUUGACUUGAAAACAAGAGGGUUAUUUGUGUUGAAACAUAUUGAAUGAGAAAAAUAAUGUGAUAUCGAUGGCUUGCAAGUCGGGUAUGAUGAUACCCUACAGCAUUUAGUAUGUGAUUGAAUUUGAUGAAAUUUGAAUGCAUUGAUUUUACAUGAGAUAGGUGGAUGCCCGAAGAAGGCAUUUGAGUGUCAGGGCUCAUCGCUAGAAAGUGUGUUUUCCGACAUAGGAAUUUGGUACCAGGCCAAGUGACACGUUACGUCAUUCCCAAAAUAGGAUUAUAGGCAGGAGCCUGGGCUAAGUGAUCUUGGGCAGUACUUUUGGGUCGAGACACCAUGCCGUGUGAUCUUAUGUGUCUUCCCCUCACGUAUACUCUAAUCUCGGCGGCAACCAAGGUUUGACAGUUGGUUUAAAUUAUGUAGGGUAUUCCACCUAGCUCAGCUGCAUUUCAUUGUUAGUGAAAACAAUAACAUUAUGCCCAUGUAUUUUUAAAUGAUUUGAUAUGAAACAUCUUUAUAAUGGCUCUCAUCUAUAUUAUGUAAAAAUAUUAUACUUCUGUUUUGAUUUCUCUGCGUACCAGUACUUUUGUAUUGACCCCCUUCCUUCUCAAGUUCGGAGGCACAGUCUAGGGGUCCAGAUAACUAGUAAAUUUCUUCUGACAGAUCACAAAAUCAAAUGGUGAGCCUUCUAUAUUUUGGAAGGCCUAAUGUCUGCUAUUUCAUUUAUCAUUUAUUCGUUGUCAUGCCAUUUAUUUUGUAAAUGCAUCAGCUAUUUGAAGAUCAUUGGAAACGUGCGGAAGAGUAAUAACACCUUUAUCUACAACUUCUUGUAUAUAAUGGCAGUCUACUUCGAUGUAUUUGGUCCCCUCAUGAUAAACCGGAUUAGUAGCAAUCUAAAUAGCACUUGUAUUUUCAGCAUGGAGAGGAGUAGGAUUAGUUUGAGGAAAUACAGUCUCAAAAAGUAGUCCACGAAGCCACACAAUCUCGGAGAAAGUAGUAGACAUUGCUCAAUAUUCAGCCUUAGUUGAAGAUUUUGACACGCGGUCUUGCUUGUUACUUUUUCAAGAUAUUAAAGACUCUCCAAGAAACAUGCACCAACCAUUAACUAUUAAAGACUCUCCAAGAAACAUGCACAAACCAGUAACCGAACAGUAAGUGUCAGAAUAUCUCGCCCAAUCAGAAUCACUAAAAGCAUUAAGACGAAUAGGCAAACCACUAAGAAAGAAUAAUCCACGAUUAGAUAUUCCUCGGAAAUAUCAAAUGAUGAAAUGGACAGCCACAAAUAAAAAUGAAGGGGCGCUUACGUGAACUGACUAACUUGUUGAACUGCAAAAGAGAUAUGAAGCCUGGUAAUAGUAAGGUAAUUUAUGCUCCCAACUAAUUGUCAAAAUAUAGUAGGAUUAGGUAGAAGAUCGCCUUCUUACCGGUGAUACUUUACAUUCAAUUCUAAUGGAGUAUCCACAAAGGAGGAAUCCUGAAGACCUGCCAAAGAAAUCAAAUCUUGGGUAUAUUUGUGUUGAUUUAGAAACACACCGGAUGAAUCACGAUGAACUUCCAAACCCUAGAAAUAUGUAAGAGUACCAAGAUCUUUCAUAUGAAAAGAAUCCUUAAUUUGCUGUGUGGGCUAGUGAUUAGUGAAGAAUCAAUUCUUGUAAUAAUAAUGUCAUCGACAUAUACGAAAAGAAGAACACAAUCUGUGGAUGUUUUACGAAGAAACAAAGAUAAGUCAUAGUUGCUCUGCACAAAAGAGAAUUGUUGCAAAGUAGACCGAAAUUUGUAAAACCAAGCUCUGGGAGAUUGUUUUAAUCCAUACAAAGACCACUUCAACUUGCAUGCAUCUGAUGUAGGCAAUGAGAAAAAAACGGGUGGAGGUUUCAUAAAAAUGUCCUCUUUGAGAUCACCAUGAAGAAAAACAUUUUUGACUUCCAUUUGAUGACGAGUCUAGUUUUGUGAAGCAGCAAUGGCAACAAUAGUUCUCACCGUCGUCAUUUUUUCUACUGAUGCAAAAGUCUCUUCAUAGUUCACACCAUCCUCCUACUUGUUACCAAGAACAACCAACCGAGCUUUGUGCCGAUAAGAUUUCCAUCAGAAUGAAAUUUAAUUUAAUAAAACCAUUUACAUCCAAUUGGAUGUAUAUUUGAAGGACAUGAAACAAUAUCCCAUGUGUCAUUUUCAUUGAGAGCCAAAAGUUCUUCCUCCAUUGCCUUCUACCAACACUCAUGCUUAGUUGUGAGUAACAAGUUGGAAUAGAAAUGGAGGAUAAAGUAUAUGAAAAGCCAUACCAAUUAGGAGUAUGAGAUACUCUCAUAGAUCGUCGAGUGGGCUCAUGAGGAGCAGGCCUUGAAGAAUUUUCAGAUUCUAGUUGUGGAGCAGUUUUAAGUGGCGGAUCAAUAUCAGGUGGGGGUAUAGUUCGCCGCCGACGUACGCACACAAAUCCAGGUUUGAACCUCUUAGAAGUAGAUGACAAAUCUUCAAAAUUAGGAAGAAAAAAAGAAGCAGGAGAUGACUCAACAUGAGUAAGAAAAAAAUAUUGAUUCUCGAAGAAAACAACAUUUCUAGAAACAUGAAAUUUAUUAGAACAUGGAUCAUAACGGAGAAAACCUUUCUGUGAAGUAUUAUAACCCAUAAAAACACAUUUACUAGACCGAACAGAAAGUUUAUUAUGCUGAGAAUGAAGAAGAUGCACAAAACAAAUACAACCAAAUGUAUUGAAGUUAUCAUAGCUUUGAUUUUUGUGAUAAAGACAAAAAUAUGGAGACUCAAGAUUUAACACUUUAGAUGGCAGCCUGUUAAUUAAAUAGACAGCAGUAGACCAAUCUUAAACCCAAUAUUUAGAUGGGACAGAGGACUCAAUCAAUAAAGUACGAGUGACAUCUAAAAGAUGAUGAUUUUUUCGCUCAGCGACCCCAUUUUGGUGUGGUGUAUAUGGACAAGAGCGUUGUGAGACAAUUCAUUUGUCAAGAAAUUUUUUUUUGAAUUCAUUUGACAUAUAUUCUCCACCAGAAUCAGAUCUUAAUAAUUUGAUACAAGUAGAAAAUUGAGUCUCAAUGUAAACCAAAUAUAUCUCGAAUAUGGAAAAUACUUCAGAUUUUGUACGAAGAAAAUACACCCACGUAAAUAGACUAUAAUCAUCUAUGAAUGUCACAAAGUACUUGAACUAAGCAUGAUAACCAAGUGGUGAAAUACCCCAAACAUCACUAUGAAUAACAUGAAAACACUUUGUAGCACGACUACCCAAAUAAGGAAAAGGAAGAAUUUUACUUUUGCCCAAUUAACAAGUAGAAUAUUCAAAUGAAGCAGGGGGAAAUUGAUUUUUACUUCCUAAUAAACUAGAAUUUGAUAACUGAGAUAACAAAACAAAAUUUAGAUGUCCUAGAUGCUUAUCCCAAAGCUCAAUCUUAUUAGUCGUAGAAGUAGAAGCAAAAGAUUUAAGAAGGGGAAUGAAAAAUUGUAUAGGAAACAAUCUUCCAACUUUAGGCCCCUUCGCGAUUAUCGUCCCUGACAAUUUUUCCUGCACAAGACAACAAUUAUGAGAAAAUUUACAUCACGAUUGUCAUCAACCAAUUGUCCAACUGAAAUAAGACUAGUUGAUAGCUUCGGUGAAAUAAAAAUAUUCUUGAAAGUUGGAGCAAUAUCCCCAACCUUGGUAAUGGGUAAAUUACUACAAUUAGCAACCUAUAUUUGUGGUGAACCGUGAUACUUACGAACAUUUUUUAGCAUGCUUGUUUAGUUGGUCAUAUGAUUGGAAGCACCAGAAACAACAAUCCAAAAAUUCAACUCAACAUCAAUACCUUGUAAUCCCAAUGCUGAAAUGGCUAAUACGAUCAUUUGUUGUACCAUUUCAAGAGUAAGAACUUGUCCUGAAGGUCCUGAAGAUGAGUUCUGAAGAGUGGAACCAUUUAUUGCUACAUGAAAAUUAUUUACCUUACGAUUCUGAGGGCAUGUGGGACACUCUUUGAUAAUGUGUCCUUGUUGUUUACAAUAGUUAAAGAACUUCUUGCCACAGUUUCUAGCAAUAUGGCCAUAUUCCUUGCAAUUGUUGCAUUGAGUUCUAUUCAUAUCCCUACUCAUACCUUUACCUUGAGAAGCAAAUGCAACAGCGACAUCAUUUCCUCUUUUGAAAGUAGUUUGUGUGACAUAAGUUGCUCUUCAUAAGUUUAUUCCCUAAAAAACAUCCAGGGAGGGAGACUGGUCACAAUUCAUCAAGUUAGAGCAAACACUCUCAAACUCAGAGCCUAACUUCAUCAAAAAUUGAUGUCACUUGCCAUACUCAUGAUCUUGCUGAAUUACAGAGAGAGAUUCAGAAGGUAUUUUGGUAUAAACAAUACCUAUAUAUUCAGCCCAUAAUUUCUGAAAUCUAGAAUAAUAAUCCUGAAUAGAAAGACUUCCUUGAAAGUAAUUAGCAAUUUCAUACUCUAAGUGAAAGCGCCGGGCACUAUUAUCUUGGUUGUAAACCUUUUGUAAAUAAUCCUACAUGGCCUUAGCUAUCUUGUAAGGCCUGAGAUUAAAAACAAUAAGAGAGUCAAUUGACCCUACAAGCCAUGUCAUCAGCCGAGCAUUUUUAAUCUUCCAUUCACCUAACUUUGUAGGAUCAGUAGAAGUAGGAUAGGCUCUAUAUAUAUGGUCCCAUAGUUGUUUUCCGAUGACAAAUAACUGAAACUGAAACUCCCAUGAAGAAAAAUUCUUUCCAAUAAAACGAACACUGAAUGAUUCAAACUAAUAUGAACUCAUAAUUAUGAAAACUAGAAACACUAACUCAAAAAGAACAACCAAAUUGACCAAUAUCAAAGUCCUAGGUGUUAAUUAUCGAGGAACAAUCGACAAAACCAAAAUUUUCAAAAUAAAUUUUUAAAGAAAGCACAAAUGAACUCUAUGAAACAAGACAGCCAAGAGAAGGCUCUGAUACCAUGUUAAUUUUUUGCUUAAUGCCUCUUACUAUUGAGAGUCUUGCCAUUAAAUAGAAAAUAUUCAAUGAUUACAUCCCUAAAUAUCUGUCUUCCUAUCCCUAAAGAUCAGAUUUUUUAUCCCUCUAAUUCUGCUAUUUUAUCCCACCAAAUCUGCUCCUAUUAAAGUCACUAUUAUUCUCUUUAGCAAGUAAAUCAAAUAUAUGUAAUUACACUAAUAUACAAGAAUAUAUGAUUACAUUAAAAUAAAAUAUUUACAUCAUGCUAACAGUAGCAGCUCAUUUUACCAAAACUAAUUCUUCUAGAUUCUUCUUUUCCCUCAGUGUUCUUAGCUCAUGUAGAAGUUUUAACAUAGUAUCAGGGCCAACUACCAGUUAUUCAAGGUUGUGAUUGAUUCUUGAUAUCGUUGAUCACACGUAUUAAGUAGAGAACUUUGCAAUGGUUUAGCUCAUGUCACCUUGAUGACUACAACCAUAGGGAUAACAUGCAAUUCUACUGCAGAAGCUACACAAACAGUAGCUACAUCUGCAAAUGUGGAUGCACGAUCUGGUAUAGUUGAAAUUGACCAUAAUAAUCCCUUGUAUUUGUAUACUAAUGAAACUCUAGGUAGAUAUCUUCUAUCCAUUCAGUGUACCAUUAUGCCCUGUGGAGUCGAUUUAUGACUAUUAGUCUUAUAGGUACAAAUAAGUUUAGAUUGUUGAUGGUCGUUAUCCUAAAUCUCACUUUGAUGAGUCCGUACAUGAGCAAUCGGAAUAUGUUGCUCGACCUGUUCCAUUAGUGUAACAUCCUGGAUGCUUACUGAUAGGGGAAAUUGAAGGCACCUCAACUGGGGGAACACAUUCUAAAGGCACAUUGAUAGAGGGAACUGAACCAACAGCUACUCUAGCUCAAGCCAAUCACUGUGAUCCUAGUAGCUCUCAAGGUUUGGUCCCAAAAGGAUACAAGUUCAAAGGAUCUUAUCCUAUUGAAAAUAUUCUUACUAACCUUACCUCAGGAAUUAACACAAGAUUUGGACUAAGGAGCAUGUGAUCCUUCAAAGCCUUCUUGUUUGUGAUUGAACCAAAAAAAGUGGAUGAAGCACUUCUUGAUGUUGAUUGGAUCAUGUUUAAUCACCUGGUCCACUAAGAAACAAAACUUAGUAGCUUUGUCUACUAUUGAGGCUGAGUACAUUGCAGCUCAGUUGGUGUGGAUUAAGAAACACCUCAUGGAUUUUGACCAAAUUACUGAUAUUUUCACUAUAGAAAUGGGCAUUGACCACUUUGAAAAGAAAAGAUUAGAAUGAGGGAUGAAUAAUACUGCAUGAAUUUCCUUCAUUGAUUGACUAGAAUUCCCUAUUCUAGGUUACGCCUAUGCUAAAAAUGCUGAGUAAUUCAGUCUUAAACAUUAUGUUGGGUGUUCUUAUUCUAGAAUUUUUGACUGAAUUGACUAAAUUGAGUAUUGAUUUGUGCAGAGAUGUUGGUCUAUCUUGAACUAGUUUUUCGAUGAUGUCAAAAGGAGGAAGAUGAAUUUCUGUAAAUAUUUAUCACCCAAUGGCUAAUCUAUUUCAGUCUAGUAUUUUCUCUUAAGUCAGUGUUUUAGGGAAUACAAUGGAGUGUACAAAGGCAGUGGUUUUUCAUCAUAAAAAAGGGGGAACUUUUUUGAUCAAUGAUGUUUUGAUGACUUACACUUGAAUGACACAGGUUACUUAAUAAAUUCAAAGCAUAGGAAGAUGGCUUAUAGGUUUAACUGACAGAUAUAGACAAGAUUUCUUAAACUCAGGAAAGGACAUGCAAGCCUAAUUCUGAUAUCCUCAAAGUCUUGAUAAUGUGUGAUAAAGAAGAAAUAGAAGUUGAUUACAAAACAAAACUUGAAGAUACAAGAGAGUGAGUUGAAGAAGGAGUCCUACUAAGACGAUGAGAUUGACUUGAAGAAGGACUUCAACUUAACAACAAACUCUAUUGAGUUGAAGAGACCAACAGGAGAUAGAAGAUUGAUGACACAAAGGAAUCUUUGGAAAGUGGUUUUUAAAUAGAGAAGGUGACACUGACAUUCACGAACACACUUAUAAAGAUAGAAUCCAUUGACAAAUUAUCUUGACAGUACCAAACCUUGAAGGGGUCAUAAUUGUAGUUGUUCCUAUUACUAAGAGAUAAGGAGUCCUAGAUUUUAUGUAUUUGGUUGAUUCUUGAUUUGUAAUAUUUAUCUAUUUCUAGUCUCAGUGAAGUAUAAACUAAGUUAGGAGUAUUGUCUUCAAGUUGGGGAACUCGAAGACUUGGGAACUGUUACCUUUGGAAAGUUUGUAUUUUUGUAGAAGUAGUAAGUAGAAGAUUGUAAUUCCUAGUUUACAAAAGUCUUGUAAUUUGUUGAUUGUAGAGGCUCAAGUGGUUUAGAAGAGUUGGGUUUAAAUCUUGUAAAGGUACGGGUUGUAGUUUUUUAAACCUCUUCGAACCAUUUUUGAAACAAGUCAAAUGGGCGUCAACGCUUUUGAUCACACAACCUGAGGCCAGCAUGAGGAGGUCCAAGCCUUGAUAUCCCAAAGGAUCAAAGAAUGUUCUUGGAAGAGCCUAAUAAAGAAAUGUCAUGUUUGGAAGAUAUCUUGGAGCCGAGGAAAGCCAUGGCGCAGGAAAAAGGAGAGCCUUUGUGGGUUAUUUACGAAAUAGACACUUUUGGGCUAUUUUUGUAAUAGGCUAGUUCUGCAAAGGCAACUACUCUAAAUAGUUGCCUUAGUCAUUUUAUUAGUAUGUCUUUGUUGAUUAAAUUACAUGAUGUAUUCAUGAGAACUUCAGCGGAGUUAUGAGGGCUUGAAAAAGCCUAUGUUUAACCUUGCUUAGAAACAUUGGUUGUAAGGGCGAUCUAAUCCCCGUUGCAGUCAGGUAAGAGUUAGGUUCUUAUUGAUAGUCAUUAUCGGAGAUUUUAGGGUUUGAAACACCCUUCGAUUUCCCUUUUUUUUUUAUCAAUUUUGUGUUUAUAUUUCUAUCAUCGUUAUCUUAUCCUUCUAUCUUUACUUUUCUGCAUCGAGAUUUGAGUCCUCGUGAGUCGAGUCAUUUCAGUUUUCCACCUGAAAAUUCACAGUGUUAUUUGCUUACUGUUUUAGAUAGUUUGAAACACGUUAGUCAAUUUAUUUCAUUGAUAGGAAACAUCUAGGCUAAAAUAAAGUAAUCAGUAGGGCACAUACUCUAACAACUAACAACUCCAUUAAGUGGAAAAUAAUAAAUUUGAAUAUCAUGCUUCUAAGCAGGUGAACUUUACACCAUGUCUAGUAGAAUCAGAAAAGCGAUGAAAUUACAUGAUUGUGAGUUCAAUUUGAGAAAAUUCAAUGUUGAGCUUAGUUUUUUUUGCUACAUUUUCUGUCUAACUUUCAGAAUUUAAUCAUCCAGUAUCUCCUACCAGAGAAGCAACGGAAAUGUUUAUUGUUCUACAAAGAUACCAAGUUCUGUUUCAUUGGCAAGAUAGGCUAUUGUAAAGGUGCUCCAUCAUUCGCUUAAACUUGAGGAUGCUUUGCCCCAGUUCCAUCUAAAAAUAUUGUAGACAAUGGUCUUAUAAGUCUACAGAUAUGUGCAAUAUAAAGUCUUCCUAAUUCAUUAAAACUUGCUAAACCAAUUGUUCUCUAAAGGUAGUUUGUCUUGCAACAUAUCCUGAUAUUAUGACUUAUUUCCAUUUGAGUUAUAAACUAGUUGAAACUACAAAUGUAAGUAUCUUGACUUAUCUGUGAUGGUGUCUCCAUCUCUCAAGGCAAGAUCUUGUAUUAUGGCCUAAGAUAAACUUGUGGGAUCCAUUUGUACAUUUGGAAAUUGAGUGAUCUUUACCAGAAACAAGAAUCAAAGUGAAAGCCCAAUUCGUGUGCCAUAGGACUUACCAUUGAUCUUUGUUACUACAUUCUAAAUGGUUGUCGUAAUUUGAACAUUUGGAUAUGAAUGUCCUUUAACCGAAACUAUAUCAGAUUUUCCUAAAUUAUUAAAGAAAAGAACAAUUUUGAGGUCCGACUAUGGACUUCUGAUUAAUAAGUAAAUAACAAUAUGUUGUACACUUAUUGAGUAUCAUAUAUCUAUUGCAGAACUUAUGACAAUUGAUUUAAAAAACUAGCAAUUGCAGGUUUCAAAAUAGGACAUGAAGUUAAAGUGAUACCAAAAUAGGCUAUAUUUUAAGCAUCCCUCAAAUUAAUGGGUUAACUUUUCAAAAGGAAUCAUAAUGCUCUUUAAAAUAGUGCACUAAGCCUUUUUGGUAUCACUUUAACUUAAUGUCCUAUUUCAGUCACUUUUAACUAUUUGGGGUUCAGUUAGGUUCCGGAGCUAACUUUUAUGGGUCCAAAUAAUACAAAACGGAGGGAGUAUAUAUUUGGUGUAUAAAGUUAAAGUACUUUGACUACAAAAGCUCAUUUUCUUACUUCUGCCGAACAGGUAUCUUAGGAAAAUUGUCAAGAAUGUACCUUGAACCUAACUCAACCUCAAAAGUUAAAUCAAGAGGUGAGAAUUACCCAAGUCUAUAUAAGAAAACUACCAGUCCAUUCCUCAACCAAUGUGGGACUUUUUACCCACUCUAAUUACCCCCCACCCCAAUGCCCAGGCCCAACUGGCACUGGUGCGUAGACCGGGAUCCCAAAACGUGGAUGGACCUGGCUUAAAUACCAUAUCAAGAAUGGACCUUGGGCCAAACUCAACCUCAAAAUCUAGGUCAAGAGGUGAGGACUACCCAAGUCCAUAUAAGCAAACUACCAGUCCAUUCUCCAACAAAUGUGGAACUUUUUACCCACUCUAACAAAAACAUGCUUGUUUGUACAUUGAGAGAGAUAAAGGACUAGAACCCUAGACCUAGAAGCUCUAAGCUUUUAACUUUCUUUAAUCCAAUACUAAGCUUCUUCAAGCCUAAUCAUAGAACACCAUAUUUAAAGAUCAUCCAAGGGUGAGUAUGGUGGAAAUACUCUCAAAAUUGACAAUCGCAUCCAUUUUAAGCUCUAGGCCUGUUUGCAAACUCUGUUAUAAUCUUUUUUCCAACCCUUUAUUUCUUACCAUGUGUAGGUCAAGAUCAGCUCCUCCCUGCAUUUUGUUUUCACAUGAUCACGGUAUAAGUCAGCUCCUUGAACUUGAUCUGUGUUGCGAUGAUUAUUCUUCUAGACUCCGUAGAUGACCUAUUUUAUUUAGAUGCUCGAGCUUAACACAGCAAUGAAUCAGGGAAUGGACAUUCUAGUUGAGAAUUACCCAAUGUUGAGAUUAAUUGGUUCAUGUAAUGGAUUUUUUGGUUUGAUGACUAAUAUUUAUGAUAUGAAUACUUCAGUUUACAUUAGUAAUAAUAUUUUGGGUGAGUAUUUCAAACUUAAGUUGCCCCAAUUAGAGAAAAGUGAUUUUCGUGUUGUUUAUAGAUUUUGCUUUAGUGAAGUCUCUAGAAAGUAUAAGCUAGUGAGAUCAAUAACUAGAAGGUUUGGGGAUCAUUUAAAAGUAUCAAAAUUGGAUAUUUAUACGCUUGGGGUUGAUGAGAAAUGGAGAAAUUUGGUCCAAGAUCAAUGUCCUAUAUGGCAUGAUUUUUGCCAGGUUUUUGUGAAUGGAGAUCUUCAUUGGAUGGAUCCCGUCAAUAAGGACCGCAUUUACUCCUUCGAUAUUGUGACUGAAAAGCUCAAGUCUGUGCCAGGUCUACCUGGUUUGGUAUUUCCAUUCAAGUAUUUGACCCAAGCGGAGUUUCAGAGUGUUGGUUUUUGGCUUUGAAAUUAAAGAAAUAACAGAGGAAGAGUUGGAGAGGUAAAAAUUGGUAUUGUCAAAGUGAAUUAUUUUAUUAAUAACUAAAAACAUAUAUUUAUAGCUAAAUUUCUAACUAUACUUCAAUUUAAAUUGGGAUAACUAAUUCCUAUUCAAAUAAGAAAGGGACAACUAAUUCGUAAGUCACAUAGGACUCUACUAAUUUAAAACUACUACAAUUAUCUAUUCCUAUUUUAUUUCUAAGACUUAGUUUCAGCACUCCUCCUUGGAUCAGAAAUUGCCUCAGCUUUCGCUGAAUUUGACCUCUUGAAUAAAUCUGCAAAUUCAUCUUUGUUCUUGCAUGACUUAGGUUCAUCUUCCGUUGGAUAAAAUAAAAAAACUUUGCCUCUCAUAUCAAUUUCUCAAAUCUCAAGAUUAGUGGCAUUAAAUAUUCAACAAUAUUUAUCUCCAAACAAUAGUUUAAAUCCUUCUUCCAUAAGCUGGCAAACACUUAACAAUCUUUUAUCAAUAUCGGGCACGUAAAGGACAUUUGAAAUUAUUUUUGUACCUGAAAUUGUUUGAUGACAACAUUCCCUUUUCCUUCUACAUAGUCUCUAUUCCCAAUUAUGAUUUUGUUAUUUUCCAAAAGCCAAAACUCUUUAAAAAGUUUUCUUGGUUGAAGAUGUUGCCAUAAAUAAGAGAUCUUCUUCUUAUUCUUUGGUGACUUGGGCUUCUGCUUCAUAUUUUUGAGACUUGUUUUUGCAAAUCGCAACUUCAUAUCCCCGUUGAUUGCAAAUCUUGCAUUUUGCAUCCGGUCUCAUCCAAUAUUUAAAUGGAGGAUGACCUAUUUUACCAUAGUGUCGGCAAGGUGUGUAAUUUUUUCUUGAAUUAUUACCCUUGCUUUGAGUUUUGUGGUUGGCUGCCAAAGAUCCUUCAACCAUACCAUCCUGCCUUAUAAGACUCCUUUGCUGUUGUUCUUGCAAUGUGUUUAACAAUUCUACGAAGGUAAUCUUGGACAGGUCUUUUGCGUUUUGCAAGGUAGUUAUUGGUACUUUAUAUCUUUCAUGUUAGCUAAUAAAGUCAGCAAAUAAAUUCAUAUUUCUAGGUUUGUCCUAGACUUUAAGAGUGUAGUUUAAUGUGAAUUUGUUUCCUAUUUAUUAGGAGUUAUCUUAGUUUCAUGACCCGAGCUGGGCCUGGCCGUGACGAGCAUCCCAAACCAUGAAUGCCCGGACGCCCUUCUCUGUACAUUCAUGUAAAAAAGAAAAGAUGUGGAGUAUAAAUCUUGAUGGAACCAUGAUCAUACUCUGAGUUCAAUUUGAAAAUAAAGAAAGACAUCCAACAACAUCUAGACAACAUCUCAAUCAGUCUGUGAAAUAUCUACCACGUACGAAAAUAACAACUAUUUAAAACUGGGUCAAGGCCCCCAAUGGACCUAAACCCAAAAUAAAUGACAAAGUCUGAAGGACAUGGGCCUCCCGGAAUAAAGAAGGCUCACCCACUGCACACUUCACUUCUUUUUGAAAACUCUACGGCUUAGCAGGACCUCUAGACUUUGUCUCAGACCCUGGAAGUUAGGGGGUCAAUACAAUUGUACUGGUAUGCAGAGCGAAUCCAAAAAUAAUAAUUUUUAUUCAACAUAUAUGAAAGCAGUUCAAAAUCAUUCCAUAAAUAUAACAUAUGAUAUAAAAGUACAUGGGCAUUUUUAAAAGACUCUGAACAAUCAUCCUAACUUUGUGACAUACUCUUUAUUGCAAAACACAAUUUUGGGCUAUGAGUUACUUGAACUCAAGCCUUCUUUGGGCAACCACCUAACCCUCUUCAAGACAAUUUUUAACUCUUUAAAACAUGUAUUCUCUGAAAUCAAACACUGAAAACUAUAGCUCUGUUUGGCAUACAUUUAUAUUGUAUCGUCAUACCAUUGACUUGCAAGUCACAUCUCUGAGAAAUUAUUAGCAUAUUAAAAUCUCUGUUUUCAAAACCUAACACAUACAAGGAACUUUCUCUUUGUCAACAUUUCAAUAACAUAAGGUGGUCAUGUCAAUUUACUCAAUAACAUGCAAUUUUCUCUUUUAAACAAGCAUAUAGGUAUAACAAGAAACUCCCUCUCAUCAUAUCUAAAUUAUGUCAAAUACUUGGAUAUUGAAAAGACCAUUUUCAAAUCAUAAAACAUGUAUUUCAAAUUAUUCCCAAUAAGUUCAUAAACUCUAAUUCAUCAAAACACAGGGAUUUCAAGAUAAUGCUCUUAAUCAAAUCUUCUAUUUCAUACAUAUACAUAUAGGUAUAAAGCAAUUUAAGGGAAAAGACCACAAGGCCAAAACAAUUCUACCAUUACAAGGUUCUAAUGCAUAACUUAAAACAUAGGAUCCAAAACCCCUUUAUAAAUUCAUUCUUGAUAACUUUAAAUUAUAUUCAAGAGAUUCAACAAGCCCAUGUAGUUUUAGGAUAAACUCCACGUACCUUAGUGACAAUGAAACUGCGAAAAGAUUGGACCUUUAAACUUGAAUUCCAUGAUUUUUUGUGAAAAGCACUUUAAUCUUGUAUUUGGGAAUGGAAGAGGGAUUUGUAUCAUAACUUGGAUGAUUUAGGGAUUAGGAAUUGUAAAUAAUGUGUUUAAAAAUCCCUUAUAAUGAUUUGGAGUGAUUAGGGAUGGUGUAGGGGUGUGAAAUGACUUCAAAACUCCUGAUAUAAGUUAAAAUGGAGUGUUUUUUGCAUUUGGCAAUGACUUAGGCGGUGCGCAGUUGAUCGCACAAGCCAGUGUGGGCGACACCUUGUCAAUCGCCUAAGUGGGAGGCACCUAACCAAUCGCACACCCUUACUACCUCUCACUAAAAUAAGUAUAAAUUUUUUCUAAGGUAUUGGAUUAAUAUGAAAUUGGUAUCAUUGAAAAGAUAUUUCAAAGACCUUUCAUUUGAUAUCUAAUACACCCUCUAAUUCAUUAUAUAAAAAAAGUUAUUAUUAAUUGAAGUUGACCAAAGUUUUGACGCACACUCAAACUCGAACGAUAGGAAAAUUUCCAACUCGUCCUUCGGUUAAGGGACCUCUAUGAUCUCAAUUAAUCCUCAACUAGAUUCUCACACUACAUAAUUGAUUAACACACUAUAUUUUCACCGGAUUUAUGGAUUUUCGAAAUUUUACGCAAAUGAAUGACGGUUUACGUUCUAGUCCAAAAUGCGGUGUGUUACACAUAGUUAGUCGUUCCAGUUUUUUAGUUUAUUUUGUUAUGUAUUUCUUCCUAUUAAAUCAAUAGUCACAGGCUAUGAAUAACAGUCAUGAUAGUUUCAUUAAAUUCAGUGUGUUGACUCUAUCUUUAGUCCUUUACUUUCUGCAUAUACUUCUCUGUUUUGCAUAUAUUUACAGUGGCAUCACUACGAGCAUGAGAUCCUGUAGUGAAAAAAAAAUGUAGCAGAAGUUAAAUCUCACUUCUCUAUUCUGUAACACUCAUGGCAUCAGAUAGUAACAUCGUAGAAGAAGCAAUUACUCUCUUUGAUGGUCACUAUGUGUUGUGUUCGAAAUCGAGAGGGCGUCAUGUGGAAGCUUAAAGUUUGCAAACCAUGAGAUGAUAAAUCAGACGACAAAGAGCACAAUACUUAAAAGCAUUAAAUUUUUAUAUGUUUUGGCCAAUCGGCCUACAUAAUGUAAAACCUAAUAUUGAAAAACGUUAAACCUAUUAGGAGAAAAUCUCCCCCUAAACAAAGACUCUUUAAUGACUACAUUGUGGAGUCUCUUGUGUUAUUGUAUGACAAGGGGGUCUUCUAUUUAUAGAUGUCCAAAAUCUUUCCUCCAAUAAAGAGGUUAGCCAAAUAUGGAAAAGAAUUAUAUUUUUUUUCUUUCAGGAAAAGAAAAAGUAAUUAUGGUAACUUUUAUUUUCCUUCUAAGAAAAAAUAAAACUUAAAUAUAUUAAGAAAAUCAGGGGAACCCUAACAAACUCCCUUUUUGGCUUGAUUUUCUACACUUCAUCCACCUUCUUCUUGUGCAUGAUCUUCGUUCUUCAUGUAUAUUCUUCAUAUAUCACUGCUGUUUGACAUGCUUUAAAAAUUGAAGAUUUUUGGGUUAAAAAUAUAUAAGCCCUUUUGGGUUAAAAACUUUGAAGUACUUUAGCAGGGUUAAAAGUGAGCUUUAUUUUCAAAUAUUUGACAGUAGGAUUGUUGAAAAUAUGAUUAACAAUUAUCUCCACAUGUAACUUUUGGACAUAUAUCUUCAUUAUCAUCAAAUUGGUUGCAGCUUGAUUUUGAAACCACUUUGAACCUGCUUAAUCUCGUUUCACCACACCAUUGGACCAUUUAACCAUAAGCAUCGAUACCACUUGUUGGGUUUCAAAUCAAGAGGGCGUCAUGUGGAAGAUUAAAGUUUACAAAACAUGAGAUGAUAAAUUAGACGACAAAGAACACAAUACUUAUAAGCAUUAAAUUAUUAUAUGUUUUGGCAAAUCAUCCUACAUAUUAUAAAAUCUAAUAUUGAAAAACAUUAAACCUACUGGGAGAAAUAUCCCCCUAAACUAAGACUCUUUAAUGAUUACAUUGUGGAAUCUCGUGUUAUGGUAUGAGAAGGGGGGGCCUUCUAUUUAUAGAUGUCCAAAACCAUUUCUCCAAGAAAGAGGUUACCCAAAUAUAGAAAAGAAUUAUAUUUUUUUCUUUCAGGAAAAGUAAAAGUAACUAUGGUAAGUUUUAUUUUCCUUCCAAUAAAACUUAAAUAUAGUAAGAAAAUCAGAGCAAAAAUCCUAACACUAUGUCCAUUGGAGCAUACUGAUGAAGAAUUUCUUAUGGUCCAAAUAGUAUUGGCCCAUUCUGGAGGACGACAUAGAUUCUCCAGCGGUCCAAAGAGUAUUGGCCAAUUUCAUGGCGAGAAGAUGAUUGAUUUCACAAUUGUUGAGAAAAUAUUGCUCUCUUUGAUGCAGAAGUAUGAUUAUGUAGUUUGUUCCAUUUACAAAUCAAAAGAUAUAGAUGAGUUAUCGCUGGAUGAAUUACAAAAUUCCCUAUUGGUGCAUGAACAGAAGAUGAAUUGCAGUUCAACUUCUGAGGAGCAGGCCUUGAAAGCUUCUACUUUUGUUCCUUCCAAUUCUAGAGAAAAGGGUAGAGGUAGAGGAAGAAGGAGGGGAAAUAGAGGAAAUAGACAUGGAGGAAGAAAAUUUAGAGCCAAUGAUAAUGGCAAAGGCAGGGGAGAAUUUUGACAAAUCAAAACUCGAAAGCUAACGAUGUCAUAAAUUUGGUCAUUAUCAGUCUGAGUGCUACCAUAGGCUGCCUAGUGACAAGGAUGAGAAGUCAAAUUUUGUUGAAAGCAAUGAAACUGAGACCCUAUUGAUGGCAAUAGACACAGAAGAAAAACCCGUGCAAGAUGAUUGGUAUCUGGAAACAGGCUGCAGUAAUCACAUGAGUGGGAGUAAGUCUUGUUUUUCUUCGUUAAAUGAAGGUUUUCCUUCUACAGUUAGUUUUGUUGAUUUCUCUACUAUGGAUGCAAUGGGAAAAGGUGAUAUUAAAAUUAAAGCCAAGAAUGGUUUUGAAGAAAUAAUAUCAAAUGCGCUUUAUGUUCCUGCUUUAAAAAGUAACUUAGUGUUGGACAAUUGCAAGAAAAAGGAUAUUCUAUUUUCGGAAAGAUUUGUUGUUCAAAACAUGAAUCCAGAGAAGGCUUGGAGAGGAAGAAAACCAACUGUGGACCACUUUCGAAUUUUCGGUUGCAUUUCCUAUGCUCAUAUUCCAGACAAGAAAAGGAAGAAGGUUGAUGACAAAAGUGAAAAAUUUAUCUUUCUCGGUGUUAGUGAAGCAUCAAAGGCAUAUAAAAUGCUUAAUCCACUAGCGAAGAAGAUUCUUGUCUGUAGAGAUGUUAUUUUUGAUGAAGUAAACACUUGGGAUUGGAGUAUGCAGCAUUCCAGUCCAAUCAUAUUUGAUACAGGAGCCGAAGAAGUAUAUGCAAUACCCGAAAGUUCAGCGAAUUCAACUCCCACAACUUCUGAAAUUUUACCAACUCUUGCUGAAAAUUCACCAACUGCUGAAACUUUACCAACAGCUUUAGAAGAAACGGAUGCAGCAACUCAGUCUCUUCGUCGUGCUCGUAAAAAUCCCACGUGGAUGAUGGACUAUUAUUUAACAUGCAUGACACUAUUAGAAUGCUAAUUGCCUUGGUACCAUGAAAUUCGUGGCCGAUCUUCCAAUUGGAUGUCAAAUCACCUUUUCUGCAGGGAUACUUGGAGGAACAGGUAUUUAUUGAAUAAACCCAUGGUUAUGUUAAGAUUGGAAGUGAGCAUAAAGUUUAUCGAUAAAGAAAGAUGUUUAUGGACUAAAGCAAGACCCACAUGCUUGGUAUAGUUGCAUUGAGGCUUAUUUUCAGAAAAUGGGUUUUCAAAAGUGUCUAUACAAGCCUACACUUUUUGUGAAAAUUGGGGAGAAUGGGAAAAUUCCCAUUGGGUUUUUAUAUGUCGAUGAUCUCAUCUUCAUGGGGCAUAAUAAAGUCACGUUUUAUGAUUUCAAGAUGUCUAUGAUGGAUGAAUUCGAGAUGUCUGAUUUUGGUAAGAUGCAUUAUUUUCUUGGUUUAGAAGUAGUGCAAUCUGAUGAUGGCAUAUUUGUUUCCCAAAAGAAGUACGUGCGAGAAAUUUUAAACAGGUUUAAGAUGCAGAAUUGAAAUCCAACCAACAUUCCAAUUGAGUUUGGAUACCAAACGGUAUCUACAACGCCAAAAAAGUCCGCAAACAACCCACAAUCACAAGCCUUUACCUGCAACAACAAGACAACAACACAAUACGAAAAGCAAAAUAAACUUAAGAAAAGUAAAAGAUAGCUAACUUGGCACAAAGAGAACCCAUUAGGUAGCAACUAAAGAGUGUAUCAAAACUCUAAAACCUCAACAGAACAAGUUAACAAGUACCAAGUUCUUACGAUGACCACCAAGGGAAUCAACUUACCUCAAGAUCCACCAUUUCCAAGCAAAGAACGAUAUUGGCUUUUCCGAGCCCUACACUAUUGGCUUAUCCAAUCCCUACACUAAGGGUAUUACACUCUCAAAGAGUGAAGAAGUUUUGCACGUAUUUAUCCUUCCAAAACUAAAGAGCAAAUGACUUAAUAGAAGACUAUAUAGAGGCUAGCUUAUUACAUAACAAAUAUAACUACAAUAUCCUUAUUGAAAGGGGUGGCCAUGAAGUGUCUUUCUAACAAAGUUUGAUCCCCAAAACACCCUAAAUGAAGGGUUCUUCUUCAAUGCUCCACAACUGUAGGGUCAUUUUUCUACACUUGUAGUCUGAGGUUGGCAUCAAAGGUAAUCCCCCAAGCAAUCUUUCCCACACGGUUUUACCUUAUGUCAUACUCAAAACGGGUCUUACAUGCAUGUUCUUGUGUCCUUGAGGUGACCAAGUCUUGAGUCUUUAUGCAUUGGCAUCCAAUGACGUCUUCAAAAGCAUAGAUGGCAAUUUGGCUCGUAUUAUCCUCCCCUUCUUGAAAAGGAUUCGACCUUGAAUCCAUACCUUGCAAAACUAAAGAAAGGACAAACAAGCACAACUUCCUCAUGACAUAAGGGUUCGGGUUAGUACAACAAAUAACAUCAUCAUACCAAGGUGGUACAUACUUGAGAUAUAACCAUGAAUCCUUUGUAUUAGUCAAGAAAAGUUUAGUAAGAAUGUUACUAAGGAAAUGGCUACGACAAGUAUCAAGAGAUAAAGAAACUACAAAGGUCAUAAUGGUAUCACUAAGUCAAAAAAGUAAGGCUACCCUUGCCUUAGCAACCAUAAAGCACAAUUGUUUCAUUACCUCUUCAUGUGGCCUCAUAAAAUGUGGUGCCACUAUUGGUAUCGAAGUCCACCAAUCCCACAUAACUUUGUCAUUCAAACAAGUGGGCCAACGAACAAAACCUAUACCUCUACUUAAUGCAAACCCAAAACUAGCAUGGAUGGCAUCAUAGGAAAAGAGGUAGUAUAGGAAAGAAUCAAGUAUAAAGACAUGAACAGGCGAAGACAAAGCAUUUAAGCACAUACACUCUCUUUUUUUCAAACAAAUAGACAACUUGGAAUCCACAAGUUGGGAUUCAUGAAAUUUAAGCAAAAGUGUGUCAAGCAAGGAUGCACAUUUAGAAACAUUACCCCAAAGAAUCAAUGACUCCUUUGCCCUCGGGUUGUCAAGAAGGACUAUACAUUCCUUAAACUUAAGAUUACUCUCAUCUUGCAAAAAGAUAUUUCCAUCUUUAGAAGGAAUGUUGUCACAUCAUAGUGGGUUAGCAUAUAGGCUGUAGACUUCAAGAUAAGCUAUACCAUCAUUAUCACCACUAGGUUCAUUGGGAGUGAUUAUACCAUAUUCAAACAAGAAAUUAUACCUAAAGAGAGCAUGAUCUAUCCCACGGGCAGAUUAGGAACAAGUAAGUUCACUCUCUAAAUGUUCAUUAUCAAGUUUUAAAGAUUUUGAAGCACAUGAUUAUCCAUAUGACCCAAGCAAAUAUUAGAAUCAAAGGGAAAGCUCACGGGUUCACUCCUAUUCCUUUGAUCAAUAUUUUCAACAUCAUCACACACUUGAUAUUCAUUAAUCACAUCACACACAUCCUCAAGUGUUGAGCAAUUUUCACACAAAAGUUGAUCAACAUAAAUUUCACAAGACGAUGUACUUUUAUCCAAAACAAUGGUUUCAACACUAGGUGGACAUAAAUCGAUCUUACAAGAAGGUUCGAUUCGAUCAUCAAUAGGAUCAACUAGUGUAUUCACACUCACAAAAAGUACAUCAUUAUCAAGUGGCAAAGAAAUAAUUGACUUACAUAUAGGCAAGCUACAACUCACACUCAAUGGGAUACUAGCCACACAAUUAUCAUUCGUAUGUACAAAAGUGUAAGAGUUAGCUAUUUUACCUUGAUGUUCAUGAGUGUAUUCGUCUUUACCUCGAUGUGAAAGUCCAUAACAAGCUUGGGAAGCAACAUCCUUCAAGAAGCUCUCAUUGCAAGUUGUUUGGAUAAUUGAAUUUUGAGGGAAGUGUUUGGGUUACAAUUGGCAUAUACUUUCAAUUUGCCAUUGCAUAUCUUCAAGAUCGUCAUGGAUGCGAUUACACGAGGCCUUAAAAUUAUGGGCAGCCAUGAUACCUAAAAAAAAUAUAGACAACAACAAACAAUAUUAGUAGUAAAAGCUCCUUACCAACACUCGAUACACUCACCUUUGUGAUUCUCACAAUUGGAGCGACGAAUAUUGAAAGUUUCUUAUACUCCGGUAGUCAAUAAGAUGUCAAUCCUACUUCACGGCUGGAAUGGAUUCUUGGUUUGAUUGAUUCAAGACAAAAAAUAAAAUUCACUUACGAACUUGAAACAAAGAAGUUACUAUCAGUUACAAAUGAGAAAAGCACACAAAUCACGAAGACACAAAAGAAACGUAUUCAAAAACUAAUUAACAACCUAGUAGGUGGUCACGAGAAAUUUUCUGGUCUACAAAUUGUAAUGAUCAAAUUUCAAGUGGGGAAUUGGCGGAAUUUCGUCUAUGGGAGGGUAACAACAAGAUUUUGGAGUCCUUUUUUUCAUGUUCAAAAAGUGUUUGACUUUUUUGCACCUUUUUGGCUAAAUACCUUUUUGAAAGACUUUUGGUUCUUUCCCUUUUUGUAAGUCUUGGUUGGUGGACUUUCUCCCUUUAGCAAGACAACUUUUGAAACCCUUUUAUCUCCUUUCCCCUUUGGAUGUCUUAGAGUUGUGUCUUUCAAGACUAACAACUAGACAUACUCUCUUUCUUCAAUUUCUAAGAUCAAACAACCAUUUUCUCUUCAACAAAAUAUCAAGAUGUUGAAGAACACCAAGAACACAACUUUUGAAUCUUGGAGUUGUAUGGUUCAUAUUGGAUCGCACACAUCAACAACACAUUUUUCAAGCUCCAACCCUUAAAAACAACAUCAACAAAAAGUUUUUAAGCCACAAUCUCAAGAACAAACUUCAAUAACACUCUCUCAAGCCACCAAUCCUCAAAAAAACAGCAACCUUCAAAGUUCAAAAACAACUCGAAAAUGACUCAAAAUUUAGAUCUAGAUUCUAUAAGUGGUAGUAAAGAAGGGAAUAACAUUAGAAACAACAAAAAACACAAAAAAACACAAGAAAACCAAGCCUCAAAUCUCGUCCCAAACACAGAAACGGGAGGGAUUACUUUUUUUUGCGUUUUUCAGUUUUUUCAAUAAUAUUUUUGUGAUUUUUCAAGAUAGAAAGCCCAAGAUUGAUCUUGUGGGAACGAAAUCAAUGAUGGCUAUGAUACAAAACGGUAUCUACAACCCCAAAAUAGUCCGUAAACAACCCACAAUCACAAGCCUUUACCCGCAACAACAAGACAACAACACGAUACGAAAAGCAAACAUAAACAUAAAAUGAGUGAAAGAUAGCUAACUUGACACAAACAGAACCCAUUAGGUAGCAACUAAUGAGUGUAUAGAAAUUCAAAACCUCUAUGAAACAAGUUAACAAGUACCAAGUUCUUACGGUGGCCGCCAAGGGAAUCAACUCACCUCACGAUCCACCGUUUCCAAGCAAAGAACACUAUUGGCUUUUCCAACCCCUAAACUAAGGGUGUUACACUCUCAAAGAGGGAAGGAUUCUUUCACAUAUUUAUCCUUCCAAAACUAAAGAGCAACUGACUUAAUAGAAGACUAUAUAGAGGCUAGCUUAUUACAUAACAAAAAUGACCACAAUACCCUUAGUGAAAGGGGUGACCUUGAAGUGUCUUUCUACCAAAGUGUGAUCCCCAAAACACCUUAAAUGAAGAGUUCUUAUUCAAUGCUCCACAACCGUAGGGUCAUUCUUCAACACCUGUAGUAUCAAGUUGGAAUCAAAGGUAAGCCCCCACAAAAUCUUCCACACAUAGGUUUACCUUAUGUCAUGCUCAAAACGGGUCCUACAUGCAUGUUCUUGUAUCCUAGAAGUGACCAAGUAUUGAGUCUUUAUGUGUUGGCAUCCAAUGAUGUCUUCAAAAGUGUAGAUGGCCAUUUGGCUUGUAUCAAGUUUUGCUUGAAACUAACCAAAGAUGGGAGCAGAAAGAAGAUGGAUAACACUAUUUACAAGCAAAUUAUAGGUAGUUUAAUAUACCUAACUGCUACAAGACCAGACAUUAUGUAUGUUAUUAGUCUUGUAAGUAGAUAUAUGGAGUGCCUAACUAAAAUGCAUCUCUUAGCUAUGAAGAGAAUUCUUCGUUACUUACGAGGAACUAAGGAUUUUGGAAUUUUCUACAUGAAGGAAGAAAAGGUAGAGUUGAUUGGCUUUACUGAUAGCGAUUAUGCAGGAGAUCAAGAUGGUCGAAAGAUCAUUUCAGGUUAUGUCUUUCUGCUAGGCAUAGGGGUUGUAUCAUGGUCCUUGAAAAAGCAAAUUGUAGUCACAUUAGAAAGUACAGAAGAUGAAUUUGUAGAUGCAACAGCAUGUGCUUGUCAAGCUAUUUGGCUUAGGAGAAUCCUUAAACAACUGCAAUUCAAGAUGAGAAAUUCUACUAUAAUAUUUUGUGACAAUAAUUCUGCAAUCAAGUUGUCAAAGAAUCCUGUGAACCAAGGAAGAAGCAAGCACAUUGAUGUGAAGUAUUAUUUCCUGCGAGAUCUCAACAAUGAAGGAACGAUAGAGCUUCAAUAUUGCAGAAGUGAAGGUUAGUUGGCGGACAUUUUAUCUAAACCUCUCAGGUUUCUCCGUUUCCAAAAGCUGAGGAGGUCGAUGGGUAUUAGCACGAUGGAAGCAUUCAACUAGCUAUUGUUAACCUGAAGCUCGUGAGCUUUCCGUUUAAGGGAGAGUGUUAGUAAAUAAAGUAUGCAAAUAAAUUCCUAUUUACAACUUUGUCCUAGUCUUUAGGAGAGUAGUUUAUUGUGAAUUCAUUUCCUAUUUUUUAGGAGUUAUCUUAGUUAGUCGCUCAAGUUUUUUGGUUUAUUUUGUUACGUGUUUCUACCUAUAAAAUCAGCAGUCAAAGACUUUGAAUAAUAGUCAAGAUAGUUUCAUUAAAUUCAGUGUGUUGACUUUAUCUUUAUUCCUUUACUUUCUGCAUAUACUUCUCUGUUUCGUAUCAGUUUACAUUUCAGGCACCGUAACAAGAAUUUUUUAACAAUUCUUGAAUCUUUAAAUUUUCUGCAAAGCAAUCUUACCUUGUUAACAAUGCCAAGAAAAUGGUCUAUGUACUCUUUGACGGUCUUAGACUCCUUCUUCUUUUGCAAUUUGAAUUCCCUUAUUAGAUUCAACAUCUUCAUGCCACGUAUUCUUUCAUCUCCUGUAUAUUCUUCCUUCAAAUACUCCCAAAUGUUUUUUGCUGAUUUAAGAGUCAUAAUUCUCAUGAAAAUUAUUGGAGAAAGAGUAGCAAAUAAAGUUGUUUUUGCCUUUGAUUUUCUGAUUUUCUUUUCCUUUUGAAUUUUGAUCUGGGCCACCGUGGGAUUAUCGGGCUGCGGAAGAACCUCGUAAUCCUCCUCCACGACCUCCCAAAGAUCUAAAGCCUGAAGAUAAGUUUUCAUUCUUACUGCCCAAAGAUGGUAAUUCUCACCAUCAAAGGCAGGAAGAGCUAUUUGGGAAAAAUGUUUCAUAAUUCAUUGAGAUCCAAGAAAUUGGCUCUUGAUACCAAUAGUCAGUUUUUGGCUUUGAUAUUAAAGAAAUAACAAAGAAAGAGGAGGAGAGAUAAAAAUAUGGUAUUGUCAAAGGGAAUUAUUUUAUCAAUAACUCAAAACAUAUAUUUAUAGUUAAAUUUUUAACUACACUUCAAUUUAAAUAAGGAUAACUAAUUCCUAAUUAAAAUAACAAAAGAAUAACUAAUUCCUAUGUCACAUAGGACUCUAGUAAUUUGAAACUACUGCAAAUAUCUAUUCCUACUUUAUUUCUGAUCUACAUGUCCACCCUCGUAUUUGGAGCUAGUAGAGUUGGGGAGUGAUAGGGGUAGCAUUUUUGGGCAUAUUGAUAUAUAGUGGAUGAAAGAGUAUGGAAUAGCCAAAUCUUGGACUAAAGAACACAUUUUGACUUGUUUGGGGCUGGCUGGUUUUGGUUUUGAUAUUUGUUAUCAUAAAUAUUUACCAAUCCUAAUCUGGAAAGAUGGAGAAAUGUUGAUGCAAGGAAAAAAAAGGCUCACAGCCAUUUUCUUAGUACCCAAAAGACGAGAUUUUUAGGGUGAUCCCCAUUAACUGUUGGUAUGGAGCUUCUUUUUUUCUGUAAGGAUGUGUUUGCCCAUGUCAUUUAUCAGUACAGCUUAUAGACAAAUAUGUAGUCAACUGCGAUGCAGAUGAAUGUGGCACGAUGUUUGUUUGGUAAAGAAAGCCUUGAGGAAAUCACCAUUUUCGCUGGCGGUUGUGUCUCACAAGGUAAAAUCCAUAGCUCCGCUGAACUUUACAAUUCGGAGACAGGCACAUGGAGGACUGUAAGAAGCAUGAAUAAGCCAUGUAAGAUGUAUUCUGGUGUAUUUAUGGAUGGAAAUUUUUACGUGAUAGGAGGCAUUGGAAGAGCCAACUCAAAGCUGUUGACAUGAGCAGAGGAGUAUGAUCUGGCAACGGGAACGUGGACUGAAAUCCCGAACAAGUCUCCUGUGCGACCUAACCUUAGGAAUGGUAUACCUGCUGCAUCUGCAGCGCCUCCAUUGGUAGCUGCUGUAAAUAAUCAAUUUACGCUACUGGCUAUGCUGAAAUGUCGGUUAGGAAGUAUGAAAAGCAUUACAAAGAAUGGAUUUAUCGAGGUGAAUUCGUGGUACAUAGCGAAGGACCUCAAGAAUGGAACUUGCUCGGCCAAAAGCAAUCAGGUAGCUUUGUGUACAACUGUUCUGUCAUGGAAUGCUGAAGAGAUGGAAUGUGGCGGGGUACUGUAGAGUUGGUGGGUGUCAAUCAAUACAUAAUUGGUUUCUGGGGCAACAGGUUUGUUGCUAAUGUGUAAUUUAUCCCAACUUUUUUCUCUAAUCAGUUGAUUGAUUUCGAUUAGUGUUUAAAGCUUCUCUAGGUAAGUCAUAGAAGUACUUAGUCUUUUUCUUUUUCUGGUUUUGCCAUCUUUAUUUUCUUGACUUUGUCGAGGAGAGAAAUAAGGGUUUGCAAUGUUGGUUGUUUGUUGUCAUCUUGGCUUGUGUAACCCAUGUAACCCAUGCUUUGUUAUGCUUUUCAUACUUCCUAACCGGCUUUUCAGCAUAUUCAACAGCGUAAAAUUGAUUAUUUACAACAGCUACUGCUGGAGACGUUGCAGAUGUAGCAGGUAUGUCAUUCCUAAGGUUAGGUCGCACAGGAGACAUGUUCGAGAUUUUAGUUCAUGUUCCCUUUGGCAGAUCAUACUCCUCCGCACAUGGCAACAGCUUUGAGUCGGCUCCUCCAAUGCCUCCUAUCACAUAAAACUUUCCGUCCAUGAAUAUGCCAGAACACAUCUUACGUUGCUUAUUCAUGCUUCGCAAAGUCCUCCACGUGCCUGUCUCCAAAUUGUAAGGUUGAGCAGAGCAAAGGAUUUUACCUUGUGAGUCACAACUGCCAGAAAAAAUGGCAAUUUCCCCAAGGCUUACUUUACCAAACAAACAUCAUGGCACAUUCAUCUGCAUCCCAAUUAACCACGUAUUUUGUCAGUAAGCUGUACCGAUAAAUGGUAUGGGCCACACAUCCCUUCCACAAACAAGAAGCUCCAUACCAAUCUCUAUUGAUUCAUUGUCGGAGAACUGCACGAAACAAUCAUUGGGAGUCAUUGUCGGCUGAAGCAUCUCAUGCAGUCUAACUAGGUCAAAAGCAUCCCACUUAGGCUGCUGGCAGGAGAAAUACACCCAAUGCUCCACCACACCAAUUCGUCGCCGCGCUGUAUAAAGUUCACGACUCCGAAUUAAUGAGCGGAAGUUGUGGUUCAAAGAUGCUAUGGUGCCAUACACUGACCUAGAGCAACAAAUGAGAGCAUUGAUUGAGUUGUCACGGUAAAUGGCAGGAAAAAGUGCGCUCCUAUCAGAAUUUUCCCCAGCAUGAUCCUGAUUGUUGGCUUCCUCAUCAGGGGAUGCUGAAGAACUCCCUAAGGAUAGAGUCACUCUGUUACACCCCACAUAUUUAGGCUAGAAUUUGAACCAUUCAACUAACCUGUGUAGACCUGAACCCAAUGGUUUCUAUUUAUAUACAAGUAUGAAUAUCAAUUCUUUAGGGUGGGAACAUCUUUGGGGAUGGAUUGAAGUAAUAAAUAUUUCCUAGCUCAAAGUUGAGUUUAGAACUUUCCUACCUAUUGAGUUUUAGUAUCUGAUUUUACUUGGGUCAAAUUUGACCGAUCAUUUCUCCUUGAAUAUAACAAGCUAUAUGGCCGACUAUAUAUCAAAUUAAAAUCCUUUGAGUCUUUUUUCCAACACCACUUACCGUUAGUCAAUCCGAGUUUUGAAUAAAAAGUUGCGGGCAUUUUAGUGAGACACUGUCCAGGCCGCGCGAUGGCCGCGCGACGAAAUGUUUAUGCCUCGCGAUUGGGUAUGAAGCUUACCAUUAACUUAUAUAUACUCAGACACGAAGGAUUUGAGCAAAACACAAGUACUAGACGUUAAUAUGAAAUCCAUUUUCUGUGCAAUUCUCCAAAUUCUUGUUAUUUUUUUCUUUCCGAGACCAUUUAGAGUUUACGUAAUAUACCUUGUGAUAAUGGGAAUCCUAAGGAGGUCUUCAACAUCAGGAGGUGUUCGAAAAGGUCAUUGUCUAGUAUACGUAGGAGAGAGUCAAAAGAAGAGACUUUGUCGUGCCAGUAUCAUACUUGAACCAACCAUCCUUUCAAAACUUGUUAGCUUAUGCUGAAGAAGAGUUUGGCUUUGAUCAUCCGAUCGGCGGUCGUACAAUACUUUGCAAAGAGGAUUUAUUCAUUGAUCUCACUUCCCGCUUGAGGAGAUUAUAAGUAGGACCAUGAAAUUUUGCAAAGCAAUAGGAUUAGAAACGAAAAAGAUGAGAUAUAGUAAAUAGGUCACUUCCAUAUGAGUUGGACUUGACAAAGAAAGAAAUCAAUUCCUUGUUUUUUCUUAACCAUUUUGCAUAGAAGAGGUAAAGAAGUAUUUUCUGUUAAUAAAGAUAUAGCAAAUAAUUAUUUAAGCAAUUUUUUUCUAGUCACCUUAUUAGAAGACUCAAACCUUUUAUCCUUUCAUGUUUCCCCAUUCAGUAGUCAGUUGAUAUUUUUCCUGGCUACGCAGCUGGCUUUAUUGACACCAGCAAUUUAGUGCAACGAUCACUAGUUACUGAUCUUCGGUCCUUCUUUAUGUGACUGUAUGUUAGAAUUCCUAAUUCUACCAACUCUAAAUCUCCUGAUACAUAGAAAAGUUGAACAUGCAUCUGUGCAGGUAAACUCCUUAUCGUGUCUAAUAGAAGAGAAAAAAGAACUUUGAAAUCACAUGAUUGUGAGUUCAGCUUAGUUUCUUCACCUGAAUAUCUGGAAUUAGGGAACUGCAGAAUUUGAUACUUUCUUUUGCUUUUUGUUCCGUCUUAAUUUCUAAACUUAAGCUACCAUUGAUUCAAGAAGAGAAGCAAGAGAAAGUUAAUUUGCUCUACAAAUAUACCAAAUUCGGUUUCCUUGACGUAAUACACCGUAGUGAAGGCUCUCCAUAACUGGCUUUGUUGAAGUAUGAAGAGAAGAAUGGAGAAGUGCUGAAAUGUUAUGAAAUAUGAAGAGGAAACAGAACUGAGAAAAGACUAAAAAUAGUCUAGUUCAAAAAUUUGUUAUAACUGUCUAGUAGGUAGUUACUCUAACGGCUAGUUUGUUAGUUAGUUGGUACUUUCACAAGCCUAGAAAUGUAGAUUCCUGUGUACAUUUCUGAAUAAUGAAAAAUACAACAAAGUUACUCCUCUAAUGAUCUCUCUUUCUUCCUUAUUACUUUGUUCUUCUUCUACUUCAUUUUAAUUUUAUAUUCAUUCUCCAUUACUAUGAUCAAGAUGUAUAGCACUGCUUGAUUAAUGACAUGGUAUCAGAGCUUUACUCUCUAGAAAACUAGUAGAGCAAGAUCGAUUCCGGUGUAUUAGUUGCUUUAUAGUAACAUCAAGAAGUCUUUAAUCAAGAACUGCUUGUCUUCAACAAUGGUGAAUCAAAAUGUUGUUGUAGAUUCUGUUGAAGCUUUCAGGGUUACUCCAAGAACAUUGGAUUACAAUCAUCCUCUCUUCCUUAGUCCCUCUGAUGUGAGUGGCAUUCUAGUUAACAGGUGUUGUGAAUUUCUCAAUUUUGUUUAGAUCAAUGCGAAUAAAUCUACUAGGGAAGAAUAAGUUGGGAAUGAUGGGUGGAACAGGCUCUAAAGACAAGUUCUCUACUGAACUUAGAAAUCACCAGAGAAAGUGAAUGCAAUUAUUCUGUCAUGGUCCAUGAACUCUAUUUCUAAAGAUUUUCUUGGUGGAAUUAUGUAUGCAUCUGUGGCUAGUGUUGUCUAGAAUGAACUGUUUGAAAGGUUUAACAAUAUGGAUGGAGCCAGAACAUUCAAUAUGCACAAGGAAAUUGCUACAUUGUCUCAAGAUACAGCCUCAGUGUCUGUGUACUUCUCUAAACUUAAAGAUUUAGGGGAAGAGUUUGAGACUCUUGUACCAGCACCUGGAUAUGAUUGUGAUAAAUCAAAGGACUACGUAUUACAUCUGGAAAACCUAAAGUUGUUCCAGUUUCUUAUGGGUCUGAAUGAGUCUUACACAAAACAAGGAUCCAAAUCUUUCUUAUGACCCCCCUCCCAACUGUUAACCAAGCUUAUGCAAUGGUAAUGAGUGAUGAAAGCCACAAAUCCAUUGCAUGUCAGGAAGAAAUUCUAGGCAUGAAUCAUGCAAUUACAGAAAACAAUCUUGAAUAAGUAAUGUAUGCAAGAAAUGGAGUAGGUGGAAGCCAAGGUCACAAAUUCAAGAGAAAUGUGCAGGUGAAAUGUGACUUCUGUAAACUCAAGGGACAUACCAAAGAAAAUUGUUGGAAGUUGAUUAGUUAUCCUCAAUAUUAAAAGGCUAAGAAGAAGCUCAAGCAUAAAGGAUCUAACACAUCUCAUAAUGUAGCCAUGGGUUCUCAUGAGUAUCAAUUUGGUCAACUGGGAUGUUAUAAUAAAGAUGCAGGUCAAUCAGUAAGUCAAAGCAAUCAAUUGACUCAACUAAGUCAAAUUGGAAAUGCAGUAUUCACCAGGGACCAAUAUGAGCAAAUCUUGUACAUCUAGACAUAGGUACUUUUUCUUGCUUAGCUUUUUUUGGUUCACAGAAAUUGAUUAUAGAUACAGGUACUACAAAUCACAUGGGUAGUUAUUCAGAGUUAUUUCUUAACAAGACAGUUACAGAAUUACAAAAUCCAAAGAAAGUAUAUCUUCCAAAUGGUGAUACUACCAUGGUUACACAUGUGGGAACCAGUUGUCUAUCAGAAGAAAAUACCAUACAAAAUGUCUAUCAUAUCCCAUAGUUUUCAUGUAGUCUCCUAUCAGUAUCACAAGUGAUUAAGGAAUAGCCUUGUUCAGUGAACUUCUUCCCUGAAGGAUCUUUGUACUGGAAAGGUGAAGUGGAUUAGGAAACUAGAUGGAAGCUUCUAUCUAGUUGAAGAUCAAUCAACGAAUAGAUUUCCAGUAGUAACUAAAGAAAAUACUGAAAUAACUAUGGAAAAGACACAAGUUAAAGUAGAUCUGUGGCACCAAAGGUUGGGACAUGCUUCAACAAGAGUGUUAAGGAGGAUUUUAGGUUAAGGUGUACAAGUGAUAGAAGAUAGAAUAAAGUAGUGUAGCAUCUUUCCUAGUGCUAAACACACUAGAUUGCCAUUUCUGUCAACUAAUAUUCAAAGUACUUGUUGUUUUGAUCUUGUGCACAUAGAUUUGAUGGGAGCAUACAAAGUACCAACUAUGAAUGAUAACAAAUAUUUUCUAACAGUUGUUGAUGAUUUCUCAAGAUUUAAAUGGGUGUUUCUGAUCAAGCUUAAGUCAGAUGUUUUCUUUCAAAAAAAAACAGUUUCUUAUGUAUGUCAAGACAUAGUUUGAGAAGACAGUUAAGGUGAUCAGAACUGAUAAUGGCAGGGAGUUUGUUAACUCAUUAUGCCGGAAGCUAUUUCAAGACUGUGGUAUAAUCCAUCAAAUAACAUGCCCAUAUUCUCCUCAUCAGAGUGGUUUGGAUGGGAGAAAACAUAGACACAUCUUAGCGGUAACAAAAGCUCUAAGGCUUCAUGCUAAAAUUCCAAUAAGGUUCUUGGGAUAUUGUGUUUCAACUACAGUCUAUCUCAUUAAUAAACUACCUAGCUCAGUAAUUAAGCUCUUAACUCCUUAUGAGAAAUUGUAUGUUAAGAGACCUAACUGUGUUAUGGGGUGUCUAUGCUAUGUCAAGGUACUAAAUAAGAAUGAUAAACUCAUUACUAGAGACAAAACAAGUGUCAUGAUGGGAUACUCUAUCACUUAGAAGGGAUACUUGGUAUAUGAUAUAUCAACUAACAUCUUCUCUGUGAGUAGAGAUGUGUCUUUCUGAGAAGAUGUAUUUACAUUCAAACUUGUCAAACAUCAAACUCAAUCACCACUCCAUAUCAUCCCCUUGGAAGACAAAUACCAAAUACUAGGUGGUGAAGAGACAGUUAUACAGAUCCCAGUAACCAUGGCACCACAAAGGGUUCCCAGUCAAGUGAGCCAACAAGAACAGACACAACAGGAUACUCCUAGUCCUGCAUAGUACAUAACUAAAGUAUAUCAAAAAUGGUCAACUAGAGCUCCUUCUGUCUACAGGUACUCUAGACCAAAAGAAGUAAACUAGAGGCAGAAAGACACCAGUAUGUAUGAAUGAUUUUGUUACCAAGACAACAAAAAAGGUGCCUCAUGCUCUUGCUAAUCAUGCAUCAUAUGAUAAACUCUCGUCUACAUAUAAAGAGUGUGUGCUGAAAACCUCUUCUGUCACUAAGCCUACUAGUUACAAUGAGGCCUGUAAAGAUUGUAGAUGGGUGGAAGCAAUGAAAAAUGAGAUAGAUGCACUAAAUUCCAAUAAUACUUGGGAGAUUGUUCCUUUACCCAAAGGGGAGAAAGCUAUUGGUUACAGAUGGAUCUAUAAAGUGAAAUAUAAGGUUGUAGGUGAUGUUGAAGGAUUUAAGGCUAGGCUUGUAGAAAAAGGUUAUGGACAAAGAGAAGAAAUAAAUUAUAAAGAAACCCUUUCACCUAUUAUAAAGACAAAGACAGUAAAGACUAUACUUGCUGUUGUAGCUAGGAAGCAAUGGUUUAUACAUCAAAUUAAAGUCUAUAAUGCAUUCUAGAAUGGUGAUCUCAAUCAUCAAAUGAAAGUCUAUAAUGCAUUCUUGAUUGGUGAUCUCAAUGAUGAAGUCUACAUGGACCUACCUCAGGGAUUUGCUAGUAAGGUGGAGAAUGUAGUAUGCAGACUACUAAAAUUCCUAUAUGGACUAAAGAAAGAACCAAGGAUGUUGAAUAAAAAGCUAUCAGAAGUGUUGUUAAGGUCUCAAUUCACUCAAAUUCAAUAUGAUCCAUCAUUAUACAUCAAGAAGACAAUAGAAGGACUCAUAUUGGUACUGGUAUAUGUUGAUGACAUGCAAAUCACUGGAGAUAGUCUAAAACUGAUAGAUGAAACCAAGGAAAUCCUACAUCAGAACUUUAAGAUGAAAGAUCUAGGUGAGCUGAGAUUCUUCCUUGAAAUAAAAUUUGCAACAUCUAACAAAAGGAUUCUGAUGCACCAGCGAAAGUAUUCAUUCGAACUACUAUAUGAGCUAGGUUUAAUAGUAGCCAAACCUGCAACCACUCUUGUGUAUUAAAAUAUCAAACUGACAUCUAAAUAGCUUGAUGAGCAUGUCAAUCAAGGGAAGUCUCCUGAUGAUCCACCAGCAGAUCAAAUAGCUUACUAGAAACUAAUUAGUAAACUACUGUACCUAACCUUGACAAGGCUAGACAUAGCCUUUUGUGUUCAAACAUUGAGUCAGUUCCUUUAAGAUCCUAAGAAGUCUCACAUGGAAGCAGGACUAAGAGUUGUUAAAUAUGUUAAAAACCAACCAGGCCAAGAUGUGUUGUUGUUUGGCAAUACAAAUGAUUGAGUAAGUGUUUAUUGUGAUGCAGACUGGGCACCAUGUGCUCAAACUAUAAGGUAUGUAACAGGCUAAUUUGUGAAGGUUCGAGAAUCAAUAUUUUAAUGGAAAUGAAAGAACCAAACUAUUGUUUCCAAGAGUUCAGCUGAAGCUGAGUUAGAAGUCUUGCAGCAGUAACUGCAGAGUUAGUAUGGAUCCUAGGAUUAAUGAAGGAAUUUGGGAAUAAAGUUGUUCUACCUGUGGGUGUAUUUAGUGAUAGAAAAUCUACUUUGUAAAUAGCAGCAAAUCCAAUAUACCAUGAGAGAACAAAACAUAUUGACAUUGACUGCUUCUUUAUUAGGGAAAAGAUUGUUCAAGGGAUGAUCAGAACUCAUUACAUUGCAACUCAAGAUCAGCCCGCAGACAGGUUAACUAAGGGGCUGAUAAUAACACAACAAGUUUAUAUUAAUGCCAAGCUGGGAAUCUGUGACAUCUUCACACCUUCUGAUACGAGUACGAUCAUGUAGAUGGACUUAUGAGGGCGUACAUUAUACCCGAGGCUUGGUGUGUACAACGAAGUGAAAAGGAUCACCUAAAUGGACACCAAAAGAGUCCAUUACAUACACUAAAAGUUUCAAAUCAGUCCACUACAAAUGCUAGAGGGUUGCCCCUUCACUAAGGGGUAUUUUGGUCGUUUUACCUAUUAUUUGUAAUAUAGUAUGAAUAGAAUAAUGUAGGGCUUGAUUAGAGAGAUUUUGAUGAAUAUUAUGAUUUUAUAACACCUAAACAUUUCCUAUCUAAGGAGAGAAGGCCACCAACCCAAAAUUGUAACUAGGGAAAUCAACUUGAGUGUGGAAUCGCUCGUGUUCGAUUCAAGCUUGGAAACAUUGGAUGCUCGGGAGAUCGGGGUCACUCUUGUACCAACAUAAGAGUUAGGUAUUUGAUGUGUGUUAUGUUAAAGGUCGAAGAUUGGAAUAGGCUUUUGGGUUGUUAAUAUUAUACCUUCAAUUUGUGUAACUAUCUAUCCUUUUGUUUCUUUGUAAUCGUGUAGUAGUGAUGAUGUUGUAACCGUGUGUUUGUGUUGUUAAUGUGGAAUCCAAAAUUAGUCUAUUGUUCAUCUUGUUCUUGUUGUGUUGCUACUGUUUUGGUGUUAUUACGCCAUUGUGACUUGUAUUCUUCUUGUUGGUAGCGAAUCCGAGAGGGGUCACCAAAAGAGGUCCUCCGUUUCUUGGCUAGUGGACUGAUUUUGGUGUUUGUUUCAUGUUUCCUUGUCUUUCUUGUAUCACGUACCUAGCUUGAGGGGGAGUGUUGAAGUAUGAAGAGAAGAAUGGAAAAGUGCUGAAAUGUUGUGAAAUAUGAAGAGGAAGCAGAACUAAGAAAAGACUAAAAAUAGACUAGUUCAAAAUUUAGUUAUAACUGUCUAGUAGGUAGUUACUCUAACGGCUAGUUAGUUAGUUGUUACAUUCACAAGCCUAUAAAUGUAGAUGCUUGUGUACAUUUCUGAAUAAUGAAAAAUACAACAAAGUUACUCCUUCUCUAAUGAUCUCUCUUUUUUCCUUAUAACUACUUCUUCUUCUUCUUCUUCUUGAUCUGUUAUUCAUUCUCCAUUACUGUGAUCAAGAAGUAUAGCACUGUUUGAUUAAUGACAGGUUUAUACGUAAUGCUACUUUACUCUUCAUUCCACUAAGCAUAUUAUAGACCAUGGUGCUGUCACUCUAUAUAAAUGCACUACUGAAAAUCUUCAUGAUUCAUUAUAACUUGGUAAACCACUUUAUUUUAACAGCUGGUUCAUCUUGAUAUAUGACUUGUUUACAUCCGAGUCAUAAAAUAAUUGAAAUAAAUACUUGUAAAUAUCUUGAUAUUUUUGUGACUAUGGCGAGUCUAUCGGAUAUAGCCUCUCUAACUUGGAGGUAGAGGUAAUGUCUGCGUGUUCUCAAUCCUCUUGACCCUCCCUAUUGCUGAGAUGAGAAAGUUGGUUAUCAAGUUGAUGGGAGUUGAGGCUUGUUAGUACACACUAUAAGCAUGCGUUGUUUGUUAGUUAGAGGUUAGUUAGAAGUGACAGUUGUCAUAGUACAACUGUCACAAGGAGCCAAAUUAGUCUAAAAAUAGCAUGUCGUAGCAGCUCAUUUUACCAACACUAAUCAAGUUACUGAAAUAGCUCCCUUCUAGAUUCUUUAUUUCCCUUGGUUUUCUUAGCUCAUUUAGAAGUUUUAACAUGGUAUCCGAGCUAACAACCACUUAUUCAAGGUUGUGAUUGGUUCUUGAGAUCAUUCAUAACAUGCAAUGAGUAGAGAACUCUUCAAUGGUUUAGCUAAUCUCACCUUGAAGGCUACAACCAUGGUGAUCACACGUAAUUCUAUUGCAGAACCUACACAAACAGCAGCUACACCUGCAAAUGUUGUUGCACGAUGUAGCAUAAUUGAAAUUGCCCAUAAUCCAUCCCUUAUAUUUGUACCCUAAUGACACUCAAGUUAGCUCCUUGAUAUUUAUUCCUCUUACCGACAAUUAUACCCUGUGGAGUCGAUCUAUGACUUUUAGUCUUAUAGGGUAGAAUAAGGUUGGGAUUGUUGAUAGUCAUUAUCCUAAAUCUCACUUUGCUGAGUCCAUGCAUGAUCAAGGGGAAAGAGGGCAUGUUGUGGUGUUGUCCUGGAUCAUCAGUACGAAAUGAUCUUUUGAGCAACACUAUCUAUGCUUCUAAUGCUCAUAGUGUGUGGAUAGACUGGUAGGAGAGAUUUCAUGUCACGACUCAAUUUUUCAAGUCAUGAUGGCACCUACAUUAUCCCCCAGUAAGCAAGCCAAACCAUAGCCCGGAAUAUUAGGUAACGGGCUAAUAGGCAUAAAUCAGAAAAGAUCGCUUAUAAUGUUAGCAAUAGUAAUAAAGAGUAACAAAAAGAAACUAAACAUUUCUCAUACACUUAAAUGAGGGAAUGAAAAGGACCAAAUAUACAAAAGAAUCCCUCUCAAGACAUGGUAAGUUUGGUUCGAGAGCCACAACUAAAAUAUACCCAGAGUACUAGACAGAAUCCAAAAAAUACCUAAUAUACACAAGUUGUCUUGAGUACAAAAGACUAAAAAAGACUAAACCAGAGUAGAUAGAGGAGGAUCAGCCUAGAACGACAGUAAGCUCACCCUUCUCAGAAUCUGUACUGCAAGGCAGGAAUCACACCAAUGUCGGCUGCUACGACUCGGAUCUGCAUCCAGGAAAAGAUGCAAAGGUGUAGUAUUAGUACCAAAUCAAUAGGUAUUUAGUAGGCAUCAUCGGCCGACUGAGCUCAACACAAAAAAGGUGUAACUACAGUGCAAGGAUAUAAUCAAAGUCAAUAGUAGAAAGGUAAACAACUGUCAAGCUAUGCCAAUAAGAUAAAGGAAUAAAUACAAGUGAUAUACAAAAUAAAUAAUGCAGUAAUUACUGACAAAUCAAACAUAACAUAACCUGCCCCCCAUAAGCCUGCAAGUAAUACAAACAUAACCUAACUAGACCCCAUAAGCCCGCUAGGCAGAGUGAAGAAGAUAAUUAACCCAUCCGCACCCCUAUAAGCUGCUGGGAAACACAAGUAGCAAUUAAAGAAAAUAACCUUAAAUAAUCUGUAACUGAGCCAAUCACAUGAAAUUAUAGUAGACCUCUAGAUAUGCACCGAACUUGAAUCGGUACCAAAGGGUAGUAACGAGAGGCCAAAACCGAACUCGAACCGGUAGUAAUGGAUAAUAUCAUAAGGACACAUGCGAGAUUUAAACCAGACAUAGUUGGUAAUAGUAGAGGCCACAUAUAUAGUAUACAACAGAACCCAUAAUCAGAUGUCGGACUCGAACCAAAACUCAAAGGAACGAAAAUUAUAAUCAGAUGCCAGACUCGAACCGAAAUUCAAUGGAACCACAAUAAUAAUCGGAUGCCGGACUCGAACCGGAACUCAAAGGAACGACAACCAUAAUCAGAUGUCGGACUCGAAUCGGAACUCAAAGGAACCACAACCAUAAUAAGAUGUGAAACUCGAACAAGAUCUCAUAGUAACCAUACCCCAAAGAAAUAUUAAAAUUCAUAUCAUACCAUAACAAUGUCAACAUGGUACAAAAGUUCACAAUCAAUGAAAGAAAUAAAGUAUAUACUGAACAGAAGAUAAAAUACGUCAAAUUAUCGUACGCACGUCUUAAUUCUAAAAGGACAGAUUCAAGGAUUGCUAUUUAAUUUCACAUCCUAAAGUGAUAGAUGUUAUAUUAUAUUGAAAUACAAAAUAACAAAAUAUACCAAAACGGGCUAAUAAUGUGGAUAAAUAAGCCAUGCUAUAUAUGUAUAAUGGUUUGCAACUACAAGUAAUUAUCUAGAACUAGCAUAAUAGUCCACAAUUUCAGUAAAUAAUCUCAAUCUAAAGGUAGGGUAAGCCUAGCAUACUUGGACGCCAAAGAUAAAAUAUCUCUUUAUUAUGCCGCUGGAUAGUGCCCUACUAGAAUUCAGACCUGAAUAACUUGAUGCAGAUAAUAAAUUUUUCCCUUAAAUUCUUUCACAACUCACAUAUGUGUGUGUNNNNNNNNNNNNNNNNNNNNNNNNNNNNNNNNNNNNNNNNNNNNNNUAUAUAUAUAUAGUGAGAGAGAGAAGUAGUAAGAGCGACAAUAAUGAUAGAUAUGGUCUUAUAUAGAAAAUUAUAGGCAGGUUCAUCGUGAGAAAAAACAAAGGAAAUAAAGCUGCAAUACAACAAAUACAUACAUAUAUAUAUAUGUACAUACAUACAUAUUUAUUAUCAUUCGUUCAUGCCAGCACAUUCUUUAAAUUGUAAUAUUUGUUAGCUUAAGUGGUAACUUAAAUUUGAAGUGGCGGCAUGCCUUAGCUAUAUGUUGCCUACCCUAUUCGACUUCCACGUGGUGGGUGACAACCAUAUUCACAAAUUUAAUUCCAUUACUUAUAUACUCGGAUAUUGCUUAGAGGCAUGAUAAAAUAAUUAUGAUAUUUUAAAUAUAUCAUAAUUAAUACAAAAUUAUUUCUAACAAAAUCUCCAUUAUAUAAUAAUAUUAUUUUAAUAUUUCUAGAUUUACUAUCUCCACUUAAAAUGUUAAUAGACUAUAAAAGACACUAUAAAGUGAUAUAAAUAUAAUAUAACUAAAGGAAUUUAGUGAAUAUCAAAAAUAUUUUAGAAGGCAAUAAAUUAUAUAUCUACCAAAUGUCAAUUUAAAUUAAAUAUUCCACAAUAUACUUGAUAUUACUAAAAUUAACCAAAAGAACCACCUGAAAAUCGAACUGUCAGUCCCAACAAGUCAUAAAUAACUUAGGAAAGUUAUGGAAAAUCGCUGGAUACUGAAAACUUAUGAAAAUACAGACAAAUGGCCAUGAGGUUUAUUACAGCAUCCACUACUAAAAGGACUUUCGUCCGGGAAAGUAAAGCAUAAGGACGUACCUGAGGACUUAAAUAGGUAGGGAUACUUGGUGUGCAUAUCAUGCUAGGGAGGGAGGUCAGGUAGGCCAGUCGAAACCACAUCAGGAAACUCUCAAACCACAGGGAUGGAAUCAAGCAAUGGACUCUCAGCAGUAACAUCCCAUAAAUACAGAAGACAUGACUUACAACCCCUCAAUAUCAGUCUACUAGCCCGAAUAUAAGAAAUAAUCCCCAUCAUCACGUAGCUAAUAGAAACUUUCCAUACAACCAGAGGUACGCCAGGCAAGGCUAAAGAAACAGUCUUAGAAAAAUAAUACAAGACUACAUGGUAAGGACAUAGCCAAUCUAUUCGUAGAAUUACAUCAAAAUCUAUCAUAUCUAGGACAAUGAGAUAAAUUUGAGUAUUAAACUCUCAAACAGUCACCAAAAAAGACAUAACCAAUCCACUACUAAAGAAUCACCCACCGGGGUAGCUAUACGCAAUGGCACAGAUAAAGACUCAAAACAUAAACCCAACCAUGAUGCAAAAUAAGCAAAAACAUAACAAAAUAUGUAAUUAGGAUCAAACAAAGCAGAAGUUGGUUGAUGGCAUAUGGUAAUAUUACCUGUGAUCAAUGCAUAGGAAGCCUCAGCCUUAGAUCUACCUAAUAUAGCAUACAAAUGGCCCUGAAUCUUGUGGACCAUCUCAUCAGCUCUGUGCAUCACCCCUAUCUUAUGGAGGAACUGACCUGAUCGGUUGUAUCAUAAAAACAGAAGGCUCAACCAUCCUAUGUUAAGGACACUUACGGGCAAAGUGACUAACCACCCUUCAGCCAUAACAUACCUUGGGCACCAGCUCUAUCUAGAAGAUCUAGUGAAUCUGGAAUGGCUACCCUAACUCAACGAUCCUGACUGAAUGCCUCUACCGCUGGCUGUUACUCUAACCACUAGAACUACUAAAACCAGGAUAACCCCUAUCUGAUAUCUGAAGCAAUACUUAUACUGGCUGACUAGGCUAAUGCUGAUGUUGAAAAGGUAGCUACUAGGAGUACCAACUAUAAAAUCCUUCUAUGAACUAUGAAUCAUUACAGCUAUCCUGGUAAAGUGUUCUCUUAUUGCUUUCCCUUAGGCCUCAUGAUCCAUCUCCUCUAUAGAAUAAGCAUGCUUAACUAUCUCAGAAAAAGACUUUUCUAAAGUCACCAAACUCUAUGUAUCCCUAGAAGUGAUAAUCUUAAUCCCUUGACAAAGCAUCUAAUCCGCUCAUACUCCGUAGGAAGAAUUAUGGUGGUGUUACUGGCUAACUCAUGGAAUCUUCCCUCAUACUCGGCCAUAGAUAUAGAACCCUGUCUCAAUGUUGUAAACUUAUUCCAAAGAUGCUCACACUUGCUGCGAGGCAUAUACUUCCUCAAGAAAGCCUUAAAGAACUGAGUUGAAGUCACUGGUGGAGAUCCAAUAUGCCUGGAAUCAAGAUAACCCCUCCAACACCUCCUUACUAUCGUUUCUAACUAAUAAGCAACAAAGUUCACUCCUCGUACCUUAACCAACUCCAAAUUUCUCAAUCGCUCCUCAGAACUGGAAAAAAACUCAUUAGCAUCCUCUCCGGAGGUCCCAACAAACCUGGGUGGUGUCAAUCUAAAAAAUUAGCGAAACAACUUCUUUUUUUUCUGAAGACAUAAAUGGCUGGCCUUCUACCACUUAUGGUACUAUUGGUACUGGUGGAACAUCUGCCCUAGGCACUACUGUCGUGGGCUGUGCUUAUAAAUUAACUCCAUGCCGUGAUGCUAGUUAAGGUCCCUCGUUUAGUGGACCACCAACUAGCCCCAAUAACUGUACCAAUAUAUCUUGAAGAAUUAAUGAAGCUAUAAAACUAGGUGGAGCCUAGGCUACCCCCUGGCCUAUCUGUUGUUGUGUCGGAAUCCUAGGUCUCUCUCAGUCUCAAAAGCUAUAACAGGAUCAGCUGGUGGAUUCCUAAACUGAUCUCAAACUAGGGUUGCUACUUUAUCCUACCCCCGACCCAUAAGUCAUCCUAGACCCUUCGCUGGAACUCUAAUAGUGGACUCAGGGUCCCGAUUCUAGUCUAUCGAACCAUGUAUCCUAUCCAUCAGUGUAAAGAGUGAAUAAAUAAAACUGAUAACCAACUCAGUCUUAACACACAAAAUGGAUUAAGAAAAUAAGGAUUUUCCCUAAAAAUACCUCAUAGCCUCCCGAAGAUAGGAUACAGAUGUCUCCAUAUCAAUCUACGGGACUCUAUUAAAUAUUGGCUCAAGUACCAAUAGUACCAAUAAAAUCUAAGCUCUCAUAAUAAGCUGUCACGACGCAAUUUUUCAAGUGGUGAUAGAGCCUACCUUAUUCCCCAGUAGGCAAGCCAAACCAUGGUGCCUACAUAGUGACUAAUCUAUUUCAUUCUAGUAUUUUCUUUUGACUCAAUGUAUUAAAAAAUAUAAUAGAGUGUACAAAGGCAGUGGUUUGCCAUCAUCAAAAAGGGGAAACUUUUUAGAUCAAUGAAGUUUUGAUGACUGACACUUUAAUAAAAUAUGUUACUCAAGCUGGUCCAAGCAUAGGAAGAUAGGUUAGAGGUUUCACUGAGAGAUACAGACAAGAUUGCUUAAAGUCAGGAAUGUACAAGUAAACCUGGUUCUGAUAUACUCAAACUAUCUUAAUGUGUGAUAAAGUAGAAGUAGAAAUUGAAUAAAAAACAACACUUGAAGAUAGAAUAAGGUGAGUUCAAGAAGGAGUCCUACUGCGAUGAGGGAUAUUGACUUGAAGAAGGACUUCGGUUUAACACCAAACUAUGUUGAGGUGAUGAGUACAACUGGAGAUAUAAGAUUGAUAACACAAAGGACUCUUCAGAGAGUGGUUAUUAAAUAGAGGUUAAACUGACAGUCACAGACACACUUACAAUGAUAGAAUCCAUCAACAAAUUAUCCCUCCAGUCCCAAAGCUUGAAGGAGCCAUAGUUGAAGCUGUUCCUAUUACUAAAAGAUAAGGAGUCCUAGAUUUUAUGUGUUUGGUUUGUUCUUUAGUUGUACUAUUUAUCAAUUUCUAGUAUCAGUGAAGUAUAAACUAAGUUAGAAGUAUUGUCUUCAAGUUGGGUAACUCGAAGAAUUGGGAAUACUUACCCUGGAAAGGUGUGUGUUUUGUAGAAGUUGGAAUUAGAAGUUUAUAACUCUUACUUUACAAACGUCUUGUAAUUUCUUGAUUGUUGAGGUGCAAGUUUUUUAGUGUAGUUGAGGUUAAAUCCCGUAGAGGUAUGAGUUAUGGUUUUUUUACCCCUCUUCGAGCUAGGUGUUUUUGAUACAAGUCAAUUGGGCGUCAACGCGUUUGAUCACAUAAUUCGAGGCGAAUAUGAGGAGUUCUAAGCCUUUAUCGCCUUAAGGAUCCAAGAAUGUUAUUGGCGGCCUUCUUCGAGUGUCUAAUAAAGCAAUAUUAUGUUUGGAAGAUAUCUUGGAGCCAGGGAACACCAUGGAGCAGGAAUAAAGAGAGCCCUUAUCGGUUAUUUCCAAAAUAGACACUUUUGGGCUAAUAGGCUAGUUGUGCAAAAGAAACUACUAUAAAUAGUUACCUUAGUCAUUUCAUUAGGAAGUUUUUGUUGAUUAAAUUACAUAAUGUAUUCAUGAGAACUCCAUGGGAGUGAUGAGGGCUUCAAAAAGCCGAUGUUGAACCUUGCUUAGAAAUGUUGGUUGUAAGGGUGAUAUAAUCACCUUUGCGGUCACGUAAAAGUUAGGUGCUUAUUGAUAGUCAUUAACAGAGGUUUUAGGGUUUGAAACACCCUUCGAUUUCCCUUUUGUUAUCAAUUUUAUAUCUAUCUUUCUAUCAUCAUUAUCUUAUCCUACUAUAUUUACUUUUCUGCAUCUAUAUUUGAAUCCUCGUGAGUCGAUUAAUUUUAGUUUUCCACGUGAAAAUUCACUGUGUUAUUUGCUUACUGUUUUAGCUAGUUUGAAACAUAUUAUUCAAUCUAUUUCAUUGAUAGGCAACAGCUAGGCUAAAAUAACGAAAUCUGUAGGGCGCGUACUAUUAACAACUAACAACUCCAUUCAAUGGAUAAUAAUAAAUCUGAAGAUCAUGCUUUUAUUCAGGUGAACUUCAUACCAUGUCUAGUAGAGUUGGAAAAGUGAUGUAAAAUUACAUGAUUGUGAGUUCAAUUUGAGAAAAUGGCAUGUUCAGCUAAGUUUCUUUUGCUAUAUUUUCUGUCUGAAUUUUUGAAUUUAAGCAUCCGGUAUCUCCAAUCAGAGAAGUAUAAAAAAUGAGAAAGGUUAAGCACAAGAAGGUUGAGAAUGUAAGUGCCGAUUUCUUUGUUUUUCUGAUUGCAUCUCUUUUUAUAUAAAUUUGUACGUGUUACGGAUAAAUAUAAGAGUCCUUACUAUUGUCUAUUCUUCAGGAAAGGUAAUCUUUUUGUUAUAGAAAAAGCUACAACAAUUUAAAUUCAAAACAAAGUCUAAUAGCCCCCUGCAAGAUCAUGUUCGGGAUCGAACCAUGAGAUUGGUUCAAGGAUUGAGGAACCGAUAUAUAUGCAAGUUGAUUUUGAGAUGGAACAUAGAGAACCACCAAUGAUUGAUCUUCAACGAUCUCUUGCACAAAAUGAUAAUCAAGAUGAAUAUGCUUUGACCAUUGAUGGAUGACAGGAUUUCGAGAUAAAAACUGUGCACUUAGAUUAGCACAAUGGACAAUAGGGGGUGCAGUAAGAGGAGCACGUAGCUCACUGAGAAGUUGCUGAACCCAAAUUAAUUCAGUAGUUUCAAAAGCUAAAGCACAAUACUCAUCUUCAGCGCUUGAGUAGGAUAUAGCCUUUUGUUUGCGAGAAGACCAACUUAUCAGGUUACCUUCGUUAAACAAUGCAAAACCAUGUUGGUAGCGACUAUCAUCAAGGUCAGAAUCAAACCAGAACCUGAAAAGGCCACAAGGAUAGAAUCAAACAUAUGUCGUAGUAAGAGGCCAUCAUGGACGGAUCCUUUUAGAUAUCCAUGUAUGCAUUUGACAGCUAACCAAUGAGAAAUGGUGGCUGCUUGCAUAAAUUGGCAUACUCGAUUGACUGCAUAGGAUAUUUAUAGCAUAGUGAUAGUAACAUAUUGAAGUGCUCUUACAACACUACGGUAUAAACAAGCAUCAGGGGAUCACCAAAAAGAGUAAGUCUUGAUCCAGGUUAGGCUGGACUAGGGAUAGGCUUUGUAUCAACCAUGUUAGUUCGAUGAAGUAAGUCAUGAAUUUACCUUCCUUGAGAUAAAAUGAUCCCAAUUGUUGUUGGACUUAAUUCAAUACCUAGAAAAUAAUUUAAGGAUCAAAUAUCUUUGAUAGAAAACUAUUGAUUAAGAGAACGAAUAAAUGCAGUGAUGAAAUUACUAUCACUGCCAGUUAGAAUAAGGUCAUCCUCACAGACAAGAACAUAUGUUGUGUGCUUAGAGGUUUGCUGCACAAAAAGAGAAGAGUCAGAUAAAUAAGAGCGGAAGCCACUACCGAGGAUAAAAACCUUUAACUUAUUGAACAAAGCGUGUGGCGCUUGUUUGAGGCUGUAUAAGGCCUUAUUUAAUUUGCAUACAAAAUGUAGCCGAUGAGGAUCAACAAAAUCUUUUGGUUGCUCUAUAAACACUUGUUCGGAGAGAUCACCAUUUAAGAAUGCAUUGUUAAUAUGAAAUUGUCGAAUGGGCCACUUAUUUGUCACAGCUAAAUAUAGAACAAGACGAAUGGUUGUAGGGUUAACAAUGGGAAUAAAAGUAUCAAAGAAUUAACACCCUCCUCUGGGUGAAAACCUUUCGCUACAAGAUGAGCUUUGUGAUGUUAAAUAGAUCCAUCAAAUUUUCUCUUAACCUUGUAGACCCAUUUACAUCUAACAAUGUUAGAAUUAGGCAAUGGUGAAAUUAAUGUCCAAGUCUUAUUUUUCAUAAAGGCUAAAAAUUUUGUCUGCAUAGCAUGAUGCCAUUAUGUUGUUGUUUCUAGAAUGUGCGAAGUAUCGGGAGGAAGAGAAUGUCAAGAUGUUAUAAGAGCUUUUGUUUUUAAGGAAUUAGUUUUACUUUGAACAACCAGGUGAUGACGAGAGGUGUCGGAGGGGCAAAAAUAGGAAAGGGUUGAGGUUGGGUAAGAGGAAAUAUCUCAUCAGCAGGGGAUAGGUAAUGUAAUUGGAGGACUUGAUGAUGACCUUAAUAUGAGAGAAUGUGAACGCACUAGGCAUUGAGAAACUUGAUUGAGUAAAGAGAAAGAAGAGUUGAUAAAAUGGGAGGAGGAGGAGGAGGAUGUUGUGAUCGGCCGCAUGGAGGAUACAGGAAAGUAUUUUCAUCAAACACAACAUGACGAGUAAUAUAAUUUCUAGAAGACAAGACAUGGUAACAAAGGUAACCUUUAUGACGAGAACUAUACCCAAUAAAGACACAAGGAAGAGACCGAAAAUCAACUUUAUGAUGGUUGUAGGGUCGAAGAAAAGAUAACAAAGGCAAUCGAAAGGUUUGACAAAACCAUAAUCAGGAGAAUUUUUAUAAAGUAAUUGAUAUAGUGACAUAAAGGAAAACGAAGAGGAUGCUGUAAUAUUAGAUAAGUACAUAGCAGUGAGAAAUGCAUGCUCCCAAAAUUGAAAUGGAAGCGAAACAUGGGAAAGAAAAGCGAGUCCUUAUUCAAUUAUAAUAUGAUUUUGGCGUUCCGAUGCACCAUUUGUUUGAAUUCUAUAAGGAUAAGAAAUAUGAUGAUGAAUACCUUAAUUUUGUAAAAAUAAUGAUACAUUUCGGUACUCAACUCCCCAGUCAGUUUGAAAUAAUUUUAUUUUCAUCCCAAACUGGGUUUCAAUGGCAAACUUAAAUUGAGUGAAAAACUAAACAACUUGUGAUUUAUGUGACAUGAAAUAUAUCCAAAUAAAUUUUGUGCAAUUAUCAAUAAAUAAAACAGAGUAGGAGGAUUCAUUAAUAGAAGGAUGGGGGACGGUUCCCAAACAUCAGAAUAAACUAAUUGAAAAGGACUACUACUAGAAACAUGAGAAUGGGAAAAGGGUAGGCGUCGACUCUUGCCUAGUUUACAAGGUUUACAAACAUUUGAAAAAUCAAUGCUAGAAAAAGGUAGACUAAAAUUAGACAUAAGACGUCGAAGAAGAGCUUUAUUUGGAUGAGCCAGUUGACGAUGCCAACAAACAAGAGAUGUGCGUUCAACAAGAAAUACAAAAGGUGGGGAAGACUAAGAAUGAGGCGAUGAUAGUUGAAGAUGGUAUAGGUCAUCAUCAAGUAUUCCUCAAAGCAGUUUCCUGCCCUGCAAAUCAUUCAUAUAGCAAUUAUAAGGAUGAAAUUCCAUAUAAACAUUAUUAUCACGAGUUAUUUUAGAAAUACAACGUAAAUUCUUGGAAAUUUUAGAGACAUGGAGAAUAUAUUUAAGAUGAAUGGGGUUUGUGUGUAGGCAAAAUUGAUAAGCCAAUGUGCGAAAUGGGAAGUUUCAUACCAUUACCAACUGCUAAACAAUCAUUACUCGUUUCAGGCUGUAACGAGAGGUUAUCCAUGUCUGAGCUCACAUGAUACGUAGCACCUGAAUCAAAAUAUCAUGCAGGAUCAACAAUAGCCGUAGGAGAAGCAAAAUGUUAUUGUUUGGGAAUUGAACGUGAUCGUGAUGGCCUUGUUGGUGGAUAAUAUUUUUCAUUGGAGUGAUGGUAGAAAUUAUGAACUUCAUGAUUAGUUUUACUACAUAUUUAACAUAGCACACGAUGCUUGGACUGGCGAUUAUUGGACCGAGAGAAUGCAGAAUGGGAAUAUUGUUGAGGUACCACAGAUUGAUCAUGAUUAUGAGAAUUGUGGGCAAUUUGAUUAGAGAGUGGGGGUGGCCCAAGAAUAGAUGAUAGGUUGGUAUUAUGAACAGGUGGAGAGGGAGGAGGAUAAUCUGAAUUUUGAGUUAAGAGGGCAUGAGAAGGAGUAGAGACAAAUUGAGUAUUAAUGGUGGCAGAACGAAGUUCUUCAGCCAAACGUACUUCUUCUUGAAGGAUGAGUCACAUUUCUUCAGGAGUCAUAGGACCAAAAUACAUAUUAAGUGCAUCCAUGAAAAUUUUGAAUGAAGAAUCCAGACCAUUAAGAACAAAUGAGAUAAAUUCAUCAUCUUGUACAAUGUACAAGCUUUCUGCUUAAGAGUCGGCAAUUGCGCGUUUCUUCUCAAAGUAUUCUGUGAUGAAAAGAUUUCCUUUAGGAAGGUUUUGAAGUUUUGAUUUUAAUUUCAUAACUCGAGCACGUGCCCGUGAUUGAAUUAUACACUCGAUUUUAGUCUAAGCAUCAUAAGAAGAGGUAGCUAGAGUUAAGUGACCAAGAAGAAGAUCAGAAAUUAUUCAACGAAGCCAAACAAGAAUAAGAAGAUCAUUGUGUCACCAUUCAUCAUACUCAGGGUUAGAAGUAAUCACUGGUUGUUCUUGGAUGGUAGCGUACUUUGUAGUAUGAGGGGCGAUAGUAAUGAUUUUUGGAGGAGUAUUGGAACCAAGAAUAAAAGAGUCAAGAGAAAAGGCUUCGAGUAUGUCCCAGGUAUUUUUUUUUUCAAAGACAAUAGUUGUUUCUGUCAAGUUUGAGAGAGAGGUUUGACACCUGGAUAAUGAUAGAAGAACCAAACUCUUUUGCAAGUGAUAACAGGAUGCUGGAGUUUUGAGAAUUGGCCAUAGGAUCAAUGGGCAAAUCUGAUACCAUUUAAAGAAUGAGAAAGGUUAAGCACAAGAAGGUUGAGAAUGUAAGUGCUGCUUUCUUUGUUCUUCUGAUUGCAUCUCUUUUUAGAUAAAUUUGUACAUGUUGAGGAUAAAUUUAAGAGUCCUUAUCUAAUGACUAUUCUAUAGGAAAGGUAUCUUUUUGUUACUGAAAAAUCUACAACAAUUCAAAUUCAAAAUAAUCUCUAAUUAGAAGCAACCGAAAUGUUUGUUGUUCUACAAAGAUACCAAGCUCUUUUUCAUUGGAAAUAUAGGAUAUUGUAAAGGUGCUCCACCAUUCGUUUAAACUUGAGCUGCUUUCCUCCAGUUACAUCUAAGCAUAAUGUAGACCAUGGUCUUAUAAGUCUACAGAUAUGGGCAAUAUAAAGUUUUCCUAAUUCAUUAAAACUUGCUAAACCACUUGUUCUCUAUAGGUAGUUUGUCUUGCAACAUAUCCUGUUAUUAUGACUUGUUUACAUCUGAGUUAUAAGCUAGUUGACUACAAAUGUAAAUAUCUUGACAUAUCUGUGACGAUGUCUCUAUCUCUCAAGGCGAGCUCUGGUAUUUUGGCAUGAGAUAAACUUCUGGGAUCCAUUUGGUCAUUUGGACAUGAAUGACCUUCACCAAAAACAAGAAUCAAAAUGGAAGCCCGAUUCGUGUGCGGUAGGACUAACCACUGAGCAUUGUUACUACAUUCUAAAUGGUUGUUGUAAUUUGAACAUUUGGAUAUGAAUGGCCUUUACCAGAAACUAUAUCAGAUUUUCCUAAAUUAUUAAAGAAUAGAACAAUUUUGAGGUCCGACUAUGGACUUCUUAUUAAAAAGUAAAUAACAAUAUGUUGUACACUUAUUGAGUAUCAAAUAUCGAUUGCGGAACUUAUGACAGUUGAUUCAACAAACUAGCAAUUGCACGUUUCAAAAAAGGACACGAAGUUAAAGUGAUACCAAAAUAGGCUAUAUUUUAAGCAUCCCACAAGUUAAAGGGUAAACUUUUAAAAGGGUAGCAAGCACUCUCUAAAAUAGUGCGUAAGCCUUUUUGUUGUCACUUUAACUUAAUGUCCUAUUUCAGUCACUUUUAACUAUUUAGGGUUCAUUUAGGUUCUGGAUCUAACUUUCAUGGGUCAAAUAAUACAAAAUGCAGGGAGUAUAUAUUUUGUGUAUAAAGUUAAAGUACUUUGACAACAGAAGCUCACUUUCUUGCUUCUGCCAAACAUAUAUCUUAGGGAAAAAUGCUUGUUUAUACGCUGAGGGAGAUGAAGGACAAGAACCCUAGACCUAGAAGCUUUAAGCUUUAACGUUCUUUAAUACAAUAUUAAGCUUCUUCAAGCCUAAUCCUAGAAAACCAGAUUUAUAGAUCUUCCAAGGGUGAAUAUGGUGGAAAUACUCUCAAAAUAGCCAAUCACGUCCAUUUUUAGUUCUAGGCGUGUCUGCAAACUCUGACAUAAUAUUUUUUCUGACCCUUUAUUUUUUACCAUGUAUAGAUCAAGAUCACCUCCUCCCUACAUUUUGUUUUCACGUGAUCAAGGUAUAAGUCAGAUUCAUGAACUUGAUCUGUGUUGCGAUGAUUAUUGUUCUAUACUCCAUAAAAGACCUAUUUUAUGAAGCUGUCUCGAGCUUAACACACCAGUGAAACGGGGAAUGGACAGUCCAGUUAAGGAUUACCCAAUGUGGAGAUUAAUUGGUUCAUGUAAUGGAUUUAUUGGUUUGAUUACUAAUAUUUAAGAUAUAAAAUACUUCAGUUUACAUUAGUAAUCCUCUUUUGGGUGAGUAUUUCAAACUUAAGUUUCCCAAUUAGAGAAAAAUGAUUGUGCUGUUGUUUAUAUAUUUUUCUUUACUAAAGUCUCUGGAAAAGCUAGUGAGAUCAAUGACUAGAAGGUUUGGGGAUCAUCAUGAAGUAUCAGAAUUGGAGGUUUAUACUCUUUGGGUUGAUGAGAAAUGGAGAAAUUUGGGCCAAGUUCCAUAUUCCUGGAUGGCAUGAUGUUUGCCAGGUUUGUGUGAAUGGAGCUCUUUAUUGGAUGGAUCCCAUCAAUAAGGACAACAUUUACUCCUUCGAUAUUUAGACUAAAAAUCUCAAGUCUAUGCCUGCUCCACCUGGUCUGGUAUUUCCAUUAAGGUAUUUGACCCAAACAGAGUUGCAGAGAUCUACAUGUCCACCCUCAUGUUUGACGCUAGUAAUGUUAGGGAAUUAUCCAUGUUUAACUGAUGAUAGUGGUAGCAUUUUUGGGCAUAUUGAUAUAUGGUGGAUGAAAGAGUAUCGAAUAGACAAACCUUGGACUAAAGAACACAUUUUGACUUGUUUGGGGCCGACUGGUUUUGGUCUUGAUAUUUGUUAUCAUAAAUAUUUACCAAUCCUAAUAUGGAAAGAUGGAGAAAUCUUGAUGCAUGGGAAAAAAGGCUCACAUCUAUAAUCUUACUGUUAGGCAGUAGUAUAAUAUUAUUGACAGAAUAUUCUCUUUCCUAGAAUAGAAUUUAAUUACUAAUUGUGUAGUUAUAACAAUAUAUAUUCCUUUCUAGAAUAGAACUCUGACCUACAGUUGUAUAGCUAUAUGUAUUUCAUUAUGUGUUAUGGAAUGAUACAAGUUGCUAUUCAGAAAAUCUUGGUUUCUUAGUUAAGUUUUCUAUCUUGGUAUCAAAAUCCACCAUCUAAUUUUUUUUCCGUUCAGUCUAUUUUCUCUGCACAGGUACUUUGCUACCUUCUUGAGUCCCGUUUGUUCUCUCUCGUUCUUUUCCCCUCUUUUGUAAUAAAUCGAUCAAUGGAUUCACGAUCCUAUUCAGACGAUUUUCUUUCCAUAAAAUUGGAUGCUUCCCAUUUUGCUUUUUGGGAAUUCCACUUUGGAAUCUUUAUUCAAGGCAAGGGCCUUUUUGGGUUGUUACAUGGACUUGCUCGUCCACCAACAGAUGCAAAAGAGUUGGAUCUUUGGAAAUUGAAUAAUGAAAAGGUAAUCGCUUGGAUGCUUAAUUCGGUACAUGCUGAUAUUGCUAUGGGGCUUAGACCUUUUAGUUUGUCUUCGGAGAUUUGGACCCACCUCCGUACAGUCUACCAACAAAGCAACCUUACACGAGAGUUUGAAUUGUAGCGUAACAUUGCAAAAUACACACAGCGGGCUUGUUGUUGCUCUGGUUGGAACAAGAUCAAAUUCUUAGGCAAAAUAUCUCUAAGGAAGGGCUCAAGGAAUUGUUGGAAGAACAAAAUAAGACAAGGGUUGUGCGAUUCAUAAUGAAACUCUGUCCUGAAUUCGAGCCGAUUCAUGGCAGUUUGUCGAAUAGGGAAGUCACACCUUCUCUUGACGUUGUGUUGGCAACCGUCUUGCGUGAAGAGACAAGACUUGAAACUCUAGUUGAUAUGGAGUCUACACCAUUACCUUCUGUUUCAUUACUUGUAGGAAAAUCAACAAUCAUUGCUUCAAUAGAAAAUACUAAGACAAGUAUCAAUGUUAUGAAUGCCAAGACUUUGGUCAUGUCACAACCAAUUGUCCUAAGAAGAAAAAAUUUUAUGCUUAUUGCAAAAUUAUUGGCCAUUAUAUUUUAGAUUUUCGUCAUUGCCCAAAUCGUUCAGGAACUGCUCAUAUUGCCAGACAAAUGUCCCUACAUUAUCUUGUUCCUUCCCUGCAGGUCACGAUCUGGAAAACUAAUCCAAGAUUCUACUGCAGCUGCUCUUCCCAAAGCCAUCUCAAGUGCACUUUGGGCAUCCUCUUCAGGUACAAGUAAUUCAAUUAAAUUUACUUGGCAUCUAAAUUCAAAGGCUUCUAAUCAUAUGACAGGUGAUUUGUCCCAAUUCUCAUCAUUGUCUAGUGAUGUUUCUAAACAUGUCAUUAAUACAACAAAUGGGCACACAUUACCCGUGUCAGGUAUUGGUUCUGCUGGAUAUCUUUCUAAUGUUAUUUAUGUUCCAAAUUUGAAGGCUAAUUUGAUUUCAGCUGGUCAACUAGUUGAUCAAAAUUGUGUUGUAAAAUUCUGACAAAUAGUUAUGUUAUUCAGAAUUUGAAAACCGGAAUGAUCAUGGCCACGGGGCAUAGAUUUGGCAUAAUGUUCCUACUAGAGUCGGUUCACUGUCACUUGCAUCAUUGUUUUCUAUUAGUUUCUGCAGCGGGUGUUACUCUUUCGAAUAAAUUGCUCACUCUUUGGCAUAAUAGGAUGGGUCAUGCUCAUUUUUCUCGUCUUCAUCACAUUAAGCCGGUUUAUUUGUACAAAUUAUGCCGGUUCAAAGUGACAAGCUCCUUUUUCCAUCCCGUUCAUCUAUUUAUGAAGAUCCAUUUGAUUUAGUGGAUAGUGAUGUUUGGGUUCCUUCUCCUAUUUUGUCAAGGAUGGAAUAUAAGUACUUUGUGUAAUUUAUUGAUCAUGUAUCUAGAUAACCUGUGUGUUUUUUAUUAGAAAUAAAUGAGGUUCUGACUCUUAUUAUGAAUUAUGUUUAGUAUGUUCGUGCACAAUUUCAUAAAACUAUAAAAGUAUUUCGUUCUGAUUCAGGAGGAGAGUACACUAACACUAAUCUUGUUGAUUUUUUCAAAAACAAAGGAAUUAUUACCUAACGCACUUGCCCUCGUACUCCAGAAAAAAAUGGGGUCGAAGAAAGGAAGAAUCGACAUGUUUUAGAAACUACAUUGUUUUUGUUGAGUACGUCAAAUAUGCAAAAAAUUUUCUGGCCAAAAGCAGUACAUACUUCUGUAUAUAUGAUCAAUAGACAAACUUCUUCAAUCAUUAGAAAUGAGACACCGUACUUCAAAUUAUUUCAUAGUAAGCCUGAUUAUUCUCACAUGCAGGUAUUUGGUUGUGUUUGCUUUGUACAUCUUCUAGCACAUAAACGAUAGAAGCUUUCAACAAAGGAAGGACAAUGUAUUUUUGUGGGAUACAGUGACACACAAAAGGGCUAUCUCGGUUAUGAUACAUCUCGUCAUCAGCUUUGAAUAUCCAGACAUAUUAUUUUAUUUGAAGAUCAAUUUUCUUGGAAACACAAUGCUAAACAUGAUUCAGAAUCUCUCUCUUUUCUGUAUAAGUUUGAUGAUGAUGUAGUAGCUACAGACCCUCAACUUGAAUCUUCUGAACAGCCCAUGGACUGUGAUAAUGGUGAUCUCCAACCUUCAUCCCCUUCAAGUACUAAUCAUCUUCUUGAAUCUCUGAAACAGACCAUGAACAAUGGUAAUGAGGAUCUACAACCCUCAUAUCUUUCUGAUAUUGACUUUACAUCGUCAUUCUCAUCUUCAAAAGAAGGAUCCUCCCAUCAACUUACUCCUCCACAUCGUUCUAGUAGAAUAAAUUGCCACGCUCCCAAACAACUUGGCUACUCUCCAGGGAAAUUUGGUAAAUCCUAUGCCUUGCAUACCACACUAUAUUUUGUUGAGGUUCCUACAUCUUACGCCCAGGUUUCUACACAAACCUAUUAGAAAGAGGCAAUAUGGGAUGAGCUUUGUGAACUGAAUGAAAAUUCAUCUUUGGACUUUGUUGAUAAACCAGCGGAUGGAGUUCUCAUUGGAAGUAAGUGGGUGUAUUCCAUUAAAAUGAAGGAAUAUGGUACAAUUGAUUUCUAUAAAUCUUGAUUGGUUGCUAAAGGGUAAAAACAAGUGUAUGGGGUGGAUUAUGAGAAGACUUUUGCACACGUUUCUAAGAUGACAAUGGUACGUACAUUAUUGGCCUUAUCUUCAAUUAAAGGCUAGACUUUACAUCAGUUGGAUGUGAAAAAUGUGCUUCUUCACGGUGAUCUAGAAGAAGUGUAUUUAUUAAACCACCACCGGGGUGUGUUAUGGAAAGACCAAAUGUAGUUUGUCGUCUUCGAAAAUCUCUUUAUAUCUUAAAACAGGAUCCCAAAGCUUUGUUGACAAAUUUUGAUCCAUGAUUAAAACUGCACGCUUCUCUCAAAGUUUUUAGAUUAUUCCUUGUUUCUUAAUACUUCUCCGAUAGGUAUCACAGUACUUUUCAUCUAUAUUGAUGAUUUCAUUAUCACCUGAAAUUAUCAAGAGAAUAUUACUAAGUUAAAGAAUUCUUACAUACCUCAUUUAAGACAAAGGACUUGGGACGAUUGACGUACUUUCUUGGGAUUGAGGAUUUAUACUUGCCUACUGGGAUCAUGCUUACACAGCAAAAGUAUGAUAGUGAUCUUGUUGCUAUGACUGGUCUUACUGAUGACAAGGUUGUAUAUACCCCAAUGGAGACUAAUACUAAAUAUAAGGAGGCUGAUGGAGAACCAUUUAGUGAUCCCACAUUAUAUCGGCAGUUGGUGGGAUAAUUAUUUUAUCUCACUAUGACCAGAAUAGACAUCUUAUAUACGACACAAGUUCUAAGUCAGUUUGUGGCUAAUCCUUAUCGUAUACAUCACACUGCAUUACUUUGUGAAAUUCGUUAUGUUCGUGGUUCUAUGACUCAAGGUGUUCUCUUCCAUUCAAAUUCUCCUAUACAUCUACAGGGAUAUACUGAGGCAGAUUGGGCUGGUUAUGCCGAUUCUCGUUAUUCUGUUACUAGUUAGUGCAUUUUUCUAGGCACAUCCUUGAUAUCUUAGAAAUGUAAGAAACAAUCUCGUAUAUCUAAAUCAUAUACGGAUGCCGAGUAUCGGGCUAUGUCAGCAGCAAGUUCAGAAAUUGUUUGGCUACGACAUGUAUUCUCUGAGAUUGGUGUUGCUAUUAUAUCUCCUGCAGUGUUACAUAGGGAUAACUAGUGCGAUUAAAAUAGCUACAAACCCUCUGCAAUAUCAACACACAAAGCAUAUAGAGGUGGACUGUUAUUACAUUGGGGAACUAGUUGUUGACUGUAUUAUCACUCUACAACACAUUUCAUCUGUUGAUCAACUUGACGAUUUGUUUUCAAAGGAUAUGACAUGUGCAUGACAUAGCUAUCUUAGCUCAAAAUUGCUACUGUUUGAUCACCAGUAUCAAUUUGAGAGGGGAUGUUAGGCAAUAGUAUAAUUGUAUAAACAGAAUGUUGUCUUUCCUAGAAUAGAAUUUAAUUAUUGAUUGUGUAGUUAUAAGUAUAUAUAUUCUUUCCUAGAAUAAAACUCUAACCUACAGUUGUAUAGCUAUAAGUAUUUCAUUAUGUAUUCUGGAAUGAUAGUGUAAUGACCCGAGUUGGGGUCCUGGACGUAACGAGCAUCCUGAACCAUAGAGAUCCGAAUGCCUUUCUACAUCUAGUAAUCAUGCACAAUACUCGUAUAAUAAAAAAGGAUGCGGAAAAAUAAUAAACGGAAUCAUGGUCAUACUCUAAAUUCAAUUUAAAAACACUUGAUGGAAAUCCAUCAACAUCUAGACAACAUCUAUUUCAGUUUACAAAAUCUCUACUAUAUAUGAUAUCAACAAACUAUCUGAUUCUGGGACAAGGCCCCCCAGUGGACCUAAACAAAAACAAAUAACAAGUGAUUAAAAAUAAAUAGGCCUUUUGGAAUAAUGAAGGCUCACCAACUACACUCUUCAGCCUGAUAACUCUACAGCUUAGCAGGACCUCUAGACUCAGCCUCAGACCCUGAAAUGAAGGAGGUCAAUACGAUUGUACUGGUACGCAGAGCAAUCCAAAAUAAUUCAUUUAUAUAUAAAAUAGAUGAGAGAAGGUCAUUAAACAUCAAGCAUGAUAUAAGUUAAAAUACAUGGGAAAUUCUUUGAUAAUCAUAAAACAUUAUUGUUAAUGCAGUUCUAAUCUUUGUAUUACUUCUGAGUUAAGUGGUACACCCUACAUAUCUGAAAUUUUCCCACGGACAAUAUAGGUUCCACCAUUAACUCAAUGGACAGGCCCCUAACUCAUGUUUCCCAUAAGGGUUGAAGUAUCUAAAUCCGAUACCCACUAGGGCACUAGGCCAGCGUAUAAUCUCUCUUGGGAAAAUAAUAAACCCGUAUAAGCAAAACACGGUUUCAGGCAAUGAGUUCCCCGAACUCGCUCCUUCUUCGGAUAACUACCUAACUUUCUUAAUUUCCAUUUUUAAUCUGUUCUAAACAUGCAUCUGUUUAAGUUCAAAAUCUGAAAAUCUAAGUGAAAUCUAGUUCCUAUUUUUAUUCUGAGUUUGUUAUGGCAUUAUCUGUUUUGGUGUCGUCACAACAAGACUUGCAAUUCAUGUUUCUGAGCCAUAAAAUAUCAUAUCUUAGUAUCUUCUUUAAAAAUACAUCAAAUUCAGACCACCAUAUCAUUCAAACAGUGUAGGAGAAUUCAUGUUUCAAAAAAAAAGUCAAAACCAUGCAAAUAUUCUCAUCUUUUCAACAAUUCCAACAAGUGGUGGUAAAUUUCUCAAAACAUUCCUGAAAUCCCUUCAAUUAUUACAUUUAGUAUUUAAAUCACGAAUAUAUCUCCCCUCUCCAAUUUUCAAACAUCAUAAAAUUCAUCUAAAAUAAUAAGGCUCUUGACUCAUUCUUUAAAUCAUGCAAUUUAGGAAUCCAUAACUUGCAAAUCAAGUAGUAACAUAACGGGAGAGGAGGAAAACUCAAUAACUCACGCGCUCAAUUCAUAUUUCAAAAUUUCCAUCACAUAUAUACUAACAAAUCAAUUUCAAGGGGAAGGCCUAAAGACUAAAUCAAUCUUGUCAAAAGAUUUCAAGAUGCAUAGUUAUUAUUGUUAAUUCAAACCCCAUUGUGAAAACAUGAUUUCUAAAUAUUCAACAUAAUUAAUAAGAGUUUACUAUACCCAUGUAGUUUUAGGAAAACCCCACAUACCUUAGAUUAUAAGAUUUGAAAGAUAAAACCCAAAUCUUGAUCCUUUUCUUGAAAUCUUGAACUUAAGAUAUUGAUUCUUGAUCUUGAGGAAAAGGAUUAGGGUUUUGUUCCUGGGGAUGGAAGGAUGAUUUCAAUUUUGGAGAGAAUGUGAAUUUGGGGGUCUAAAGUGCUGUUUUGGGGUUAAAAUUAAGUGUUUAGGCUGAAUUAAUAUUGGUGGAAUUGACCCAAAUGCCCCUGGAAAACGUAGAGUUGACUGCAGAAAAAUACACGGGCCGGAAUGGCCAAGGCGCCGCAGUCUUAUCUUCUCGGCUUACUGCCUUUUCACAAAAAUGACAUUUACUUCUUGCUCGGGUAUCGGAUUUUGGCGAAAUUGGUAUAUUUCGGAAGCUAAUUUGAUUAUCUACAAUUUGGUGGGUCUUAAUCUGCAAAAUUCUAUAUAUACAAAAAGUUAUACUCGUUCAAAGAUGACCCUUGUAGAAUCAAAGAUCAAAUUUUGGAUGGAUGAAGGGUUCUUAGCUCAAAUUUGCUAUUGGCAAUUUCCAUGAAUAUUUUUCACCACAUAAUCACUUCAUAUACUAGGAUAAAGAUCAUGACAAUUUAGUUUAAAUAAAAACCAUGGAAUUAGAUCUUACACACGUAGGAACGACGGUUCGAUUUCUAGCUCGAAAAUGCGGAGUGUUACAUUAUCUCCCCCUUGGGAUUAUUUGUUCCCGAAUGAUGGGUAUGUAACUUUUGAAGCUCUAAAAGUGUAGAAUAAAGAACAAAGCCUCUCAUUGAACAUUUUUCCUUAACAAAGUAUUUAAAGGAAUCAAACAAGCUUCACGAUAACCCCUAGCAAAACGUGUAUGCAAGAAACAUGAGGCAAUAAGACUUGAUAUAGGGAUGAUCUAGAACAUGAGUUCUAUGAAUCAUUAUCAUCACCAAAUAUGGUAGGGGGUUAGUUGAUGAUCAUAGACCUGAUUUAUAUUGGUACUAAUCAUGAAUAGGAUUUCGUGGAAGAUAGGAUUGGAAGCAUUCUCUACCUUACAACAUACCACGAAUAGACUUAAACUUAAAGGCACUAAUCAUCUACACACCAAACAUUAAAUAGCAUACUUCACUCUUGCCAACUUACAAUUCCCCAAUCACAUAUCUAGCCACAAGAAUUUGAGUCCUACUACUUAGUACUGCCAUGUGGAAGUCUAAAUCAGAUUAAAAAGCUGCUAACUUAAGCUACGGGACCUUGUACUUUACAUCCCUUUAAGAAUAUUUCUUCAUCUUAUCACUACCGUCAAACACACUCAAGAUUUAUUUUAGAGAGUACCAACCACGUAGCACAUAGGUUUAUAUUUUCAACAAACACAACAUUCAAGCCUAAUCAUUACUACACCCACUACAUGGAUUUCUCCCACUAUGACCUGCAAAUUCGAUCACAUUCACAAAGAUUGUCACCAUAUUUCUCCGUCUUAGCUAUUUCAGACAACAAAAGUUCAUCUCUUUAUUUUCUCUAUCACCUAUAACAUCAACUCGAGAAUCACAUCAAAUUUUUCACCUUCAAGAACAUCUACUCCCAUACCUAACACACUAGUACGCUUCCACAACCACCAUCAUACUAACAUACAGAGGGUCAUUGAGUGACCUAGGCAUAAACAUCAUUAAUGGAAGUGAAAAUAUUAGACCAUAACUUAUGCGUAUUCACUACUAAAGGUAGGACAUGAGUUGAAGAUAUGAUACUGUCACAAAGUGUUUCAUACGUCAAGUGUUUAGAUCAUGAGUGAAGAGUCUUUAUGGCAUAAACUUCAACAUAGCACGAGUUCUUAGGGAUGACCAUAGAGUGGGACAUGAGCACUUACAUCAUGAGUCACAUAACAAAAGUUCGGAAUUCAGAAAGUCAAUGAUUGAGACAAGAAAUUCUACUCGAAGCUAUGGUUUCUUAUUUUCAUAGCUUAAAUGAUCAAGAAUUCACACAACUUUAUCAUUUGGGUAAUCCCAACAUAAAAUGAAUAGUAACAUACGAAAACAUAGUUCUUUAGAAUCAAGCAUGAUUUGGAAUUCCAAUUUAUGGUACAUGAGCAACAUAACAUAAAGCUUGGUUACUUAGAUUACUGGAUCACUGAGGUAGAGAAUCGCUUCUUGCUUUAAAGUCGACACAUGAAAUGAGUUACAUAGAGAGCCUAAACCCUAGGCAUAGGCAAGACAUGAAUACAUAAGACAUCGAUAGAUGUCCAUUCAAAUUGAAGUAGGAGGAUCUUGCUCGAAUAGGAAUUAAUUUAACAUAAUUCUUACUUGAAACUAGACACCACAAAAAUAUUUAAGGCAUGAAUACUCGGGGUAUUACAUCUCCCCGUUGGCUUUAAGAUAUCAUUCUAAAUCUGUGGAACCCCUCAAUCUAAAGCUUUCUUGGAGUAACAAUGAAGGAUCUAGACUUCUUGGGGGAGGAGCUUUAGAGUUCUUAGGGUAUUGCUUUUGAGAAAAGUAAUAAAAAUAAGCCUAAUAAGAUUAGAAUAGGCUUAAAUCUUGCAUUUUAGAUGGAUUAAGGUGAGGAAAAUGACUCAUUUACCCUUAGCAAUGCAAAAUAAAACUGAAAGAUUUACCCCAGCCGGACUGGCCUGGGCACUGCGGGCUCCGGAGCGCCGCUCUUGGCGAAGUGCUGCGGUGCCCAUCGCGGGCUACCCUCCAGGGCUGGACUGAACAUGGCGCCGCCGGCAUAUCAUUUUGGGCCUCUAUUUUGGCAUACCAAACAUGGUCUUAUGCUUGUCCAAACAUUCUGAAACUCACCAGGGAUGUACUAUUGACUUCCCCAAUCAUGAAUCAACUUAGAGAUUAACUUUCGGAGGUUUGGAAGGUCGUAAAUAAAUUCCUCAAAGUUCGAGGGCUUUAGAAAAGACUAUGUCCUAACACUUAGCUAAAAUUUUUCUAAGUCGGGGACCUUUCUUGGCAUGUUCUAAAGGACUUAUCCCAAAAGACUACACCUGAAAGUGUUAAACCCACUACUAAUACUUUCAUCAUCUUCCUCUUUGAUCAAAGUCACCCUCUUAGACUUGAGAAUAUAACCUCUCAUCAAUCUAUCACCACAGUUCCCAAUACAAUAAGGGAUAUCCGUGUACACACGAACACAAACUUCCUUCUAGAAUUUUACAUAAAGACACUAAAUUAUUUCUAGGUCAUCCCCCUUCAAGGAUACUAAUCAUACCUUCCUCUAACCCCAAAGUCACAAACUUAUGACUAAUGUCAUUAUGGGCAUGGACAUCCAUUCUUCAAAACACUUAACACUCUAUCAUCAACACCUUAAAAUACUCGCAUUACACCUCUAAUCACAUAGCUUACAACUUAACAAAAUGUGUUAAAGAAUACCCAAAGAUCAUACUGUCUACCUAUAUUUCCUCAAUUAAACUCUAACGAACACCCUACAAUAGCUUACCAGACUCCUCCAUACUACAAUUUCAAGAACACAAACUAGGUACGCAAAAAACUUAUACACAUAAAUGCUAAACUUUUCUGUUUCAAGUAUACUCUAAAGGCAUUGCUUCCCAAGAAUGCUACUAUUAAUUUUCACUAUCAUGAUCAACCUAUAAUUUCUAGUCUCAUAAGCAUACACAUCCUCACUCCUUAUAACAUAAAAAUCCACUCUCCACUACUUAACCUUAUUACAUUAGAUCGUUAAUCACAUAACUUGUAUCAUAAAAUCUUACCUAACGCCAUAUUAUCGAGGAGCAACAUAUUCUUAUAUACUUAUGCCCUUAUCCACUUAAUGACUCAUCAAUAACUCAUCAUUUUAACACUAGCCCUCAUAUGCACAUAUACCUCACAAUUAUCACUUCCGUUUUCCUAACAUACCAACCUAGGCUGUUUCACAAAGCAUAUCAAGCCUACUAAUUCAUUCCCACAAAACAUACAUCAUCAACCUUAAGCUACUACUCUUACCACCAUAUUCCACAUCUAACAUUCAAGCCUAUAGUCUAGCAACAAUCGUGUACCACCAGUGAAGCAUGUAAUAUAUUAUACCUGUCCAUCAAAUUGGAAAAUCAACAUAAAAUACUCAUGUUAUUUAACUACUACCUAAAAUCACAACCCUUCCAUCACAUCACUAUUACAACCUAAAAUCCACUACAUACCUUCUCACAAGUAGUACUAGUUUACAACCACUAAAGAAAAGAAGGUCAAGAAUGAUAAAGUCACAUAAUAGACAUGGUAAACCUUAAUCUUAUAUUAUAACCCAUUACGACACUAUCUACAUACUUUACUUUCUCACAUCAUACUUACCCAAACAUAUAUUUAGACUACCUUCAAAUUGCACACAGAACAAUGAGUCUAUACUUAUAACUUAGUGUCUAAUCUAACCAUUUUCGUUCACAACCUAUAAGGGGUUUCUAUAACCACCUUAACUAUCCACUCUGGGCUUUUCCCUAUUUUGAAUAAAUAAAAAUCAAAGCCAAACACUUUCUCCAUAACACCCUAACUUAGGAAGGAUUCCUACAUCAGCAAAACACAUGAGGGAUGCUAGGCAUAUAGGUGAGAAAGACUUACUCCCCAGUGAUGCGUUUUAAAGUUGUUUGAGCUUAGGCCCAGAGCAGACAAUAUCACUAGUUGGUUGGGCAGAGACAGGGGUAUCUUGGGCCUAUGUGGUUCAGGAUACCCAUCGCAGCCAUGACUUCAGCUCAGGUUGUGACAGAAUGGUAUUAAAGCCACUCCUUUGUUAUCCCUGUCAAUGUGAGCCAGAGUUCAAAUUAAGUAUAGGCAAAUCCUGGUAAGGUGGGUCAAACCUCAGUCCUGAGCCUAGGCAAAUGCCAUUCAGUAGGGCAAACCUCAGCGAGGACUCCGAGUUCGUAAGGGGGGGAGUGUGUAACACCUUAACUUAGCAAGGAGUCCCACAUCAGCAAUACACAGGAGGGAUGCUAUGUAUAUACGAGAGAAAGACUUACUCCCUUUGACACAUUUUAAAUCAUUGCGGGCCUAGGCCCAAAGCAGACAAUAUCACUAAUGGGUUGGGAAGUUAUAGGGGUCUCUCGGGCCUUGAUGGUUUAUGGUAUCCGUCACGUACAGGGCCUCGGCUUAGGUCUUAAUAGAAUUUGCCUAGACUCAAGAUUGAGGUUGAAACCACCUUACUAGGAUUUGCCUACACUCAAUUUGAACUCUUGCCCAUAUCGAUAGGGAUGACACAGGAGCGACCCUGAUACCAUUCUGUCAUGACCUGAGUUGGGGCCCUGGUCGUGAAGGGUAUCCCAAACCACAUAGGCCUAAGAUACCCCUGUCUAUGACCAACCUAGUAGUGAUAUUAUACGCUCUGGGACCCGGCCUGCAUGGCUUUAAAAUGCGUCACUGGGGACUAAGGCUUUCUCACUUAUAUACCCAGUAUCUCUCCUAUUUUUUGCCAAUGUGGGACUCUUUCCUAAGUUGGGGUGUUACAAGCACUUCCUCCACAAAAUGCCAUAUAAUCCACAAAUGUUGAUACUACACUAGUCCAUCACUAUAAAAGGGAAAAUCAACCCUCAAUAAAUGGUCAUACAACUAAAAAUAUUUAUUUAUACAAAAGUCACCCGCUCUUUGACUUCCAAUCAUAGGACUUCAUAUCACCAACUUCUUAGGGCAAACUCACUACCAAUUGGUCAUGACACUUUAACAUAUAAUACUACUCGAGUGGAAAUACAGUUCCAACGUUCUGCUACACAACAUUCCCUACAAUAAAAUUUUGAAAGGGGACUGGAUACAUUUAAUACCUCUGGCUGAAAAGCACAAUUUUAUCAAGAUCAAAGUUUACACUAGAAUCAAUACACCUAAAGCACUAAUGAACUCCUAUCAAGUCCUUCCACAAUUUUAUAAUCUUUUAUGACUUAAUCAGAAAGGAUCAUACCAUUUAGAUUCUAGACUUCUGCACUAGAAUCAGCUCAAUAAUAAGACAUAUCUAAGAACAUCAGAGUAAUAUUUGGAAUAACUUUACUUACAUAUGGGCGAGACCAUAGCAUGGAUUAGAGUAUUAAAGAGGAACAUCCUAACUCUAUAUCAUGAACUAGAACACUAAGAAAGGAAAACAUUCCUAAGUGCCUUGUCAUCUUUUGUAAUCUUGUUAUCAUUAUGUUGUUGAAACUGAAGGUCUAGUGAAGUCGUGUANNNNNNNNNNNNNNNNNNNNNNNNNNNNNNNNNNNNNNNNNNNNUUUUUUAUGUUUAAAACACAAAAGUCAAAGUAUAGUGGAGUCGUGUGGGGCCUAUUUCGAUUCACUAGCAACUUGUUAUUCAUCUUGUUAUUCUUGUAUUGGUUGGAACUGGGGUUUAGUGGCAUAAUGGAAAGAAAAUUGGUAAGGGUGAUUUAUGGAGUAUAUGUAUAGAUGAAUCUUUUUGCAUGAGAUUGAGUUGGUAAUGAAGUGAUACAUCCUUGUGUGUUAGUUUAGUAGAAGGUAGAGAAGUAGUUAUUUUUUAAGGUGAAUUAUUGUUUGCUUGAAGUACGAAAAAAGUUGUUGAUGGUGUUUGUUGUGCAAGAAGAGUAUAGGUUAUUGAUGAAGGUACAUGGUGGAUGAGUGUAGUUAAUUUAGGCAUCCAUGAGAUUGCAAGAGGGAGUUUAAGUGAAACUUAUAGAGUUAUGGACUUUAGUUGUAAAGGAUAGUUAUUAAUGGUGUUCAGAAGGAAGAUGUGUUAAUGGAUUGUUAGUAGGGCAGGCCAUAUGAUUAUGGUAGAUUUUUGUUGUUAUGGAGUUCUAGUGUACUAGAGUUUCUUGUUGUUUUAUUUCACAUUUUUUUUUCUUCUUUCCAAGUGAGAAUUGUCUGUAAGGUUGGAUUGAAAACCAUGUUUAUCACUAGACAUUAAUUUUGAAUAGUUGAUGGCCAUGAAGGUAGAUGUGAUGAUUUCUUGGUUAAUGAUUCUAGUUAUAGGGAAGUGAUCUAAUAGGCUUAGACAGCGCACGCAAGAGAUUAAGUUUAUUUGAGACGUAGUGAAGUACGAUGUUGUAUGUAUGAUGUAGAAAUAUGCCAAAAGAGAUAUGGAGUUGUGGUAUUUUCUAAGAAAAGUUAUGAUGUAGAAACACGCAAGAGAUUUACUUAUGUGUAUUGUUAUAUCCCCGACUCUAGAGUAAAGUGAUGUUAGUUUAUACCAGAAUGUAUAUAGUGGUUCACAGACUUAGAGUAAUGGCUUAAAUCCAAGGGGGAGAUGAUAGAACGAGUAACCAAGUCAAUUUUUCAGAUGCUAAUAGAUGUUCCAGUAAGUUGUGGAAUUGGUCUUGAGAAAGAACGAUGCUCAAUCUAUUCUUAUUUCAGUAGUUUACUUCAGUUAUUCUGAUACAUACUAAUGAUUUAUGUUUCAGCUUCAUGAUCAUAGUCUGUGUUCAUGCAUAUAAUAGGAAUCAUGUACUCUCCUAGUUCCUAGUAUGAUGAGUUCCCAGUUUGUUAAGCAAUCAGAAUCACUUUUCGUAAGUUAUGAAUUCCAAAAAUUCAGGCAUGCAGUUCAUGACUCUUGUGCACAUGUGAUUCUCUUAAUGAUCAGUGAAAAAUUCAGAUUUAUAUCAGGUACAUCCUCAGAUUAGAUCUCCUUGAUGAGUCCAUGACUUGAGUUCUCUAUUCCUCACGCCUCAAUAGGGUAUCAAGUUAUGCAUAGUACUUCCCUCAUGUUUCAGAUUCCGGUAUUCCAAUUUUUCAAUGACCUUUUCCCUUAGGUCGAGAUAGUGAUGAUGAAUAGUUGUCUAGAUGGAAAAGAGUAAACAUUUCCUGUUGAUGAAAGAUGGUUGUGUGCUUAUUUGAGUUAAGGUAGUGAUUGUGGAGUAAGAUUGAGGCCAAGUCUUUGAUACAUGUCAAGGUUAGUUGAACUUUUAUGUGUUAUAUUUGGGAAAAAUUGUUGUGUGCUUGUUUUAUGUAAGUCCAUAAGUUGAAACAAUUUUGAGGUGAAGUUUCGUGUAUGGCUUGGUUAGUUGAGAAUAUUUUAUGUGUAUUAUCUGAAUAGUGCUGGGAAUUUAUUAUGGAUAGAAUUUCCAGGGAAUAUGAGAAAGAUGCUUUAUGAGUGUUUGUUUAGAAGUGCAUAUGUGGGUAUGAAGAUAGGCUUUAAUGUCAUGUUUGUAUACAUACGAAUAGAUGCUUUGAGUGUUUAAGAAUGUCUAAUGCAAUGUUGAAGGUUAUUGCUGGAGUGGCUAUAAUAAUUAUGCAUGAGAUGAGGAAUUGUGAAAUGCAGGGUGUAUUGAAUUCAUGAUUCAUACUAGUAGUACGGUAUUAUGUGGUGGGUCUUGUGAUUUUGAGUUAGUCUUGAAGAUAAUGAGGGGAUUUAGUUCAUUUUAGACAUUAGUAGAUGAAAAUAUCAGAGGCGAUGUGAGAAACAUAAGUGGAAUAAAUAAGCAUGGUGUUUAAGGGGAAAAUAUAGUUAAGAGAGUAUUUUAGAAGUGUGGCUAACCUUGUAAGUAAGAAGUUGCAUUGCCUAAGGUUUUGUAAUUCUAUCCUAGUUUAUCAGUUACAUGUCUAUACUCCGUGCUAUAGAGUACUGUCAAUGUUGUGAUCCCAUAGUUGGAUGUCUGGUGUAAAUUGUGCCUAAGAUCCUUUUCUCUCUAAUGCUACUAGGACUUCUUUAGAAGGGGUGUUGAAGAGAUACUCCAGUUAAGUAUAAGUGUCCAGUAUAAUUCCGUUUGUAUAUCUAGCAAUUCAGUUUAACAGUCAGGAAAACAAGUUACCAUGGUUUUCACUCUUUUCAGCCAGUCCAACUAUCUGAAGUCCAAUAUGUAUGACCAUCCCAAAAGAUAAUCUAUUCCAUCCGUGUAAGUUGUGAACUCAGUUCCGUCCAAGCAUCAUGUUUCAGAUUCAGUUAUUUAGUCAUGACUUAGUUUAUAAGAAUUCUACAGAUAAUCUCAAAUUUUUCCAGCUAUUUUAGCUCAGACAGCGUAAUACCUUUGUACGAUCUAAAUCUUGGAGCCUAAUCAUUUGUACUUACAUAAGUUAUCACUUCAAAAUCCAAUGUUUGUGAUUUGAGGAUAAACACUUCGGGGGGAAUGCUAAACUCUAAGCAUGAAUCAGCUCCAUAUAAAUAAGUAAUGGCAAGUCUGCUCAGAAUUUAAUUCAUGAUAGAGGUUUAAAUGCUUCAGAUCAAUUAUAUCCUUUCUAAGAAGACACAUCAUUUCCGCUUUAUUCCAUACCUUUAAGCUUCAAUGUUCCUACCCAUCAUUCGGGAACGAUUGAUCCCAAGGGGGAGAUAAUGCAACACCCCGCAUUUCGGGCUAGAAUGAAAACCGUUGUUUCUAUCUAUAGAUGAUUCAAAAUCUAUAAAUCCUAAGAAAAUUUGGCAUCUUAAUCAAUUUUGUAGUGUGGGAACCUAUUUGGACAUGAAUUGAGAUAAUAGAGGUCCCCAAACUCAACGACUAGUUGAAAGUUUUACUAUCGUUCGAGUUUGAGUGAGCAUCAAAACUUGGGUCAACUUUAAUCGACCAUAAAUCUUUGUAUAUAACGAAUUAGAGGGACUACUAUAUAUCAAAUUAAUUCUCUUCUAAUUAACUUUCCAACGAUACCAAUUUUUCCAAAAUUCAAUACCCGAGCAAAAGGUUAUAGCCAUUUUUGUGACUAGGACAGUAGCAUCGUACGAUUAGCAUGCGAUGCAUGCUCUAUCACAUUCACCCUAUUUCUAGGUUUUAUUUUCGCAUUUUAAAUGGAAAAAGUGGUGUUUUCCACCCCCUAUUCAGCCAUAACACAUGAUUAAACUCCCCAGACACAAAAAUAACAUUACUUUCUCUCAAAAUCACAAAGAAUACACCUUAGGGUUUCAACCCAAAAAUCAUCAUAUCUCAAGAUUUAAAGGUAGCUUUUCCUUAAUUAUUCACAAAUCAGAAUCUCCAUUGCGAGGGCUACAAGAAGCACCCAUCAAUCAUACUUAUAGCAUUCCUAACACAAGAGUUCAUUCAAAAUAUUCUAAUUUAAGGUACGUGGUCUAGUUAAAAACACUCAAUUAUGAUUUAAAGAUCAUCGAGCAUUAAUUUAUUAAAAGGGUUUUGAAAUCCAUGAUUUAUUAUGCUUAUUGCAUGUUUCAUGAUAUUGUUGUUUUGUCCUUUAGGCCUUAUCCCCUUAAAUUGAUUUACACAUAUAAGUAUAUGUAUGGAACUUGAAAUUGAGGAUUUGUUUCAGAGCACAAAUAAUGAAAAUCUCUCUCUUGUGAUAACUUUAUGUUUAUGAUUUUAUGGUGAUUGAUUGAAAUGCAUGAUUUAUGGCUUGAAAAUAGUUUACUUAAAUACCAUAGUAUUUUGAGCUUGAUUUAGAGAUUUAAGAGUGGGAGUUUUGUGAUGUAACUAUAUUUUGUUAAAAGUUAAAGAUUUGCAUUAGAUUAAGAGUUUUGACAUGGCCACCUUGCAUCAUUAAAAGUUUGACAAAGAGAGUUGCAUACAUGUAUUUACAUGAGUUUUAGAGAAAGAGUUAUUUGAAAUAAUUUAUUGAUAUAGGGGUCGCGAAUUUAUGAUUUGAAAACAGAGAUUGUAAUAUGCUAAUAAUUGCUCAGAGAUGUGACUUGUAAGUCAAUGGUAUGAAGAAAACAUAAGUAUGUAUGCCAUAACAGAGUAUGUUUUCAAAGAAUGCAUGUUUUAAAGAGUUAAGAAAAGGGCCUAAAGAGGGUUAGGUGGUUACCUAAAGAAGUCUUGGGUUCAAGUAACUCUUAGCCUAAAAUCGUGAUUUUCCGAUCCGGGUGUAUUAUUUUUAUGCUGGCGACGGCCGUGUGGCAUUGCAGAGUUAGAGACUCCAACCCUUGUGGCAUAUUUGGGUUGGAGGUUUCCCCGCGGAGUCAAUGGCAGAUUCCAUAUAGCCCAUGGAAUUUCAGAGUUUUAGGGUAUACCACCUUGCACAGAAGUAAAACAAAGAGUGUCAAAGAGUUCAGAUGAUUUUAUAGAGUCUUUCAAAAAUGCCAAUGUGAUUCCUUACCAUAUGAUAUGUUUAUGAACUAUUUUAAAUUACUCACAUGUAUGUUUAAUAUAAAUUAUUAUUCUGGAUUUGAUCUGUGUACCGGUACAACUGUAUCGACCCCCUACCUCCCAAGUUUGGUGGCUCAGUCUAGGGGCACGGCUAAUCAGUAGAGCAUCCAAAGAGAAGUGAUUUGUGUAGUGGUGAGCCUUCAUUGUUCUAGAAGGGUUGUUAUUUUAGAUUAUGUUAUUCCUUUGUUUUGUCUACAUGGGGCCUUGUCCCAGCUUUUCAGUUAGUUUUCUUUAGAUCAUGUAGAAGAGAUUUCACAGACUGUUCCAAAUGUGGUUUAGUUGAUUUAAGAUUUUAUUCCUUAUUGUUAAAUUGAAUUCAGUGUAUGACCAUGUUUCCGUAUUAGAUUAUAAUUCUGCAUUUUUUUAAUUAUAUGAAUGUAUUGAUGAUUACCAGAUCAAACAGAGUAGGAUAUCCGAGCCUUCAUAGAUCAGGAUGUCCGUCACGGCCAGGCCCUAGAUCAAGUCGUGACAUUUUAAAUCAUGCAAAGAGAUGAUAAAUGCCUAAGAUUUCUUGAGAUUUCAAAGUGAUGACUCCAUUGUGAUGUUACAAAAUUUUUGGGUGGUCAUAUGCAUGUUUUAAUAAUGAUGGGCUAUGAAUUUGAUAUGAUAUAGACUUGCAAGUCAGGGUAUGAUGAUACCCGGUGAUAGUAUGCCCUUAACGGAAUAAUUGACGGAAAUUUUGAAUGCAUGAUUAAUGGUUUUAAAGAACUAAAAUUAGGCUUAAAGAGAGGUAGAUGGUUACCCAAAUAAGGCGUUUGAGUAUAAGGGCUCAUCACCGAAAUAAUUGAAUUUGCCGAUUCGGGUGAUAUGAUUGGCUAAAGCCAAUGUAUACCUGUCCUGGAGAUGCUGGUAUACUAGAAUAGAAUUUUAGGACUCCAGUCUAUGCGGCAUACUUGGAUUGGGGACUUGGCUGCCAAGUUUAGGGCAGAUUCCAUAUAGCCCAUCGGAUCGUAGAAAUAUAGCUUGUACCAUCUAUCUCAGGAUUAAUAUAAAGAGAGAGACAAGUUUUCAAAGAGGUUCCAUGGAGUUCACUAAAGUAUGCCUAUGUAUUUUUACUUACUUACUAUUAUUAUUGACUUUAGGAAAUGCUCUAACUUAUUUUGUAUUAAAACAAGUUAUUUUGAGUUGUUUCACAUACCAGUACAUCUGUAUUGACCCCAUAUAUUUCAGGAUUCUGAGACACAGUCCAGGGUCCCGUUAAGCAGUAGAUUGUGUUGUCAGGAGUUUGCAGCAGGUUGAGCCUCCCGUACUUCAGAAGACCUGUAUUAGAACUUGUUAUUGUUCUUUCAUUUUGAUUCAUGGUCCGACUGGGGGCCUUGUCCCAAAUAUUAGACUGAUUUCAUUUCAGUUAUUAGAGAUUUCGUAGACUAGUGUUAGGUGUUGUGGAUCUUGAUGAACUCAUUUCAGUAUUGAGUAGUUUUAAAUAAAAGUGACCAUGAUUCCGUUUUGUUUUUAUUUCUCCAUUUUAUCUUUGUACAUGAAUGGUGUAUGAUUGCAAGUUAGAAGGGCUCUCGGGCCUUCAAGGUUAGGGAUACCCAUCAUGGCCAGGGCCUGUUUUGAGUCGUGAGAGUUUCACGCAUGUACAUCCAUCACUAAAUAAGAGAUAGUCUCCUUCAUGGGUCUUUAUCAAGAGGAGGUCUUAAAUUUCUCUCAUCACAAGCUUUGAUCAGCCAUAAUUCUCACCCCUAUGUUAGAAACUCAUUUCAACUUGAGGUCCCAUAAGGGUGACAUAGGAAGAAUCAAAUUUUUCUUUGUCCACUGGUAAUCUAUCCUUCUUUCUUCUAGAUAUAGGAAGGUUUCUCGUGUCUUUUUCAGCGACUAUUCUAGAUGGACAUACUCCACUUGUGUGACCAUUUAUUCCAUAAUGAGUGCAUAAGAGAUUCUCCUUGCCACUAAGAUGUUUGCUAAGUGAGUUUGAGGUGUUACUUUGACUAUGAUACCUCAAUCCCCUCCUGCUACUUAACCCUUGAUUGGUGAGAGUGGUUACAACUUGAAAUGAUAUAGUCCACCUGAGAGUCUUUUCAAGCUCAGCCUAAACCUGAACAAUUUUUUUCUCAAGUAACGAAUUUCUUUCAAGUGAAGCAGUCAAAUCAGCCUUAGCUUUAGCCAAUUCUUCCUCUGGCUCAAAUUGUUUCCUUCUUCCAUCACUCUUCCCUUUUGAAUCAUUCUUAGACAUUUCACUAAGCUUCUCAUUUAUAAGAUUAUUUUUAUGGGAAAGUGACUUACCUGCAGCCUGAAUCUCAUUCACCUGCUCAUUCAAUUCAACCAUCUCUUCCUUACAUUUAUCGAGAUCCUCCUUCAUCUUUGCUUAAUCUUUGGUGAGAUCAGUGACUUGUAUGCUUAGGUUAAUCAUUUCUCCUCACAAUUUUCCUGAUCUUCAUUUUUGGAUUUCUUUGUCUUUGGUGAGUUCAUUUACAGUGUUAAUCAGCACAACAGCAAGAGAUUUCAACUUGAUGGGUGAGUAGUCCUUAAGAUUUUCCUUAAUAUCCAGGAGAGUUACCUGAUCAUCUUCAUCAUCGUCUGAAUAUUCCAUCAGAGAAAAGAGUAAAUUAAACAAUUGAGCAUCAUCUUCCAUUACCAUUUUGGACAUGUCUUCUUCUUGCUCAAAUUUAUCUGAAUCACUGAAGGAGUCACCCCAAGCAGACAUUACCUGAUUAUCAACUUUGUCAGCUUCAUCUUACCUAGUAUACUUUACAGGGACCCGGUUCCUACCUCUUUCCUUCUUAGCAACUUGUUUCACAUAACCCUUGUACUCAACUUUGUGCAUAGGACAAUCCUUAAUGUAAAGACCCAGCUUCCCACAUUUGUGACGGGUGUAUUUUGUCUUUCCUUCCCUAAUGUACUUGCUGGAUUCUUCCCUUCUAGGUAGAGCACCUGACUUUCUCAAGUCUUUGAGGAACUGUUUUGCUAUAUAUGCAGUUUUAUCCAUCCUCAGCACUAUUAGUCUCCUUGGUUUCCUAUAGGGCCAGACUCUUCUCCAUCUUCUGCUUACUCUUGGACCUGUCCUGUAUCUUCAUAAUCUUGUAAGUCUUGAUAUUUCCAAUCAACUCAUCCAUGGUAAUAUUUUUCAGAUUUCUGGAUUUAGUGAUGGCAUUAACUUUACCAUCCUAUUUCUUAGGAAGGAUGCUUAAAAUCUUUCGAACUUGUUUGGUCGUUCUAAUAUCCUUUCCCAAACGGUGAAGCUCAUUUGUUAUUGCUUUGAAUCUAGUGUUCAUCUCCUGAAUAGAUUCUCCUACUCUCAUGGUAAAAGUCUCAUAGUGGGUGGUUAGCGUAUUUAUCUUUGACUCUUUCACCUGAGUUGUUCCCUCAUGGGCUAUUUCAAUGCAGUCCCAGAUCUCUUUGGCAGUCUAACAAGUAGAGAUCCUAUUGUACUUAUCAGGACUAAAUGCCUACAACAAGCAGCUCUGUAGUUCUUCUCAAUCUUCUUCCUAUCAGUUUCAUCAAAUUCCUUUUUACUCUAAGGAAAUUGUGAAGUCACUUCACCAACGUUUACAGUUCUUCUGGAAAUAAAAGGACCGUCUUCAAUAAGAUCCUACAAUUCAGAUUCUUCAGCUACGAUAAAGGCAUCACCCUAGUCUUCCACAACCCAUGAUAUUCUCAAUUGAACCUAGGCAGUCUAGUAGUGGACAGGCCUUCUUCAAGAUUUGGAGAAGCAGUCAUAUUCAAGAUCCUUACAAGGUGUUAACCUUUUUCAGGAAGAGCUUUCUCAUAUACCAAUUAAAGAGUUCACGCGAGUUACCCUCCAACUUUGGGACCUGGUCCCAAAUAGUCUCAAACAGAAACAAACUAAACAAUAAAGUAUGAGAAAGAUAAAGUAAAAGAUACAACAAUUUUACGUGGAAACUCCUUGCUCCAAGGAGAAAAACUACGACCUACCUCAAGAAUUUCUAUGCUCCAUUAAUAUUCAAGCAACGUGAAUACAACUCCAUUGCAUCCAGGAUGAACCUCCUAAUUCUUUCUCCUAGUAAAAACUCUAUUAAAAAUAGAACUUGUAUCAACUCUACUGCACACCACCCAGCCAAGUCUAAUUUAGUUGACUAGCUAACUCUAGCUUCAUUAUCACCUAACUCUAGAUGAAAAUAAGUAGUAUGGAACUAAAAACACCAACACCUACUAAUAACAACAAAAAUAAUAGGCUAUGUUUAUAAACAUAGUACAAAGACUCUAAUACAACAAGAAAAUAAAAAUACUAUUUUGCGAGCUAUUAGUUCCCUAUUGCGAAUGUCAUUGAUUCAAGAGUUUCAAGAGAGAUAUUUUGUUUUGAGCGUAUGGAGGAUUGAUAUUCUUGUUGUGGAAGAUGAUCAAUAUAUUUAUGACACAAGAAAACCUAUAAAGAGUCCGACUAGCUGAAUAAAAAGUGCAACAGCUUUUCCUACCAACUUUUGUACUUUCAUCCAGCUGUAAAGUUGACUGUAACAGUGACAUAUAGACCCAACCAACACUCUAAGUAGUCACAUCUUUGUCAUCACACAUUUUCACGAACUAAGUCUCAACAUAUAAUUUGCCAAUCAUCAAAACUAAAGACUUAAUAGUAUUAGUAUUGAUUGUAGCAUCAGGCCAAAAUUUCUUACAUAACAUGUGGUAUAUUGAUGUAAUAUGGUCUAAUCCAAAAAUCAUAGUAUUGAUGAUGCCUUAAAAUUAGAAAAUGAUGUGCAAUGUCUGAAUAUGGUUUGCAAUGAAAAUCCAAAUGGUGAAUGCAUAUGAUGAUGUGUUUGUUUAUGUAGUGGUGUUUAAGAUCCUAUCAAAUUCCAUAAUUAAGAGAUGAGUGCAUAAAGUUGUAACUUAUUGUUCAUUGUUCAUUGCAUAAUUCGGGGGGUUUUCCCAAGAAAACAAUGACAUAUAGUUGAAAUGGCUUUGACUUUGGUGAUAAAUAAUGGAGUACCAAAGCAUCUAUGGGUUGAAGCAUUCACUACAUCCUGAAUUUCAGCUUGAUUGUUGUAUCCAACACCUAAAGGGGUAGAAAAUGCAUAAAUAAGGUUGCCUUUACUAUCUCUAAGUAUAUCUCCUGUUCCAAUUCUUCAUUUUUAUUCUUUAGUGUACUACCAUCAGUAUUCAAUUUAACUAUGGAAGGAGGGGGUUUGUACUGCAAAUUUGAAUAACCUUCAACUCAUGUUGAUAAUUUUCAAUACAGAGCACCUUGGAGAUCUAAUGGAAAGAAAUGCACGUGUAGGAAAUAACAUAUCUGGGAUAAAAGUCAAACACGACUUCGUAACUAAAGGAAAGAUAUAGGCUUCUAUUUCCUUUUCUUUUUGGUUACUGUCUUGGGAGUCGUGGUAUUGAUCCAUUACUUUACUGAUCUCAGGGAUGGAUCCCUACCUCCAGAAGGUAUUUUUAAUCAUUGGGGUGUGCUGAUGUUAAUUAGAAUUCUAUUCCUAAAUAUCAUUUUAGACUUACCCUACCCUAUUUAUUUGAGAAAAAAUAAAUUCCAAAUCCAUAACUGUUCCUUGUAAGUUGAAAAAGGUAGUUAUGUGCAUCUCAACUUCAAGCUAGACCCAGGAAAAGCCCACUCACAUAUUCUUUUACACGCAGAAAUGGUGCAUUUAAAGCAAACUAAGAGCAGGGAAGAAAUUAUGACCAGUAAAAUUCUCACCAAUUAGGAUGCGUGACUGACCUAUCUUUUAUUUUUUGACAAAUAAUCUGGGCAUUUACCUUUGAUCUGGGAGGGCUUCCACUAGGGAAAGGCACCUACUCUCCAAUUUUUAUUCUUCGUUAUCUAUAUGGAACUUAUCUAAAACCACGCUAGCUACUGUGUCAAGCUCAUAUCCUCUGCCUCUUUCUUGAAAAGAAACUAUGCCUGAUAAGGCAAAUAAAGACUCAUAUUUUUUCAUAUAUAUAUGUGUCAGAAGCAUCAAAUGAGGUUUUAUGAGGUGGGGGAAUCCUAAUCCAAGUACCUAAGCUCGUGUUUACAAGGGAUAGUUGAACGCCCCGCAUUUUUGAGCUAGAAAUCGAACCGUCAUUCCUACGUGCGUAAGCUCUAAUUCCAUGGUUUAUAUUUAAAUUCAUGUAUCAUGAGCCUUAUCCUAGUUUAUGAAGUUAUUAUGAGGUGUAAAGUGUUCAUAAAAAUCACUUGGAGCAAGGUUGAGCUAAGAGUCAUUCAUUCAUCCAAAGUUUGAUAUUCGAUUCUACAAGGGUCUAUUUUGAACAUCUAUAACAUUCGAUAGACAUUGAAUUUUUUAGCUCAAGACCCUCCAAGUUGUUGAUAAUUGAGUUAUCUUUCCAACGAUACCAAUUUCAUCAAAAUCUCAUACCCGAGCGAAAAGUUAUAGCAUUUUGUGUGAGAGAGGCAGUAGCUUUGUGCGAUAAGCUUGCGACACGCGGUCUGUCGCACGCACCUAAUUCUCAGGUUCUGUUUUUGCAUUUUUAAGGGCUAAAAUGUCCUUUCCUUCACGCUAACACACCUAUAACAUAGAAUUUCAGCCUCAAGAAGCAUCGAUUGCAUCUUUUAUUCGAUUUUCUGUUAAAAAUCAAAACCCCAACUCAUCCCCAAAGAUCAAGAACUCAUCCCUAAGAUCAAGAAUUCCAAGAAACGAAUCAAGAUUUGGGUUCCAUCCUUCAAAUCUUAUAAUCUAAGGUACGUGAGCAUUUCCUAACUAACAUGGUCUAGUUGAAAACCCAUUGAAUUUGCUUUAAAGUUUAGAAAUCAUGAAUUUACAAAGGAGAUUAGAGAUUUAUGUUUAUAAUUGUGCAUUACUAACUCUUUAAUGACAUUAUAUCUUUGGUCUUGAGGCCUCCCCGUGGAAAUUGAACUCUUACUUAUAUUUAUAUUUAAAUGCAUGGACUUGAUGAAUCUAAAUGUUGAAUUGAGAGCAUCAAUUAUUGGAAAUCCAUCCCUUGCUUAACGAUUUCUUGUAUUAGUACACCAUGAUUUGUUUGAAUGUACAUUGUGAAGUAUGUUACAAAUGCUUUCUUGGUUGUUAAGACUUGAUUAUGGUUUUGCAAUGAAGAGAGGGUAUUGUAUUUGGCGUUAAUGGUUAAAGAUGUUCAUUAAGAAACUUGCAUGAUUUGUCACAAAUUUCAUGGCCAUCACAUGUUUGUUGAAAAGCUGAAAACAAUGCCUUUUAUAUAAUUUGACAAAUGCCUUAAAGUAUGAAUCUGCUUGAAUUGUUUAAAAUAUGGUGGCCCAAGCCUUAUGUUUUGAAAGAGGGAACUGUUAUAUGAUGUUUUAUGGCUCAGAAAGAUGAUUUGAAAGUUUUGGUAUGAUGAUACAAAAUUAGAUAAGGCCAUGAUAAAACUCCGAACAGAUUUAUACUGGUUUUGGGACCUCGGAAGUCUCGUAAUGAAAUCCAUAUAGAUUAUUUCGUAUUUCAAUAAAGGCAAGGAAACCUCUUGGGAAGUACCACAAGCCCUCAUAUGUUCUACCUUAACUUGUUGAUAGUUCAAACACUUGGCGACAUAGUUAGCCACAUCGCGCUUCAUAUUAUUCCACUAAUAAAUGGUUUUCAGAUCAUGAAACAUCUUGGUAGAGCUUGGGUGAAAAAUAUACCUUGAAGUGUGAGCUUCAUCAAGGAUUCUCUUUUGUAGACCAUCUACAUCUGGCACUCACAAUAUACCCUAAUAUCUCAAAAUACCAUCACCACCAAUUUCAAAGGACAUUACCUUCUGCUGACCCACAUCUUUCUUGAUCUGCAUCAAUAUGGGAUCUUCGAUCUGUUUCUCUUUAACUUCUGCACAAAGGGAUGAUUUAGUUAUCUCGUGAACAACUACCCCUCCAUCUUUAAAAUCUAAGAGUCGCACUUCAAUAUUUGCUAGUCGAUGAAUAUCCUUCACCAUCUCUCUUUUCACUUCUUCAACAUGAGAAAGACAACCCAUAGACAACCUGCUAAGGGCGUUGGCAACCACAUUUUCCUUGCCCCAAUAAUAGUGUUGGCUCAGGUCAUAAUCAUUUAGAAAUUCUAUCCAGCGCCGUUACCUGAGGUUCAUUUCUUUCUGCGAGAAAACAUACUGUAAACUCUUAUGGUCAGUGAAAACAUCAACAUGCACCCCAUAAAGAUAAUGUCGCCCAAUUUUAAGUGCAAACAACACAACCACUAGCUCUAAGUCAUGGGUGGGGUAAUUUCGCUCAUGCAACUUCAACUACCUGGAUGCAUAAGCCACCACCUUACGGUGCUACAUAAGUACACACCCAAGUCCCACACGGGAUGCAUCACAAUACACAACAAACCCUUCCUUACCUUCAAGAAGAGUCAAAAUAGGAGCAGUUGUUAACCUAUCUUUUAACUCCUCAAAAUUAUUCCCACAGGAGUCAGACCACAUGAACUUCACCUUUUUCUAAGUCAACUUAGUAAGUGGUGCAGCUAUGGAAGAAAAAAUCUCUACAAAUAUUCUGUAAUACCCUGGCAAACCUAAGAAGCUCCAAAUAUCAGUUGGAGUCGUGGGUCUGGGCCAUUUUCUCACUGCCUCAAUCUUCUAGGGAUCAACCUUAAUCUCAACACGAGACACGAUAUGCCCCAAGAAAGAAAUAGCAUUGAGCAAGAAUUAGGUCUUGCAAAAUUUAGCAUAUGACUCAUGAUCUUUGAGAGUCCGAAGGAUGAUUCAGAGGUGAUUGGCAUGGUCCUCCUUACUCUUGGAAUAAAUCAGAAUAUUAUCAAUGAAAACCACAACAAACAGAUCUAGAAACUGAUGGAAAACCAUUUUCAUAAGAUCCAUGAAGGCGGAAGGGGCGUUAGUCAACCCGAAGGACAUGACUAAGAAUUCAUAAUGACCGUAUAUGGUUCGGAAAGCUAUUUUGGGAAUAUCUGACUCCAUAACCUUCAACUGUUGAUAUUCCGAAUGAAGGUCUAUCUUUAAAUAAUAUUUAGCACCCUGAAGCUUGUCAAAAAGAUCAUCAAUCCUAGGAAGAUGAUAUUUAUUUUUAAUUGUGACCUUAUUUAAAUAAUAGUAAUCUAUGCACAUACAAAGGUAACCAUGUUUAUUUUGCAUGAAAAGUACAGUUGCACCACAGGGAGAAACACUGGGACAGAUAAAACCUUUAUCUUGAAGAUCUGCUAGCUGCUUUUUCAACUCUUUUAACUCUGCUGGAGCCAUUCUAUAUGGCGAAAUAGAGAUAGUACGAGUAUAUGACAAUAAAUCAAUGCCAAAAUCUAUCAGCCUAUUAGGUGGUAUUCUUGGGAGAUCAUCUAGAAAGACUUCUUGGAACUCAUUUACUGCCAGGAUAGAUGGAAAGAAAGGACUUUCGAUAUUAGAAUCUUUAACCUGAAUAAGAUGGUACAAACAACCUUUGGAAAUAAAUGUAAGGGCUUUGAUAUGAUAUAUAAAGUUACCUCUAGGCGCUAAUGAAUGUCCCUCCCAUUCUAUCAUCGGUUCACUUAGAAAAGAAAAGGUGACUAUUCGGGUUCUAUAAUUUAAUGUGGCAUAGCACAAAUGAAGCCAGUCCAUCCCUAGGAUAGCAUUUAAAUCAAGCAUGUCUAAGCCUAUGAGGUCUGCCAUUGUAUCCCGGCCACAAACAGCCACCACACAAUUUCUAUACACCCUCCUAGCAACUAGAGAAUCCCCUACCAGAGUGGAAACAGAAAAAGGAUCAGCAAUCACAUCAAGUUCAACCCAAAACCAAACAGCCACAUAAGGGGUCACAUAUGACAGGGUAGACCUAGGAUCAAGUAACACAUAAACAUCAUGGGAAAAGAUUUGUAAUGUACUAGUAACUACAACCGGUGAGGCCUCUGUCUCUUAGCGGUUGGUUAAGGCGUACAACUGGUUGUGGCCAUUUUCGGUGGCUGAAGUAGCACCCUUCUGAGGUGGUGGGGGUGCAGAAAAAUUAGCCUGUGACUUGGCUCCACCAACAUUACCCUUUACUGUCGAACAUUCUCUAUGGAUAUGGCCUGGCUGGCCGCACGAAUAACACUCCAUAGCGCCAUACUGACAUCUCCCUGAUGAUUCCUCCUGCAUUUCUCACAGCAUAGGUAUGUCUGAGAGGUCUGAGCUAUACUUCCUUGAGACUGUGAACCCUGCAUCCUCAGCCCCUACCUAUACUGAAAAUCUCUUGAGUACACUGUACGAAUGGGGGUCUGGUCACAAGGGCACUAGCUGCAGACUGUGCAUUACCCUAAUUUUUCUUCUUUUAUCAUUCGUUACCCCAAUUCCCACUCUGCUACUGAUUGUAGCUCUGGUCUGCUAUUUUGGCUAUUUUUGCCUAUCUAUCGUUCUAUCUAGAUUCGGUCAUCUUCUUUUUAUUUUCCUCCACUUGCUGCAUGUGGACUGAGAGUCUUGUAAAACCCAUGUCCUAGUUCAAUAUUGCUCCCUAACAUUAAAUCCCAAAGUCAUCUGAAAGUCCGGAUGCGAAUUUCCUUUUUCGGGCUCUCAUGUUACCAGUCAUCUCUUGAGCAUAAGGGGCUAGUUGGUUGAACUUCAAAGUUUACUCCUGGACACUCAUCUUUCCCUAUUUUAGAUUUAUAAACUCUUUAGAUUUGGCCUCCCUCAACUCGAGAGGAAAGAAUCGAUCGAGGAAGGCUUCCACGAACUCGGCCAAAAUUGUGGACUCGGCAUGCUCACUCUUUGAAUCUUCCCACCCGUUAUACCAUUGGUUCGCUACAUCCUUAAAAUGGUAAGCUAAUAACUCAACCCCCUCUACCUCAUAUACAUGUAUCACCUAAAAGAUCUUCUCCAUCUCGUCCACAAACUACUGUAGAUCCUCUUAUACCUUGGUACUAGUAAACUUAGGCGGGUUCAUCCUCAUUAACUAGACCACUCUUGUAUCCUCAGACAUAACAGAUGUAGACCUAAUAUCUUCUGACUAUUGAGUCUAUGUGUCUACCAUUUGUGUAAGCAUGUGAAUGGACUAUCUAAAUUUUGCAUUAGAUACUUCUUUCUCACAAAGUUGAGUGCGGUUGGUCCGCAUCCAGGGAGCUCUGGGCGCCUUAGGUGGGCUGGUCUGAGUAAAUGGGACUCCCAGAGUAGUAUCAUUCUUCAAAGUCUGAGCUAUAUUUUGGGUCCUCAUCCCAUGAGUAGGACAAACCUCAUCUUUCUGAGCAUUCUGAUCAGGCAUGGUUGUUUUUCUUAAAUGCAAGGGAUCACGGAUUAGAGGAAAGAUUAGAUUCCAAAGCACAAACAAAAUUACAAAGAGGGGAAAUAUUUCUAAACACCUAGUAGCCUCCUGCUUAUAAGUGCGGUGUGCGACACACCCAUAAAUAAGAUUCUACCGAAUGCAAUUUUGCAGACACCCUGGUACCAUGAACCGUGCUUUGAUAUCAAGUUUGUCACGCCCUGAACUAGCGCCUGGAUGAGAUGGAGAUCACAAAACAUGAAAGCACGGGCAUCGUACUUUAUUUGGAAAGGGUGCACAAUAUUCACAUAAUAAAAGGAGUUGCAGAAAUAUAAUCUGAUGCGGAAACAUGGUCAUACUCUAGAUUUAGUUUAACAAUAAGGAAUGAAAUCCAAACUCAACUAAACAACAUUUGGAACAGUCUACAAAAUCUCUACUACAUGAAAAUCUGACAACUAUCUGAAAGCUGAGACAAGGCCUCCAGCAGACCAAAAUAAAGGAACAACAUAAUCUGAAAUAACAGGACUUCUUUAACAAAGAAGGCUCACCACUGAACAAAUAAUUUCUCUCUGGUAUACUCUACUACUUAGUCGGACCCUUAGACUGAGCCUCUAAACCUGGGAGGUAGCGGUCAAUAUAGAUGUACUGGUAUGCAGAGAAAAUCCAAAAUAAUAAUUUAUAUUCAACAUAUAUAAGAUCAAUAUAGAUGGGCAUUUCUGAAAGACUCUGAAAGAAAAUCAUCUGAACACUGAGACAUUCUUUGUUUUACUUCUGCGCUAGAUGGUAUACCCUAUAACUCUAAAAUUCCAUGGGCCAUAUGGAAUGUUCCAUUGACUCAGCAGAGAUGCCUCCAACCCAAGUGUGCCACAAGGGUUGGAUUCUCUGACUUUGCUAUGCCACACGACCGUCGCCAGCGUAAAAAUAAUAUAUCCGGAUCGGCGAAUCACGAUUUUAGGCUAAGAGUUACUUGAAAUCUAGUCCUAGCUCUCUUUAUGCACAUAUUUAACUCUUUAAGACAUGCAUUCUCUGAAAACAUACUUUGAAACUCUAACUCUAUUAUGGUAUCGUCAUACCACUGACAUGCAAGUCAUAUCUCUGAGCCAUUAUUAGCAUAUAAUAAUCUCUAUUUCAAAACAUAAAUCUGGGACUACCAUCUCAAGAAAUCAUUUUAAUAAACUCUUUCUUAAAGCUCAUGUAAACAUACGCAAGAAACUCUCUUUUUCACCAUUUUAAAUUCACAAGGUGGUCAUGUCAAAGAUAUCAAUCAUAUGCAAUUUUUUCUUUUUAAGACAAGAACGAAAUCGUAACAAGAAACUCGCUCUUAUCAUUAUAAAAUCAUGUUAAAUACUUAAAUAUUGAAAUGAUCCCCUUCAAAUUAUUAAACAAGCUUCUCAAAUCAUUCCCAACAAGUUCAUCAACUCUAAAUCAUCAAAGAGAGGGGUUUCAAUAAUAAUUCUCUCAAUCAAAUCUUCAACAUCAUACAUAUUCAUAUAAGUUUAAAUUAGUUUAAUGGGUAAAGGCCUAAAUACCAAAACAAUAGUAUCAUCAACACACCAAAGAUGCGAAAUUUAAAUCAUAAGUUCCAAAACCGCUUUAAAAUUCAUACUUGAUAAUCCGUAAAUCAUGUUCUAGUGUUUAUAAGCCCAUAUAGUUUUUACUAUAAACCCCACAUACCUCUAUUUAGGAAAUUAAAUGAUGAUUCUUGAUGCCCACGUCUUGGGGAUUCCAAAUCUUCCAUCAAUUUCUAAAACCCACGGUUGAAUCUUGAGUUGUUUGGAUUUUCUUGUUUAAAACCCUAAGGAGUGUUCUUGAUGGUUUCUGAUGAAAAUAUUAAUAAUGAGGUCAUUUGGAAUUAAAAUCUCGUAUUUAAACUGAUAAGGGAGAGAGGGGGAAUAUCCAAUAUACCCUUAAUGAUAUGGAAUAAAAAUAUAAUUGGGAGCCCAAUUUUAUGAACCACGGCGAUUCACCACGAUAGCGGUGGCUCAUUGGAAAUUGACAAAUGGGAAUUUUAAGGUCACCGCGAUGCAGAGCCGUCGCGUUGUCCCACUGGUUAGGACAUGGAACUUCAGCGCGACGAGCCAGAAUCACGCUAUGCUACUGGAAUUUGACAAUUACUAAAUAGGCCCACUCAGUGACAUGCCAAGCACCAAAAUGAUGGUGUUUUACAAUUAGGGCUUAAAUUAGCCAUAACUUCUUGCCCGCUUAUCGAAUUUGGGCGAAUUUUAUAUCGACAAAAAGAUCAUUCAAUUUUUCACAUGAUAAAAAGUCAAAAUUAGGGAAAUUAUAUAUGUUUUAAACUUUAAUCAUUUUUUAAGAGAAAAAUGAGACUAAGUCUCUUUGACACUAUUCUAGUCAUUUAACUCUAAGAGCAUAUUACCACGAGCUAACGCAUGGAUGAUUUUGCGGGGUGUUACAUGAUAAGUGUUAUUUUUAUUUGUGAUCUUUAUGCUCGGGUACCUCAGUGACCCUCUUUAUGUUGGUAUGAUGUUGGUUGUGAAGGCGUAGUAAUGUGUUAGGAAAGGGAAUAGAUGUUCUUAAAGAUGAAAGUUUCUUCUGUGAUUUCUUGAGCUAAGUCUAUAGAGAAAGGGGAAGAAGGACAUGAAAUAUCAUUUUGUGAGAUAGUUAAGAAGGUGCUAUGUGGUAAAAAUCUUAGUGAGAAUGAUUGAAAUUGAUGUACUUAGUGGGGAGAUCCAUAAAGUGGGUGUAGUAAUGAUAGGCUUGAAUGUUGUGAUUGAUGAAAAUACAAAUCACAGGUUCAUGUAGUUGAUGCUCCUUGAUUAAAAACUGAUGUUUUUUUGGUGGUAGUAAUAAGGUGAAGUAAUUUUAUUAAUGGGAUGUAGAAUACAGGUGACUGUAGCUUGAGUUAGCAUCUUGUAACUCUGAGUUAGGCUUCAACAUAAGAGCACUUUGAAGUGUAACUCAAAUUUUUUUGGUUAGAUACAUGUUGGGAGAAUUGUAUGUUGGAAAAUAUGAAGUAUGUUAUUUAUUAUUUGGGGUGUGGAUGAGUAGUGUCUCUAAUUUUAAGUCUAUUCGGUGUAUCUUUGAGAUAAAGAAUAUUUCUAAUCUAUUCUUAUGUCCCGCGGGAAUCUCAUCUCAUGUCGUGUACCAAUCUUAAUCGAGCCGAGGAGUCUAGGGAAAACUCAUGCCUUACGAUGUUUUGAUUAUGUGCCAUAGAACAAAUGCCGAAGUCACAUCGAUAUCAUGUUUGGUUAUUUCAUGAUGGUACCAAUGUACAUCAGGCCUACUAGUGUCAAAUAAACCUCUGCCUUAUGUUGUGAUUAUUAUGGUGCGUAGAACUCAUGUGCAAGAUCAUCCCUAUGUAAAGCCUCACUAUCUCAUGUUUCGUGCUUUCACAUUUCACUAGGAGUUAUCAUAAAAAUUUUAUGAUACCAUUACAUAUUUUUUUAAGGAAACGUGUUCAAUGCAAUGUUUUAUUCUUUGUUCAAGACUUGUAUAACUUCAACAAGUCUCUACCCAUCAUUCGGGGAUAAAUGAUCCCAAGGGAGAGAUAAUGUAACGCUCCACAUUUUUGAGCUAGAAACCGAACCGUCAUUCCUACAUGCAUAAGCUCUAAUUCCAUGAUUUAUAUUUAAAUUCAUGUGUGAUUAUCCUUCUUCUAGUGUAUGAAGUGAUUAUGUGGUGUAAAUUGUUCAUAAAAAUCACUUGGAGCAAGGUUGAGCUAAGAGUCAUUCAUUCAUCUAAAGUUUGAUAUUAGAUUCUACAAGGGUUAACUUUCAACAUGUAUAACUUUCGAUACACACAUAAUUUUUCAGCUAAAUACCCACCAAAUUGUAGAUAAUUGAAUUACCUUUCCAACAAUAAAAAUUUUGCAAAAAUCCAAUGCCCGAGAGAAAAGUUAUAGCCAUUUUCGUGAGAGAGGAAGUAGUUGUGCACAAUUAGUGUGUGACGCGCGCUAUGUCGCACACACCUAAUUCCCAGGUUCUGUUUUCACAUUUUUAAGGGCAGAAGGGUCCUUUCCUUUACUCUAACCCACCUAUAACAUAGAAUUUCAACCUCUAGAAUCAUCAAUUGAAUCUUUUAUUCAAUUUUCCCUUUAAAAUCAAAAUCCUAGCUCAUCCGCAAAGAUCAAGAAUUUAUCCCUAAGAUCAAGAAUUCCAAGAAACAAAUUAAGAUUCAGCUUUCAUCCUUAAAAUCUUAUAAUAGAUGAUAUGUGGGCUUUUACUAAACUACAUGGGCGUGUUUAAUACACUUUGAAUAUGGUUUAAAGUUUAGAAAUUAGGAAUUUAGAAAGGGGUUUGAAGAUUUAUGUUUACAAUUGUGCAUUACUAACACUUUAAUGACAUUAUAGCUUUGGUCUUGAGUCCUCACCUGAAAAUUGAACUCUUACUUAUAUGAAUAUAAAUGCAUGCACUUGAUGAAUCUAAAUGUUGAAUUGAGAGCAUCAAUUAUUGGCAAUCCCUCUCUUGCUUAAAGAUUUCUUGUUUUAGUACGUCAUGAAUUAUUUGAAUGUUUAUUGUGAAUUUUGUUACAAAUGCUUUUAUGGUUGUUAAGACUUGAUUAUGGUUUUGCAACGAAGAAAGGGUAUUGUAUUUGGUGUUAAUGGUUAAAUAGGUUCAUUAAGAAACUUGUAUGAUUCGUCACAAAUUUUGUGGCCACACAUAUGUGUUAAAAAGCUAAAAACAAUGUCUUUAACGUAAUUUGACAAAUGCUUUGAAGUAUGAAUCUGCUUGAAUUGUUUAAAAUACGGUGGCCCAAAGCUUAUGUUUUGAAAGAGGAGACUGUAAUAUGAUAUUUUAUGGCUCAAAAACAUGACUUGAAAGUCUUGGUAUGACGAUACCAAAUCAGAUAAGGACAUGAUAAAACUUAGAACAGAAUAUAGAUUUCAUUUCAGAUUUCAGGUUUUGAUUCAGAAAGAUGCAUGUUUAAAACAGGAUAAAAAUGGUAAAUCAGAGAAUUGGGUGGAUACCCGAAGUAGGAAUGGGUCACUCAAUCCAUUGCCUAAAAUCAUGUUUUACCAAUACGGAUAUAUUAUUAUACGCUGGCCUAGUGCCCUGGGGCAUAUCUGAAUCAGAAUCAGACACUUCAACUCUUGCGGUAAACUCGGGUUAGGGUCUUGGCCAACGACUUAAGGGUGGAUCCCAUAUAGACCGUGGGAUACUUUUAGAAAUGUAGGGUGUACCACCUAUUUCAGAAGUAAUACAAAGAAUUGAAAUUGCCUUGACAAGACAGUUUUAAGAUCAUUUAAAUUUCCCCAUGUAUUUUAAACUACUUUAUGUACAUUGUUUUAUGGCUUUCUCUCACCUAUGUUUUAUAUAUAAAUUCAUUAUUUUGGGUUUCUCUGUGUACCGGUACAUAUGUAUUGAGCCCCUCUAUCUUAGGAUCCGAGGCACAGUCCUGGGUCCAUACAGUAGUAGAUCCGUGUGUGUCAAAAGUUGCAGUUAGUGAGACGACUCUAUUCCGGAUGGCCUGAUUAUCAGAUUUCAUUGUCUCUUUCUUCUUUAUAGUUUACUGGGGUCCUUGUCCUAGUUUUGUCUUAGACGUAUGAUGGUUAUUGUAAUGUUAGAGAUUUUGCAGACGGUUGUUUUAUGUUUAGACUAUUCAUAUUUUGCCUUUUAAAAUUGUUCAAGUUUAUGUGACUGACCAUGGUUCCUUCGUGUAUUAUUUUCUGCAAAUUUUCUUAUACUAAAUGAAUAUUAUGCAUGAUUACCAUAUUUAGAAAAGCGCCUGAACCUUUAUGGUAGGAUGAUCGUUACGGCUAGGGCCCUGGCUCGGGUCGUGACAAAUCAGUAGAGAAAGAGGAGGCAAUAACUUGUGUGGCAUGAGAUUUCUUUGGCAAUCUCACGUAUUUAGGCAAGGUGGAAUUAGCUAUCCUAGGUUUUGAACUGGGUCUGAUCAGUGCUAUUCUCUUAUCAUAGUUCUAUUUAAUGGCGUAUUCAUUACUUCGUAACCUGAGUUUAUGCUGUCAUUUGAGUCCUAGAGAACAAACAUAGACACCUUAUACCCUAAGAAUAGGAAAGAACUAUAACUGAAAUUUAUAUAAUACGAGAUUUAAAGGAGGAGAUGCAAGUAAAUAUGAGAAGGAAAAAAGAGAAUAACUGAUAAAAGGAUGAGGAAACAGAUGGAAUAUUGACCAUUUCUUUCACUAUGAUGACAUAGACGGUGAAUAGUAAUGAUGGAUAGAGUUGUGAAAAUGCGUUGGCCCAAUUCAACUCAAUUCAAUCCUAGUGGGCUAAGGAGCUAAACAUGUUAGGACGGUCUAGCCUUUUUAACAAAAGGGCCUUAAAAAUAGUAGUCUAACCCAACCCUAAGUGGGCCAUGCAUUGGGAUGGGUUGUCCAACCAAAAAUGAUGUAACCCGAAGCAUGAUAAAUGAAAAUAUUGUUAGUACAAGACAAUCACCAACUUUUGCAUUUUGAAUUUAAUAUGUCACCUACUAGUUUUUAGCAUGUUUGGACUGAGUUGUUGGAUUUUCUGACUUCAUUGUAUGUAGUCUUUUGUCAUGUUAUCUUGUCUAGUGCAAUUUGUAUAACCAGUCCUUUGUUUGUAUCUUGUAAUUUGUAUAAGCAGGUUUUAUUUUAAUUUAUUGGCUAAAUUGUUGGUAAUAGAUAAUAGGAUGUGCUUUCAGAAGGAUUUGGUGUGAUGGGACUACUUGUAAUAUGAAUAUAUGACAAGUUCUAUUUUCAUUUUCUUUUUCUGAUACAAUAGAGUUUCGUUCUUUUACCCCUUUGUCGUAAAAGGAGAAUCUUCUUUUCUAUAGUGUGGUGACAUUAGCUGAUCCUUAAAAUCAAGUAAUCAUCACUAUAAAAAUAAUAACAAACUCUAAUUAUAAUUUUGUACUAGACACAAAUUUCUGUAGUUAUACUUAUUAAAUUGAAGGGAAGCCUUGGAGUAUUUGUUAAAGUUGCUUCUACGUGACCAGGAGAUCACGGGUUUCUAGCCUUGAAAACAGCCUCUAACAAAAAUACAAGUUAAGACACUAUACAAUAUACUCUUGUGGUGGGGCCCUUCCCCGGACCUUGCGCAUAGCAGGAGCUUUAAUGCGCCGAGUUGCCAUUUUAUACUUGUUAAAUUGAGAAUAUGAAAAUAUAAAGAUAAAGAGGCCAAAAUUAUUUAAUUGUACAUGUGAUGCAAUGAAGGAUACAAGAAACUAGAAGAGAGUCUGUUUGGAUAGAGUAUCUUUCCGAGAAUUAGUUUGCGUAAAUAAGUGCAUUUGGGACACUUUUUAGAUGGAAGAGGCAGUAAGGUGAGAGAUAUAUUCAAUUUUUUGAGCUAAAGGUAUAGUUUAAAUAGGAUGGAGGGAUUAGUAAACAUGCUAGUAAGGAUAUUUACACUAUUUAUGGAUAAUCUCGUUCUGUAUAGAAUAUGUUUAUGGGAAGAAGAUAUAUCCUUGUGUGGUCCUAUUAGAUAUGAACCAUGACUAUGAGACUAUCGUAGCUUUUAUAAUCAUCGACUCAGACCCAUUGUCAAAUCCUACUCAGCGGAAUAUAUGGGGAAUUAUGGCAGAACAGGUCAAUUUGGUCUUUCAGAAUGAAGCGAUAGAAGGAACUACCACGAAACGACUUAUUAGUAGAUUAAUAGAGCACUUAGGAAUGGCAUAUACAUCACAUAUCCUAGAUCAAGUAAGAACUUCGGGGUUCCAAUAAGCUACUGCUAUAUCCAUUUCAUUAGGACAUGAUGACCUUUUAAUAAUACCUUCUAAGGAAUGGCUCGUUGAAGAUGCUGAACAACAAAGUUUGAUUUUGAAAAAACAAAUAUGGGAUUGUAGAGAAGGUAGAAAAUUUACGUCAAUCCAUUGAAAUAUGGUAUUCUACUAGUGAAUAUUUGCAAUAAAAAAGGAAUCCAAAUUUUUGGAUGACUAACCCUUUUAAUCCAACCAGAAUAGAAGAGCUUGCCCACCUAUAAGUAAAUAUUUUAUAGUAACCUCAUUAGACCAUACAUCUUUCUUGUUGCUUCUAUUCUUAUCAUAUUUCUAUAAUUUCAAGACCCUAAUGGAUCUAUGAUAGGAUUAUUUAUUUACAACAGAAGAGUAUAAAAAGUCUGACUCCUAGUUGUUUCCGCCGUGGAUGCGGAAUGCAAUCCUAACUAUAAGGUCCUCCCUUUCUCGGAUAAGGGUCAUCUCCUUUUCUUCCAAAGUGCGGAUUUGGUUUAAAACCUAUUGAAUGUGCUUUUCCAUCAGCUUCAGAAAAAUAGAAGGCACGUGUUCUAAAAAGGCAUGCAGAGUUUACUGCCAUUGGCGCUUUUCAUUUUUCACAUGGAGAACUCUUUGAUUCACUUAAAAAAGUGUUUCAGUGGUUGCUAGAUCCAUCUCUCCCUUUGCUUUGCCAAAUAGAGAAAGUGACUUUUAUUUAUAGACGCUGAAAGCCCUUUAUCUUUCUUAUUAUAUUAUUUGUAACACUAUUUUUCUUAUUUUGUCUUGGUUCCACAACAUUUUUUAAACCUUGAUUUUCAUGAAUAUGGAACCGCAUCCACUAGAUUUUAGUGUGCUGAAUAAUUAUCCUUUCCUCAUAUGCAUUUGACUACAAAAGGUCCCUUUGUUUGGCAAGUAUCACCACAUGUAUUGAUCCUGGAUCAUUCCUUAAGGAAUAGGACACAAUAAUAAAGAGAACAUCGGAGAAGAGAGUACCCCCUUUAUUAUAACAUAGGCCCCCCACAUUCUUUCUUAAGAGAUGGCACAAUCGUCACUCGACAUACAGCUCAAAGCUGAUCGAUACAAUUCAUGUCCCCUCAGUCAAUCGUCACUCGAUAGCUAAAAGUUGAUCGGCACAACCCGUGUGCUUUCCUACUCGUCUUUCACAGCCAUAUUUGUACAUGAAAUUUGUUGUCCAAAAUAGAUAUUGAGAGAACAAAUUGUUGUCUAAAGCGAUGCACAGUGGAAUGAGAUCUGGAGAUAUAUGUAGAUUAUGUAUUUCUUUUGAAAAUAUGUCUCAGAAUUAAAUAAAGUAGAUAACUAUUGAAGUUUUAAAUUAUUAGAGUUUUGUGUCGCUUAAACUUAGGAAUUAGUCAUCUCUUUGUUAUUUGAAUUUAAAUUUAGUUGCUUAUUUUUAUAUUUUUUUAGUUGAAAAUUUAGCUAUAAAUAUAUGUCUUUGAGUUAUUAAUAAAACAAUUUCGUUUGACAAUAUAAUAUACAAUUGCAGUAUCUUUUCUGUCAAGUCUUUUUUGGUAUUUCUAUAAUUUCUAAUCAAAAAACCAACAACUGAUAUCUUGAGCCAUUUUCUUGAGGGAUCUGUGAGUAAGAUGAAUUCUAAAAAAACUUGUCCAAAAUAGCUCCUCCCGUCUUUGAUGGGAAGAAUUACCAACUUUAUGUUGUAAGAAUUCAGAGUAAUCUUGAGGCUAUAGAUCUUUGGGAGGCCAUCGAGGAUAUUAUGAUGUUCUUCUGCUGCCCAAUAAUCCCACGGUAGCCCAGAUCAAAAGCCAAAAGGAAAAGAAAAUCAUAAAAUCAAAGGCAAGAGCAACUUUAUUUGCUAGUGUGUCUCCGAUAAUUUUCACGAAAAUUAUGGCUUUUAAAUUAGAAAAAAAAAUAUGGGAUUACCUAAAGCAAGAAUAAACAGGAUAUUAAAGAAUAUGAGGCAUAAAGGUGUUGAAUCAAAUAAGGGAAUUCGAAUUUCAAAAGAUAAAAAAAUAUAAGACCGUCAAAGAGUACUUAGACAGACUUCUUGGCAUUAUUAACAAGUCAAGAUUUCUUGGCACAAAAUUUAAAGAUUCAAGAAUUGUUGAAAAAAUUCUUGUUACGCUACAUGAAAGAUACGAAGUAUCAGUAACUACCUUGAAAAUCACAAAAGGCCUGUACAAGAUUACUUUGACGGAAUUAUUAAAUACAUUGCAUGCACAAGAACAAAGAAGGCUUAUAAGACAGGAUGGUAUUGUUGAAGAAGCUUUGGCAUCUAACCACAAGACUCAAAACAAGGGUAAUAAUUCAAGAAAAAACUACCACCUUUCUAGUGGCGAAAUAGGUCAUCCUCCAUUUAAAUGUUGGAAGAGACUAGAUGCUCAAUGCAAGAUCUGCAAUUAGGUUGGUCAUGAAGCUGUGAUUUGCAAAAGAAAAUCUCAAAAUAUGAAGUAGAUGCCCCAGUCACCAAAGAAGAAGAAGAUCACUUAUUUGUGGAAACAUAUUUGAUAAGCAAGGAAUCAGAUUUUUGGAAGAUUGACAGUUGUUGCACAAACCACAUGAAAUAUGACAAAACACUUUUUAAAGAGUUUUUGCCUUUGUAAAAUAAGAAAGUCAGAAUUGGGAAUGGUUACUAUAUUCUUGUUCAGGUACAAAAAUAAUUUCAAAUGUCCUUGACGUUCCCGAUAUUGAUAAAAAUUUGUUAAGAAUUGGCCAGAUAAUGGAAGAAUGAUUUAAAUUAUUAUUUGGAGACAAAUAUUGUCGAAUCUUUGAUUCCACUAAUCAUGAGAUUUUACAAGUUAAAAUGAGAGAUAAAAGUUUCUUAUUUAAUCUAAAAGAAGAUGCAAACUAACCUUGCAAGACUAAUGAUUAAAUGACAGAUUUAUUCAAGAGUCAAAUUCUGCCAAGACUAUAAUCAACAAUUUUUUUAUCAUAGGAGGAAUGUUUGUAAAUACGCCUCAGAAAUAAAGUAGAGAACUAUUAGCAGUUUUAAAUUAUUAAAGUUCUGUGUGGCGUAAACUUAGGAAUUAGUUAUCUAUUUGUUAUUUGAAUUUAAAUUUAGGUGUUUAUUUUCAUAUUUUCUAGUUAGAAAUUUAGCUAUAAAUAUAUACCUUUGAGUUAUUAAUAAAAUAAUUUUCUUUGACAAUACAAUUAUAGUAAUUUUUUUCUCAAGUUUUUCUUUGUUAUUUCUUUAAUUUCAUAGAUAAAAAUCAACAAUUUUCAUAUGUAGAUGUGAGCAUUAUUCUAGAAGUAGAAAAUGAAGGGAAACUUUGGCUAUGGGCAGAUAAAUGGUGUGAGGAUGGACUUCUUAAGGACGUGCUUCAAUUUGAUGAGAGAUAAGGAUGGGACUUUCAAUGUUGAAGAAGGCUUAACCAAAGUCGNNNNNNNNNNNNNNNNNNNNNNNNNNNNNNNNNNNNNNNNNNNNNNNNNNNNNNNNNNNNNNUUGGAGGACAGUCCCCUUAUGCAUAGAAUGGAUUAUAUGGAUUGAAAGUAAUAAAAGAUGCUUUGAUGAGAAGUAGGAAUGCGUAGCUUUUAUAAAAUUUAAAUAAAUUGAGAAUUUACUGUUUUGGAAUAAAUUGUAGGGUCUUUUGCGACUGUUGUGUUGGAUUUUCUGGACUUUAUUAUUCAGUCUUUGGGGAGGGGCUGGAGAGGGGGUGGGGUGGAAAUUUUUUUAAAAUUUUAAAAAGUAUUUUUAAAUUAAAAAUAGAGCAUUUUGCCUAUUUGAAAUGAUUACAUGUUAUCAUAUUUUGACAGAUUAAUAAAAUCACUACUUUUUCUCUAUAAAUUCAGUCUUUGCAUAUUUUAAUGCAAUUUUUGUCUUCUCCUUAGUGUUCUGAUUGUCUUAGUGAUAGACCCAGUGGACAUGAAUUAUUAGCCAUAUAUUUUUAGUAUUUGAUACCAAGCUCCCCAAGAACACGACAACACAAACACUAAAAUCAGUCCACUAGUUCAUGAACUAUGGACUAUUUUGAUGACCUCUCUCGGACUCGCAAGAAGAACAAGAAGGGAAGUGAUAUCAAGAGUAAAAUACACUGAAACAUCAACAACACAUGAUGAAAGAGAUGCAAUGACAACAACACAUGGUUACAACACAAAAACAUAAACGGAUUACACAAGAUAUAGACACACAAUUACAAGAAAGUAAAGAUAGAUAGAUAGACAAAGGGAUGGUAUAAUAUUAACAACCCAAAAGAUUAUUACACUUUUUGAACUUUAAUAUCACACACAACCAAAACCUAUCUCUUCAUGACCUCAAGGGAACUAAAAUUCCCAAGAAAUCUCCGUUUCUAAGCAAAUGAUCAACACAAGGAUUCCACUUUGCUAAAGACUCUCAAAGAGGCUACAAAAUAUAUUCUCUAAAAAUCUCCCAAAAAUGACCUAAUGAGGUUCUAUUUAUACCUAGGUUAACUUAUUUCAAAUGACUAAAAAAACCAUGCAAAGUUCAGAUGAAUAGUGAACAGUUUUAGAGCUUGUGGGACUUAUUCUCUACACUUCAAAGCUUGUUCCUUGGAUGGGCAACCCCCCGAGCUCGAGUCUUGAUGCAUUGGAAUCCGAUCAUGAUGGUACCCAUAUCAUCUUCCCCUUCUUAGAAAGGAUUUAUCCUCGAAUAUGAACCUUGAAAAAUAAUAGGAAGGACAAUCAAACAAAAUUUCCUCAAGGUACGAGGGUUAGGAUUAGUGUAAUCAAUUAUAGCAUCUUUCCAAGGUGUCUCAAACUACACAUAGACCCAAAAAUCCCUCUUACUCGAAUACCCUACCAAGGGAGAAUCAACUAGUUUAUCCACAUAAGUGUGACAAGAAACAAGGAACAAACAUUGCUUAUCAAGUGGAAAACAUAGACUCUGCUUGGAACAAUAAUUAGACUUGAAAGCCUAGAGAGGAAAGCCAUACAUUCCAUGCACAUUCAAGUCCAUCCAAAAGACAUCCUCAUCACCACACUUCAAAUAAUCACCGGUAUCAAAUGGGUAGAGUGUCCAUAGGCAUGGGUUGGGAAUACACUUCCUUACCCCAAUACUAAUACAAUAAUGACCAAAUAUCCCCUCUAUACUAUCAUGGUCAAUAACAAAAAUAACUAGAGGGUCAUCCUUAGUCAUUCAGCCAAUAUGUUCAACAUCAUCAUUUUCACACACAAGUUGGUCUUCAUGACUCCAUAGGAAAAUAUAAUACCACUUUCCACAAUGGCUUCAACACUAGGUGAAUCAACUAGUGUAUCCACAAUCUCAAGUUGUACAUUAUCAUCACAAAAUGAAGGCACGUUUGUCUCACUUAAAGACAAACUAUCCUUCAAACUUAGUUGGCUAUUAUCCUCAUUUACUAGAGUGUAAAAUUUAGUUUUAUUACCUUGUAGCUCAAGUGGAGCAUGGCCACUCACGGGAAUUUGGUUAGGAAGGCUUGGAUGCUCCAUAAAGUUAUCCAACUUCUUGCACAGAGAGCCUUCUGUCCCUUCCAAUCUUUCUUCCAUUCUGUCCAUUAUUCACCUUUCUAUGGCAUCCAGCCUUGCCAUGAUGGAUUUAACCCAACUAGGCAUUUCAUCUUCAUUCAUCAUUGUACCCAUCAAGAUCUACUAAGAAAACAACAAGAAAACAACAAACAACAAGAAAACAGCAAAAAUCAGUCCAUAAUUCAUCACAAAACAGUCCACAAUGCGUCUCAAAAUUGUCCACAAUUCCUCACUUUCACACUUUGGAUUUUCCACUCGACUGGCCUUACAAGUUUUGAUAACUGACGUAUACUCCAAUGAGGUUACUUGGUCCCAAUUGUGGUUCGAGGUCGGAGUAGAUUCUUGUUUGAAAUGACUCAAAUAAGUAAUGUACUAACUUACAAGCUAGUAGGGUAUUACUAGGUUUUCAAUGUGUCGAGCAAACAAACAAAACUAGGAAACAAUAAAAUGAAACUAAAAAAUAUAAAAUUUGAACUCAAAAAUGUUGCAUGAACAGUAAUUUAGUGACGUGGCAGUCCCCUAUUGGCCUCGAGUUUUAUUAAAAUUUUAUUUCCCAAUUUCAAGUCCUGAUCAAUAUACAAUUUGUAAUUGGUGGAUUUGGUUAAUGGAGGGAAAAGUGGUCUUGGAGCCUUUUUGUUCAAAUUUCAAAAUCAAAACUUGAUUUCUUUGAACUUUGUCCUUGAAACAAGGUCCUUAAAUCAAGGAAAAUUAGAUGAAAAGUCUUUGAAAUGAUAGGGACAAGUCUUUCACUAACAACUACUACAAGCUUGUCUUUCACCUUUGUAGAUCUAGUUUGCAUUUUAAGGAUUAACAAGAUGAUGAAAGAGUGAAGAACCUUAAGAACACAACAACAACUCCAAGAACAACAAAAAUUUCAGUUUCCAACUCCACUACAACAAGACCUUCAAAUUGGCCAAGGUUUAGGUAACAACAACUUCCUACUCGGCCACACCUUGUUCACAUCAACAACUUCAAGAAGUUCAAGUUCAAUCUUAGAUUUGGACACUUUUUAGUGUUGAUGAGAAAGAAACUAACACUAUAAACACUCUAAACAAAUAAAAUACUACAAGUUCUAGACACAAAACAAACAAAUCUUCGCCAAGAUAACAACACAAUUUUCGGCCAAGAACACAAAAUGGACAGAUUUGCACUUUUUUGGAAUUUUUUUUUAAGUUUUCAGCUUUUUUUUUUGUUGAAUUUUCGUCCAAGAGAACCCAAGAUUGCUAGUGUAGGAACAUAACCAGCCUUGCUUUGAUACCAAAUGAUACCAAAAUCCCCAAGAACACAACAACACAAACACCAAAAUCAGUCCACUAGUUCAAUAACUAUGUACCCUUUUGAUGACCUCUCUCGGAUUCGCAAGAAGAACAAAAAGGGAAGUGAUAUCAAGAGUAAAAUACAAUAAAAAAAAAACACUUGAUGAACAAUAUGCAAUAACAACACACGGUUACAAGACAAGAAAACAAACGGAUUACACUAGAUAUAGACAAACGAUUACAAGAAAGUAAAGAUAGAUAGAUAGACAAAGGGAUGGUAUAAUAUUAACAACCCAAAAGCUUAUUCCACUUUUGGACCUUUAAUAUCACACACAAUCUAAACCUAUCUCUUACGUGACCUCAAGAGAACCGAUAUUCCCAAGCAAUCUUUGUUUCUAAGCAAAUGAUCAACACAAGGAUUCCACCUUGUCCAAGGAUUCCACCUUGCUAAAGACUCUCAAAGAGGCUACAAAAUAUAUUAUCCAAAAAUGACCUAAUGAGAUUCUAUUUAUACCUAGGUUAACUUAUUAUAAAAUGAUUGAAAAACCUUUACAAAGGGCAGAUGAAUAGUGAACGCGGAUGAACAGUAAACAGUUUUGGAGCUUGUGGGACUUGCUCUCUGCACUUAAAAGCUUUUUCCUUGGAUGGGCAGCCCACCGAGCUCGAGUCUUGAAGCAUUGGAACCCCAUCAUGAUCGUACCCCUAUCAGUCUUUGUCUAUCUUGAACCAGUUUUUUGAUGAUGUCAAAAUGAGGAAGAUAAGUUUGUGUAAAUAUUUAUGACCUAAUAACUAAUUUGUUUCAUUCUAGAGAAAGUGACACUAACAGUAAGGAACACACUUAAUAAGAUAGAAUCCAUCGACAAAUUAUCUUGGCAGUCCCAAAGCUUGAAGGAUUCAAAGUUGAAGUUUUUCCUAUUACUAAGAGUUAAUGAGUCCUAGACUUUAUCUAUUCAGUUUGUUCUAGAGCUGUAUUAUUUAUCUAUUUCUAGUCUCAGUGAAGUAUAAACUAAGACAGGUGUAUUUUCUUCAAGUUGGGGAACUCGAAGACGUGGGAACACUUACCUUUGAAAGGUUUGUGUUUUGUAAAAGUAGGAAUUAGAAGUUUGUAAUUCCUUGUUUACAAAAUUCUUGUAAUUUGAUGAUUAUUGAGGCUCAAGUGUUUUAGUGGAGUUGGGGUUAAAUCCUGUAGAGGUAGGGGUCGUGGUUUUUUACACCUCUUUGAGCUGGGUUUUUUUGGUACAAGUCAAAUGGGCAUCAACGCUUUUGAUCACACAACUCGAGGCCAACAUGAGGAGGUCCAAGCCUUGAUCACCGUAAGGAUCCAAGAAUGUUCUUGGAGACCCUUCUUCGAGCUCCGAAUAAAUAAAUGUCAUGUUUGGAAGAUAGCUUGUAGCAGAAGAAAUCCAUGGUAAAGGAAUAAAGAGAGCCCUUUUGGGCUAUUUCAGAAAUAGCCACUUUUGGGCUAUUUUUGUAAUAGGCUAGUUGUGCAAAGGCAACUACUAUAAAAAGGUGCCUUAGACAUUUCAUUAGUAAGUUUUUGUUGAUUAAAUUACAUGAUGUAUUCAUGAGAACCCUAUGGGAGUGAUAAGGUCUUAGAAAAGCCGAAGUUGAACCUUUCUUAGAAACGUUGGUUCUAAGGGCGAUCUAACCCCUUUUGCGGUGACGUAAGAAUUAGGUGCUUAUUGAUAUUCAUUAAUAGAGGUUUUAGGGUUUGAAACACUCUUCAAUUGUCCUUUUGUUAUCAAUUUUAUAUCAAUCUUUCUAUCAUCGUUAUCUUAUCCUUCUAUCUUUACUCUUCUGCAUCAAGAUUCAAUUCCUCAUGAGUUGAUUCAUAUCAGUUUUCCACGUGAAAAUUUACUAAUUUAUUUACUUACUGUUUUAGCUAGUUUGAAACAUGUUAAUCAAUCUAUUUAAUUGAUAGGAAACAGCUACGCUAAAAUAAAGUAAUUAGUUGGGCACGUACUUCAACAACUAACAACUCCAUUCAGUGGAAAAUAAUAAAUCUGAAGAUCAUUCUUCUAUUUGAACUUCAUACCUUGUCUAGUAGAAUCGGAAAAUAGAUGUGAAAUUACAUGAUUGUGAGUUCAAUUUGAGAAAAUCUCCUGUUUAGCUUAGUUUCUUUUCCUACGUUUUCUGUCUGAAUUUCUGAAUUUAAGCAUCCAAUAUCUCGAGAAGCAACCAAAAUGUUUGUUGUUCUACAAAGAUACCAAGUUCUGUUUCAUUGGCAAGAUAGGCUAUUGUAAAGGUGCUCCAUCAUUCAUUUAAACUUGAAGCUACUUUUCUCCAGUUCCAUCUAAGCAUAUUGUAGACCACGGUCUUAUAAGUCUACAGGUAUGUGCUAUAUAAAGUCUUCCUAAUUCAUUAAGACUUGCUAAACCACUUUUUUCUAUAGGUAGUUUGUCUUGCAACAUAUCCUGAAAGGCGAGCUCUGGCAUUGUGGCCUGAGAUAAACUUGUGGGAUUCGUUUGUACAUUUGGACAUGAAUGACCUUUACCAGAAACCAGAAUCAAAGUGGAAGCCCGAUUCGUUUGCCAUAGGACUAACCACUGGGCUUUGUUACUACAUCUAAAUGGUUGUUGUAAUUUAAACAUUUGGAUAUGAAUGGCCUUUAGCAGAAAAUAUAUCAGAUUUUCCUAAAUUAUUAAAGAAUAAAACAAUUUGGAGGCCCGACUAUGGACUUCUGAUUAAUAAGUAAAUAACAAUAUGUUGUACACUUGUUGAGUAUCAUAUAUCUAUUGCAGAACUUAUGAUAGUUGAUUCAACAAACUAGCAAUUGCACGUUUUAAAAAAGGACACGAAGUUAAAGUGACACCAAAAUAGGCUAUAUUUUAAGAUCUCUCAAGUUAACGGGUUAACUUUUAAAAAGGCUAUGCUAAAAUAGUUCGCUAAGCCAUUCUGGUACAACUUUAACUUCAUGUCCUAUUUCAAUCACGUAUAACUAUUUGGUGUUCAUUUAUGCUCCAGAUCUCACUUUCAUGGGGUCAAAUAAUACAAGACGGAGGGAGUAUAUAUUUGUUGUACAAAGUUAAAGUACUUUGACUACAGAAGCUAAUUUUCUUGCUUUUGCUGAACAUAUAUCUUAGGAUAAAAUACUUGUUUGUGCACUGAGAGAGAUGAAGGCGAAGAACACUAGACCUAAAAGCUCUAAGCUUUUAACUUUCUUUAAUCCAAUACUAAGCUUCUUCAAGCCUAAUCAUAGAGAAACCAGAUUUAUGGAUCUUCCAAGGGUGAUUAUGGUGGAAAUACACUCAAAAUUGCCAAUCGUGUCCAUUUUAAGCUCUAGGCGUGUUUACAAACUCUGGUAUAAUCUUUUUUCUGACCCUUUAUUUCUUACCAUGUAUAGAUCAAGAUUACCUCCUCCCUGCAUUUUGUUUUCACGUGAUCAUGGUAUAAGUCAGCUUCUUAAACUUGAUGUGUGUUGCGAUGAUUAUUCUUCUAGACUCCGUAACAGACCUAUUUUAUUGAGCCGCCCUGGGCUUAACACACCAGUGAAACGGGGAAACGACAUUCUUGUUGAGGAUUACCCAACGUUGAGAUUAAUUGGUUCAUGUAAUGGAUUUAUUGGUUUGAUAACUAAUAUAUAUGAUAUAAAUACUUCAGUUUACAUUAGUAAUUCACUUUUGGGUGAGUAUUUUAAACUUAAGUUUCCCCAAUUAGAGAAAAGUGAUUGUGGUGUUGUUUAUAGAUUUUACUUCAGUGAAUUCUCUAGAAAGUAUAUUCUAGUAAGAUCAAUGACUAAAAGGUUUGGGGAUCAUUAUUGAAACUAUGUCUCAGAAAUAAAGUAGGAAUAGAUAAUUUUUGUUGCCUUAAAUUAUUAGAGUCCUAUGUGACCUAGGAAUUGGUUGUCCCUUCAUUACUUGAAUAGGAACUAGUUAUCCCAAUUUAAAUUGAAGUGUUGUUAGAAAUUCAGCUAUAAAUAUAUGUUUUGAGUUAUUAAUAAAAUAAUUCCUUUUGACAAUACAAUUGCAGUAUUUUCUCCUCUCCAACACCUUCUCUGUUAUUUCUCUAAACUCAAAGUCAAAAACCAACAAUUGGUAUCAAGAGUCAGUCUCUUGAGUGAUUGUGAGAGAGAUGAAUUCUUAUAACAACUUUUCCCAAAUAGCUCCUCCUAUCUUUGAUGGUGAGAAUUACCAUUUUUGGCAGUAAGAAUGGAAACUUGUCUUGAGGCUUUAGAUCUUUGGGAGGUGAUAGAGGAGGAUUUUGAUGUUCUUCCGCUGUCUGAUAAUCCCAUGGUGGCCCAGAUCAAAAGCCAAAAGGAAAAGAAAAUCAGAAAACCAAAGGCAAAAGCAACUUUGUUUGCUUGUCUAUCUACAAUAAUUUUCAUUAGAAUUAUGAUACAAGAUCAAUGGGCUCCACUCCUUUGGGAUCGAUGCUUCAAGGAUCACAUCAAUGGAUCCAAGAUUUGGUUGUUUUAGGGGAUCAAAUACGUGUGUGGAUUAUAGCUUGGAGCGUGGGAGAAGCUACCUUUGAUGAUGUCAUCCAUAUGAGCAUUGAUCCACGAUGUGUUUGGAAGAUAGCGUGGGCUUCAAGAGAGCAUGGACGCCUAUGACAUUAUUUUGGGCUUUGGGUCACUUUUGGGGCCAAUAGCUUUUAGGAUCACUUUUGGCCCCAUUGUGUAAUAAAGACCCAUGGACUAUAAAUAGCUAAUUUUCCUUCAUUUAAUGGGAGAUAGGUUUAGGUUGUGUGUUAUAUUAAAGAUCCAAAAGUGGAAUAAGCUUUUGGAUUGUUAAUAUUACAUCUUCAUUUGUCUAUCUAUCUAUCGUUACUUUCUUGUAAUCGUUUGUCUAUAUCUAGUGUAAUCCAUUUGAUUUCUUGUCUUGUAACUGUGUGUUGUUGUUAUUGCAUCUUGUUCAUCAAGUGUUGUUGUUGUUUUUAGUGUGUUUUACUCUUGAUAUCAUUUCCUUUGUUGUUCUUCUUGUGAAUCUGGGAGAGGUGAUCAAAGGGGGUCCUCGAUUCUUCAAAUCAUUGACUAUUUUGGUGUAUGUUUUUGUGUCUUCCUUGUCGAUCUUGUAUCAUUUGGUAUCAAAUCCGAGCUUGAUUUUGUUCCUAUGAAGUCAUUCUUGGGUUUGUUAUCUUGAAAAUUGCAAAAAAAAAAAAAAAUGUCAAAAUCAAAAAUUUCAAAAAAAAAAAAAAAGUACUAUUCCCAUUUUUAAUCCUAGGUCAAAAUUUGAGUGUUUGAUUUUGUUGUUUUCUUGUAGUUUUUGUGUUAGAUUCUUGUUCUCUGACACUAUAGGAGUCUAGGGUUCGAAUUUGAGUCAAAUCAGACUUGAUUUGAGUGUUCUACCCUUGAUGUGGGCUUAAACGUAAAGACAGAGAGGUGGGUUCAAGAUCUGAAAUUUUUGGUUGAGAGAUUGAAAAAAAAUUGAUGUUUGGAAUGUGUUUAGAAGGUUGAAAAUAGGCUUGGUUCAAUAUUUCAUCGCAUUCCGAUCAUUGGUUUAAGAGUUAGAGAUUUUUGAAGUUCUUGGUGUUCUUGAGUAUUCUUGAGAAGAUUCAAACCUUCAUCUUGAAUUCUUUUCAAAAGGUGGUGUUUCAUCCUCAAAAUUGAAGAAAAAGUUGUGUUGAGUGCCUAAUUUUUAUGUACCAUGACUUUGGCAGAUGAGAUCCAACCUAUCUCAAAAGAGGUGAUAAUGAAAGCUCUCAUGGAUUGGUGAUAAGAAUUGGAUAGUUGGAAUAAGGAUGGGUCACGUUUGAAAGUAACCAUGGAAAAGGUGACAUGUCUUACUACCCAAACCCCACCAAAUGUACCCCAACCACCACAAUUCCACCAAAAAAACACCUCAUUACCAAAGACCACAUCUGAUUCUACUUCAAGAACAUGUUCCCACUACAAACCAAGUUCCCGACGACAAUGUUCAUCCAACCCAAAUCCAAAUUGAGAAGACCAAUUCUAUCAUAGAACCUUUGUUACUCGCUAACCAUGAUGCUAGAAUUUUAUCUAGCAUCACUCCUUCAUUUGUGCAGGUUCAUGAGCAAAUAAUAUCAAAGAAGUAUGCAAGAAGAAUGCCAUAUGAAAAUGAGCUUGAAAGCCUAACGGAGUUCUUACCAAACAAUUCCAAAUAUCAAAGGUGCAAUGACAAGUUGAUAAAGGAGUUGGAUUCAAGGAUAAAUCUUCUUCAAGAAAGAGAGGAUGAUACAAGGUCAAUGGGCUCCACUCCUUCGGGAUCGAUGCUUCAAGGAUCACAUCUAUGGAUCCAAGAUUUGGUUGUUUUAGGAGAACAAAUACAUAUGCGGAUUAUAGCUUGGAGUGUGGGAGAAGCUACAUUUCAUGAUGUCAUCCACGGGAGCAUUGACCCAUGACGUGUUUUGAAGAUAGUGUGGGCUUCGAGAGAGAAUGGACGCCCAUGACAUUAUUUUGAGAUUUUGGUCACUUUUGGGGCCAAUAGCUUUUAGGGUCACUUUUGGUCCCAUUGUGUAAUAAAUACCCAUGGCGUAUAAAUAACUAGUUUUCCUUCAUUUUUAGGGGAGAUUUUAGAGAUUUGAGAUGACAUAUUUGUAGCAGCUUUUGAGUGCCUCUUUCAAGGUGGAAUCCUUGUGUUGAUGAUUUACUUAGAAAUGGAGAUUUCUUGGGUAUUCUGGUUCCCUUGAGGUCACGUAAAAGAUAAUUUUAGGUUGUAUGUGAUAUUAAAGGUCCUAAAGAGGAAUAAACUUUUGGAUUAUUAAUAUUACAUCUUCAUUUGAUUAUCUAUCUAUCUUUACUUUUUUGUAAUUUUUUGUCUAUAUCUUGUGUAAUCCAUUUGUGUUCUUGUCUUGUAACCGUGUGUUUUUGUUAUUGCAUCUUGUUCAUCAAGUGUUGUUGUUGUUUUUAGUGUGUUUUACUCUUGAUACCAUUUCCUUUCUUGUUCUUCUUGUGAAUCCAGGAGAGGUAAUCAAAGGGGGGUACUCGAUUCUUCAAAUAGUUGACUAUUUUUGUGUAUGUUUUCGCGUCUUCCUUAUUAUUCUUGUAUCAAAUUAUGACCCUUAAAUUAGCAAAAGAAACUUAGAAUUAUCUAAAGGAAGAAUAUAAGGAUAUGAAAGAAUACGAGGCAUGAAGGUAUUGAAUCUAAUAAGGAAAUUCAAAUUGCAAAAGAUGAAGGAAUUUGAGAUCGUCAAAAAGUACUCAGAUCGACUUCUUAGCAUUGUUAACAAGAUAAGAUUGCUUGGCAAAAAAUUUAAAGAUUCAAGAAUUGUUGAAAAAAUUCUUGUUUGUGACUGAAAGAUACGAAGUAUCAAUAACUACCUUGGAAAACACAAAAGACAUGUCCAAGAUUACCUUGGCAGAAUUGUUAAAUACAUUGAAGGCACAAGAGCAAGGGAGGCUUAUGAGGUAGGAUGGUAUGGUUGAAGGAGCUUUGGAAGCCAACUACAAGACUCAAAGCAAGGUAAUAAUUCAAGUAAAAAUUACCUACCUUGCCAGAACUAUGUAAAAUAGGUCAUGCUCCAUUUAAAUGUUGGAAGAGACAAGAUGCACAACACAAGAUUUGCAAUCAACUGGGCCAUGAAGCUGUGAUUUGCAAAAACAAGUCUCAAAAAUAAGAAGCAGAAGCCCAAGUCACCAAAGAAUAAGAAGAAGAUCACUUAUUUGUGGCAACAUCUUCAACCAAGAAAUCUGAUUUUUGGAUGAUUGACAGUGGUUGUACAAAUCACAAGACAUAUGACAAAACUCUUUUUAAGGAGUUUUUGCCUUUGGAAAAUAACAAAAUCAGAAUUGAGAAUGGUGACUAUAUUCUUGUAGAAUGAAAAGGGAAUGUUGCAAUCAAAAUAGUUUCAGGUACAAAAAUAAUUUCAAAUGUCCUUUACGUGCCCGAUAUUGAUAAAAGAUUGGUAAGUGUUGGCCAGCUAAUGGAAGAAGGAUUUAAACUAUUGUUUGGAGAUAAAUAUUGUCGAAUCUUUGAUUCCACUAAUCUUGAGAUUUUACAAAUUGAUAUGGAGGCAAAAGUUUCUUAUUUAAUCCAAAUGAAGAUGCACAUAAGUCAUGCAACAACAAUGAUGAAUUGGCAGAUUUAUUCAAGAGGCCAAAUUCAGCCGAAGCCGAGACAAUUUCUGAACCAAGGAGGAGUGCUUAAACUAAGUCUCAGAAAUAAAGUAGGAAUAGAUAAUUUUAGUAGUUUUAAAUUAUUAGAGUCCUAUGUGACUUAGGAAUUAGUUGUCCCUUUCUUAUUUGAAUAAGAAUUAGUUAUCCCAAUUUAAAUCGAAGUGUACUUAGAAAUUUAGCUAUAAAUAUAUGUUUUGAGUUAUUAAUAAAAUAAUUCACUUUCACAAUACAAUUGCAGUAUUUUCUCCUCUCCAACUUUUUCUCUGUUAUUUCUCUAAACUCAAAGCCAAAAACCAACAAUCAUCAUGAAGUAUCAGAAUUGGAGGUUUAUACUCUUGGGGGUGAUGAGAAAUGGAGAAAUUUGGGCCAAGUUCCAUAUCCUGUAUGGCAUGAUUUUGGCCAGGUUUGUAUGAUUGGAGCCCUUCAUUGGAUGGAUCCCGUCAAUAAGGACAGCAUUUACUCCUUCGAUAUUGAGACUGAAAAGCUCAAGUCUGUGCCAGGUUCACCUGGUCUGGUAUUUCCAUUCAAGUAUUUGACCCAAGCAGAGUUGCAGAGAUCUACAUGUCCACCUAGUGUUUGAUGCUAGUAGAGUUGGGGAACUGUCUGUGUUUAGUGGUAGCAUUUUUUGGGCAUAUUGCUACAUGGUGGAUGAAAGAGUACGGAAUAGCUGAAUCUUGGACUAAAGAUCGCAUUUUGACUUGUUUGGUGCCGGCUGGUUUUGGGAUUGAUAUUUGUUAUCAUAAAUAUUUACCAAUUCUAAUCUGGAAAGAUGGAGAAAUCUUGAUGCAAGGAAAAAAAGGCUCACAGCUAUUUUCGUACAACCUAAAAGACGAGAUUUUUAGGGUGAUCCCCAUUAGCAGGAUAUUAGAACUGUAGCGACUAGAUAUCUUCCAAGUUUUUACUAACUCAAAACUGCUGUGGGGGGCGACUUUGAAGUCUCAAAUGUUUAUCCGAAUAAAAGCUGUGAUAGUUGAGAUACUUCGUUUGUCUUAUUUCCUCCAGGUAUUAUGCUUUGCUAGUAUGUCUCUGCGGUAAUUUGGUUUAGAACAACUUUUACUGUUGUGGAUGCUUUUGAAUUGUGGUGGAACAACUUUCUGUAUGUUUACGUUGUCCAUUUGAAUAUUCCAAGUUAUUUACAUUGCAAAAGUCUCCAAAACUGCAUUUUCUUGAUUCAUUUCAUUUGGCACUUGUCUGAAGAACAUCAACACGAAGGAAUUGAGAGGAGCAACGCCUUGUGAAGAUCUCCUGCAGCUACACCUUUCUUGAUAAGCAAAAUAAUAUAGACCAUGAAGGAUGAAUCGCAGAGUACUGUAAUGGGGACAGCACUUGACAGGCUAAACUCUUCUUCGGGUAAGAUUAAAAGUUGUCUGAUGACCGCAUUUUCAAGAUAAUCCAAGGGUAUCGCGAAGUGCGUUUGCUCAAUUGUAUACAUGAAAAAAUGACCUUUCCUGACUAUUGAGGGUGAACACGUACUACAACUCUCUGCAUCACUACCAUUUCUUGUUAGUGACAUUCUCUUCCUCUGCAUGGCUGCAAAUUUUUGCCAUCUCCUAGCCAUUUUGAUAAGUUUCUAGGUACUGAUCAUUGUUUUUCUUUCCAUUUUUUCUCGAAAGUUUUGAAGUAAGAAAGUAGACUAUAUAGAACCUUUUGAUUGCUAAAGUGAUAAUCAAGAAAAAGUGUGUGUGUAUAACCCCAAACGAAUAUUGUUCAAUUAAAUCAGUCUUAUCAGGAAGACACAGGAUUUAGGAUCCAUAUCAGAGCAAGGCGGCAGAACUGAUGUUUAUUUUAGGGUUGAAUCUGGAAGAAUUGUCAGAAGAAUAGUCCUGUGUGGUUACAAAGGAUUGUCGGAAAGAAAGUAACUGGACAGCUUGCAUGAGUUAUCGGCCUAUAGGAUUGAAGUCUAGAAUGGGAAAGGGUCAUUGGAAGAUGACAAGGAGGUUGAAAAUGUGAAAUGCAGGUUGCAAAAGCAGUCAGAUGGUUCCAACCUAGUGGAAGUGGAUCUUUCCUUGGGGUGUUCUUCAGCAUCCCCUGAUGAGCAAGCUGACAGUCAGGAACAUGAUGAGCAAGCUGACAAUCAGAAUCAUGCUGGGGAUAAUUCUGAUAGGAGCACACCUUUUCCUUCCAUCAACUGUGACAGCUCCAUCAAUUCUUUCACUCGUUGCUCUAGGUCACAUUAUGGCACCAUAGCAGCUUUGAAUUGCAACUUUCGCUAAUUAGUUAGGAAUGGUGAACUUUAUACACCGCGGCGACGAAAUGGUGUGGUAGAGCACUGGGUGUAUUUAUCCUGUCAACAGCCUGAGUGGGAAGCUUUUGACCCUGCUAGGCUCUGUUGGAUGCAUCUGCUGAGAAUGAAUCCCAAUGCUUGUUUCGUGUUCUCCGAUAAGGAAUCUUUGGCGGUUGAUAUGGAGCUUCUUAUUUUCGGAAAGGAUGUGUCUGCCCAUGUCAUUUACCAGUACAGCUUACUGACAAAUACGUGGUCAACUGGGAUGCAAGUAAAUGUUCCACGAUGUUUGUUUGGUAAAGAAAGCCUUGGGGAAAUCGCCAUUUUUGCUUGCGGUUGUGACUCACAAGGUAAAAUCCUUAGCUCGGCUGAACUUUACAAUUCAGAGACAGGCACGUGGAGGACUUUGAGAAGCAUGAAUAAGCCAUGUAAGGUAUUCUGUUGUAUUCAUGGAUGGAAAGUUUUACGUGAUCGGAGGCACUGGAGGAGCUGACUCAAAGCUGUUGAUAUGAGCAAAGGAGUAUGAUCUGGCAACGGGAACAUGGACUGAAAUCCCGAACCUGUCUCCUGUGCGACCAAACCUUAGGAAUGGCAUACCUGCUACAUCUGCAGCGCCUCCAUUGGUAGCGGUUGUAGAUAAUCAAUUUACACUGCUGACUAUGCUGAAAUGUCGGUUAGGAAGUAUGAAAAGCAUAACAAAGAAUGGAUUUAUUGAGGUGAAUUCGUGGUACCUAGUGAAGGAUCUCAACAAUGGAACUUGCUCGGCUAAAAGCAAUCAGGUAACUUUGUGUAUAACAAGUUCUGUCAUGGGAUGCUGAAGAGAUGGAAUGUGGCUGGUUGUACUGUAGUGGUGGUGGAUGUCAAUCAAUACAUAAUUGGUUUCUGGGGCAACAGGUUUCUUGCUAAUGCGUAAUUUAUCCCAAUUUUUUUCUCUUAUAAGUUGAUAGAUUUCGAUUAGUGUUAAAAGCUUCUCGAGGAAAGUCAUAGAAGUACUUAAUCUUUUUCUUUUUCUGGUUUUGCGAUCUUUAUUUUCUUGACUUUGUCAAGGAGAGAAAUAAGGGUCUGCAAUGUUGUUUGUUUGUUGGCAUCUUGGCUUGUAUAACCCAUGCUUUGUUAUGCUUUUCAUACUUUCUAACCGACAUUUCAGCUUAGUCUGCAGCGUACAAUCGAUUAUUUACAACAGCUACUGCUGGCUGGAGACACUGAAGAUGUAGCAGGUAUGUCAUUCUAAAGGUUAGGUGGCACAGGAAACAUGUUCGAGAUUUCAGUUCAUGGUUCCGUUGCCAGAUCAUACUCAUCCGCACAUGUCAACAGCUUUGAGUCGGCUCCUCCAAUGCCUCCUAUCACAUAAAACUUUCCAUCCAUGAAUACGCCAGAACACAUCUUACGUUGCUUAUUCAUUCUUCGCAAAGUCCUCCACGUGCCUGUCUCCGAAUUGUAAAUUUCAGCAGAGCUAAGGCUUUUAACUUGUGAGUCAACUGCCAGAAAAAAUGGUGAUUUUCCCAGGGCUUGAUUUACCAAACAAACAUCAUGGCGCAUUCAUCUGCAUCCCAGUUAACUACGUAUUUUGUUAGUAAGCUGUACCGAUAAAUGACAUGGGUCACACAUCCUUUCUACAAACAAGAAGCUCAAUACCAAUCCCCAAUGAUUCCUUGUUGGUGAACUGCACGAAACACACAUUGGGAGUCAUUCUCGGCAGAAACAUCCAAUGCAGUCUAGCAGGGUCAAAAGCUUCCCACUCAGGCUGCUGGCAGGAGAGGUACACCCAAUGCUCCACCACACUAUUUCAUCGCCGCGCAGUAUAAAGUUCUCCAAUCCUAAUUAUUAAGUGGAAGUUGCAAUUCAAUGAUGCUAUAGUGCCAUAAUAUGACCUAGAGAAACAAUCCCCAACCUCCUAAAUACCACUCCUUGAUCAUAAGCAAAAACGCCAAAAGCCCUAGCCUUUUCUUUUCUCUCUCUAGGCGACAUGGGAAACUAGUGAAGCUAUGGCUGGCACCGUCUCUCCCCAGCAUUUGGCUAUGGGAGAGCUUCUCCAAAACCCUACAGACAAACCUACAAACACCAAUACAAACUCUAAUUAUGUUGAAAAGUUAAAUCAAACACAAUCAACUAUUAAUCUUUCACAAACUAGUUUAAUACCUAUUGAAGUUGUUCAUGGAAUCCCAACGUUAAAAAUUAUGUUGGAUGAGUGACAUGAUUUCUCCAAAGAGGAGGGACUUCAUCGAGCUAUAGUGGUUAAAUUAUCCACGGGAUCACAAGAUUUGUAAAUUUUAAGAUCGAUUUUGCUUAAGUUUCUCGUCAUUAAGGGACAUUGUCUUGUCGGGUUGCUUGCUCAAAGGAAACUUCUUAUUCGUAUGGAUCAAUAUGAUGAAUUUGUCGCUGCAUUAUCAAGAGGUGUGACUUAUCUCAUGUACAAUGGCAAAAAUCAUCAAUUAGUAUUUUUCUGUGGACUAUUGGAUUCAACCCUAAGGAGGAGACUUCACGUGUGGCAGUAUGGAUUUUGUUUCCAAACUUGUCAACGGAUUUGGUUGCUAAGAGGACUUUCCUUACCAUUGAUUCAGCAUUUGUAAAACCUAUUUUUGUGGACAAGGCGACAAAAGUGAGAUCAAGACCGACCACGGCUAGGGUUAGAGUCAUCCCUGACUUAAUGGACAAGCAUCCGGAUCGUAUUGAACUUCAAAGUGUGGACAAAGUUAGAAGCAAAAUUAUUGUGGAGUUUCAGGAGGUGGUGUAUGAUAAUUUACUUCAAUAUUGCACCCACUUUAAGCACCAGGGUCAUGAUGAAAAGAAGUGUUGAUUGUUAAUUGAAAAAAAAAAAGUAGUGCUCUAAAAAGAAGAUGAUACGACAAUGGAAACUGAGGGAGAUUUGGUUGAAAAAUUGAAAUAGAGUUAACAUGGGGGAUAUCCAGUAGGUCAAGCUUUGGCUAGGGUGUCCGAAAACAUAUCGGAAAGAGCACAGGAUGAGGGCAUAUAUCAUUAUCUGUUUUUAUUUCUUCAUUUUUUACUAAAUAUUUUGCUAUAUAAUUUUCUUCUUAUCCUGUAUUUAUGAGUAUUAAAUAUUCUUUUUCAUUUACCUUUCCUGUUAUGUAAUAUUGGUUUAAAUUAUUUGUUGAAUUUAUUUCAUAACUUGUUCUUUUUUAUGAGCUUGAUGAUUCUGAUUUUUCAUCAGCUAUUCUUUUCGUUGUACUUAUUCUAUCAUUUACUAUUUCUAAAUUUUCUUCUAUAUCNNNNNNNNNNNNNNNNNNNNNNNNNNNNNNNNNNNNNNNNNNNNNNNNNNNNNNNNNNNNNNNNNNNNNNNNNNNNNNNNNNNNNNNNNNNNNNNNNNNNNNNNNNNNNNNNNNNNNNNNNNNNNNNNNNNNNNNNNNNNNNNNNNNNNNNNNNNNNNNNNNNNNNNNNNNNNNNNNNNNNNNNNNNNNNNNNNNNNNNNNNNNNNNNNNNNNNNNNNNNNNNNNNNNNNNNNNNNNNNNNNNNNNNNNNNNNNNNNNNNNNNNNNNNNNNNNNNNNNNNNNNNNNNNNNNNNNNNNNNNNNNNNNNNNNNNNNNNNNNNNNNNNNNNNNNNNNNNNNNAUACCACCUAAUUAUGAUAAAAUCAGAUUUAGUUAUCCACCAAAAUAUUGUAAAUAUGGUUUAAAUGAAUAAAGUACAAAAAACAAAGAACUAAAACAAAUUAUUUCUGAAAAACGUAAAAAAUUAAAAAUAAGAAUAGAAAGCCUACAUUAUAAUAUAUUUUUCGGAGUUACUGAAAACUCAAUAAAUACACAAAAAGAUGAAAUAUUAAAAUUAAAAUCACAAAUUGAUAGUUUAGAAUAUAUAUAUUAACAUGAACUAUUCACAAUAAAAUAAACAAAGAAGAAUUUAUAAUAGAUGAAAAAAUAUAUGAAAAUCACGAAGGAUUAAAAAUAAAAAUAGUAUUUUCUAAUCUAGGAAGAAGAUAUAAGAAAAUAGGUGAACAUUUAUAUUUAAUGUUAGAAAAAGAAGAAUUAAAAUUAGAAGAUAAAUUGACAGCUAUGGUAAGAAUAGAAAGAGAAAAUGAAGAAAUAGAUAGGAAAAUGGAAAUAGAAAAAAUAAAACGACAAACUACAGAAGAAGUACGUAAAAUAGAAGAAACUAAAAAUAGUAGGAUUGCUGAAUUAGAAAAAGAACUACACGAGUUAAAAGAUUUGUAUGAACAAAGACAAAAGGAAAAGGAUGAAAAAGAUAACAACAACAACAACAAACCCAGUGUAUUCCCACUUUGUGGGGUCUGGGGGGGGUAAGAUGUACGCAGUCCAUACCUCUACCUCUGAUGAAGUAGAAAGGCUGUUUCCGAAAGACCCCCGGCUCAAGUUACGAGAUAUCAAACAAACACAUAGUACAGCACAGAAGCAGAUGACAUAACAUAGAUACUGCAGCCAUAAGGAAUAUAAAACAGAGUAAAGCAGGAAAGCAGGAAUAUAAAGCAGAGGAAAGCACACAGAUUCGUAACAAACAUAGACCACGGAACACGGAACAGAACAUUGAAUACGGAAUCAUACCAGGAAUACACCCCCACCAAUUACCUCCCUACAUUAGCGACCCGAACAGGCCCUAAUCCUCUGCCGUAAUUCGCGUCUUCCAGACCUUCCUAUCUAGGGUCAUGUCCUCGGUAAGCUGUAACUGUUCCAUGUCCCGCCUAAUCACCUCACCCCAGUACUUCUUCGGUCUACCCCUACCCCGUCUAAAACCAUCCAACGCUAGCCUCUCACACCUACGGACCGUGCUCUCCACGUGUCCGAACCAUCUCAAUCCUGCUCCCCGCAUCUUACACUCCACUGAAGUCACCCCAACCUUCUCCCGGAUAGUCUCAUUCCGAGCUCUAUCCCUUCGGGUCAGUCCACACAUCCAGCGCAACAUCCGCAUUUCUGCCACCUUCAUUCUUUGGGUGUGGGAGUUCUUAACUGGCCAACACUCCGCUCCAUACAGCAAGGCCGGACGGACUACCACCCUAUAGAAUUUACCUUUAAGCUUGGGCGGCACCUUCUUAUCACACAGCACCCCCGAUGCAAGUUUCCACUUCAUCCAUCCCGCCCCGAUACGGUGCGAGACAUCCUCGUCAAUCUCACCGUUACUCUGGAUCACGGACCCGAGGUACUUGAACUUAUCCCUUUUCUUUACCUCCUGCGCUUCUAGCCUCACCACUACCUCAUUCUCUCGCCUUACGUCAUUAAACUUACAUUCCACAUACUCUGUCUUGGUUCUGCUCACCCUGAACCCUUUAGACUCCAGAGUUUGCCUCCACAGCUCUAAUUUGUCGUUCACACCCCCUCGCGUCUCAUCUAUCAGGACUACAUCGUCUGCAAAAAGCAUACACCACGGCACCUCCCCUUGGAUACGCCGCGUUAACACAUCCAUUACUAGCGCAAACAAAAAGGGACUAAGAGUAGAUCCCUGAUGCAAUCCUGUCAGGACAGUGAAAUGCUCUGAGUCUCCUCCCGCCGUCCUCACCUGGGUUUUCGCUCCCUCAUACAUAUCCUUAAUUACUCUGCUAUAUGCCUGCGGUACUCCACUCACCUCCAAGCAUCUCCAAAGCACCUCCCUGGGGACUUUGUCGUACGCCUUUUCUAGGUCGAUGAACACCAUGUGCAAAUCCUUCUUCCUUUCCCUAUAUUGCUCCACCAACCGCCGUACCAGGUGAAUUGCCUCCGUCGUCGAGCGGCCGGGCAUAAAUCCGAACUGAUUUUCCGAGAUAGACACUAUCCGUCUCAGCCUCACCUCGACCACUCUCUCCCAGAUCUUCAUAGAGUGACUCAGUAACUUAAUCCCCCUAUAGUUAUUGCAACACUGAAUGUCCCCCUUAUUCUUAUAGAGGGGGAUCAUGGUACUCCACCUCCACGCCUCGGGCAUCUUUGCUGUCCUGAAAAUUUCAUUGAACAAUGCAGUCAACCACCUUACACCAGCCUCUCCAACGAACUUCCAAAACUCCACCGGUAUCUCAUCCGGCCCCGUCGCCCUACCCCUUCGCAUCCUGCGGACUGCCUGUCUAACCUCGUCUACCUUAAAACGUCUACAAUAGCUAAAAUCCCGACACUCCCCUGAGUGCUCCAGUUCCCCUAACACAAUAGCUCUGUCCCCCUCGUCAUUCAAGAGCCUAUGAAAGUACGACUGCCAUCUCUUCUUUAUGUGGCCGUCCUCCACCAACACUCUACCGUCCUCCCCCUUAAUGCACCGCACCUGAUCGAGGUCACGACCCUUCCUCUCCCUAGCCUUAGCGAGUCGGAACAACUUUUUCUCCCCUCCUUUCCCCUGUAACCCUGCAUACAAGCUCUCAAAAGCAGCCGUCUUAGCUGCCGUGACCGCUGACUUCGCCUCCUUCCUUGCUAGCUUGAAGAGACAGAUAAUUAUGAUUCAGAAGAUAGUGAAACAUAUACAGAAUUAUUAACAAAUAUAAAAAAUUUAGAAAUCAAUUAAAAACAAGAAAUAAUUAAUGAAGAAAACUUAGAAAAUAUCAACACAGAAAUAAAUACUCUUGAUAAAAAAGAAGAAGAAAAUAUAAUACCUAGAACAUCAGAAAUAAGAAAACCUACAUAUUAUAAGAAUAAAUUUAAAAGAUAUAAUCUAAAAGAUGAAUGUGACAAAUGGACACCAAAACAAAUAGUUAAUAAAAAUUAUAACUUUUUAGACUUAGAUUGUGUAAUAGAUACAGAAAAAACAAUACAAUUAUGGAUAGGAUAUAUGUCAAAACAAUUGUUAGAUAAUAAUAUAAACAUAAUAGAUGUACCAGAAUAUAUAGAAAGAACACUAAUAAGAACAGUGAAAUUAUGGUUUUCAAAGUUAACUGAAAAUAACAAUAAGGUAUUAAGAACUAACAAACCUAUAGAAGGAACAUCAUCAACAACAACUAAACUAACACCUAUAGAAUUAUUAAAAAAAUAUGAAACACCUAUAAAAGAUGAAUUUGGUAGUAUGACAACAAUAGAAGAAGAACAAGAUGAAGAAAAAGAUACAAAUAGGAAUUUAAUGUUAAAAUUAGCAAUAUAUAAUAUGUGUUAUAUAGAUGAAUAUACUUGCGCAUUUAAAGAAUAUUAUUACAAAGGAGCAUAUAGUAUAGAAGAAAGUAAAGAAAUAAGAAAAUUAUAAAGAAAUAAGAAAAUUAUCUUUUUAUAAAUUACUCGAACCAUUUAGUUCAAAGAUAAUAAAGAGUUGGGAAAAAGCAAAAAUAGUAGAUACUCUAGGAGCAAGAAUAAAAUUUUUACAACAAUGGCAUAGAAACUUAUGUGAAAAAUAUAGAGAAGAAUUAAAAAUGGAAAAAACAUUGAUAAGCAAUUUAGCAUGUUGCAAAGAUAAAAUAGCACCCCAAUUCGGAUGUGAAGAAAGAUAUUAUAAGAAAAGAAAAAGACAUAAGAAAUAUAAGAAAUAUAAAAAAUCAAAAUAUAAAUACAAAAACCAAGAAAAAGAUAUUAUGUAAAAAAUUAUAAAUACAAAAGACCAUAUAGAAAGAAGAAAUCUAUAAAAGAAUGUACUUGUUAUAAUUGUGGAAAGUUAGGACAUUUAGCUAGAGAUUGUAAAUUACCUAAAAAUCCAAAAAAUAAACAAAUAUCAGAAAUAAAAAUAGAAAAUACCGAAUACAUGCAGAUAGAUUAUAUAGACUAUGAAUUAGAAAGUGAAGAUAGUAUAUAUGAAAUUUCAGAAAACGAAACAGAUAAUGAAAUAGAUAGCGAAAUAGAUGAAUCAAAUGACUGAAGAAGAUAUAAAAAUAAUAACAAAGGAAGAAUAUUUAAAUGAUGAAGGAACGGAACAAAAAAUAAUAUUUGACAGUAAUAUAUUUGAUGAAAUAAAAGGAAAAGAAUUAGAUUUAAGUGUAGAAAAAAUAUUUAAAAUACCAACAAUAAAAAAUAUUUUUACUAGGAAAAAAGAUGAAUAUUAUGUAGUAUGCCAAAAAGAACAUGUAAUAGAUUGCAGAUAUGCAAAAGGAAAAGCUAGUAUACCACUAGUAACAAAAAGAAUAAUUAAUAAAGAAAUAAAUGAUAUAAAAAGUAAAGGAGAUCCAAUAAAAUAUGUACACCUUGGAGGUACAGAGAUAUUAAUAAAAGCAUGUUUUAGAGAAGGAAUAGAUACACCAAUAGAAUUAUAUGUACCUUGGAGGUACAGGGAUAUUAAUAAAAGCAUGUUUUAGAGAAGGAAUAGAUACACCAAUAGAAUUAUAUUUAGCAGAUGAUAGAAUUAUUAAACCUGUAGAAUAAAGCAUAAUAACUGCUAUAAAAGGAAAUUUAAUAUAUCAAAAAUUUAAAUUUAUAAUAAGUGCAAAUUAUUCAGUAGCGGUAACAGAUAAAAAUAUAGAUAAAUCAUUAGUAUUAUAUUGGAAAAUAUCAGGAAUAGAAUUAACCUCAGGAACUAAAAUAUUUAAAUAGUCCAGCAUUUAUAGUAAAUAAACAUAGUGAACAAAAAAGAGGAAAAAGUAGGAUGGUUAUUGACUAUAGAAAUUUAAAUGCAAAAACUAUAACAUAUAAUUAUCCGAUACCAAAUAAGAUAUUAAAAAUAAGACAAAUCCAAGGAUAUAAUUAUUUUAGCAAAUUUGAUUGUAAAUCAGGAUUUUACCACCUAAAGCUAGAAGAAGAAUCUAAAGAAUUAACCGCAUUUACGGUACCACAAGGAUUUUAUGAAUGGAACGUGUUACCAUUUGGAUAUAAAAAUGCACCAGGUAGAUAUCAACAUUUUAUGGAUAAUUAUUUUAAACAAUUAUCUAAUUGUAUAGUAUACAUAGAUGAUAUAUUAUUAUACACCAAAACCAAAGAAGAACAUUUAAAAUUAUUAGAACAAUUCACAGAUAUAAUAGAAAAAUCAGGAAUAAGUCUAAGCAAAAAGAAAGCUGAAAUUAUGAAAAACCAGAUAGAAUUUUUAGGAAUACAAAUAGAUAAAAGUGGAGUAAAAAUGCAACAACAUAUAGUACAAAAAAUAAUAAAUUCGAAAGAAGAAUUAGAUACAAAAAAGAAAUUACAAUCAUUUUUAGGAUUAGUAAACCAAGUAAGAGAAUAUAUUCCAAAAUUAGCAGAAACCUUAAAACCACUACAGAAAAAAUUAAAAAAGGAUAUAGAAUAUAAUUAUGAUGAAAAAGAUAAAAAACAAGUUCAAAAAAUAAAAUUACUUUGUAGAGAAUUACCAAAAUUGCAAUUUCCAGAUGAAAAUAGAAAAUUUAUAUAUAUAGUAGAAGCAGAUGCUAGUGAAUAUAGUUACGGAGGAGUACUUAAAUAUCGAUAUGAAGCAGAAAAAAUAGAACACCAUUGUAGAUACUACUCAGGUACGUUCAACGAGACAGAAAUAAAAUGGGAAAUAAAUAGGAAAGAAUUAUGUUCAUUAUAUAAAUGUUUAUUAGCAUUUGAGCCAUAUAUUGUAUAUAACAAGUUUAUUGUACGAACGGAUAAUACACAGGUACGCUGGUGGUUAACAAAGAAAUUACAAAAUUCAGUUACAACAAAAGAGAUUCGGAGACUAGUCUUGAAUAUAUUAAAUUUCACAUUUACAAUUGAAGUAAUUAGUACUAACAAAAAUGUUAUUGCAGAUUACAUGUCAAGACAAAGCUACACAGACUGAUAUAAUAGAAGAGGAUACUCUAGAAAAAAUAUUCAACACCCUAAUUACGCUUCCAAUGAAAGUAGACAGUAUGGGUAAUGAAAUAGAAAAGCGAGAGACUAAUGAAGUUAAAUGGAAGUCUAUAGCUACAAAUCAGCUAACUCAGCAGUGUGCAGAGCCAGAGCUAUGUCGAUCGAAAGACAUUAAAGUUCCAGAGAUAAAAGGAGACGAUGAGACACUCCACAAAACCCAUAACGUUUAUCAAUCUACUUCUGUAGGUACAAGCAGAGGAGUUAGUAGACAAAGAUAUCAGAACAUGAAUAUGAAUAAGAUAUUUGAGAAACUAUUUAUACCCAAAAUACAAAACAAACCCUUGUUCAUACACCCACAAAUUACCAAAUACUGAGAUAGUCUGAACCAAGAUAAAAAAGUUUAUAACUAUACAGCCCAAAAAUACAUAGAAAAUAUCUAUAAAAUACAAACUUUCCUAAACCUUAACCCCAGAGCUAGAAAUAUCAAAGAACCAAACACAAAUUAUAUAACCCAAAAAUUACAAGGUUACAACAAGCGAAUUGCACUACCCAAAGCCUACCCAAGUUUAAUAAAAACUUGUUUUGACUAUGGAUUAUUAAAUACCACAUACACCCAAGACGGCGAAGAACUAACAGCUAUGGAAGAAUUACAUAAAAUAUUCACCACCUAUAAAAGAAUAACCAAAGGAAAUCUAUUUUAUAUAAAGUGUUAUACUGCACCAGCAGAGAUAUUAUACGACGAAAUAAAACCAGUUAUACAAGUUGUAAAAAUAGGAUUAACCAGAGAUAUGAUUAUACCGGAAGAUAUUAUGCAACAGCCAGAGAUANNNNNNNNNNNNNNNNNNNNNNNNNNNNNNNNNNNNNNNNNNNNNNNNNNNNNNNNNNNNNNNNNNNNNNNNNNNNNNNNNNNNNNNNNNNNNNNNNNNNNNNNNNNNNNNNNNNNNNNNNNNNNNNNNNNNNNNNNNNNNNNNNNNNNNNNNNNNNNNNNNNNNNNNNNNNNNNNNNNNNNNNNNNNNNNNNNNNNNNNNNNNNNNNNNNNNNNNNNNNNNNNNNNNNNNNNNNNNNNNNNNNNNNNNNNNNNNNNNNNNNNNNNNNNNNNNNNNNNNNNNNNNNNNNNNNNNNNNNNNNNNNNNNNNNNNNNNNNNNNNNNNNNNNNNNNNNNNNNNNNNNNNNNNNNNGAAGAUACAAGAUAAGAAGCAAUAAUGGAGAUAUGGAAAAGCAGCAGCUACGACAACGAGAAGAUAUCAACGGAGUAUAUAAUAGAAGACAAGAUAUUAAAUUCAUUUUACGUAAAGUUUUUGUAUAGGCUAGAUUUUUAGACUUGCUAGAUUUUUAGCCUUUUUAGACUUUUUAGGCUUUUUGACUAUGGCAUUAAUAAUUCUUGUCUCAUUAGGAGACUUUUUUAGACUAAUUUUAGCAAACGUGAAAGAAAUGUGAAUAAUCUUGUAAAAAUUUAGUCUAUAAAUAAGAUGAACCGAAGGCAAUGCUAGGAAAGCUUUCAUGUGUUGAAGCAAAAACCCUCUCCUGCCCACAACAAAUAUUUUGCUUAGUUAUUAAAAAACAGAUUUAUUUCAAUGGAAAAAGCUAUGGAGGAGCAAAGCUUGAGAGCAAAGCUUAGAAAUAUCAAACCUACCCGAACAGGUAUAUUUAUUUAUGAUUAUGAAUAGCUAAAUUCAUAAUUCCCAACAAUCAUGGCAUGAUAAAAUAAAUUCAUGUUAGUUACUUUAUAGUAGAAUUAUUCGAAGAAUAAUAUGUUAUGAAGUUUAUUAGCAAAGUGGAAAUGGAGAAAAAUCCCUAAGAACUAUGCCAUCCUAAAGGUGAAACCAAUGAGGCAAGAAGCCGUGGUGGAGAGUAACCAGAGUAGAGGUGCUGUUUAAGGGAAAAGUAUCCAAAUUACCAUGCUAAUAGUGACCGAAGAACAUGUUAUUUAAGAAUAAUCUAGUAUAUAGUAAUCUAAGAUGACCAUAUUUUGUUAUGUACAUGAUUGAAGGGAAUAUUUUGAAAAUAGCAAUUUUAUGAAAAUGAAUAAUUAUUUAUCUGNNNNNNNNNNNNNNNNNNNNNNNNNNNNNNNNNNNUAGAAUUUUUGGAAAAAGAUAUGAGAAACAUACAGUUAAAAGAAAAAUAGAUGAAAGUAAAUUUAGACAAAUACAUAGAAACUACAAAUAUAAAAUAUAUAGAAUUUCUUAAUGAAAAUAUACAAGAACUACCAAGACUAAGACAAACAACUACAAAAUAUUACAAUAAAAUAUUUAGUCAAUUUUAAAUGAUAGAUAAUCUUAAAGUAUUAAUCUUAUAUAUACUUAGAGAUAUACAAAUUAUAGACAUCAAGAAAAUAAUAUGGAAAAAAUUACAAGAUUAUGAAGAGGAAGAAUUAUUAAACAGUAUAGAAAACUUACACAUAUAUUAUGAACAUCAAUAUUACUUAGAUUCAGAUGGAUAUUAUUUAGAAUAAAUAAAUGUUAGAAUAUAUAAAAAAGAUUAGAGAAAGGCAAAAUUGGAUAUAUGAAGAAGUUAAUUACAGAAAUCAACUUGAAAUAGAAAAAAGACAACUAGAAGAAAAAUUACUUAAAAUAAAAUUAACCUUAGAAAAAAGAGAUACAGAUAAUGAUUUAUUUAAUACAUACGAAAAAUUAUUUAAUACAGAUGGAACAUUACCUAUACAUGAAUAACAAAUACUAAUUAAUCAGAUAAAGAAUAUAAACCUACGCAUUGAAUAUAGCAAAGUUAGACCAAAAUACUACACAGAAAUUGCUAAAAUUUCAAUAGGAUAAAAUAAUAAACUACACAAACUAAUGAAUACAUCUUAUGAAAAGAAUAAAUAAUUAAAAGAUAUUGAAACUAAAUUUAAGAAAUAUCCACGCACAAAGAAAAAUAGAUUCAUUAUACAUAUAAUAGAUCCAUUUCAUAAGUUAGUUAUCCACACCCCCCUACUAAAUCUGCCUAGUGUUGUGGAUAAAAGUGUCAGAACAUAGAGUUUGAUGGUUUCUAAGCAGGAUGUGGAGUUGAAAACUACUAGAGAUGAUGUUGGAGAAGAGUUGUGGACAAUGCUUUCACGCAAACCAUCUGUUAGUCCUUAAACUAGCAAAGAACAUAAUGAGGAAAAGAAACAAUGCGUUGCAACAAAGGAUGUUGUGGAUCCUAACACCUUUGAGGCUUUUUUAUAUAAAAAUGAGCACUAAUAUAAUUCAGGCAGCCAUAAAUGUUAAAUUACACUUUUCGAAGUGACAAAUAUACUAGUGCAACAACACGUUGUAAGCUUGAUUUGUCCCAUACCUAUCUUGAAGCUGUUGAUGGCUACAUUGGAUGAUUCGGCAUGUGAGAUCCCUUCUCCAUCUAUGGAGUCAAUUGGAGAGAAAUGGGAUGACUUUGGAAAUAAAUUAUUAUUCAAUGGGAGUGAAUAAGAUGUGGAUGGGGUAGUGGUCUUAACUCCGAAGCAUUCAAACACAAGGUUGAAGUCAAGAGUGACCAAAAAAGAGGUACAAAUAUAAAGAGUUGGGAAGAUAUGGUAGAGGAGGAGAAGCAGGCUUCAUCCCCUCCAACGUGUAGCAAGUUGAGUCCAACAAUCUCAGAUUUGUGCUAAGUUAUGCAAUGGUUCUUCCAUCUUUAGCUGUGGAACAACUUCUGGCUCAAACAAGUGCACCUUUGAAUGCUAUGGAUAAUCUUACCAAUGGUUUCUAGACCAAGAGGCAUGAGCCAGGAGAUUUUCUAGAAGAUCCAAUGGAAGAAUUUGAGGGUAAUUUGUGUGUUGACAUAUUUGACGAAGAAGAUGAGGAUGAAGUAUUGAAUGAAUGCUUUGUGAAAGUGGCUAGGGAUGGAGAUCUUAAACCCAGGCAACAAAGGAAAGGAUUCAAGAAAAGAAGACUCAUGAAAGAAAACAUAGUUGGGAUGGUAAAGUGUCUGAAGAGGUUUUUCUAAUACAAUUAGCAAUGAGAGUGGCAAAGCAGAAGGAAACUAGGUUCAAUUAUAUCAGAAAGAUUCAAUAGACCAAGAAGAAUUGAUGAAUAACGAAGAUAUUUUAGACUUGUUGGAGGAACAAGACAAGGUGACGAAUCUGAUCUUUAUAGGGCUACAUCUUCUUCUAGAUUUUAAAUUUUUAAAAAACAUGGAUCUAACUCCACACUUUUUCUUAUUUUAAUCUUUCACUACUUUAGUAUUAUCAUUUGUAAUAUCAUCAUAGAUUGGUUAUUAACUCUGUUAUGACCAUAGAAUAUUUAGUUCUUUCUUCUUCUUAUUUUUUACAUGCAUGUUAAUUAGAAAAGGUCAUGUUAUUCCUCAAUAGGAUUAGGAAGGCAAGGCAUAACCCCCCUUGCUUGUGCUUUAUAUAUAUAUAUAACUAGCCCCGGGCAUCUCACCUAGUGGAUUUGCUAUAAAAAGGACCUAGAGCAAUAGAUGAGAGUAUUGAUGGAGUUGUCAAGGUCAAUGGCAGGAAAAAGUGUGCUCUUGUCUGAAUUAUCCCCAGCAUGAUCCUGAUUGUCGGCUUCCUCAUCAGGGGAUGCUGAAGAACAUCAUAAGGAUAGAAUUACUCUGUAACACCCCACAUUUUUUGGCUAAAAUUCAAACCGUUUACCCAACGUGUGUAGGCCUAAACACAAUGGUUUAUAUUUAUAUGCAAGUUUGAAUAUCAAUUCUUUAGGGUGGAAACAUCUUUGGCGAUGGAUUGAAGUCAUAAAUAUUUCCUAUCUCAAAGUUGAGUUGAGAAUUUUCCAACCUAUUGAGUUUUAGUAUUUGAUUUUACUUUGGUCAACUUCCAACGAUUAUUUCUCCUAGAAUAUAACAAGUUAUAUGGCCAACUAUGAUACCAAAUGGUAUCUAAAAGAGCACAAAACAGUCCACAACCACACAAAUAGUCCACAAGCACAAGACACUUAACGGAAACUACAAACACCAACUUAAAUGAUAGAAAAGAUAUGUAACUUAACGCAAGGAGAACUCAUAAUAAAACAACUAAAGAGUGUAUUAAUACUCUAAAACCUCUACAAAACAAGUUAACAAGAACCACGUUCUUACGGAACACAAUAGGAGCUCGGUUCCAUCAGGCACUCUCAUUUCUAGACGGUAGACACAACCUAAGAAGAAACCAUUUCUUGUGAUGUAAAAUGGUGGUGUACUCUUUUCUUGAUAUGAAGAUGAUGUUCAAUAUUACAAGUGAUUUUUAUGAAUAAGCUAACUAAAGAGAACAAGACUAAAGAAACACCUUAAAUAGUCAUUACAAAAAGGAUGGCAAAAGGACCCCUUUGCCCUUAAAGAAAGGGGAGGGAGUGGAGUGUUUGGGGAAGACUUGGGAUUUGUUUUGGCACCCUAAUUCCAUCCCCCACAUUUCAAUAUGAACACUCCCUUGGAUGAGUUUUCAACAACCUCAACCACGUCCAUUUUCAUAAACACGCCUUGAAGCCUUUGUAGUUCCCGAGCUUGACUUCUAGUAAAUGGUCUCGAGACCAUGACACUCGUAUCAUACUAUAUAUAAAAUUAAAUCCCUUCGAGUAUUCUUUCCAAUGCCACUUACCAUUAGUAAAUAUGAGUUUGGAGUAAAAAAUUGCAGGCAUUUUAGUGAGACACUGUGCAAGCUGCGCGAUGGCCGGGCAAUGAAAUGUUUAUGCCACGCGAUUGGGUAUGAAAAUUGUCAUUAACUUAUAUAUAAUCUGACACGAAGUUUUUGAGCAAAACACAAGUAUCUAGACGUCAAAAAGAAAUCCAUUUUCUGUGCAAUUCUCCAAAUUCUUGUUCUUUUUUCCUUCCCGUGACCAUUUAAAGUUUACCAAAUAUACGUUGUGAUAAUGGGAAUCCUAAGGAGGUAUUUAACAUCAGGAGGUGUUCCAAAAGGGUAUUGGGUGGUAUAUGUAGGAGAGAAUCAAAUGAAGAGAGUUGUCAUGCCAGUAUCAUACUUGAACCAACCAUCACUUCAAAAAUUGUUAGCUCAAGCUGAAGAAGAGUUUGGCUUUGAUCAUCCAAUCGGCGGUCUUACAGUACAUUGCAAAGAGGAUGUAUUUAUAGAUGUAACUUCUCACUUGAGGAGAUUAUAAGUAGGAUUGUGGCGCAAAUUCUUCUGCCCAUGAAAUUUUGUAAAGCUAUAGGAUUAGAAACAAGAAAGAUGAGAUAUAGUAAAUAGGUCAUUUUGACAUGAGUUGGACUUGACAAAAAAAGAAAACAAUUCCUUGUGUUUUCUAAACCAUUUUGUAUAGAAUAAGUAAAGAAGGAUUAUCUGCUAGUAAAGAUAUAGCUAAUAAUGAUUUAAGCAAUUAUUUUCCAGUCACUUGAAUAGAAGACUGAAACCUUUUAUCAUUUCAUGUUUCCUCAUUCAGUAAUCAGUUGAUAUUUUGCCAGCUACACUUCUGGCUUUAAUGAUACCAGCAAUUAAGUAAAAUAAUCACUAUUUACUGCUCUUCGACCCUUCUUUGUGUGACUGUAUGUUAGAGUUCCUAAUUCUACAAGCUCCAAAUCUCCAGAUACAAAUUAUAUUUGAACAUGCAUAUGUGCAGGUAAACUCCUUAUCGUGUCUAAUAGAAGCGAAAAAGAACUUUGAAAUCACAUGAUUGUGAGAUUAGCUUAGUUUCUUCACCUGAAUAUCUGGAAUUAGGGAAUUGCACAAUUUGAUACUUUCUUUUGAAUAUUCUUCCUUCGUAAUUUCUAAAUUUAAGUUACCACUGAUUCUAGAAGAGAAGCAAGAGAAAGGUAUUUUGCUCUAUAAAUAUACCAAAUUCUGUUUCCUUGACGAAAUACACCAUAGUAAAGGCUCUCCAUAACUGGUUUAAACUUAACGCUACUUUACUCUUCAUUCCACUAUUCAUUCCACUAAGCAUAUUGUAGACAAUGGUGUUUUCACUCUAUAUAAAUGCACUACUGAAAAUCUUUAUGAUUCAUUAUAACUUGCUAAACCACUUUAUUUUAACAGCUGAUUCAUCUUGAUAUGUGACUUGGUUACAUCCGAGUCAUAAGCUAAUUGAACUAAAUACUUGUCAAUAUAUUGAUAUUUUUGUGACAAUGCUGAGUCUAUCGGAAAUAGCCUCUCUACCUUCGAGAUAGAGGUAAUUUCUACAUAUUCUCAACCCUUCCUAUUGUUGAGAUAAGAAAGUUGGUUAUAAAGUUUAUGGGAGUUAUGGCUUGUUAGUAUACACUAUAAGAAUGUGUUGUUAGUUAGUUAGAGGUUAGUGGGAAGUAACAGCCAUCACCUGUAAUACCCCGUAUUUUUGGGCUAGAGUUUAGACCAUCGUUCCUAUGUAUAUAGACCCGAACUGAAUUAUUCUUGUAACGCCCUGCAUUUCGGGAUACAAUAUAGACCAUGAUUUCGAUGCGUUGAUAAUCCCGAAGCCAUAAAUCCUAUGCCUAUAUGGCAUGUUAAUUACUUCCGUAGUAUGUGAAUCCAUUCAAGCUUGAAUUUAGACCAUAGAGGUCCUUCAACUCAAGGACGAGUUGAAACUAUUUCGAUCGAUUAAAUUUUAGUGGAUGUUUUAAUUUGUGUCAACUUCCAUCAACCAUAACUCUCUCUAUAUGUCAAAUUAGAGAGCUUACUAUGUGUUAAAUGAUAGGUCUUCGAGUUAGCUUUCGAACGAUACCAAUUUUGCUAAAUUCCGGCACCCGAGCAAAAAGUUAUGGCCUUUCAAAUUAGUAGGUGGCACCUAUGUAAACAUAGGCGAUAGCAUAGGCGGCGCCUAUGUAAACAUAGGCGAUAGCAUAGGCAACGCCUAUGAAAACAUAGGCGAUAGCAUAGGCAGCACCUAUGUAAAGGUUUCAAGUGACUUAAAUACUCCGUUUUUGGGGAAAAAUGGUCCUUUUCCACCCCUAUAUAUACCACCAACAUGGGAUUUAAUCCCUCAAACACCAAAAUAUUAUAAUAUUCAUCAAAUUAUCUCAAGAACACUCCUUAGGGUUUCAAAAUAAAAACCCAAUUAACUUAAGAUUUAGUCAUGGGUUUUUGAAACUAAUUACAUAUUUGGAAUCGCCAGAACGUAGAGAAGCACCUAUCAUAUUCACAUAUAGAGGUACGUGGGGUAAUCCAAAAAUCUCAUGGGUCUUUCAAUUCAUGUUUUACAAAUGGGAGUUUUGAAACUACGAAUAUAAUUAUGUUUUUAACGUUUCUAUAACAUUGAAUUUGGUCUUUAGGGCACGAUUUGACAUAUUUUAUAUGUAUAUGUGUGUGUUUCAAAAAGGUGAUAUUUUGAGAGCAUGAAUUAUAUGAUGUAAAUUGUUUGAAAACAUCUUGAAAAGCAUAACAUGAAGUGUUUUGAGAAUUGAUAUGAUUUUGACUUGAAAACGAGAGGGUUAUUUGUGUUGAAACAUAUUGAAUACAAUUGUUGAAUGAGAAGAAUAAUGUGAUAUCUAUGGCUUCAGAGUCGAGUAUGACGACUCCCUACAGAAUAUGAUAUGUGAUUGAAUCAGAUGAAAUUUGAAUGCAUUGAUUUUACAUGAGAUAGGUGGAUACUCGAAUAAGGCAUGUGAGUGUAACGACUCAUCGCUUGAAACAGUGUUUGCCGACACGAAAAUUUGGUACCAGGCUAAGUGAUGUUGAGUACUUACUUUAUGUCAUUCCCAAAUUGAGAUUACAGGUAAGAGCCCAGGCUAAGUGAUCUUGGGAACUACCAUUGGGUCGAGACACUAUGCUAUGUGAUCUUGUAUGUCUUCCCCUCACGUGCACUCUAAUCUCGGUGGCAACCGGGGUUAGACCGUUGGUGUAAAUUAUGUAAGGUAGUCCACCUAGCUCAGUUUCAUUUCAUUGUUAUUGAAAACAAUUACAUUAUGACCAUGUAUUUUAAAAUGAUUCAAUAUGAAACUGCUUUCUAAUGGCUCUCGCCUAUAUUGUGUUCAAAUAUUAUACUUCUAUUUUGAUUUCUCUGCAUACCAGUACUUUUGUAUUGACCCCCUUCCCUCCCAGGUUCGGAGGCACAGUCUACGAGUCCAGAUAACCAGUAAAUUUCUUUUGACAGAUCGCAGAAUCAAGUGGUAAGACUUCUAUAUUUUGAAAGGCCUGACGUCUGCUAUUUUAUUUAUCAUUUAUUAGUUUUAGGUCGGCUGGGGGCCUUUUCCCAGUUUUUAGAUAGACAUUAUUUCAGUCAUGUAGUAGAGAUUUUGCAGACGGUUUUAGAGAUGCUGAUUUAGAUUGUGGGACAUUAUUCCCCAUUUUCGUUUUCAUAUGAUUCUUGACCAAGUUUCCGUUAUAUGUGUAUCUUUUACAUUUCUUUUAUGAUGAAUUAUGUGCAUGAUUAUCAGAUAGAUAGGGAUGUUUUGGGCCUUCAUGGUUCAGAAUGCUCGUCAUGGCCAGGGCCCCAGUUUGGGUUGUGAAAAACUUGGUAUCAAAGCACGGUUCAUGGUCCCAGGGUGUUUGCAAAAUCGCGUCGAGUAGAGUUUUUUUUUAUGGGUAUGUAGUGUGCCACACUUAAAAGCAACAGGCUACUAGGCAUUUCAAAAUGUCUCUUUCUUCAUGUUCUAGUUCGUGCAAUAGAGUUAGAAUGCUCCCCUUUCAUGCUCUAAUUCAUGCUAUGGUGUCGCACAUAUUAAAGUAAAGUUAUCCCAAAUUCUUUCCUUACUCUGAUAUUCUCAGAAAUGUCCCAUUAUUGGGUUGGUUCAAGUGCAAAAACUUUAGAAUAGAUAUGAUAUAGUCCUUCCCGAUUGAGUCCUACAAAAUUUUAAAAAUUAUGCAAAGACUUGAUAGGAGUCUGUUAGCGCAUCAAUUUGUGUUGAUUAUGAUGUAAAUAUUGAUCUUGAUGGAAUCGUGCAUUCCAUCUUAAGGUAUUAAGUGUAUCUUGUCCCUCUCAAAAUCAUGUUAUAGAUGUGGACAAUGUAUAGUAGAAUGUUGGAACUGUAUUUCUACCUGAAUAGUAGCAUAAGUUAAAGUGUUGUUGUCAUGACCUAUUGGUAGUGAUGUUGGACCAAUAAGUUGGUGAUGUAAAGUCACAAAGUUAGAAGUCAGAGUGAGGGUGAUUUUAUGUGAAUGAAUAUUUCAGUUGAAUAACCGAUGUUUGGGGAUGAUUUAACCCUUUAUAGUGAUAAACCAAUGUGGUAGCUAGCAACAUGUGUGGAUGGUAUCGUUGUCCAUGGAGGAAGUGUUUUACUUAGAUUUUUAUUUAAACAUAAUAAUAUGUAUAUUCUUAGACCAUUAAAUAUUAUGUGUCAAUUUUCUAUCCCUUGUAAUAUGUAAUCAUGUUAUCAUGGUGUUUUUGCAAAAAAAAAAAAUUUCAAGUCUAGUGAAGCCGUGUGGGGCUCUUUCGAUUCACUGGCAUAGUUGACUUGUCAUUCAUCCCAUUUUCUUGUUCAAAAAAAAAUCAAAGUCUAGUGAAGCUGUGUGAGGCCUAUUUUGAUUCACUAGCAAUUUGUCAUUCAACGUGUGGUUCUUGUGUUGGUUGAAUAUAUGUAUAACUGAGUCUUUUUGCAUGAGAUAGAGUUGGUAAUGAAGUGAUUCAUCCUUGUGUGUUAUUAUUAGAAGGUAGAGAAGGAUUUUUUGGUCAGGAUGAUUAGUUGGUUGCUUGAAUGUGAAAACGGCUAUAUUAGCGAGUAAGUUAUGAUUAUAGACUCAUGGUUGUUUAAGGAAUUUGAAGGUUGUGUAAAUGUAUGCUUGGGUAAGUGAUUGUGAUAUGAUAAACCAGUAUAAGUAGAUACGAUUAUAUGGGGUCAUAAUAUAAGGAUACGGUUGACCAUGUCUAUUAGGAGGCUUUAACCCCCUUGACCUUCUUUUGUUGGUAGUUGUAAACUAGUACUACUUAUGAGAAGGUAUAUAGCAGAUUUUGAAGUAUUUGGGAUAGAAUGUUCCAAUUUGAUGGAUUAGUAUAUUAUGUUGCGCUCGUCAUUGGUGGUAGAUGAUUGAUGCUAGACCAUUGGAUUGAAUCUAAUGUAGGAUGUGGUGUAAAUAGUGGCAAGAGUUUGAUGAUUCAUGUUUUGUGGGAUUAAGUUAGUAGGCUUGAGGUGCUGAAAUAGUACAUGUUAAUGGAUUAUGAUAAGGGAAAACCGUUCGGUCAUGAUCGAUUAUUAUGGUUAUGAAGAUCUAGUGCACUAGUGUUUCAUGAUAUUUAUUUAUAAUUUCCAAGUGAAAAUUUUGUGUAAGUUUGGGUUGUAAAUCAUGCAUAGCACUAGAUAUUAAGUUUUAAUAGUUGAUGUCCAUGAAGUUGGAUGUGAUGAUUUCUUGCUUAAUGAUACUAGUUAUAUGGUAAUGAAAGUGUUCUAAUAGGCUUGAAAGGUGUAUGAAAUGGCUUAAUUUUAAGUUGAUUCGUAAUGAAGUAUAAUGUUGUAGGUAUGGUAGGUAAAUAUGCCCAAGGCGAUAUGGAGUUGUGGCAUUUCUCUAAGACUAUUACAUGUUGCGUGUGACUAGCGGUACCAUUGAGUUGCUAGUUGGAAAAAGACUAGUUAGAUGGUAUAUGGUAUUCUAGAUAGCCAAGUUAAGGAGCCUUGAUGGAUAGUGUUGAGUAUUUUGAUGUGUUCUUGAUUCUCAUAGUAGAGGGAUAUAAAUUUGGAGUUGCAAUAGUGGUAGGCUACGUCGAAAGUGAUAUGGUUCAUCAAAGGCUUGGUGAUAUCCAUGUUAAGAGUUAGAAUCUAAGUUUGAGUAUUGAAGGUUGAAUCGAUAGAAAUAAGUGUGCAAGCAUUAUACUGUGACUAUUAGUGGCUAUGGAAAGAUAGAGUGUAUCCCAGAAGGUAGUCAUUCGGAUUAAGUUCUAUGAUAUGCAUGCAUUGUCAUUUUUUUUAGGCCCUAGAGUGCAAUAAGUGUAGUUCAGCUAGAAUCUAGUAAAGGAUCUCCCAAACUCUAGAUGAUGACGUGAAGCUGAGGGGGAGAUGAUAGAACGAAUGACCAAAUAAGGCUCUCAUAUUCUAGUAGUGAUGCAGUAUGAUUUAGAACAUCAGAAUGUGAGGGUGCCUCUCAAACAAUUCCUAUCUCAGUAUUUUUUUUAGUUAUCCAGAUUCUUACUCCAGACUUAAGAUUAAGUUCCGUGAUCAUAGUUCAUGAUUCCGGUAUAUGUUAUAGAGUCACGUACUCUUCCAGUUUUAAGAUAAUGAGUUCUUGUUCAUUCAAGUAGUCGGAAUCACAUUCCUUAUUUUAUGAACUCUAGUUGAGGUCAUGCAACUCUUGACGCAUGUACUCACUCUUUAGAGUGUGCUCAGUCCCGUAUAAAGAUCUUUUCACGCUUGAGGGUUUUAUGGUUUAACCUUUUAGUAACCCUUCCUAUUCAAUGAUAGUGGUGAUGAUGUAAAUGUUCUUAUUCAUAGAAUAUCAUAGUAUGCUUGUUUAGAUAAGGCCAUAAGUAUGAAGUAAGCUUCGGGGUCAAGCUUUUGAUACAUGUGAUGGUUAGUGGAAAAGUUUGUGUGCGUAUGUCUUAGGGUAGCGCGUUGGAGUUAUAUUGACAAUAGUUUAGAAACUAUGUGAAGUAUGUAUUUAUGGGUAUUUUCCUUGAAGUUAACAUGUGGUUAUAAAUUAGGCUUGAAUGAUAUUUUUGGACUACAGUGGAAGGUCGCAAUAUGCAUUAGCGACUUUAUAUUAAGAGUUCAGAGUAGUCAUUGAAGUGGUAAGGCAUGUUUUAAUUAGGAUGUGAUCUUUAAAGGAGAUAUAGAAGGUGGCAUCAUAUGGUUUAGAAUAAUAGCGUGGUCUGGUAUGUUGUAUAUUUUUUUUUGUGACUUAGAGUCAGGCUUGAUCAUGGCAAAGGGAUUAACGUAUUUCCGACAUUAGUAGAAAGAUUUGUCAAUGCUCAUAUGAGAAUUUUAAGCUGAGUUGAAUGAAUAUGAUAUUUAUAGGGAAUAGUAUAGUUAAUGGAUAUUCGGGAAGUGCUCUAAUCCUGAAAAUAAGAAGUUGUAAUGCCAAAGGUCUAAAAAUUCUAUCCUAAUUUAGGAGUUAUAUGUCUAUAUUCAGACUACAGAGUGGUGUCAUUGUGGUGAUUCCUUAGUGGGUGUAUUGCAUAAUCCAUACCGAAGAUUCGCGGCUCCCUGUUACUUCUAAAACUUCCUUAGAGAGAGUAUUAAAGAGGAUACUCCAUUUAAAUAUGAAGGUCUAGCAUAAUUCAGUCUGUAUAGUCAGUAAGUCAGUUUAACAAGCAGAUUCGUAUGGCUUGUUUUCUCGUCUUUUCAUUUAUUCAUGCUACCUGAAAUAUCAGACAUACUACUAUUCCAAGAUAUAGUAUACUAGUAAUUGCGAGUAUAGAUCAGUUCAUGCGUCAUGCAUUAGAUUCAGAUUCCAGGGUUCAGUUAUGAUUAAAUUUGUAGGUGCCCUGUACAUCGCCUCAGUUCCCUGAAUAUCUUAGUGAAUUGAGCAUUCAUAGAGGGACAUAGGGUCCCAAGGGGGAGAUACCCCAUUCAGCUGCAUGCAUAGAUUCUUAUUACAAGCUUCGCACCAGUUAUCAUUGCGUAUUCAGUCAUACAUCAUACGUCAGUUCAGUCAGAUAUGCAUGCAUUAGAAAUGCAUGUUUAAUAGAAAAGUCAGCUUAUCAGUGUAUUCAGUUCUGCGUCUAUGAUAAAAACUCAGUAACAAAUCCAUGCAUCUGAUAUGUAUGAUUCAUUAUGAGAAUUAAGCCUAUAAGUCGCUUCAGUUGUGUAUCCCAUGCAUUAGAUAUGCACGUCCGGUAUAAGAAUUUAGAACAUUAGUAGUUCCAGUCUUAUAGUUAUGUUUUAGAUCAGUGUAUUCUUUCUUAGAGAAACAUAUCAUGUUCGCGUUAUUCCAUACCUCUAAGCUGCAAUAUGUUCCUACCCAUCAUUCGAGGAUGAAAGAUCCCAAGGGGGAGAUAAUGUAACACCCCAUAUUUUUUGGCUAGAGUUUAGACCGUCGUUCCUAUGUAUAUAGACCUGAACUGAAUUAUUCUUGUAACGCUCACCAUUUCGGGCUACAAUACAGACAAUGAUUUUGAUGCGUUGAUAAUACCAAAGCCAUAAAUCCUAUGCCAAUAUGGCAUGUUAAUUAUUUACGUAGAAUGUGAAUCCAUUCGAGCUUGAAUUUAGACCAUAGAGGUCCUUCAACUCAAGGACGAGUUGAAACUAUUUCGAUCGAUUAAGUUUUAGUGGAUGUUGUAAUUUGUGUCAGCUUCCAUCAACCAUAAAUCUCUGUAUAUGUCGAAUUAGAGAGCAUACUAUGUGUCAAAUGAUAGGUCUUCGAGUUAGCUUUCCAAUGAUACAAAUUUUGCUAAAACCCAGCACCCGAGCAAGACUUUAUGGCCUUUCAAAAUUAGUAGCCGGCGCCUAUGGAAACAUAGACGAUAGCAUAGGCGGUGCCUAUGUAAACAUAGGUGAUAGCUUAGGCAGUGCCUAUGUAAAGGUUUCAAGUGACUUAAACACUCCAUUUUUGGGGAAAAAUGGUCCUUUUCCACCCUUAUAUAUAUCACUAACACAAGAUUUAAUCCCUCAAACACCAAAAUAUUAUCAUAUUCAUCAAAUUAUCUCAAGAACACUCCUUAGGGUUUCAAAAUAAAAACCCAAUUAACUCAAGAUUUAGCCAUGGGUUUUUGAAACCAAUUAUAUAUUUGGAAUCCCCAGAACGUAGGCAUCAAGAAGCACCAAUAAUAUUCACAUAUUGAGGUACGUGGGGUUAUACAAAAAUCUCAUGGGUCAUUAAAUUCAUGUUAUACAAAUGGGGGUUUUGAAACUACGAAUAUAAUUAUGUUUUGAAUGCUUUUGUAAUAUUGAAUUUGGUCUUUAGGCCUUUUUCCAAAUGAUUUGACAUAUUAUAUAUGUAUAUGCGUGUGUUUUGAAAAGGUGAUAUUUUGAGAGCAUGAAUUAUAUGAAAUUCUCUCUUGAUGUGAAUUUGUUUUGAAUGUGCAUAUGAUGCAAAUUGAUUGAAAACAUCUUGAAAAGCAUGACAUGAAAUGUUUUGAGAAUUGAUAUGAUUUUGACUUGAAAACGAGAGGGUUAUUUGGGUUGAAACAUAUUGAAUACAAUGGUUGAAUGAGAAGAAUAAUGUGAUAUCGAUGGCUUGCAAGUCGGGUAUGACGAUACCAAAUAGAAUAUGAUAUUUGAUUGAAUCAGAUGAAAUUUGAAUGCCUUGAUUUUACAUAAUAUAGGUGGAUGCCUGAAGAAGGCAUUUGAGUGUAAGGACUCAUCGGUGGAAAUCGUGUUUGCCGACACGGGAAUUUUGUACCAUGAUAAGUGAUCUUGAGUACUUGACUUUAUGUCAUUCACAAAUUGGGAUUAUAGGUAGAGCCCGGGCUAAGUAAUCUUGGGCACUGCCAUUGGGUCGAGAUACCAUGCUGUGCGAUAUUGUGUGUCUUCCCCUCACGUUUACUCUAAUCUCGUCGGCAAUCGGGGUUUGACAGUUGGUGUAAAUUAUGUAGGGUAUUACUCCUAGUUCAGCUGCAUUUCAUUGUUAUUGAAAACAAUUACAUUAUGCUCGUGUGUUUUCAAAUGACUUGAUAUGAAACUGCUAUAUAAUGGCUCUCACCUAUAUUGUGUAAAAAUAUUAUACUUCUGUUUUGAUUUCUCUGCGUACCAGUACUUUUGUAUUGACCCCCUUCUCUCCCAAGUUUGGAGGCACAGUCUAGGGGUCCAGAUAACCAGUAAAUUUCUUCUGACAUAUCACAGAAUCAAGUGGUAAGACUUCUAUAUUUUGGAAGGCCUGAUGUCUGCUAUUUCAUUUAUCAUUUAUUAGUUUCAGGUCUGCUGGGGGGCCUUGUCCUAGUUUUCAGAUAGACAUUGUUUCAGUCAUGUAUAAGAGAUUUCACAAACGGUUUUAGAGAUGUUGAUUUAGAUUGUGGGACACUAUUCCUCAUUUUCGUUUUCAUAUGAUUCUUGACCAUAUUUCAAUCAUAUUGUAUAUCUUCCGCAUUUCUUUUGUGAUAAAUUAUGUGCAUGAUUAUCAGACAGAUAGGGGUGUUUCAGGCCUUCAUGGUUUGGAAUGCUCAUCACGGCCAGGGCCCUGGAUCGGGUCUUGAAAUCACUAUACAGCUGUCAGAAGGAGCCAAAUUAAUCUACAAAUAGCAUGUAGUAGCUGUCAAUUUUCUGCUCAAUGCCUCUCAAUAUUGAGAGUCUUUCCAUUAAAUAGAAAAUAUUCAAUGAUUACAUUCCUAAAUAUCCGUCUUCCUAUCCCUAAAGAUCAUAUUUUCUAUCCCUCUAAAUCCGCUAUUCUAUCCCACCAAAUGUACUCUUACUAAAGUCACUAUUAUUCUCUUUAACUACUAACUCAAAUCUAUGUAAUUACACUAAUAUACAACAAUAUAUAAUUACAUUAAUAUACAAUAUUUACAUCACACUAACAUCCCCUCAAAUUGAUGCUGGUAGAUCAAGAAGCAUCAAUUUGCGGACGAGAAACUGAUGUCAUUGUCAUGCCAUUGAUUUUGUAAUGGCACCUUUAUCUACAGCUUCUCGUAUAUAAUGGCAGUCUACUUCGAUGUGUUUGGUUCGCUCAUGAUAAACUGGAUUAGUAGCAAUCUGAAUUGUACUUGUAUUUUCAGCAUGGAGAGGAGUAAGAUUAGAUUGAGGAAAUCCAGUCUUAAUGAGUAGUCCACGAAGCCACACAAUCUCGAAGAAAGCAGUAGACAUUGCUCGAUAUUCAGCCUUAGUUGAAGAUUUUGACAUGCGUCUUGCUUCUUACUUUUUCAAGAUAUCAAAGACUCUCCAAUAAACAUGCACCAACCAGUAACCGAACAAUGAGUGUGAGAACAUCUCGCCCAAUCAAAAUCACUAAAAGCAUUAAGACGAAUUGGCAAACCACUAGGAAAGAGUAAUCUAUGAUUAGAUAUUCCUCGGAGGUAUCAAAUGAUGCGUCGGACAGCAAAAAAUAAAAAUAACGGGGAGCUUGCAUGAAUUGACUAACUUGUUGAACUGCAACAGAGAUAUCAAAACUGGUAAUAGUAAGGUAAUUUAACCUCCCAACUAAUUGUCGAAAUAUAGUUGGAUUAGGAAGAAGAUCGCCUUCUUCCCAGCGAUAAUUUACAUUCAAUUCUAAUGGAGUAUCCACAAAGGAGGAAUCCUGAAUACCUACCAAAAAACUCAAAUCUUGGGAAUAUUUUUGUUGAUUUAAAAAUACACCGAAUGAAUCACGAUGAACUUCCAAACCCAAGAAAUAUGUAAGAGUACCAAGAUCUUUCAUAUGAAAAGAAUCCUUAAGUUGCUAUUGUAGGCUAGUGAUUAGUGAAGAAUUAGUUCUUGUAAUAAUAAUGUCAUCGUCAUAUACCAAAAGAAGAACACAAUCUGUGGAUGUUUUUCGAAGAAAAAAAGAUGAGUCAUAGUUGCUCAGCUCAAAAGACAAAUGUAGCAAAGUAGACCGAAAUUUAUUAAACCAAUCUCUGUAUGUUUUAAUCCAUACAAAGACCACUUCAACUUGCAUACAUCUAAUGUAGGCAAUGAGAAAAAACCUGGUGGGGGUUUCAUAUAAAUAUCUUCUUUGAGAUCACCAUGAAGAAAAGCAUUUUUGACAUCCAUUUGAUGAAGACUCCAGUUUUGUGAAGCAGCAAUGGUAACAUUAGUUCUCACCGUCAUUAUUUUUGCUACUAGAGCAAAAUUAUAUUUAUAGUUCACACCAUUCUCCCGCUUGUUACCAAGAGCAACCAACUGAGCUUUGUACCGAUCAAGAGUUCCAUCAGAAUGUAAUUUAAUUGAAUAAAACCAUUAACAUCCAAUUGGAUGUACAUUUGAAGGACAUGAAACAAUAUCCCAUGUGUCAUUUUCAUUGAGAGCCAAAAGUUCUUCCUCCAUUGCCUUCUGCCAACACUCAUGCUUAGUUGUAAGUAACAAGUUGGAAUAGAAAUGGUGGAUAAAGUAUAUGAAAAGCCAUACCAAUUCGGAGUACGAGAUACUCUCGUAGAUCGUCGAGUGGGCUCAUGAGGAGCAGGCCUUGAAGAAUUUUCAAAUUCUAGUUGUGGUGCAAUUUUAAGUGGCAGAUCAAUAUCUAGAGGGGGUAAAGUUGGCCGCCGAUGUUCGUACAAAAAUCCAGGUUUGAAACUCUUAGAAGAAGAAGACAAAUCUUCAAAAGUAGGAAGAAGAAGAGAAGCAGGAGAUGACUCAACAUGAGUAAGAAAAAAAUAUUGAUUCUCAAAGAAAACUACAUUUCUAGAAACAUGAAAUUUAUUAGAACAUGGAUCCUAACAGAGAAAACCUUUCUGUGAAGUACUAUAGCCCAUAAAAACACAUUUAGUAGACUGAACAGAAAGUUUGUUAAGCUGAGAAGGAGGAAGAUGCACAAAACAAAUACAACCAAAUAUAUGAAAGUUAUCAUAGCUUGGAUUUUUAUGAUAAAGACGAAAAUAUGGAGACUCAAGAUUUAACACUUUAGAUGGCAGCUUGUUAAUUAAAUAGACAACAGUAGAACAAUCUUAAUCCCAAUUUUUAGAUGGGACAGAGGACUCAAUCAAUAAAGUACGAGUGACAUCUAAAAUAUGAUGAUUUUUAUGCUCAGCGACCCCAUUUGGGUGUGGUGUAUAUGGACAAGAGCGUUGUGCGACAACUACAUUGUCAAGAAAAACAUUUUUGAAUUCAUUUGACAUAUAUUCUCGACUAGAAUUAGAUCUUAAUAAUUUGAUACAUAUAGAAAAUUGAGUGUCAAUGUAGUCCAAAAAUAUCUUGAUCAUGGAAAAUACUUUAGAUUUAGUACGAAGAAAAUACACCCACGUAAAUAGACUAUAAUCAUCUAUGAAUGUCACAAAGUACUUGAACUGAGCAUGAUAAACAAUUGGUGAAAUACCCCAAACAUCACUAUGAACAACAUCAAAACACUUUGUAGCACAACUGCCCAAAUUAGGAAAAGGAAGAAUUUUACUUUUUCCUAAUUAGCAAGUAGAACAAUCAAAUGAAGCAGGGGGAAAUUGAUUUUUACUUCCUAAUAAACCAGAUAACUGAGACAACACAACAGAAUUUAGAUGUCAUAGACGCUUAUGCCAAAGCUCAAUAUUAUUAGCCAUAGAAGUACAAGCAAACGAAUAACCGAAGGAAUGAAAAAUUGUAUACGAAACAAUCUUCCAAAUUUAGGACCCUUCAUAAUUAUCGUCCCCGACACUUGAUCUUGCACAAGACAACCAUUAUGAGAAAAAUUACAUCACGAUUGUCAUCAACCAAUUGUCCAACUGAAAUAAGACUAGUUGAGAGCUUCAGUGGAAUAAAAACAUUCUUGAAAGUUAGAGCAAUAUCCCCAACCUUGGUAAUAGGUAAAUUACUACCAUUAGCAACUUGUAUUUGUGGUGAACCUUGAUACUUAUAAACAUUUUUUAGGAUUCUUGUUGAGUUGGUCAUAUGAUUGGAAACACCAGAAACAACAAUCCAAAAAUUAGAUUUAAUCUCAAUACCUUGUAAUCCCAAUGCUGAAAAGGCUAAUACGAUCAUUUGUUGUACUAUUUCAGGAGUAGGAACUUGUCCUGAAGGUCCUGAAGAUAAGUUCUGAAGAGUGGAACCAUUUAUUGCUACAUGAAAAUUACUUACCUUAUGAUUCUGAGGGUGUGUGGGACACUCUUUCAUAAUGUGUCUUUGUUGUUUACAAUAAUUAAAGAACUUCUUGCCAUAGUUUCUAGCAAUAUGGCCAUAUUCCUUGCAAUUGUAGCAUUGAGUUCUAUUCAUAUCCCUACUCAAACCUUUACCUUGAGAAGCAAAUCCAACAGCGACAUCAUUUCAUCUUCUGAAAGGAUUUUGUGUGAGAUAACUCUGCUCUUCACAAAGCUAUUCCCUAAAAAAACAUCCAGGGAGGGAGACGGGUCAUGAUUCAUCAAGUUAGAGCAAACACUCUUAAACACAGAGCCUAACUUCAUCAAAAACUAAUCUCACUUGCUUUGCUCAUGAACUUGCUGAAUUACAGAUAGAGAUUCAGAAGGUAUUUUGGCAUAAACAAUACCUGAAAAUUCAGCACAUAAGUUCUGAAAUCCAGAAUAAUAAUCCUAAAUAGAAAGACAUCCUUGAGAGUAAUUAGCAAUUUCAUACUCUAAGUGAAAGCGCCGGGCACUAUUAUCUUGGUUUUAAACCUUUCGUAAGUAAUCCUACAUGGCCUUAGCUGUCUUGUAAGGCCUGAGAUUAUAAACAAUAAGAGGGUCAAUUGACCCUAAAAGCCAUGUCAUCACCUGAGCAUUUUUAAUCUUCCAUUCACCUAACUUUGUAGGAUUAGUAGGAGCAGGAAAGGCUCCAUCUAUAUGGUCCUAUAGUUCUUUUUCGGUGACAAAUAACUAAAACUGAAACUCCCAUGAAGAAAAAUUCUUUCCAGUGAAACGAACACUAAAUGAUUCAAACUAAUAUGAACUCAUAAUUAUGAAAACUAGAAAAACUAACUCAAAAAGAACAACCAAAAUGACCAAUAUCAAAUUUCUAGGUGUUAAUUAUCGAGGAACAAUCGACAAAACUGAAAUUUUCAAAAUAAAUUUUGAAAGAAAGCAUAAAUGAACUCUAUGAAACAAGACAACCAAGAGCAGGCUCUGAUACCAUGUCAAUUUUCUACUUAAUGCCUCUUAAUAUUGAGAGUCUUGCUAUUAAAUAGAAAAUAUUCAAUGAUUACAUCCCUAAAGAUACGUCUUCCUAUCCCUAAAUAUAAGCUUUUCUAUCCCUCUAAAUCCGCUAUUCUAUUCCACCAAAUCUGCUCUUACUAAAGUCACUAUCAUUCUCUUUACCAAAACUAAUUCAGUUGCUUAAAUUGCUCCCUUCUAGAUUCUUCUUUUCUCUCGGUGUUCUUAGCUCAUGCAGAAGUUUUAACAUAGUAUCAGAGCCAACUACCACUUAUUCAAGGUUGUUAUUGACUCUUGAUGUUGUUGAUCACGCGUAUUAAGUAGAGAACUUUGCAAUGGUUUAGCUCAUCUCACCUUUAUGACUACAACCAUAGGGAUAACAUACAAUUCUACUGCAGAAGCUACACAAACAGUAGCUAUACCAGUAAAUUUGGAUGCACGAUCUGGUAUAAUUAAAAUUGACCAUAAUAAUCACUUAUAGUUGCAUACUAAUGAAACUCUAGGUAGCUACCUGCUACCCAUUCAACUUACAAUUAUGCCCUGCGGAGUCGAUCUUUGACUAUUAGUCUUACAAGUAAGAAUAAGGUUAGGAUUGCUGAUGGUCGUUAUCUUAAAUCUCACUUUGAUGAGUUUUUACAUGAUCAAUGAGAAUACGUUGCUCGACUUUUUCAAUUAGUGUAACAACCUGAAAGCUUACUGAUAGGGGGAAUUGAAGGCACCUAAACUGGGGGAAGUCAUUUUAAAGGCACACUGGUAGAGAGAACUUAACCAACAACUACUCUUGCUCAAACCAAUCACUGUGAUCCUAGAAGCUCUCAAGGUUUGGUCCCAAAAGGAUACAAUUUCAAAGGAUCUCAUCCUAUUGAAAACAUUCUCACAGACCUUACCUCAAGAAUCAACACAAGAUUUGGACUAAGGAGCAUGUGAUCCUUCAAAGCCUUCUUGUUUGUGAUUGAACCAAAGAAAGUGGAUGAAGCACUUCUUGAUGCUGAUUGAAUUAUAUUUAAUCACCUGGUCAACUGAGAAAAAAAACUCAGUAGCUUUGUCUACUAUUGAGGCUGAGUAUGUUGUAGCUCAAUUGUUGUGGAUUAAGAAACAACUCAUGGAUUUUGACCAAAUUGCUGAUAUUUUCACUAUAGCAUUGGGUAUUGAGCACUUUGAAAAGAAAAGAUUAGAAUGAGGGAUGAAUAAGAUUGCAUAAUCCCCUCAAUGAUUGACUAAAAUUCCCUAUUAUAGGGUAGGCCUACGCUAAAAAUGUUGAGUAAUUCAGUCUUACACAUUAGGUUGGGUGUCCUAAUUCUAGAAGUUUUAACUGAAUUGACUAAAUUGAGUAUUGAUUUGUGCAGAGAUACUUGGUCUAUCUUGAACCACUUUUUUGAUGAUGUCAAAAGGAGGAAGAUGAAUUUAUGUAAAUAUUUAUCACCCAAUGGCUAAUUUGUUUCAUUUUAUUUUCUCUUAACUCAGUGUUUUAGGGAAACAAUGGAGUGCACAAAGGCAGUGGUUUUUCAUCAUCAAAAAGGGGGAACUUUUUAGAUCAAUAAAGUUUUGAUGACUGACACUUGAAUGACACAUGUUACUCAAGAUGGUCAAAGCAUAGGAAGAUGGCUUACAGGUUUAACUGAGAGAUACAGAUAAGAUUUCUUAAAGUCAGGAAUGGACAUUCAAGCCUAAUUCUAAUAUACUCAAAGUUUUGAUAAUGUGUGAUAAAGAAGAAGUAGAAUUGAAUACAAAACAACACUUUAAGAUACAAGAGAGUGAGUUAAAGAAGGAGUCCUACUGAGAUGAUGAUAUUGACUUGAAGAAGGACUUCGACUUAACAACAAACUCUACUAAGUUGAAGAGUCCAACUGGAGAUAGAAGACUGAUCACACAAAGUAACCUUUGGAGAGUGGUUGUAAAUAGAGAAGGUGACACUGACAGUCACGAACACACUUAUAAAGAUAGAAUCCAUCGACAAAUUAUCUUGACAGUACCAAAGCUUGAAGGGGUUAUAAUUGAAGUUGUUCCUAUUACUAAGAGAUAAGGAGUCCUAUAUUUUAUGUAUUUGGUUGGUUCUUGAGUUGUAUUAUUUAUCUAUUUCUAGUCUCAGUGAAGUAUAAACUAAGUUAGGAGUAUUGUCUUCAUGUUGGGGAACUCAAAGACUUGGGAACUCUUACCUUGGAAAGGUUUUUAUUUUUUAGAAGUAGGAAGUAGAAGUUUGUAAUUCCUAGUUUACAAAAGUCUUGUAAUUUUUUGAUUGUAGAGGAUCAAGUAUUUUAGAAGAGUUGGGUUUAAAUCUUUUAGAGUUACGGGUUGUAAUUUUUUAUACCUCUUCAAGCCAGGUGUUUUUGAUACAAGUCAAAUGGGCGUCAACGCUUUUGAUCACACUACUUGAGUCCAACAUGAGGAGGUCCAUGCCUUGAUAUCCCUAAGGAUCAAAGAAUAUUCUUUGAAGCGCCUAAUAAAGAAAUUUCAUGUUUGGAAGAUAUCUUGGAGCCGAGGAAAGCCAUGGCGCAGGAAAAAAUAGAGCCCUUGUGGGUUAUUUAGGAAAUAGACACUUUUGGGCUAUUUUUGUAAUAGGCUAGUUCUGCAAAGGCAACUAGUAUAAAUAGUUGCCUUAGUCAUUUUAUUAGUAAGUUUUUGUUGAUUAAAUUACAUGAUGUAUUCAUGAGAACUUCACCGGAGUUAUGAGGGCUUCGAAAAGCCGAUGUUUAACCUUGCUUAGAAACGUUGGUUGUAAGGGCGAUCUAAUCCCCAUUGCAAUCAUGUAAGAGUUAGGUUCUUAUUGAUAGUUAUUAUCAGAGGUUUUAGGGUUUGAAACACCCUUCGAUUUCCAUUUUUUUUCAUCAAUUUUGUAUCUAUCUUUCUAUCAUCGUUAUCUUAUCCUGCUAUCUUUACUUUUCUGCACCGAGAUUUGAGUCCACGUGAGUCGAUUCGUUUCAGUUUUCCACCUAAAAAUUCACAGUGUUAUUUGCUUACUCUUUUAGCUAGUUUGAAACAUGUUAGUCAAUCUAUUUCAUUGAUAGGCAACAUCUAGGCUAAAAUAAAGUAAUCAAUAGCGCACAUACUCUAACAACUAACAACUCCAUUAAGUGGAAAAUAAUAAAUCUGAAUAUCAUGCUUCUAUGCAGGUGAACUUUACACCAUGUCUAGUAGAAUCAGAAAAGAGAUGUGAAAUUACAUGAUUGUGUGUUCAAUUUGAGAAAAUGGCAUGUUGAGCUUAGUUUCUUUUGCUACAUUUUCUGUUUAAAUUUCAGAAUUUAAUCAUCCAAUAUCUCCUACCAGAGAAGCAACCGAAAUGUUUAUUGUUCAACAAAGAUACCAAGUUCUGUUUGAUUGGCUAGAUAGGCUAUCGUAAAGGUGCUCCAUCAUUCGCUUAAACUUGAGGAUACUUUGCUCCAGUUCCAUCUAAGAAUAUUGUAGACCAUGGUCUUAUAAGUCUACAGAUAUGUGCAAUAUAAAGUCUUCCUAAUUCAUCGAAACUUGCUAAACCACUUGUUCUCUAUAGGUAGUUUGUCUUGCAACAUAUUCUGAUAUUAUGACUUGUUUCCAUUUGAGUUAUAAACUAGUUGAAACUACAAAUGUAAAUAUCUUGACUUAUCUGUGACGGUGUCUCCAUCUGUCAAGGCAAGCUCUGGUAUUAUGGCCUGAGAUAAACUUUUGGGAUCCAUUUGUACAUUUGGAAAUGAAUGACCUUUACCUGAAACAAGAAUCAAAGUGAAAGCCCGAUUCGUGUUCCAUAGGACUUACCAUUGAUCUUUGUUACUACAUUCUAAAUGGUUGUUGUCUUUUGAACAUUUGGAUAUGAAUGGCCUUUACCAGAAAAUAUAUCAGAUUUUCCUAAAUUAUUAAAGAAUAGAACAAUUUUGAGGUCCGACUAUGGACUUCUGAUUAAUAAGUAAAUAACAAUAUGUUGUACACUUGUUGAGUAUCGUAUAUCUAUUGCAGAACUUAUGACAAUUGAUUUAAUAAACUAGCAAUUGCAGGUUUCAAAAUAGGACAUAAAGUUAAAGUGAUACCAAAAUAGGCUAUAUUUUAAGCAUCCCUCAAAUUAAUGGGUUAACUUUUAAAAAGGAAUUAUAGUGCUCUUUAAAAUAGUGCACUAAGCCUUUUUGGUAUCACUUUAACUUAAUGUUCUAUUUCAGUCACUUUUAACUAUUUGGGUUCAGUUAGGCUCCGGAUCUAACUUUCAUGGGUCCAAAUAAUACAAAACGGAGGGACUAUAUAUUUGGUGUAUAAAGUUAAAGUACUUUGACUACAAAAGCUCAUUUUCUUGCUUCUGCCGAACAGGUAUCUUAGGAAAAUUGUCAAGAAUGUACCUUGGACCUAACUCAACCUCAAAAGCUAAAUCAAGAGGUGAGAAUUACCCAUGUCCAUAUAAGAAAACUACCAGUCCAUUCCCCAACCAAUGUGGGACUUUUUACCCACUCUUAUACCCCCCAUGCCUAGGCCCAACUGACAUUGGUGCGUAGAUCGGGAUCCCAAAAUGGGGAUGGACCUUGCUUGGAUACUAUGUCAAGAAUGGACCUUAGGCCUAACUCAACCUCAAAAUCUAGGUCAAGAGGUGAGGAUUACCCAAGUCCAUAUAAGCAAACUACCAGUCCAUUCUCCAACCAAUAUGGAACUUUUUACCCACUCUAACAAAAACAUGCUUGUUUGUACAUUGAGAGAGAUGAAGGCCUAGAACCCUAGACCUAGAAGCUCUAAGAUCUUAACUUUCUUUAAUCCAAUACUAAGCUUCUCCAAGCCUAUUCAUAGAAGACCAGAUUUAAAGAUCAUCCAAUGGUGAUGAUGGUGGAAAUACUCUCAAAAUUGCCAAUCGCGUCAAUUUUAAGCUCUAGGCGUGUUUUCAAACUCUGGUAUAAUCUUCUGUCCAACCCUUUAUUUCGUACCAUGUAUAGAUCAAGAUCACCUCCUUCUUGCAUUUUGUUUUCACAUGAUCACGGUAUAAGUCAACUCUUUAAACUUGAUCUGUGUCGCGAUGAUUAUUCUUCUAGACUCCGUAGCUGACCUAUUUUAUUUAGAUACUCGAGCUUAACACACCAGUGAAAAGGGGAAUGUAUAUUCCAGUUGAGAAUUACUGUAAUACCCCGGGAAAUUUUUCGUUUAAAUCUUGUGCGUAAACGUGUUGGGUUCUAUCUUCUAUAAUGAAUUAUAAAUUUUUCAUGUGGAUUGUCUUAUAUUAUGACCUACCAUUGCAUAUAGUAUCAAAUAAGCUUUCCAAGUAUACGUAGAUCAUCCAAAAUGGACACCCGAGCGACGAGUUAUGAACAUUCCGAUCGAAAACGUGCAGGAAAAAGUACUGAGGCCUAGCGUAUUUUUGCUCCAACUUUAAAUAAUAAUAAUCCUUGUACAUAAUGAUCUGGGUUAUCUACUAUAUAUAAUGGAAAGAUCUGCGAGUCAUAUUUCCAAUGAAGUUGGUUUCAUCCAAUUUGUCUAUUGGAGCAAAAAGUUAUGGUGGAUCUACUUCAGUCUAUCGAAAGAGAAUUUUUGGGUCAACUUCAAAUGAUCAUAACUCCUCGUACACAAAGAUUUGGGUGAGAUACUAUAUAUUAAUGGAAAUAUAUGUGAGUCCUAUUUCUAAUGAAAUUGGUUUCAUCCAAUUUAGAUAUCGGAGGAAAAUGUUAUGGUUGAUCUACAUCAGACUAUAAAAAUAGUCCACCAAAGGACAGAUUCGAGAAUUAUUUGAUUUUUAGGGGCGUUUUGGUCAUUCCCCCUCACCCAAAAUCAGUCCAAAACCUAUAUUAGAUCCAAUUAGAAACAUUAUAUGUUAUAUUUCAUCAAAUUCCCUAAAAAAGAAAACCCUAACCUCAUUCAUCCAACUUCAAGAACCUCCAAAGUUCACCAUUAAUUCUGCAAAUUUAUUCAAGAUUCCAAGUUUCUAGUUCAAGAACUCCAAGAACCAUCAUUCAAAGGCACGAUUAACAUCUUAAAAGAAAUUAUCGAUCUAAAGUUCAUCAUUCAAGGUAUGUGGGAUUUUUCAACAAGAAAUCUCUUUCGUUCUUGUGCCCAAAAGUAAUUUUCUUUACAAAGGCAUGAUUUUUAAUUGAUUUUUACGAAUUUAAAGAAUGAACCCAAAUCUUAUGAUGAUUAUUAUGAAAUCUUGAUGUUUAUGAUUUUGAAAGAUGAAUCUACAUGUGUGGAGAUAUAAAGCAUGAAUCUUGAACGAUAUUUAUCAUGAUUUUGAUAUUUGGGUCGUGAAUCCCCAUUAGAAAUUAUUUUUUUUGAGAUAGUGUGUGUUAUAAGCUCGUUGAUGUUGAAUAUUUGAGAUAUGUUGAAUGAUUUCACCUUUUGGUCUUAAUGGAGUUUUUUGAACUCGAGUGUGGAAGAAAUCCACAACGUGGUUGAUUUUGAUAAAUGGGAAGCAUGAUGGCUCCCGAUGUAUAUUUAUAUAUUACUGAAAUUGUUUUGUUAUGGAUUUUCUUUGAAAUGAUCUGAGCUAAGUCUGGAAGAAAUCUUUAGCUCCGAGUGAGAGGUAUAAAGUGACCUUACUUCCCUAGAACUACAUGCCCCCAUAGAAGUGAGCCUAAGGAUGAUUUAUGUAGUGAUCACUACUUUUUGUGGAUUUGAUAUAGAUAGUCCUACUCUGAUGGAAAGAAUAGGAUAGCUCUCCCCAAUGUAGAUUGUACGUUGGACUCCAUGUAGCUCACAUUGUUUAUGUCAGUUAUAGGAUCUUCCAUUGUGUGUGUGUUUCCUUGUGUCUAUGGUGAAUGUUGAAGUGAUUUGAAAGUGGAAUUGUGAAAGUUAUUCUUUUGAAAGAUUUAAAUGAUAUUUACAUUAUGAGAAUUGAUAUUCUUGAUGAACUGAAAGUGAUUGACAAAUUAUAUGAUGACUCACAUUUGUUAUUGUACUGAUUUCAUCCUCUCAUGAUUUUGAUGAUUUUCUAUGGGCUAUAUGAGCCUUUCAUACAUCCUGCAUAUUUUUUAUAAAUAUUUAUGAUGAUGAUGUUUAUACAACUGCAUACACCCCCAUAUACUCGGUUCCUUUCCAUGAUACUGACCCACAUCUUCGGGUGUGGGCUGCAUUUUCUUGAAAUGUAGAUUCUGGUGCUCAGUUCCAGGUUCGACAGUUAUUCUUCGGGAAUGCUGUUCUACAUCCUCUGUUGUGGUAAGUCCUUAUGUUCCGAGGAAGUGAUGUUUGAUGUUGGUUUUACGAAAUUAUUUACAUUUGAUAAUUGAGUAUGAGUUAGUUGGGGCAUGUCUCAAUGGCUCGCUGGUUUUAUUCAUAUUCUUAGAGGCUUGUCAGACUAAUAUAGCUAUUGGGAGUUGACUAAUAAGUCAUAUUUAUUAUCUUUCUGAAAUUCUUUUAUUCUUGGAUAAUGAUUACUCUGUUGAUAUUUGAGGGUUAUUUAUGGAAACCCCAUUGAUUUGUGUUAAACUGAAUGAAAAUGACUCAAAGGUUUAGCUUGGGGCUACUCAUAGCCUUAAGUAUUGUGUCACGCUCGAGGACCCAUUUUCUGGGGCAUUACAAACUUGGUAUCAGAGCCUAAGUUUUUAAGGUAUCCUAGGGAGUCUGACAAGCCGCGUUAAGUAGAGUCUUGAUCAUCGGUGUGUAGUGUGCCACAUCUAUGAGCAAGAUUCUACAAGACGUUCUAGGAAAAAUGUUGAUUCUUUCUUUUAGAAGUCUAUCAUGCUUAAAGUGCCUCUCUAUUAUUGAUUCGUGCUCUCCUUUUUCAGAAAUAUGCCUCCACGUCGAGCGAGAAUAAAUAAUGAUGGUCAGCAACCUCAACCCGCUGACCCAUUAAAUGAAAACGUGUCUCAUGCUAAAUAUUGGGAAGCCUUUCAAGCGCUGACCUAAGCUAUUAUUGAAAAUAUUCAGGCUAACCCGGCCUCGGCUCCACAGUAGCAGGGAGGUGAUUCAGCUGCUGCUAGGAUCCAUGACUUCAUGCGGAUGAAUCCUUUGGAAUUCUAUGGGUCCAAGUCUGAUGAGGAUCAAUGGUUGUUUUUAGAGGAGGUACGGAAAAUUACUCAGGUAAUGCAUGUAUCUGAGAAACAUAGUGUGGAGUUGGCUGCGAAUAGGUUGAAAGACCUUGCUUAUGGCAGCGUUGUUGCUUGGAGGAAAGGUAGAGGUGAGGGAUCUGUCCCUAUAACUUGGCAAGAGUUCUAGGAUGCAUUCCUGGAUAAGUUUUUCCCUUUGGAGAUGAGAGAGGCAAAGGUGGAAGAGUUUAUGAACCUGCGACAGGGCUCUAUGACUGUUACGGAGUACUGUCUAAAGUUCAAUCAGUUGGACAGGUAUGCUCCUGACUUUGUGGCUAAUAAUCGGGCAAGUAUGAGUAAGUUUGUGACUGGAGUAUCUAGUUAUGUGGUUAAGCCGUGUAGGUCUGCUAUGCUGAAUAGUGAGAUAAAUCUUUCAAGGCUGAUGACUCAUGCCCAAUAGAUUAAGGCAGAUAAGAUUAAGGAGAGAGAUAGAAAGAGAGGUAAUAAGAGAUCUAGGUACGAGCAGCACGGACAGGAUCAGACUAGAUCAAUGAGAGAGAGUCUCCCUUAGUAUCAGGAUCGUUCGUCUAUGCCAGUACCGUCAUCUGCUAGUGCUUCCGUGCCUAGAGGUAGGUAGGAGAAAGGUAGCAGGUCAUAUGCAUCCAGGUCCCAGUAAGUGCUGGCAGUAAGCCAAAUCAUCCCCUGUGUCCUAAGUGUAGUAGUGCUUAUUUGGGUGAGUGUUAGGGUGAGAAGAGGGGUUUUUUCCGGUGUGGUGGCAUGGGAUACAGAGUUAGAGAUUGUCCAUAGGAUGGACAAGGGCAUCGUGACUAUCGCCCUCAAAACCAGACUCAGACUGUUAGUGCUCCAGUUCCAACGACUUGCCCAGCCCCAGCUUAGGGCACCUCUUCUAGCAAUGUUGGCCGGCAGCGCCAGAAUAGAUUCUAUGCUUUACCAUCCUGCUAGGAACUGGAGGACUCUUCGUAUGUUGUUACUGGUAUGCUUCGUAUAUUUUAGUUUGAUGUGUAUGCUUUGUUGGAUCCUGGAUGUAGUUUCUCAUAUGUUACUCCUUUGAUUGCUGUGAAUUUAGAAAUGAGUCCUGGGAUUAUUCCUAAGCCUAUCAUAGUGUCUACCCCAGUGGGUGAUUCGAUUGUUGCCCAGAAAGUGUAUAAAAAGUGUCUUGUUACCAUUUUUCAUAGAGUCUUGUUGACUGAUCUGAUUGAGUUAGACAUGGUAGAUUUUGAUGUGAUUCUGGGUAUGGAACGGCUGUAUUCUUCUUAUGUCUUUAUUGAUAGUCGGACACGACUUGUCAAGUUUCAGUUUCCAGGUGCAUCCGUGUUUGAGUGGUCUGGGAAUUCUAUGUCACCCAAUAGUCAUUUUAUCUCUUACCUCAAAGCUAGAAAGAUUAUUUCCAAGGAGUGUAUUUGCCAUUUGGUUAGAGUCAAAGAUACUAAGUCUGAUACUCCAACACUCCAGUCUGUUAAUGUCAUCAAUGAGUUUUCUGAUGUCUUUCCGGAUGAUCUCCAAGGGAUACAUCCUGAUAGAGAGAUAGGGUUUGGGAUUGAUCUUCUUCCCGAUAAUCAGCCCAUUUCAUUCCUCCUAAUCGUAUGGCCCCUACAGAACUUAAGGAGUUGAAAGAGAAACUUAAAGAUCUACUAGAUAAGGGUUUCAUAAGGCCCAGCUAUGUUGUUUGUGAGAAAGAAAGAUGGCUCUUUAUGUAUGUGCAUUUAUUACCGCCAACUGAAUAAAGUCACCAUACAAAAUAAGUACCCCCUUCCGAGAAUAGAUGAUUUUUUUGACCAAUUGCAAGGUGCAAGUUAUUUCUCAAAGAUAGACCUUCGUUCUGGCUAUCAUCAACUCAAAGUUAGGGAAUGUGACAUCCCAAAAAUAUCUUUCCAAACUCGUUAUGGCCAUUUUGAGAUUCUUGUUAUGUCUUUCGGGUUAACUAAUUCCCCAGAAGCUUUCAUAGACCUCAUGAAUCGAGUGCUCAGACCAUAUCUGGAUAUGUUUGUUAUAGUGUUCAUCGAUGAUAUAUUGGUGUACUCCCGUAAUGAGGUUGAACAUUCUGAUCAUCUUCGAACGGUCUUGCAAACCCUUAGAGAUCACAAGUUGUUUUCCAAGUUUAGUAAGUAUGAGUUUUGGAUAAGGUCAUUUUCUUUUCUGGGUCGUAUUAUUAAUUCCGAGGGUAUUACAGUUGAUCCCCAAAAGGCUGAAGCUGUUAGAAAUUGGCCUAGACCUAUUUCUCCGACUAAUAUCUGAAGUUUCUUGGGUUUAGCUGGCUAUUACCAUCGUUUUAUUGAGGGUUUCUCCUCUAUAGCGUCUCUAAUGACUCGGUUCACCCAAAAGAAAGUGAAGUUCUUGUUGUCCGAAUUUUGUGAGAAGAGUUUUCAGCUGUUGAAGACUCGACUCACUUCAGCCCCUGUUUUGACUUUGUCUGAUGGUGUUGAUGGUUUUGUGGUGUACUGUGAUGCUUCGAGAGUUGGGUUGGGUUGCAUAUUUAUGUAGAAGGAUAAGGUGAUAGCUUAUGAUUCUAGACAGUUGAAAUCCUAUGAGAAAAAUUACCCCACCCAUGACCUUGAGUUGGCUUCUAUUGUGUUUACUUUGAAAAUAUUGAGACACUAUUUGUAUGGUGUCCAUGUUGAUGUUUUCACUGAUCAUAAGAGUCUGCAGUAUGUGGUUACCCUAAGAGAAUUGAAUCUUAGGCAGAGACGAUGGUUAGAAUAGUUAAAGGACUAUGAUAUGAGUUUGUUGUAUAAUCUGGGCAAGGCCAAUAUUAUGGCGGAUGCCCUAAGUAGCGUGUUUAUAGGUAGUGUUUCGCAUGUGGUAGAAGGUAAGAAAGAGUUACCUCGUGAUGAACAUCAUUUGGCUAGCUUGGCGGUUAGGUUGUUUCACUCUGCUGAAGGUAGUAUAGGGGUUCAGAGUAGUUCUGAAUCCUCCUUGAUUUUGGAAGUGAAGGAAAAUCAUUACUUAGAUGCUUGUUUGGUCAGACUGAAGGAGUCAGUCAAGGACAAAAAGAAGAGGUUUUCUCCCAAGGGGGAGAUGGUGUGUUGAGAUUGCAGGGUAGAUUGUGUGUCUUGAAUGUUGAUGAUCUGAGACAGAGGAUUAUGGCUGAAGCGCACGAGGCACGAUAUUCUAUUCAUCCUGGUACCAACAAGAUGUACCGAGACUUGCGGAAAAUCUAUUGGUUGAGUGGCAUGAAGAAAGAUAUAGUAGUAUUUGUAGCUAAGUGUGCAACAUGCCAACGAGCUAAGGUGGAACACCAACGACCUGGUGGUAUACUGCAAGAGUUUAGUAUUCCCACCUGGAAGUGGGAUGAGAUAAAUAUGGACUUCGUGAUUGUUUUACCUCCUUCCCGAUGCCAUCAUGAUUCCAUUUGGGUUGUGCUUGAUAGGUUGACUAAGUCUGCUCAUUUCUUGUCUGUUCAUAUUUCAUAUAAUGCUGAGGAUUACGCUAGAUUGUAUGUCCGAGAGCUAGUUAGACUGCAUGGAGUUGCCUUGUCUAUCAUUUCGAAUAGGGUUACUCAGUUCACUUCGCAAUUCUGGAAAGCUUUUCAGAAGGGUCUUGGUACCCAAGUGCUUUUGAGUUCUCUUUUUUAUCCGCAGACCAACGGUUAGGCUGAGCGGACCAUCCAGACCUUAGAGGAUAUAUUUAGAGCUUGUGCACUUGACUUUAACGGAGGUUGGGAUGAUCACUUACCCUUAAUAGAGUUUGCUUACAAUAAUAGUUUCCACUCUAGUAUUGGUAUGGCUCCGUUUGAAGCCUUAUAUGGGAGGAAGUGUAGAUCACCCAUAGGUUGGUUCAAGGUGGGUGAAGCAGCUGUGAGUGGUUCUGAUUCGGUAUUUGAGGCUAUGGAAAAAGUUAAGUUGAUUAGGGAAAGGUUGAAAACUGCGCAGAGUCGUCAGAAGUCAUACGUGGAUUUUAGAAGGAGAAACCUUGAGUUUGAAGUUGGUGACCUAGUGUAUCUGAAAAUUUCACCCACAAGGGGGGGUGAAGAGAUUUGGAAAGAAGUGGAAGUCCUUACAAAAUUCUUAGCUGUGUUGGUAAGGUAGCUUAUGAGGUCGAGUUGCCUUUUGAGUUUUCCUCUGUUCAUCCAAUAUUCCAUGUCUCCAUGCUUAGAAAGCAUAUUAGCGAUGUUGUGGUAGUAUUCCUCUGUGAGUGUUGAUAUUCAAGAAAUAUUUCUUUUGAAGAGAUUCUUGUUGAGAUUCUUGAUUUCAGUGUCCGAAGACUAAGGAAUAAAGAAGUUGCUUUGGUCAAGGUGUUCUGGCGAAACCAAUCUGUUGAGGGUGCAACUUGGGAUGCUGAGGCAGAUAUGCGAUCCAAGUACCCACACCUAUUUUCCGCGAACAACUAUCAAGCCGAAGGUACCGUUCUUUCCUAAAUCAUGCACUUUUGAUAAAAGUUGCAGCAGUUUAGCUGUCAUUUAUUAUGUGUUCAGCUGUAGUUUCUUGAAUUUAUGCAUUCUAUGUUGCAUUCGGAGUGAGAAACAAUGUGGUGAUGAGUCUAACAAAUGGUUUCAGCUGUAUGAUCUACUCCCUAUAUAAUCUUGGCAUGUCUAGCGUCAUUCGAGGACGAACGUUUCCAAGGGGGAUGAUGUAACACCCCAGGAAAUUUUUUGUUGAAAUUUUGUGCGUAAACGUGUGGGGUUCUAUCUUCUAGAAUGAAUUAUAAAUAUUCCAUGCGGAAUAUCUAGAUUAUGACUUACCAUUGCGUAGAGUAUCGAAUAAUCUUUCCAACGAUAUGUGGAUCAUCUAAAAAGGACACCCGAGCGACGAGUUAUGAACAUUCCGAUCGAACCAUGAAUAGUAGUGAACAGUAAAACGUGCAGGAAAAAGUACUGAGGCCUGGCGUAUUUUUCCUCCAACUUUAAACGAUCGUAACUCCUCGUACAUAAUGGUCUGAGUGAUCUACUAUAAAUCAGUGGAAAGCUCUGCGAGUCAUCUUUCCAAUGAAAUUGGUUUCAUCCAAUUUGUCUAUCGGAGUAAAAAUGUUAUGGUUGAUGAACUUUAGACUAUCAAAACAGUCCACCAAAGGACAGAUUUGAGAAUUAUUUUAAUUUUUAGGGGCAUUUUAGUAAUUCUCCCUGCCCAAAAUCCGUCCAAACCCUAUAUUAAAGCUUAUUAGAAGCAUUAUAUGUUAUAUUUGAUCAAAUUCCCUCAAAAAGAAAACCCUAAGCUCCUAUAUCCAACUUCAAGAACCUCCAAAGUUCACCAUUAAUUCUGCAAAUUUAUUCAAGAUUCCAAGUUCCUAGUUCAGGAACUCCAAGAACCAUCAUUCAAAGGCACGAUUAACAUCUCAAAAAUGAGUAUCGAUCAAAAGUUCAUCAUUCAAGGUAUGUGAGGUUUCUAAACAAGAAAUAUCUUUCGUUCUUGUGCCCAAAAGUAAUUUUCUUUACAAAGGCACCAUUUUUAUUUAAUUUUUACGAAUUUAAAACAUGAACCCAAAUCUUAUGAUGAUUAUUAUGAAAUCUUGAUGUUUAUGAUUUUGAAAGAUGAAUUUACAUGUGUGUCGAUAUAAAGCAUGAAUCUUGAACGAUUUUUUGCAUGAUUUUGAUAUUUGGGUCGUGAAUCCCCAUCGGAAAUUGUGUUUUUUUAGAAAGUGUGUGUUAUAAGCACGUUGAUGUUGAAUAUUUGAGAUAUUUUUGAAUGAUUUGACCUUUUGGUCACAAUGGAGUUUUUUUGAACUCGAGUGUGAAAGAAAUCCACAACGUGGUUGAUUUUGAUAGAUGGGAAGUGUGAUGGAUCCCGAUGUAAAUUUAUAUAUUACUAAAAUUGUUUUGUUGUGGAUUGUCUUUGAAAUGAUCUGAGCUAUGUCCGAGAGAAAUCUUUAGCAUAGAGUGGGAGGUAUAAUGUGACCUUACUUCCCUAGAACUAUGUGACCCCGUAGGAGUGAGCUUGAGGCUGAUUUAUAUAAUGAUCACUAGUUUGUGUGGAUUUGAUAUCUAUAGUCCUACCCCGAUUGAAAGGAUAGGACGGCUCUCCCCAAUGUGGGUUGUGUUUUGGACUUCAUGUAACUCACAUGGUUUAUGUCGGUAAUAGAUCUCCCAGUAUGUGUGUCUUUCCUUGUGUCUAUGGUGAAUGGUGAAGUGAUUUGAAAGUGAAAUUGUGAAAGUUAUUCUUUCGAAAGAAUUAAAUCAUAUUUACAUUAUGAGAUUUGAUAUUCUUGAUGAACUGAAAGUGAUUAACAAAUUAUAUGAUGACUCACAUGUGUUAUUGUACUUAUUUCAUCCUCUCAUGAUUAUGAUGAUUUUCUUUGGGCCAUGUGAGUCUUUUAUACACCCUGCAUAUUUCUUAUAAAUAUUUAUGAUGAUGAUGUUUAUACAACUGUAUACAUCCCCAUAUACUUGGUUCCUUUUUAUGUUACUGACCCACAUCUUCGGAUGUGGGCUGCAUUUUCUCUAAAUGUAGGUUCAGGUGCUCAGUUUUUGGUUCGACAGUGAUUCUUUGGGCACUCUGUUCUACAUCCUCUUUUGUGGUGAGUCCUUAUGUUCCGAGGACGUGAUGUCUGAUGUUGGUUUCACGGAAUUAUUUACAUUUGAUAACUGAGUAUGAGUUUAUUGGGGCAUGUCUCAAUGGCUCGCUAGUUUUAUUGAUCUUCUUAGAGGCUUUUCAAACUAGUGUAGAUGUUGGGAGUUUAUUAAUAAGUCGUAUUUUGUUAUCUUUCUGAAAUUUUUUUAUUCUUGGAUGAUGAUUACUCUGUUGAUAUUUGAGGGUUAUUUAUGGAAACCUCGUUGAUUUGUGUUGAACUGAAUGAAAAUGGCUCAAAGGGUUAGCUUGGGGCUACUCAUAGCCUCAAGCACCUUUUGACGCUCUGGGACCCAUUUCUCGGGGCGUUACAAUUACACAAUGUUGAGAUUAAUUGGUUCAUGUAAUGGAUUUUUUGGUUUGACGACUAAUAUAUAUGAUAUGAAUACUGUAGUUUACAUUAGUAAUCCUCUUUUGGGUGAGUAUUUCAAACAUAAGUUGCCCCAAUUAGAGAAAAGUGAUUGUGUUGUUGUUUAUAGAUUUUGCUUUAGUGAAGUCUCUAGAAAGUAUAAGCUAGUGAGAUCAAUGACUAGAAGGUUUGGGGAUCAUUAUGAAGUAUCAAAAUUGGAGGUUUAUACUCUUGGGGUUAAUGAGAAUUGGAGAAAUUUGGUCCAAGAUCCAUAUCCUGUAUGGCAUGAUUUUUGCCUGGUUUGUGUGAAUGGAACUCUGCAUUGAAUGGAUCCCGUCAACAAGGAAAAAAUUUAAUCCUUCGAUAUUUUGACUGAAAAGCUCAAGUCUAUGCCAGGUCCACCUGGUUUCGUAUUUCCAUUCAAGUAUUUGACCCAAGCAGAGUUUCAGAGUGUUGGUUUUUCGCUUUGAAAUUAAAGAAAUAAUAGAUAAAGAGUUGGAGAGGUAAAAAUAUGGUAUUGGCAAAGUGAAUUAUUUUAUUGAUAACUAAAAACAUAUAUUUAUAGCUAAAUUUCUAACUAUACUUCAAUUUAAAUUAGGAUAACUAAUUUCUAUUCAAAUAAGAAAGGGACAACUAAUUCCAAAGUCACAUAGGACUCUAAUAAUUUAAAACUACUACAAUUAUCUAUUCCUACUUUAUUUCUGAGGCUUAGUUUCAGCACUCCUCCUUGGAUCAGAAAUUGUCUCGGCUUUGUCUGAAUUUGACCUCUUGAAUAAAUCUGCCAAUUCAUCUUUGUUCUUGCAUGACUUAUGUGCAUCUUCCAUUGGAUAAAAUAAAAAACUUUUGCCUCUUAUAUCAAUUUGUAAAAUCUCAAGAUUAGUGGAAUUAAAGAUUCAACAAUAUUUAUCUCCAAACAAUAGUUUAAAUCCUUUUUCCAUAAGCUGGCCAACACUUAACAAUCUUUUAUCAAUAUCGGGCACGUAAAGGACAUUUGAAAUUAUUUUUGUACCUGAAAUUGUUUUGAUUGCAACAUUCCCUUUUCCUUUUACAGGAAUAUAGUCACUAUUCCCAAUUGUGAUUUUGUUAUUUUCCAAAGGCAAAAACUCUUUAAAAAGAGUUUAGAGUUUUGCAAUAUGUGUUGUGAUCUGUACAACCACUAUCAAUCAUCCAAAAAUCAGAUUUCUUGGUUGAAGAUGUUGCCACAAAUAAGUGAUCUUCUUCUUGUUCUUUGGUGACUUGGGCUUCUGCUUCAUAUUUUUGAUACUUGUUUUUGCAAAUCAUAGAUUCAUUGCCCAGUUUAUUGAAAAUCUUGCAUUGUGCAUCUGGUCUCUUCCAACAUUUAAAUUGAGGAUGACCUAUUUUGCCAUAGUGCUGGCAAGGUGUUUAAUUUUUUCUUGAAUUAUUACCCCUGCUUUGAGUUUUCUGUUUGGCUGCCAAAGCUCCUUCAACCAUACCAUCCUGCCUUAUAAGCCUCCUUUGCUCUUGAGCUUGCAAUGUAUUUAACAAUUCUACCAAGGUAAUCUUGGACAGGUCUUUUGCGUUUUCCAAGUUAGUUAUUUAUACUUUGUAUCUUUCAUGUUAGCAAAUAAAUUCAUAUUUCUAGUUUUUUCCUAGUCUUUAUGAGAGUAUUUUAUUGUGAAUUUGUUUCCUAUUUAUUAGGAGUUAUCUUAGUGUCACGACCCAAGCUGAGGCCCUGGCCGUGCCGAGUAUCCCGAACCAUGAAGGACCGGACGCCCUUCUCCGUACAUUCAUGUAAUAAAGAAAAGAUGUGGAAUAUAAAUCAUGAUGGAACCAUGGUCAUACUCUGAGUUCAAUUUGACAAUAAAGAAAGAAAUCCAACAACAUCUUGACAACAUCUGAAUGUGUCUGCGAAAUCUCUACCACAUACAAAAAUAACAACUGUAACUUGGUCAAGGACCUAAUGGACCUAAACCCAAAAUAAAUGACAAAGUCUGAAGGACAUGGGGCUCCCGUAAUAAAGAAGGCUCACCCACUGCACACUUCACUUCUGUUUGAAAACUCUACGGCUUAGCAGGACCUCUAAACUGAGCCUCAGACCCUGAAACGUAGGGGGUCAGUAUAAUUUUACUGGUAUGCAGAGUAAAUCCAAAAUUAAUAAUUUUUAUUCAACAUAUAUGAUAGCAGUUCAACAUUAUUUCAUAAAUAUAACAUAUGAUAUAUUUUUAAAAGUCUCUGAAGAAUCAUCCAAACUUUGUGACAUAUUCUUUAUUUUACUUCUGCGCUAGGUGGUAUACCUUACAACUCUUAAAUUCCACGUGCAAUAUGGAAUCUUUCCUUAACUCGACAGCUAAGCCACAAACCCGAGUUUACUGGAAGGGUUGGAUUCUCUAUCUCCGAUAUGCCACAGGGCAUUAGGCCAGCGUAUAAUCUAUCUUGGGAAAAUAAUGAACCCAUAUCGGCAAAACACAAUUUUGGGCUACGAUUUACUUUAACUCAAGCCUUCUUCGGGCAACCACCUAACCCUCUUUAAGCCAAUUUUUAACUCUUUAAAACAUGUAUUCUAUGAAAUCAAAUUGUGAAAACUCUAACUCUGUUAUGGCAUACAUUUAUAUGGUAUCGUCAUGCCAUUGACUUGCAAGUCACAUCUCUGAGAAAUUAUUAGCAUAUUAAAAUCUUUGUUUUUAAAACAUAUGCUUGGGACCACCAUAUCAAUAAAUCAAUUCAAAGAACUCUUUCUUUAAAUUCAUAAAAACACAUACAAGGAACUGUCUCUUUAUCAACAUUUCAAUAACAUAAGGUGGUCAUGUCAAUUUAAUCAAUAACAUCCAAUUCUCUCUUUUAAACAAGCAUAUAGGUAUAACAAGAAACUCCUUCUAAUCAUAUCAAAAUUAUGUCAAAUAAUUGGAUAUUGAAAAGACUAUUCUCAAAUCAUAAAACAUGUAUUUCAAAUUAUUCCCAAUAUGUUCAUAAACUCUAAUUCAUCAAAAGACAGGGAUUUCAAUAAUAAUGCUCUCAAUCAAAUCUUCAAUUUCAUACACAUACAUAUAGGUAUAAAUCAAUUUAAGGGAAAAGAACACAAGGCCAAAACAAUUCUACCAUUAAAAGGUUCUAAUGCAUAACUUAAAACAUAGGAUCAAAAACGCCUUUAUAAAUUCAUGCUUGAUAACUUUAAAUUAUAUUCAAGAGAUUCAACAAGCCCAUGUAGUUCUAGGACAAACCUCACAUACCUUAGUGAUGACGAAACUGCUAAAAGAUUGGACCUUUAGGCUUGAAUUCCUUGAUUUCUUGUGAAAAGCACUUGAAUCUUAUUCUUGGGAAUGGAAGAGGUCUUUGUAUCGUAGCUUGGAUGAUUUAAGGCUUAGGGAUUGUAAAUAAUGUGUUUAAAAAUCCCUUAUCAUGUUUUGGAGUGAUUAGGAGCUGUGUAGGGGUGUGAAAUGACUUCAACACUCUUGAUAUAAGUUAAAAUGGAGUGUAUUUGGCACUUGGAAAUGAAUUAGGCGGUGCCUAGUUGAUCGCACAAGCCAAUGUGAGAGACACCUUGUGAAUCGCCUAAGUGGGUGGCGCCUAACCAAUCGCACACCCUUACUACCUCUCACUAAAAUAAGGAUAAAUUUUUUCUUGGGUAUUGAAUUAAUAUGAAAUUGGUAUCAUUGGAAAGAUAUUUCGAAGACCUUUCAUUUGAUAUACAAUACGUCCUCUAAUUCAUUACAUCAAAAAAGUUAUCAUCGAUUGAAGUUGACCAAAGUUUUGACGCUCACUCAAACUCGAACGAUAGGAAAAUUUCCAACUCGUCCUUGGGUUAAGUGACCUCUAUGAUCUCAAUUCAUGCUCAACUAGAUUCUCACGCUACAUAAUUGAUUAACACACUAUAUUUUCACCGGAUUUAUGGCUUUUGGAACUUUUACGCGAAGGAAUGAUGGUUUACGUUCUAGCCCAAAAUGCGGUGUGUUACACUUAGUUAGUCGUUCCAGUUUUUUAGUUUAUUUUGUUACGUCUUUCUUCCUAUAAAAUCAGUAGUCUUAGGCUAUGAAUAACAGUCAUGAUAGUUUCAUUAAAUUCAUUGUGUUGACUCUAUCUUUAGUCCUUUACUUUCUGCAUAUACUUCUCUGUUUCGCAUAUGUAAAUAGUGGCAUCAGUGCGAGCGUGAGAUCCUGCAGUGAAAAAAAAUGUAGCAGCAGUUAAAUCUCUCUUCUCUAUUCUGUAACACUCAAUAGUAACUUCGUACAAGUAGGAAUUCCCUGCUUUGAUGGUCACUAUGUGUUGGGUUCGAAAUCGAGAUGGCGUCAUGUGGAAGCUUAAAGUUUGUAAACUAUGAGAUGGUAAAUCAGACGACAACGAAUACAAUACAUAAAAGCAUUAAAUUUUUAAAUGUUUUGUCCAAUCGGCCUACAUAUUAUAAAACCUAAUAUUGAAAAACAUUAAACCUAUCAGGAGAAAUCUCCCCCUAAACAAAGACUCUUCAAUGACUACAUUGUGGAGUCUCUUGUGUUAUGGUAUGAGAAGGGGGUUCUUCUAUUUAUAGAUGUCCAAAACCUUUCCUUCAAUAAAGAUGUUAGCCAAAUAUGGAAAAGAAUUAUAUUUUUUUCUUUCAGGAAAAGUAAAAGUAAUUGUGGUAACUUUUAUUUUCCUUCCAAGAAAAAACAAAACUUAAAUAUAGUAAGAAAAUCAUGGGAAAAAACCCUAAUAAACUCCCCUUUUUGGCUUGAUUUUCUUCACUUGAUCCACCUUCUUCUUGUGAAUGAUCUUCGUUCUUCAUAUAUAUUCUUCAUAUAUCACUGCUGUUUGACAUGCUUUAAAAAUUGAAGCUUUUUGGGUUAAACAUAUAUAAGCCCUUUGGGGUUAAAAAUAGUGAAGCCCUUUAGUAGGGUUAAAAGUGAGCUUUAUUUUCAAAUAUGUGACAGUAGGAUUGUUGAAAAUAUGAUUGACAAUUAUCUCCACAUUUAGCUUUUUGGCAUAUAUCUUCAUUAUCAUCAAAUUGGUUCCAGCUUAAUUUUGAAACCGCUUUGAACCUGUUUGAUCUCGUCUGACCAAACCAUUCGACCAUUGAACCAUAAGCAUCGAUACCACUUGUUGGGUUCGAAAUCGAGAGGGCGUCAUGAGGAAGCUUAAAAUUUGCGAACCAUGAGGUGAUAAAUCAGACGACAAAGAACACAAUACUUAAAAGCAUUAAAUUAUUAUAUGCUUUGGCAAAUCGUCCUACAUAUUAUCAAACAUAAUAUUGAGAAACAUUAAACCUAUUGGGAGAAAUCUCCUCCUAAACAAAGACUCUUUAAUGACUACAUUGUGGAGUCUCAUGUUAUGGUAUGAGAAGGGGGAUCUUCUAUUUAUAGAUGUCCAAAUCCUUUCCACCAAGAAAGAGGUUACCCAAAUAUGGAAAAGAAUUAUAUUUUUUUCUUUCAGGAAAAGUAAAAGUAAUUGUGGUAACUUUUAUUUUCCUUCAAAGAAAAAAAUAAAACUUAAAUAUAGUAAGAAAAUCACAGAAAAAAUCCUAACACUAUGACCAUUGGAGCAUACUGAUGAAGAAUUUCUUAUGGUCCAAAAAGUAUUGGCCAAUUGAGGAGGACGACAUAGAUUCUCCGCCGGUAGGUGAAAUUUUGACGAAUGCUCAAAAACCAUAGUUCGAAGCAAAAAAAAUGAAAGAUUUGAAAUUGAAGAAUUAUCUCUUUCAUGCUAUCGGUCGGCCCAUCCUAGAAACUACUCUUGCAAAGAAACUUCUAAGGAUAUUUCAGACUCCAUAAAAAAGAAAUAUAAAGGCAUUUCUAAAGUGAAUCGUGCACAACUUCAAACGUUGAGAAGGGAUUUCGAGGAGAGUCUGUCAUAAGUUAUUGCGGUAGAACAAUGGAGAUCAACAACAAAAUGCAAUUUCAUGGUGAGAAGAUGAUUGAUGUCACAAUUGUUGAGAAAAUAUUGCUCUUUUAACGCCGAAAUACGAUUAUGUAGCUUGUUCCAUUGAUGAAUCAAAAGAUAUAGAUGAGUUAUCGCUGGAUGAAUUACAAAGUUCCCUAUUGGUGUAUGAACAGAAGAUGAACUGCAGUUCAACUUCUAAGGAGUAGGCCUUGAAAGCUUCUACUUUUGUUCCUUCCAAUUCUAGAGAAAAGGGUAGAGGUAGAGGAAGAAGGAGAGGAAAUAGAGGAAAUAGAGAUGGCGGAAGAAAAUUUAGAGCCAAUGAUGAUGCCAAAGGAAGGGGAGAAUUUUGAUAAAUCAAAAGUCGAAUGCUAACGAUGUCACAAAUUUGGUCAUUAUCAGUCUGAGUGCUACCCUAGGCUGCCUAGUGACAAGGAUGAGAAGUCAAAUUUUGUUGAAAGCAAUGAAACCGAGACCCUAUUGAUGGCAAUAGACACUGAAGAAAAACCUGUACAAUAUGUUUGGUAUCUUGACACAUGCUUCAGUAAUCACAUGAGUGGGAGUAAGUCUUGUUUUUCUUCGUUAAAUGAAGGUUUUCGUUCUACAGUUAGUUUUGGUGAUUGCUCUACUAUGGAUGCAAUGGGUAAAGGUGAUAUUAAAAUUAAAGCCAAGAAUGGUUUUGAAGAAAUAAUAUCAAAUGCACUUUAUGUUCCUUCUUUAAAAAGCAAAUUAGUGUUGGACAAUUGCAAGAAAAAGGAUAUUCUAUUUUCAUCGGGAAAGAUGUUUGUGAGAUUUGUAGUCCUACAAGAGGAGCUAUUUCUAUUGUGAAAAUGGAUUCAAAGAGGUUAUUUCCCUUGAUAAUUGAGAGUAUUCAGUCUUGUUUAAAUGCGAAAAUAAAAGAUCCCUCAUGGAUGUAGCAUUUUAGAUAUGGUCGUUUGGAUUUUGGUGCACUAAAAACUCUCCAACAGAAAAAUAUGGUGAUAGGUCUUCCAGAAAUCAUCAUCCCUUCCAAAGUUUGUGAAGGACGUGUUUUUGGCAAACAACAUCAUUCUCAAUUUUCAAAAGGGAAGUUGUGGAGAGUGAAGGGUACUUUGGAGCUAGUGUAUUCAAAUAUCCGUGGCCCAAUUAAACCAAUUUGUAAUGGAGGUAAAAGUUAUUUCAUUACCUUUACAGCUGACUUUUCCCAGAAAACUUUGGUGUAUUUUUUACAGGAAAAAUCAGAAGCUUUUGGAGCAUUUAAAAGCUUCAAGGCUCACAUAGAAAAUGAAACUAGAAGGGUCAUAAAGACUCUUCGAACUGAUCGUGGGGGAAAGUAUUGCUUAAAACUCUUUGAAGAUAUUUGUGAAUCUAGUGGAAUUUAAAGAGUGCUCACCGCUGCUUAUACAGCACAACAAAGUGGUGUAUCGUAGAGGAAGAAUAGAACCAUUCUCAAUAUGGUGCGGAGUUAGCUGGCCAAAGGAAAAAUGGAAAAGACUUUCUGGCCAGAAGCGGUAAAUUAGAGCAUUCAUGUGUUAAAUAGAAGUCCAGCAUUUGUUGUUCAAAUCAUGACUCCAGACAAGGCUUGGAGUGGAAGAAAACCAACUGUGGACCACAUUCGAAUUUUCGGUUGCAUUUCCUAUGCUCAUAGUCCAGACAAGAAGAUGAAGAAGCUUGAUGACAAAAGUCAAAAAUGUAUCUUUCUCGGUGUUAGUGAAGCAUCAAAGGCAUAUAAAAUGUUUAAUCCUCUGGAGAAGAAGAUUCUAGUCAGUAGAGAUGUUAUUUUUGAUGAAGAAAACACUUGGGAUUGGAGUAUGCAGCAUUCCACUCCAAUCAUAUUUGAUACAGUAGCGGAAGAAGUAGAUGCAAUACCCGAAAGUGCAGCGAAUUAAACUCCCACAAUUUCUGAAAUUUUACCAACUCUUGCUGAAAGUUCACCAACUGCUGAAACUUCACCAAAAGCUUUAGAAGAAACGGAUGCAGCAACUCAGUCUCUUUGUCGUGCUCGCAAAAAUCCCGCGGGGAUGAUGGACUAUGAUUUAACAGGAAUUAAUGCAAAUAAUGAUGCGGUUAGCCAUAUUGCAUUUUUUGCAGACUGUGACACAAUUAUUUUUUAGAGUAUUGAGAAGAAAAAUGGAGAAAGGCGAUGGAUGAUGAAAUUGAAGCUAUUGAAAGGAAUGAUAUUUGGGAGCUUAUUGAUCUUCCUGAUAAGCAAAAAAUUAUUGGUGUCAUGUGGAUCUAUAAGGCAAAACUAAAAGAAAAUGGUGAAAUUGACAAGUAUAAGGCGUGAUUGGUGGCUAAGGGAUACAAGCAAGAGUAUGGUGUGGAUUAGACUGAAGUUUUGGAUCAAGCAGCAAGGCAUGACACUAUUAGAAUGCUAAUUGCGUUGGAUGUCAAAUCACCUUUUCUCCAGGGAUACUUGGAGGAAAAGGUAUUUAUUGAACAAACCCCUGGUUAUGUUAAGAUUGGAAGUGAGCAUAAAGUUUAUCGAUAAAGAAAGAUGUUUAUGGACUAAAACAAGCCCCACGUCUUGGUAUAGUUGCAUUGAGGCCUAUUUUCAGAAAAUGGGUUUUCAAAAGUGUCUAUACGAGCCUACACUUUUUGUGAAAAUUGGGGAGAAUGGGAAAAUUCCCAUUGGGUUUCUAUAUGUUGAUGAUCUCAUCUUCAUGGGGGAUAAUAAAGUCACGUUUUAUGAUUUCAAGAGGUCUAUGAUGGAUGAAUUCGAGAUGUCUGAUCUUGGUAAGAUGCAAUACUUUCUUGGUUUAGAAGUAGUUCAAUCUGAUGAUGGCAUAUUUGUUUCGCAAAAGAAGUACGUGCGAGAAAUUUUAAACAGGUUUAAGAUGCAGAAUUGCAAUCCAACCAACAUUCCAGUUGAGUUUUGAUACCAAACGGUAUCUACAACACCAAAACAGUCCUCAAACAACCCACAAUCACAAGCCUUUACCCGCAACAACAAGGCAACAACACGAUACGUAAAGCUAAAUAAACUUAGAAGAGUAAAAGAUAGCUAACUUGGCACAAAGAGAACCCAUUAGGUAGCAACUAAAGAGUGUAUCAAAACUCUAAAACCUCUACAAAACAAGUUAACAAGUACCAAGUUCUUACGAUGACGGCCAAGGGAAUCAACUCACCUCAAGAUCCACCGUUUCCAAGCAAAGAACAAUAUUGGCUUUUCCAAGCCCUAUACUAAUGGCUUAUCAAAUCCCUACACUAAAGGUAUUACGCUCUCAAAGAGAGAAGAAGUCUUUCACAUAUUUAUCCUUCCAAAACUAAAGAGAAAAUGACUUAAUAGAAGACUAUAUAGAGGCUAGCUUAUUAAAUAACAAAAAUAACCACAAUACCCUUAUUAAAAGGGGUGGCCAUGAAGUGUCUUUCUAAUAAAGUAUGAUCCCGAAAACACCCUUAAUGAAGAGUUCUUCUUCAAUGCUCCACAACUGUAGGGUCAUUCUUCAACACUUGUAGCCUCGGGUUGGCAUCAAAGGUAAGCCCCAACGCAAUCUUUCACACACGGGUUUACCUUAGGUAAUACUCAAAACGGGUCAUAGAUGCAUGUUCUUGUGUCCUUAAGGUGACCAAGUCUUGAGUCUUUAUGCGUUGGUAUCCAAUGACGUCUUCAAAAUCAUCGAUGGCCAUUUGGCUUGUAUCAUCCUCCACUUCUUGAAAAAGGAUUCGACCUUGAAUCCAUACCUUGCAAAACUAGUGAAAGGACAAACAAGCACAACUUCCUCAUGGCAUAAGGGUUAGGGUUAGUACAACAAAUAACAUCAUCAUGCAAAGGUGGUACAUACUUGAGAAAUAAUCAUGAAUCCUUUGUAUUAGUUAAGAAAAGUGUAGUAAGAAUGUUACUAAGUAAAUGGCAAUGACAAGUAUCAAGAGAUAAAGAAACUACAAAGGUUGUAAUGGUAUCACUAAGUCCAAAAAGUAAGGCUACCCUUGUCAUUGGAACCAUAAAGCAUAAUUGUUUCAUUACUUCGUCAAGUGGCCUCAUAAAAUGUGGUGCCACUAUUGGUAUCAAAGUCCACCAAUCCCAUAUAACUUUGAAAUUCAAACUAGUGGGCCAACGAACAAAACCUAUACCUCUACUUAAUGCAAACUCAAAACUAGCAUGGAUGUCAUCAUAGGCAAAGAGGUAGUAUAGGAAAGAAUCAAGUCUAAAUACAUGAACAGGUGAAGACAAAGGAUUUAAGCACAUACACUCUCUUUUCUUAAAACAAAUAGACAACUUGGAAUCUACAAGUUGGGAUUCAUGCAAUUUAAGCGAAAGUGUAUCAAGAAAGGAUGCACAUUUAGAAACAUUACCCCAAAGAAUCAAUGACUCCUUUGCCCUCGGGUUGUAAAGAAGGACUAUACAUUUCUUACCCCUAAGAGUGCUCUCAUCUUUCAAAAAGAGAUUUCCAUCUUUAGGAGGAAUGUUGUCACACCAUAGUGGGUUAGCAUAUAGGCUAUAGACUUCAAGACAAGCUAUACCAUCAUUCUCACCACUAGGUUCAUUAGGAGUGAUUAUACCAUAUUCAAACAAUAAAUUAUACCUAAAGAGAGCAUGAUCUAUCCCGCGGGCAGAUUUGGAACAAGUAAGUUCACUCUCUAAAAGUUCAUUAUCAACUUUAAAAGAUGUUUGAAGCACAUGAUUUUCCCUAUGUGCCAAGCAAAUAUUAGAAUCAAAGGGCUAGCUCACGGGUUCACUCCUAGUCCUUUGAUCAACAUUUUCAAAAUCAUCACACACUUGAGAUUCAUUAAUCACAUCACACACAUCCUCAAGUGUUGACCAAUUUUCACACAAAAGUUGAUCAACAUAAAUUUCAAAAGACGAUAUACUUUUAUUCAACACAAUGGUUUCAACACUAGGUGGACAUAAAUCUAUUUUACAAGAAGGGUUGAUUCGGUCAUCAAUAGGAUAAACUAGUGUAUCCACCCCAAAAAAAUUACAUCAUCCUCAGGUGGAAAAGAAAUAAUUGACUUACGUAUAGGCAAGCUACAACUCACACUUAAUAGGCCACUAGCCACUCAAUUAUCAUUCAUACAUUCAAAAGUGCAAGAGUUAGCUAUUUUAGCUUGACGUUCAUGAGUGUGUUCGUCUUUACCUCGGUGUGAAAUUCCAUCACAAGCUUGGUAAGCAACAUCCUUCAGGAAGCUCUUAUCGCAAGUUGUUUGGAUAAUUUGAUUUUGAGGAAAGAGUUUGGGUAACAAUUGGCGUAUAAUUUCAAUGUGCUAUUGCAUAUCUUCAAGAUCAUCAUGGAUACGAUUACAAGAAAAUUGAAACUAAAGAAAAAAUAAAUGAAACUUAUGAAAUUUUGAGCCUAAGGGUCGUUUUUUAGGGUGAUGACAUGGCAACAUCCUAUUGGACGUUUAAAUUAUUGAAAGAUUGAGAAAUUUUCUUGUCUUCAAAUUGUAUUGAUCAAAUUCCAAGUGGGGAAUUGGUGGAGUUUCGUCUAUGCUAGGGUAACAACAAGAUUUUGGAGACCUUAUUUUCAAGUUCAAAAAGUGUUUGACUUUUUUGCACCUUUUUGGGUAAACACCUUUUUGAAAGACUUUUGGCUCUUUCUCUUUUUGUAAGUCUUGGUAGGUGGACUUUCUCCCUUUGGUAAGAAAACUUUUGAAACCCUUUUGUCCCUUUUCCCCUUUGGAUGUCUUAGAGUUGUGUCUUUCAAGACUAACAACUAGACACACUCUCUUUCUCCAAUUUCUAAGAUCAAACAACCACUUUCUCUUCAACAAAAUAUCAAGAUGGUGAAGAACACAAGAACACAACUUUGAAUCUUCGAGUUUUAUGGUUCAAGUUGGAUUGCAACAUCAACAACACAUUUUUCAAGCUCCAGCCCUCAACAGCAACAUUAACAAAACAUUUUUAAGCUACAAUCUCAACAACAAACUUCAAUAACACUCUUUAAAGCCACCAAUCCUCAAAAAAACAGCAACCUUCAAAGUUCAAAAACAACUCAGAAAUGACUCAAAAUUCAGAUCUAGACUCUAUAAGUGUUAGUAAAGAAGAGACUAACACUAGAAACAACAAAAAACACAAAAAAACACAAGAAAACCAAGCCUCAAAUCUUGGCCCAAACACAAAAAUAGGACAGAUUAUUAUUUUUUUUUGCAUUUUUCAGUUUUUCCAAUAAUAUUUUUGUGAUUUUUCAAGAUAGCCCAAGAUUGAUCUCGUGGGAACGAAAUCAAUGAUGGCUCUGAUAACAAAUGGUAUCUACAACACCAAAGCAUUCCGCAAACAACCCAUAAUCACAAGUCUUUACCCAAAACAACAAGAGAACAACACGAUACGAAAAGCAAACAUAAACUUAAAAUUAGUGAAAGAUAGCUAACUUGAUACAAAGAGAACCCAUUAGGUAGCAACUAAAGAGUUUAUCAAAACUCUAAAAACUCUACAAAACAAUUUAACAAGUACCAAGUUCUUAAAGUGGCCGCCAAGGGAAUAAACUCACCUCAAGAUGCACUGUUUCCAAGUAAAGAACAAUAUUGGCUUUUUCAAGCCUUACACUAAGGGAGUCCCACUCUCAAAGAGAGAGAAGUCUUUCACAUAUUUAUCCUUCCAAAACUAAAGAGAAAAUGACUUAAUACAAGACUUUAUAGAGGCUAGCUUAUUACAUAACAAAAAUGACCACAAUACCCUUAAUGAAAGGGGUGGCCAUGAAGUGUAUUUCUAACAAAGUGUGAUCCCCAAAAUACCCUUAGUGAAGGGUUCUUCGUCAAUGCUCCACAACCGUAGAGUCAUUCUUCAACACUUGUAGUCUCGGGUUGGCAUCAAAGGUAAGCCCCCACACAAUCCUCCACACACGGGUUUACCUUAUGUCGUGCUCAAAACGGGUCCUACAUGCAUGUUCUUGGGUCCUCGAGGUGACCCAGUAUUGAGUAUUUAUGCGUUGGCAUCCAAUGGCGUCUUCAAAAGCAUAGAUGGCCAUUUGGCUUGUAUAAAAUUUGGCUUGAAACUAACCAAAGCUGGGAGCCGAAAGAAGAUGGAUAGCACUUUUUACAAGCAAAUUGUGGGUAGUUGAAUGUACCUAACUGCUACAAGACCAGUGCCUAACUGGAAAUGCAUCUCUUAGCUACGAAGAGAAUUCUUCGUUACUUAAAAGGAACUAGGGAUUUUGGAAUUUUCUACAUGAAGGAAGAAAAGGCAUAUUUAAUUGACUUUACGGAUGGCGAUUAUGCAGGAGAUCAAGAUGGUAGAAAGAGCAUUUCAGGUUAUGUCUUUCUGCUAGGCAUAGGGGUUGUGUUGUUUUCCUCGAAAAAGCAAAUUGUAGUCACAUUAGCAAGUACAGAAGCUGAAUUUGUAGAUGCAAUAGCUUGUGCUUGUCAAGCUAUUUCGCUUAGGAGAAUCCUUAAACAACUGCAAUUCAAGAUGAAAAAUGCUACUAUAAUAUUUUGUGACAAUAAUUCUGCAAUCAAGUUGUCGAAUAAUCCUGUGAACCAAGGAAGAAGCAAGCACGUUAUGUGAAGUAUUAUUUCCUGCGAGAUCUCAAGAAUGAAGGAACAAUAGACCUUCAGUAUUGCCGAAGUGAAGGUUAGUUGGCGUACAUUUUAUCUAAACCUCUCAGUUUUCUCCCUUUCCAAAAGCUGAGGAGGUCGAUGGGUAUUGGCACGAUGGAAGCAUUCAACUAGCUAUUGUUAACCUGAAGCUCGUGAACUUUCCGUUUAAGGGAGAGUGUUAGUAAAUAAAGUCAGCAAAUAAAUUCCUAUUUACAACUUUGUCAUAGUCUUUAGGAGAUUAGUUUAUCAUGAAUUUAUUUCCUAUUUUUUAGGAGUUAUCUUAGUUAGUCGCUCCAUUGUUUUGGUUUAUUUUGUUACGUCUUUCUGCCUAUAAAAUCAGCAGUCAAAGACUUUGAAUAACAGUCAAGAUAGUUUCAUUAAAUUCAGUGUGUUGACUCUAUCUUUAUUCCUUUACUUUCUGCAUACACUUAUCUAUUUCGCGUCUGUUUACAUUUCUGGCACCAUAACAAGAAUUUUUCAGCAAUUCUUGAAUGGUGAAAUUUUGUACCAAGAAAUCUUACCUUGUUAACAAUGCCAAGAAGACGGUCUAAGUACUCUUUGACUGUCUCAGAUUCCUUCAUCAUUUGCAAUUUGAAUUCCCUUACUAAAUUCAACAUCUUCAUGCCACGUAUUCUUUCAUCUCCCGUAUAUUCUUCCUUCAGAUACUCCCAAAUGUUUUUUGCUGAUUUAAGAGUCAUAAUUCUCAUGAAAAUUAUUGGAGACAGAGUAGCAAAUAAAGUUGUUUUUGCCUUUGAUUUUCUGAUUUUCUUUUCCUUUUGAAUUUUGAUCUAGGCCACCGUGGGAUUAUCGGGCUGCGGAAGAACCUCAUAAUCCUCCUCCACGACCUCCCAAAGAUAUAAAGCCUCAAGAUAAGUUUUCAUCCUUACUGCCCAAAGAUGACAAUUCUCACCAUCAAAGGCAGGAGGAGCUAUUUGGGAAAAAUGUUUCAUAAUUCAUUGAGAUCCAAGAAAUUGCCUCUUGAUACUAAUUGUCAGUUUUUAACUUUGAAAUUAAAGAAAUAACAAAGAAAGAGUUGGAGAGAUAAAAAUAUGGUAUUGUCAAAGGGAAUUAUUUUGUUAAUAACUUAAAACAUAUAUUUAUAGUUAAAUUUCUAACUACACUUCAAUUUAAAUAAGGAUAACUAAUUCCUAAUUAAAAUAACAAAGGAAAUAACUAAUUCCUAUAUCAUAUAGAACUCUAAUAAUUUAAAACUACUACAAAUAUCUAUUCCUACUUUAUUUCUGAUCUACAUGUCCACCCUCGUGUUUGAAGCUAGUAGAGUUGGGGAAUGAUAGGGGUAGAAUUUUUGGGCAUAUUGAUAAAUGGUGAAUGAAAGAGAAUGGAAUAGCCAAAUCUUGGACUAAAGAACAAAUUUUGACUUGUUUGGGGCCGGCUGGUUUUGGGUUUGAUAUUUGUUAUCAUAAAUAUUUACCAAUACUAAUCUGGAAAGAUGGAGAAAUCUUGAUGCAAGGAAAAAAAAGGCUCACAGACAUUUUCUUACAACCCAAAAGACGAUAUUUUUAGGGUGAUACCCAUUAGCAGUUGGUAUGGAGCUUCUUGUUUUCAGUAAGGACGUGUUUGCCCAUGUCAUUUAUCAGUACAACUUACUGACAAAUACGUAGUCUACUGGGAUGCAGAUGAAUGUGCCACGAUGUUUGUUUGUUAAAGAAAGCCUUGAGGAAAUCACCAUUUUCGCUGGCGGUUGUGUCUCACAAGGUAAAAUCCUUAGCUCCGCUGAACUUUACAAUUCGGAGACAGGCACAUGGAGGACUUUGAGAAGCAUGAAUAAGCCACGUAAGAUGUAUUCUGGUGUAUUUAUCGAUGGAAAGUUUUACGUGAUAGGAGGCAUUGGAGGAGCCGACUCAAAGCUGUUGACAUGAGCAGAGGAGUUUGAUCUGGCAACGGGAACGUGGACUGAAAUCCCGAACAAGUUUCCUGUGUGACCUAACCUUAGGAAUGGCAUACUUGCUACAUCUGCAGCGCCUCCAUUGGUAGCUGCUGUAAAUAAUCAAUUUACGCUGCUGACUAUGCUUAAAUGCCGGUUAGGAAGUAUGAGAAGCAUUACAAAGAAUGGAUUUAUUAUGGUACAUAGUGAAGGAUCUCAAGAAUGGAACUUGCUCGGCCAAAAGCAAUCAGGUAGCUUUGUGUACAACUGUUCGGUCAUUGGAUGCUGAAGAGAUGGAAUGUGGCUGGUACUGUAGAGUUGGCGGGUGUCAAUCAAUACAUAAUUGGUUUCUGGGGAAACAGGUUUCUUGCUAAUGUGUAAUUUAUCCCAGCCUUUUUCUCUUAUCAGUUGAUUGAUUUCGAUUAGUGUUUAAAGCUUCUCUAGUUAAGUCAUAGAAGUACUUAAUCUUUUUCUUUUUUCUGUUUUUGCCAUCUUUAUUUUCUUGACUUUGUCGAGCAGAGGGUUUGCAAUGUUGGUUGUUUGUUGGCAUCUUGGCUUGUCUAACCCAUGUAACCCAUGCUUUGUUAUGUUUUUCAUACUUCCUAACCAGCUUUUCAUCAUAGUCAACACCGUAAAAUCGAUUAUUUACAACAGCUACUGCUGGAGACGCUGCCAAUGUAGCAGGUAUGUCAUUCCUAAGGUUAGGUCGCACAGGAGACAUGUUCGAGAUUUCAGUUCGUGUUCCCCUUGCCAUAUCAUACUCCUCCGCAAACAUCUUUUAGUCGGCUCCUCCAAUGCCUCCUAUCACAUAAAACUUUCCGUCCAUGAAUACGCCAGAACACAUCUUACGUUGCUUAUUGAUGCUUCGCAAAGUCCUCCACGUGCCUGUCUCCGAAUUGUAAAGUUCAGCAGAGCAAAGGAUUUUUCCUUCGGAGUCACAACUGCUAGAAAAAAUGGCGAUUUCCCCAAGGCUUGCUUUACCAAACAAACAUCAUGGCACAUUCAACUGCAUCCCAGUUGACCACGUAUUUUUUCAGUAAACUGUACCGAUAAAUGACAUGGUCCACACAUCCUUUCCACAAACAAGAAGCUCCAUACCAAUCCCUAUUGAUUCUUUGUCGUAGAGCUGCAUGAAACAAUCAUUGGGAGUCAUUGUAGGCAGAAGCAUCCCAUGCAGUCUAACAGGGUCAAAAGCUUCCCACUCAGGCUGCUGGCAGGAGAAAUACACCCAAUGCUCCACCACACCAAUUCGUCGCCGUGCUGUAUAAAGUUCACCACUCCGAAUUAAUUAGCGGAAGUUGUGGUUCAAAGAUGCUAUGGUGCCAUACUCUGACCUAGAGCAACAAAUGAGAGUAUUGAUGCAGGCAUCACGGUCAAUGGCAGGAAAAAGUGCGCUCCUAUCAGAAUUUUCCCCAGCAUGAUUUUGAUUGUCGGCUUCCUCAUCAGGGGAUGCUGAAGAACAACCUAAGAAUAGAGUCACUCUGUUACACCCAACAUAUUUGGGCUAGAAUUUGAACCGUUCAUCUAACGUGUGUAGACCUGAACCCAAUGGUUUUUAUUUAUAUACAAGUAUGAAUAUCAAUUCUUUAGGGUGGGAACAUCUUGGAGAUGGAUUGAAGUAAUAAAUAUUUCCUAGCUCAAAGUUGAGUUGAGAACUUUCCUACCUAUUGAGUUUUAGUAUCUGAUAUUACUGGGUCAACUUCUAACGAUCAGUUCUCCUAGAAUAUAACAAGUUAUAUGGCCUACUAUAUAUCAAAUUAAAACCCUUCGAGUCUUCUUUCCAUCGCCACUUACCGUUAGUCAAUCCGAGUUUGGAGUAAAAAGUUGCGGGCAUUUUAGUGAGACACUGUCUAGACAGUGCGAUGGCGCUUGCCAUUAACUUAUACAUACUCGGACGCGAAGGAUUUGAGCAAAACACAAAUACUAGACAUUAAUAUGAAAUCCAUUUUCUGUGUAAUUCUCCAAAUUCUUGUUCUUUUUCUCUUUCCGAGACCAUUUAGAGUUUACCAAAUAUACCUUGUGAUAAUGGGAAUCCUAAGGAGGUCUUCAACAUCAGGAGCUGGUCCAAAAGGUCUUUGUGUAGUAUACGUAGGAGAGAGUCAAAAGAAGAGACUUGUCGUGCCAGUAUCAUACUUGAACCAACCAUCAUUUCAAAACUUGUUAGCUUAUGCUGAAGAAGAGUUUGGCUUUGAUCAUCCGAUCGGCGGUCUAACAAUACUUUGCAAAGAGGAUGUAUUCAUUGAUCUCACUUCCCGCUUGAGGAGAUUGUAAGUAGGGCCAUGAAAUUUUGUAAAUCAAUAGGAUUAGAAACGAAAAAGAUGAGAUAUAGUAAAUAGGUCACUUCCAUAUGAGUUGGACUUGACAAAGAAAGAAACCAAUUCCUUGUUUUUUCUUAACCAUUUUGCAUAGAAGAAGUAAAGAAGGAUUUUCUGCUAAUAAAGAUAUAGCAAAUAAUUAUUUAAGCAAUUUUUUUCUAGUCACCUUAAUAGAAGACUCAAACCUUUUAUCCUUUCAUGUUUCCCUGUUCAGUAGUCAGUUGAUAUUUUUCCCGGCUACGCAGUGGGCUUUAUUGACACCAGCAAUUUAGUGCAACGAUCAGUACUUACUGAUCUUCGAUCCUUCUUUAUGUGACUGUAUGUUAGAAUUCCUAAUUCUACCAACUCCAUAUCUCCAGAUACAAAGAAAAGUUGAACAUGCAUCUGUGCAGGUAAACUCCUUAUCGUGUCUGAUAGAAGUGAAAAAUGAAUUUUGAAAUCACAUGAUUGUGAGUUCAGCUUAGUUUCUUCACCUGAAUAUUUGGAAUUAGGGAAUUGCAGAAUUUGAUACUUUCUUUUGCUUUUUCUUCCUUCUUAAUUUCUUAACUUAAGCUACCAUUGAUUCUAGAAGGGAAGCAAAAGAAAGGUAUUUUGCUCUACAAAUAUACCAAAUUGUGUUUACUUGACAUAAUACACCGUAGUGAAGGCUCUCCAUAACUGGCUUUGUUGAAGUAUGAAUAGAAGAAUGGGGAAGUGCUGAAAUGUUGUUAAAUAUGAAGAGGAAACAGAACUGAGAAAAGACUAAAAAUAGACUAGUUCAAAAAUCUAUUAUAACGGUCUAGUAGGUAGUUACUCUAACGGCUAGUUAGUUAGUUGGUAAAUUCACAAGCCUAUAAAUGUAGAUGCCUGUGUACAUUUCUGAAUAAUAAAAAAUACAACAAAGUUACUCCUUCUCUAAUGAUCUCUCUUUCUUCCUUAUUAUUUUCUUCUUCUUCUUCUUCUUCUUCUUCUUCUUCUUCAUUUUAAUCUGUUAUUCGUUCUCCAUUACUGUGAUCAAGAAGUAUAGCACUGCCUGAUUAAUGACAUGGUAUCAGAGCUUUACUCUCUAGAAAACUAGUAGAGCAAGAUCAAUUCUGGUGUAUUAGUUGCUUUAUAGUAAAAUCAAGAAGUCUUGAAUCAAGAACUGCUUGUCUUCAACAAUGGUGAAUCAAAAUGUUGUUGUAGAUUCUGUUGAAGCUUUCAGGGUUACUCCAAGCACAUUUGAUUACAAUCAUCCUCUCUUCCGUAGUCCCUCUGAUGUGACUGGCAUUCAAAGCAUAUCCUUCUAGUUAACAAGUGUUGAGAAUUUCUCAAUUUUGUUUAUAUCAAUCUGAAUAACUCUACUAGGGAAGAAUAAGUUGGGCAUGGUGGAUAGAAUAGGCUCUAAAGACAAGUUCUCUACUGAACUUAGUAAUCACUGGAGAGAGUGAAUGCAAUUAUUCUGUCAUGGUCCAUGAACUCUGUUUCUAAAGAUUUGCUUGGUGGAAUUAUGUAUGCAUGUGUGGUUAGUGUUGUGUAGAAUAAACUGUUUGAAAGGUUUAACAACAUGGAUGGAGCCAGAACAUUCAAUCUGCACAAGGAAAUUGCUACAUUGUCUCAAGAUACAGCCUUAGUAUCUGUGUACUUCUCUAAACUUAAAGAUUUAUGGGAAGAGUUUGAGUCUCUUGUACCAUCACCUGGAUGUGAUUGUGAUAAAUCAAAGGACUAUGGCUUACAUCUACAAAAACUAAAGUUGUUCCAGUUUCUUAUGGGUUUGAAUGAGUCUUAGACACAAACAAGGAUCCAAAUCAUGCUUAUGACCCCCCCUCCAAGCUGUUAACCAAGCUUAUGCAAUGGUAAUGAGUGAUGAAAGCCACAAAUCCAUUGCAAGUCAAGCAGAAAUUCUAGGCAUGAAUCCUAUAAUUACAGGCAACAAUCUUGAACAAGUCGUGUAUGCAAGAAAUGGAGUAGGUGGAAGCCAAGGUCACAAAUUCAAGAGAAAUGUAUAGGUGAAAUAUGACUUCUGUAAACUCAAGGGACAUACCAAAGAAAAUUAUUGGAAGUUGGUUGGUUAUCCUUAAUAUUAUAAGGCUAAGAAGAAGCUCAAGCAUGAAGGAUCUAACACAGCUUAUAAUGUAGCCUUGGGUUCUCAUGAGUAUCAAGUUGAUCAACUGGGAUGUUAUACUAAAGAUGCAGGUCAAUCAGUAAGUCCAAGCAAUCAGUUGACUCAACUAAGUCAAAUUGGAAAUAUAGUAUUAACCAAGGAUCAAUAUGAGAAAAUCUUGCAACUGAUAAACAAGAACAACACUAUCAACACAUCUAAACACAGGUACUUCUGCUUGCUUAGCUUUUUUUGGUUCACAGAAAUGGAUUAUAGACACAGGUACUACAAAUCACAUGGUUAGUAAUUUAGAGUUGUUACUUAACAAGACAGUUAAAGAAUUACAAAAUCCAAAGAAUGUAUAUCUUUCAAAUGGUGAUACUACCAUGGUUACACAUGUGGGAAACAGUUGUCUAUCAGAAGGAAAUGUCAUAAAAAAUGUCUAUCAUAUCCCAUAGUUUUCAUAUAGUAUCCUAUCAGUAUCACAAGUGACUAAGGAAUAACCUUUUUCAGUGAACUUCUUCCCUAAAGGAUCUUUGUACUUGAAAGGUAAAGGGGAUUGGGAAGCUUGAUGGAACCUUAUAUCUAUUUUAAGACCAAUCAACAAAUGAAUUUGCAGUAGUAACUAAAGAAAAUACUGAAAUAACUGUGGAAAAGACACAAGCUGAAGUAGAUCUGUGGCACCAAAGGUUGGGACAUGCUUCAACAAGAGUGUUAGAAGGAUUGUAGGUUAAGGUGUACAAGUGAUUGAAGAUAGAAUAAUGUAGUGUAGCAUCUUUUCUAGUGCUAAACAAACUAGAAUACCAUUUCUGUCAACUAAUAUUCAAAGUACUUGUUGUUUUGAUCUUGUGCACAUGGAUUUGAAGGGACCACACAAAGUACAAACUAUGACUGACAACAAGUAUUUUCUAACAGUUGUUGAUUAUUUCUCAAGAUUUACUUGGGAGUUUUUGAUCAAGCUUAAGUCAGAUGUUUUCUUUAAAAUAAAAUAGUUUCUUAUGUAUGUCAAGACAUAGUUUGAGAAGACAGUUAAGGUGAUCAGAACUGAUAAUAGUAGGGUGUUUGUUAACUCAUUAUGCCAGAAGCUGUUUCAAGAAAGUGGUAUAAUCCAUCAAAUAACAUGCCCAUAUUGUCCUCAUCAGAAUGUUUUAGUUGGGAGAAAACAUAGACACAUUUUAAAGGUAACAAGAGCUCUAAGGCUUUAUGCUGAAAUUCCAAUAAGGUUCUUGGGAUAUUGUGGUUUAACUGCAGUCUAUCUCAUUAACAAACUGCCUAGCUCAGUUAUUCAGUUCUUAACUCCUUAUGAGAAGUUGUAUGUUAAGAGACCAAACCGUGAUCAUCUAAGAGUAAUGGGGUGUCUAUGCUAUAUCAAGGUACUAAAUACGCAUGAUAAACUCAUUACUAGAGAAAAAACAAGUGUCAUGAUGGGAUACUCUAGCACUUAGAAAGGAUACUUGGUAUAUGAUAUAUCAACUAACAACUUCUCUUUGAGUAGAUAUGUGUCUCUCAGAGAAGAUGUAUUUCCAUUCAAACUUCUCAAACAUCAAACUCAAUCACCACACCAUAUCUUCCCCUUGGAAGACAAAUACCAAAUACUAGGUGGUGAAGAGACAGUUAUACAGAUCCCAGUAACCAUGGCACCAUAAGGGGUUCCUAGUCAAGCGAGCCAACAAGAACAACCAUAGCAGGAUACUCCUAGUCCUUCACAAUCCAUAACUAAAGUAUAUCAAAAACGGUCAACUAGAGCUCCUUCUAUCUAUAGGUACUCUGGACCAAAGAAAGUAAACUAGAGGCAGAAAGAUAGAAGUAUGGAUGAUUGAUUUUGUUACCAAGAUAGCAUAGAAGGUACCUCAUGCUCUUGCUAAUCAUGUGUCAUAUGAUAAACUCUCCUCUACAUAUAAAGACUAUGUGUUGAAAACCUCUUGUGUCACUGAGCUUACAAGUUACAAUGAGGUCUGUAAAGAUCCUAGAUGGGUGGAAGCAAUGCAAAAUAAGAUAGAUGCACUGAAUUCCAAUAACACUUACGAGAUUGUUCCUUUACCUAAAGUAAAGAAAGCUAUUGGUUACAGAUGGAUCGACAAAGUGAAGUAUAAGGUUUUAGGUGAUGUUGAAAGAUUUAAGGCUAGGCUUGUAGCAAAAGUUUAUGGAUAAAGAGAAGGAAUUAAUUAUAAAGAAACCCUUUCACCUGUUAUAAACAUUAACAUAGUAAAGACUAUACAUACUGCUGUAGCUAGGAAGCAAUGGUUUAUACAUCAAAUGAAAGUCUAUAAUGCAUUCAUGAAUGGUGAUCUCAAUCAUCAAAUGAAAGUCUAUAAUGCAUUCUUGAAUGGUGAUCUCAAUGAUGAAGUCUACAUGGACCUACCUCAGGGAUUUACUAGUAAGGUGGAGAAUGUAGUAUACAUACUACUAAAAUGCCUAUAUGGACUACAUUAAGCACCAAGUAUGUUGAAUACAAAGCUAUCAGAAGUGUUGUUAAGGUCUCAAUUCACUCAAACUCAAUAUGAUCCAUCAUUAUACAUCAAGAAGACAAUUGAAGGACUCACAUUGAUACUGGUAUAUGUUGAUGACAUGCAGAUCUCUGGAGAUAGUCUAAAACUUAUAGAAGAAACCAAGGAAAUCCUACAUCAGAACUUUAAGAUGAAAGAUCUAGGUGAGCUGAGAUUCUUCCUUGGAAUAAAAUUUGCAAGAUCUGACAAAAGGAUUUUGAUGCACCAAUGAAAGUAUUCAUUUGAACUACUAUAUGAGCUAGGUUUAAUAGCAGCCAAACCUGAAACCACUCCUAUAGAUUACAAUAUCAAACUGACAUCUAAACAGUUUGAUGAGCAUGUCAAGUAAGGGAAGUCUCCUAAUGAUCUGCCAGAAAAUCAAAUUUCUUACUAGAAACUAAUUGGUAAACUGUUGUACCUAACCAUGACAAGGCCAGACAUAUCCUUCUGUGUUCAAACAUUGAGUCAGUUCCUUCAAGAUCCUAAGAAUUCUUACAUAGAAGCAGCACUCAGAGUUGUUAAAUAUGUUCAAAAACAACCAGGCCAAGGUGUGGUACUGUCUAGCAAUGCAAAUGAAAGAGUAAGUGUUUAUUGUGAUGAAGACUGGGCACCAUGUGCUCAAACUUGAAGGUCUAUAACAGGAUAAUUUGUGAAGGUUGGAGAAUCAAUAUUUUAAUGGAAAUUAUAGAAGCAAACUAUUGUUUCCAAGAGUUCAGCUGAAGCUAAGUUAGAAGUCUUGCAUCAGUAACUACAAAGUCAGUAUCGAUCCUAGGAUUAAUGAAGGAAUUUGGAAAUAAAGUGGUUAUACCUAUGGAUGUAUUCAGUGAUAGCAAAUCUACUUUGUAAAUAGCAGCAAAUCCAAUAUACCAUGAGAGAACAAAACAUAUUGACAUUGACUGCUUCUUUCUCAGGGAAAAGAUUGUUCAAGGGAUGAUCAGAACUCAUUACAUUACAACUCAAGAUCAGCCCACAGACAUAUUAACUAAGUGGCGGAUAAUAGCACAACAAGUACAUAUUAAUGCCAAGAUGGAAAUCUGUGGCAUCUUUACACCUUCUGAUACGAGUACAAUCAUGUAGAUAAAAUUAUGAGGGCGUACGUUAGACCCGAGGCUUGGUGUGUGAGAUAAAGUGAAAAAUAUCACAUAAAUGGACACAAGAAUAGUCCACUACAUACACUAAAAGGGCCAAAUCAGUCCACUACAUAUACUAGAGAGGUGCCCCUUCACUAGGGGGCGUUUUGGUCAUUUUACCUAUUAUUUGUAAUACACUGUGAAUAGAAUAAUGUAGGGUUUAAUUAGAGAGUUUUUGAUGAAUAUUAUAAGUUUAUAACACCUAAACAUUUCCUCUCUAAGGAGAGAAGACCACCAACCCAAAAUUGUAACUAGGGAAAUCAACUUGAGUGUUGAAUCGCUCGUGUUGGAUUCAAGCUUGGAAACGUUGGAUGCUUGGGAGAUCAGGGUCACUCUUGUACCAAUGUAAGAGUUAGGUAUUUGAUGUGUGUUAUGUUAAAGGUCCAAGAGUGGAAUAGGCUUUUGGGUUGUUAAUAUUGUACCUUCAAUUUUUCUAACUAUCUAUCCUUUUGUUUCUUUGUAAAUCUUGUUAUUGUUGUGUUGCUACUGUUUUGGUGUUAUUGCGCCAUUGUGCCUUAUAUUCUUCUUGUUGGUAGCGAAUCCGAGUGGGGUCACCAAAAGAGGUCCUGGGUUUCUUGGCUAGUGGACUGAUUUUGGUGUUUGUUUUGUGUUUCCUUGUCAUUCUUGUAUCACCUUCCUAGCUUGAGGGGGAGUGUUGAAGUAUGAAGAGAAGAAUGGAGAAGUGCUGAAAUGUUGUGAAAUAUGAAGAGGAAGCAGAACUAUGAAAAUACUAAAAAGAGACUAGUUCAAAAAUCAGUUAUAACUGUCUAUUUGGUAGUUACUCUAACGGCUAGUUAGUUAGUUGGUACAUUCACAAGCCUAUAAAUGUAGAUCCUUGUGUACAUUUCUGAAUAAUGAAAAAUACAACAAAGUUACUCCUUCUCUAAUGAUCUCUCUUUUUUCCUUAUAACUUGUUACUUCUUCUUCUUAUUAUUAUUAAUCUGUUAUUCAUUCUCCAUUACUGUGAUCAAGAAGUAUAUCACUGCUUGAUUAAUGACAGGUUUACACUUGAUGCUACUUUACUCUUCAUUCCACUAAGCAUAUUAUAGACCAUGGUGCUGUCACUCUAUAUAAAUGCACUACUGAAAAUCUUCAUGAUUCAUUAUAACUUGCUAAACGCCUUUAUUUUAACAGCUGGUUCAUCUUGAUAUAUGACUUGUUUACAUCCGAAUCAUAAGAUAAUUGAAAUAAAUGCUUGUAAAUAUCUUGAUAUUUUUGUGACUAUGGUGAGUCUAUCAGAAAUAUCCUCUCUAACUUCGAGGUAGAGGUCAUGUCUGCGUGUUCUCAACCCUCUUGACCCUCCCUAUUACUGAGAAAAGAAAGUUCGUUAUCAAGUUGAUGGGAGUUGAGGCUUGUUAGUACACACAAUAAGCAUGCGUUGUUUGUUAGUUAGAGGUUAGUUGGAAGUGACAGUUGUCAUAGUACAGCUGUCAGAAGGAGCCAAAUUAGUCUAAAAAUAGCAUGUCGUAGCAGCUGACUUUACCAAAACUAAUCAAGUUACUGAAAUAGCUCCCUUCUAGAUUGUUCUUUUCCCUUGGUUUACUUAGCUCAUUUAGAAGUUUUAAGAUGGUAUCCGAGCCAAAAACCACUUAUUCAAGGUUAUGAUUGGUGCUUGAGAUCAUUGAUAACAUGCAAUGAGUAGAGAACUCUGCAAUGGUUUAGCACAUCUCACCUUGAAGGAUACAACCAUGGUGAUCACACGUAUUUCUAUUGCAGAACCUGCACAAACAGCUGCUACACCUGCAAAUGUUUUUGCACGAUCUAGUAUAAUUGAAAUUGACCAUAAUCCAUCCCGUAUAAUUGUACCAUAAUGACACUCAAGCUAGCUCCCUGAUAUCUAUUCCUCUUACCGAUAAUUAUGCCCUGUGUAGUCGAUCUACGACUUUUAGUCUUAUAGGGUAGAAUAAGGUUGGGAUUGUUGAUGGUCGUUAUCCUAAAUCUCACUUUGAUGAGUCCAUGCAUGAUCAAGGGGACAGAGUGAAUGCUAUGGAGUUGUCAUGGAUCAUGCAUUCAGUACGAAAUGAUCUUUUGAGCAACAUUAUCUAUGCUUCUAAUACUCAUAUUGUGUGGAUAGACAUGAAGGAGAGAUUUCAUGUCACGACUGAAUUUUUCAAGUCGUGAUGGCACCUUCAUUAUCCCCCAAUAGGCAAGCCAAACCAUAGACCGGAAUAUUAGGUAACAGGCCAAUAGGCAUAAAUCAGAAAAGAUCUCUUAUAAUGUUAGUAAUAGUAAUAAAGAGUAACAAAAUGAAACUAAACAUUUCUCAUAUAUAAAAUGAGGGAAUGAAAAGGACCAAAUAUACAAAAGAAUCCCUCUCAAGACCUGGUAAGUUUGUUACGAGAGCCACAACUAAAAUAUACAAAGAGUACUAGACAGAAUCUAAAAUAUACCCAAUAUGCACAAGUUACCUCGAGUACAAAAGACUAAAAAAGACUAAAAGAGAGUAGAUAGAGGAGGAUCAGCCUAGAACUAUAGUAAGCUCACCCUUCUCAGAAUCAGUACUGGAAGGUAGGAAUCACGCCAAUGUCGGCUGCUACGACUCGCAUCUACAUCCACGAAAAGAUGCAAAAGUGUAGUAUGAGUACCAAAGAAACAGGUAUUCAGUAGGCAUCAUCAGCCGACUGAACUCAACAAAAAAAAGGUUUAACUACAGUGCAAGGAUAUAAUCUAAGUCAACAGUAAAAAGAGAUAGAAUGGUAAACAACUGUCAAGCUAUGCCAAUAAGAUAAACGAAUAAAUACAAGCGAUAUAGAAAAUAAAUAAAGCAGUAAUUACUGACAAAUCAAACAUAACCUAUCCUGGCCCCCAUAUGCCCGCAAGGCAUACAAACAUAACCUAACUGGACCCCAUAAGCCCGCUAGGCAGAGUGAAGAAGAUAAUUAACCCAUCCGCACCGCAUAAGCUUGUGGGAAACACAAGUAGCAAUUAAAGAAAAUAACCAUAAAUAAUAUGUAACUGAGCCAAUCCCAUGAAAUUAUAGUAGACCUCUAGAUAUGCACUGGACUUGAACCGGCACCAAAGGGUAGUAACGAGAGGCCAAAAACCGAACACCAACCUGUAGUAAUGGAUAAUAUCAGGAGGACACAUGCGAGAUUUAAACCGGACAUAGUGGGUAAUAACAAGAGGCCACAUAUAUAGUAUACAACAGAACUCAUAAUCAGAUGUCGGACUCGAACCAAAACUCAAAGAAACCACAAUUAUAAUCAGAUGCUGGACUCAAACCGAAACUCAAAGGAACCACAACCAUAAUCGGAUGCAGGAAUCGAACCGGAACUCAAAGGAACCACAACCAUAGUCAGAUGUCGGACUCAAAUCGGAACUCAAAGGAACCACAACCAUAAUCAUAAUCAGAUGCCGAACUCGAACUAUAUCUCAUAGUAACCAUACCCCAAUGUAACAUUAAAAUUCAUAUCAUACCAUAACAAUGUAAACAUGGUACAAAAGUUCACAAUCAAUGAUAGAAAUAAACUAUAUACUAAACCUGAACAGAAGCUAAAAUACGUCUACUUACCAUAUGCAUGACUUAAUUCUAAAAGGCCAGAUUCAAGGUUUGCUAUUUAAUUUCACAUCCUAAAGUCAUAGAUGUUAUAUUAUAUUGAAAGACAAAAUAUCAAAAUAUACUAAAACGGGGUAAUAAUGUGGAUAAAUAAGCCAUGCUAUAUUUGUAUAAUGGUAUGCAACUACAAGUAAUUAUCUAGAACUAGCAUAAUAGUCCACAAUAUCAGUAAAUAAUCUCAAUCUAAAGCUAGGGUAAGCCUAGUCUACUUGGACGUUAAAGAUAAAAUAUCUCCUUAUGAAGCCGCUGGAUAGUGCCCUACUAGAAUUUAGACUUGAAUAACUUGAUGCAGAUAAUAAAUUUUUUCCUCAAAUUCCUUCACAACUCACAUAUGUGUAUAUAUAUAUAGUGACAGAGAGAAGUAGUAAGAGCGAAAAUAAUGGUAGAUAUGGUCUUAUAUAGAAAAUUAUACGCAGGUUCAUAUGUGAGAAAAAACAAAGGAAAUAAAGCUGCAAUACAACACAUACAUAGAUAUAUAUAUAUGUACAUACAUACAAAUUUAUUAUCAUUCGUUCAUGCCAGCACAUUCUUUAAAUUGUAAUAUUUGUUAGCUUAUGUGGUAACUUAAAUUUGAAGUGGCAGCAUGCCUUAGCUAUAUGCUGCCUACCCUAUUCGACUUCCACGUGGUGGGUGACAACCAUAUUCCCAAAUUUAAUUCCAUUACUUAUAUACUCGGAUAUUGCUUAGACGCAUGGUAAAAUAAUUAUAAUAUUUUGAAUAUACCAUAAUUAAUACAAAAUUAUUUCUAACAAAAUGUCUAUUAUAUAAUAAUAUUAUUUUAAUAUUUAUGGAUGUACUAUCUCCACUUAAAAUGUUAAUAGACUAUAAAAGCCACUAUAAAGUGAUAUAAAUAUAAUAUAACUAAAUGAAUUUAGUGAAUAUCUAAAAUAUUUUAGAAGGCAAUAAAUUAUGUAUCUACCAAAUGUCAAUUAAAAUUAAAUAUUCCACAAUAUACUUGAUAUUACUAAAAUUAACCAAAAGAACCGCCUGAAAACUAAACUAUCAGUCCUAACAAGUCAUAAAUAACUUAGGACAGCUAUAGAAAAUGCCUGGAUACCGAAAAUGAAUGAAAAUAUAGACAAAUUGCCAUGAGGAUUAUUACAGCAUCCAUUACUAAAAUGACUUUCGUCCGCGAAAGUAAAGCAUAAGGACGUACCUGAGGACUUAAACAGGUACGAAUACUACGUGUGCAUAUCAUGCUAGGGAGGGAGUUCAGGUAGGCCAGUCCAAACCACAUCAGGAAACUCUCGAACCAUAGGGAUGGUGUCAAGCGAUGGACUCUCAUCAGUAACAUCCCAUACAUAGGCAAUACAUGACUCAUAACCCCUCAAUAUCAGUCUACUAGCCCAAAUAUAAGAAAUAAUCCCCAUCAUCAUGUAGCUAAUAGAAACUUGCUAUACAACCAGGGGUACGCCAGGCAAGGCUAAAGAAACGGUCUUAGAAAAAUAAUACAAGACUACAUAGUCAGGAGAUAGCCAAUCUAUUCGUAGAAUUACAUCAAAAUCUAUCAUAUCUUGGACAAUGAGACAAUGCUUAUACUGGCUGACUAGGUGAUGCUGAUGUUGACAAGGUAGCUACUGGGGGUACCUACCAUGAAAUCCUACUAUGAACUAUGAAUUAUUAUAGCUGUCCUGGUAAUAUGUUCUCUUAUUGCUGUCCCUUGGGCCUCAUGAUCCAUCUCCUCUAUAGAAUAAGCAUGCUCAACUAUCUUAGAAAAAGACUUUACUAAAGUCACCAAAUUCUCUGUAUCCCUAGAAGUGAUAAUCUUAAUCCCUUGACGAAGCAUCGAAUUCGCUCAUACUCCGUAGGAAGAAUUAUAGAACGUUACUAGCUAACUCAUGGAAUCUCGCCUCAAACUCAGCCAUAGAUAUAGAACCCUGUAUGAAUGUCAUAAACUCAUUCCGAAGAUGGUCACGCAUGCUGCCAGGCGUAUACUUCCUCAAGAAAGCCUCAAAGAUCCGAGUCGAGGUCACUGGUGGAUAUCCAAUAUUCCUGGAAUUAAUAUAACCCCUCCACCACCUCCUUACUAUCGUGUCUAACUAAUAAGUAACAAACUCUACUCCUCGCACCUCAACCAACUCCAAAUUUCUCAAUUUCUCCUCAGAACUUGAUAAAAACUCAUUAGUAUCCUCUCCCGGGGUCCCAACAAAUCUGGGUGGUGUCAAUCUAAAAAAUUGGCCCAACAACUUCUUCUAUUCUAAAGACAUAACUAGAUGGCCUUCUGCCGCUUAUGGUACUAUUGGUGCUGGUGGAACAUCUACCCUAGGUACUACUGCCUUGGUCUGUGCUCCUAAAUUAAAUCCAUGAUGUGAUGCUAGUUAACGUCCCUCGGUCAGUGGACAGCCAACUAGCCCCAAAAAUUGUACCAUUAUAUCUUGAAUAAUUAAUGAAGAUACAAAACUAGGUGGAGCCUAGGCUGCCCCCUGGCCCAUCUGUUGUUGUGUCGGAAUCCUGGAUCUCUUUCAGUCUCAAAAGCUAUAACAGUAUCAGGUGAUGGAUUCCUAGACUGAUCUCAAACUAGGGUUGCUACUCUAUCCACCCCCUACCCCUAAUUCACCCUAGACCCCCCGCUGGAACUCUAAUAGUGGACUCAGCGUCCCGAUCCUUGUCUAUCGAACUAUGCAUCCUAUCAAUCUACGUAAAGAGUGAAUCAAUAAAAAUGAUAACCAACUCAGUCUUAACGCACAAAAAUGGAUUAAGAAAAUAAGGAUUUUCCCUAAAAAUAACUCAUAGCCUCCCAAAGAUAUGAUACAGAUGUCUCCAUAUCAAUCUGCGGGACUCUAUUAAACAUUGGCUCAAGUAUAAAUAGUACCAAUGAAAUCUAAGCUCUAAUACUAAGUUGUCAAGACCAAAUUUUUCAAGUGGAGAUAGAGCCUACCUUAUCCCCUAGUAGGCAACCCAAAUCAUGGUGCCUACCUAGUGACUACUCGCUUAACUCAGUGUAUUAAAAAAUACAAUAGAGUGUACAAAGACAGUGAUUUGCCAUCAUCAAAAAGGGUAAACUUUUUAGAUAAAUGAAGUUUUGAUGACUGACACUUGAAUAAAAUAUGUCACUCAAGCUGGUCCAAGCAUAGGAAGAUGGGUUACAGGUUUCACAGAGAGAUACAGACAAGAUUGCUUAAUGUCCAGAAUGUACAAGUAAUCCUGGUUCCAAUAUACUCAAACUGUCUUAAUGUGUGAUAAAGGGGAAGUAUAAAUUCAAGAAAAUACAACACUUGAAGAUAAAAUAGGGCGAGUUCAAGAAGGAUUCCUACUGAGAGGAGGAUAUUGACUUGUAGAAGGACUUUGUCUUAACAACAAACUCUGUUGAAUUAAAUAGUCCAACUGGAGAUAGAAGAUUGAUAACACAAAGGACUCUUUAGAGAGUGGUUAUUAAAUAGAGGUGACACUGAUAAUCACAGACGCAUUUAUAAUGAUAGAAUCCAUCAACAAAUUAUCCCUACAGUCCCAAAGCUUGAAGAAGUCAUAGUUGAAGCUGUUUCUAUUACUAAGAGAUAAGGAGUCCUAGAUUUUAUGUAUUUGGUUGGUUCUUGAGUUGUGCUAUUUAUCUAUUUCUAGUAUCAAUAAAGUAUAAACUAUGUUAUGAGUAUUGUCUUCAAGUUGGGAAACUCGAAGACUUGGGAACAUUUACCUUGGAAAGGUUUGUGUUUUGUAGAAGUUGGAAUUAGAAGUUUGUAACUCCUACUUUACAAAAGUGUUGUAAUUUGUUGAUUGUUGAGGCGCAAGUGUUUUAGUGAAGUUGAGGUUAAAUCCCGUAGAGGUAUGGGUCAUGGUUUUUUUACACCUCUUCGAGCCAGGUGUUUUUGAUAAAAGUUAAUUGGGCGUCAACUCUUUUGAUCACACAACUUGAGGCCAACAUGAAGAGGUCCAAACCUUGAUCGCCCUAAGGAUCCAAGAAUGUUCUUGGAGGCCCUUCUUCGAGCGUCUAAUAAAGAAAUAUUAUGUUUGGAAGAUAUCUUGGAGCUGAGGAACACUAUGGAGCAGGAAUAAAGAGAGCCCUUAUGGUUAUUUCUAAAAUAGACACUUUUGGGCUAUUUUUGUAAUAGACUAGUUGUGCAAAGGCAACUACUAUAAAUAGUUGACUUAGUCAUUUCAUUUGUAAGUUUUUGUUGAUUAAAUUACAUAAUGUAUUCAUGAGAACUCCAUGGGAGUGAUGAGGGCUUCAAAAAGCCGAUGUUGAACCUUGCUUAGAAAUGUUGGUUGUAAGGGCGAUCUAACCCCUUUGCGGUCAUGUAAGAGUUAGGUGCUUAUUGAUAGUCAUUAAUAGAGGUUUUAGGGUUUAAAACACCCUUCGAUUUCCCUUUUGUUAUCAAUUUUGUAUCUAUCUUUCUGUCAUCGUUAUCUUAUUCUUCUAUCUUUACUUUUCCGCAUCUAGAUUUGAAUCCUUGUGAGUUGAUUCAUUUAUGUUUUCCACGUGAAAAUUCACUGUGUUAUUUGCUUACUGUUUUAGCUAGUUUGAAACAUAUUAUUCAAUCUAUUUCAUUGAUAGGCAACAACUAGGCUAAAAUAAAGAAAUUUGUAGGGUGCGUACUCUUAACAACUACCAACUCUAUUUAGUGGAAAAUAAUAAAUAUGAAGAUCAUGCUUCUAUUCAGGUGAACUUCAUACCAUGUCUAGUAGAAUUGGAAACGAGAUGUAAAAUUACAUGAUUGUGAGUUCAAUUUUAGAAAAUGGCAUGUUCAGCUUAGUUUCUUUUGCUACAUUUUCUGUCUGAAUUUUCGAAUUUAAGCAUCCAGUAUCUCCAAUCAGAGAAGUAUAAAAAAUGAGAAGGUUAAAGCACAAGAAGGUUGAGAAUGUAAGUGCCAAUUUCUUUGUUUUGCUGAUUGCAUCUCUUUUUAUAUAAAUUUGUACAUGUUAAGGAUAAAUAUAAGAGUCCUUACUAUUGUCUAUUCUACAGGAAAGGUAAUCUUUUUGUUAUAGAAAAAGCUACAACAAUUCAAAUUCAAAAUAAACUCUAAUAGCCCUCUGCAAGAUCAUGUUCGGGAUCGAACCAUGAGCUUGGAUCAAAGAUUCAGGAGCUGAUAUAUAUGCAAGUUUAUUUUGAGAUGAAACAUAGAGAUCCCUCAAUGAUUGAUCUUGAACCAUCUCUUGCACAAAAUGAUAAUCAAGACGAAUAUGCUUUGACCAUCGAUGGAUGACAGGAUUUUGAGAUAAAAACUGUGCACUCAGAUUAUCACAAAGGACAAUAUGGGUUACAGUAAGAGGAGCACGUAGCUCACUGAGCAGUUGCUGAACCCAAAUUAAUUCAGUAGCUGCAAAAGCUAAAGCACAAUACUCAUCUUCAGCGCUUGAGCAGGCUAUAGCCUUUUGUUUGCGAGAAGACCAACUGAUCAGGUUACCUGCAUAAAACAAUGCAAAACCAUGUUAGGAGCGACUAUCAUCAAGGCCAGAGAUCCAACUAGCAUCCGAAAAGGCCACAAGGAUAGAAUCAGACAUAGGUAGUUGUAAGAGGCCAUUAUGGACGGAUCCUUUUAGGUAUCCAAGUAUGCAUUUGACAACUAACCAUUGAGCAGUGGUGGCUUCUUGCAUAAAUUGGCAGACUUGAUUGACUGUAUAGGAUAUUUCUAGCAUAGUGAUAGUAACAUAUUGAAGUGUUCUAACAACACUACGGUAUAAACAAGCAUCAGGGGAUCACCAAAAAGAGUAAGUCUUGAUCCAGGUUCCGCCAGACUAGAGAUAGGCUUUUUAUCAACCAUGUUAGUUCGAUGAAGUAAGUCACGAAUGUACCUACCUUGAGAUAAAAUUAUCCCAAUUGUUGUUGGACAUACUUCAAUACCAAGAAACUAAUUUAAGGAUCCAUGAUAUUUGAUAGAAAACUGUUGAUUAAGAGAACGAAUAAAUGCAUUGAUGAAAUCACUAUCACUGCAAGUUAGAAUAAGGUCAUCCGCAUAGAUAAGAACAUAUGUUGUGCGCUUAGAAGUUUGUUGCACAAAAAGAGAAGGUCAGAUAAAAAAGAGUAGAAGCCAAUACCAAGGAGAAAAACCUUUAACUUAUUGAAAAAAGCGUAUGGCGCUUGUUUGAGGCUGUAUAAGGCCUUGUUUAAUUUGUAUACAACAUGUCGCCGAUGAGGAUCAACAAAUCCUUUUGGUUGCUCCAUAAACACUUGUUUGGAGAGAUCACCAUUUACGAAUGCAUUGUUAAUGUCAAAUUGUCGAAUGGGACACUUAUUUGUCACAGCUAAAGAUACAACAAGCCGAAUAGGUGUAGGGUUAACAACGGGAGUAAAAGUAUCAAAGAAUCAACACCCUCCUCUUGGUGAAAACCUUUCGCUACAAGAUGAGCUUUGUGAUGUUCAAUAGAUCCAUCAACUUUUCUCUUAACCUUUUAGACCCAUUUACAUCCAAUAAUGUUAGAAUUAGGCGAUGGUAAAACUAGUGUCCAAGUCUUAUUUUUCAUAAGGGCUAAAAAUUUUGUCUGCAUAGCAUGAUGCCAUUCAGGAUAUUUGAAGGCUUGAUGAUAUGUUGUUGUUUCUAGAAUGUGCGAGGUAUCAGGAGGAAGAGAAUGUCGAGAUGUUAUAAGAGCUUUUGGUUUUAAGGAAUUAGUUUUACUUUGAAGAACCAUGUGAUGACGAGAGGUGUCGGAGGGGCAAAAAUAGGAUGGGCUUGAGGUCGGGUAAGAGGAACCAGAUGUGGUAGGUGUUCAGGUGGGUUAAUAGUUGGUGUAUGCUCUAUUUGUAGAUAUUCUUGAGGGGAUACAGUGGAGGGUAUGUGCAUAUGAUUAGUGUGCUCAGAUGUGGGGAUAGGUAAUGCAAUUGGAGGACUUAAUGAUGACCUUAAUGUGAGAGAAUGUGAACGCACUGGGCAUUGAUAAACUUGAUUAAGUAAAGAUUAAGAAGAGUUCAUAAAAAGGGAUGGGGAGGAGGAGGAUGUUGUGAUCAGCAGCAUGGAGGAUACGGGAAAGUAUUUUAUCAAACACAACAUGAGUAAUAUAAAUUUGAGAAGACAUGACAUGGUAACUAAGGUAACCUUUGUGAUGAGAACUAUACCCUAUAAAGACACAAGGAAGAGACCGAAAAUCAACUUUAUGAUGGUUGUAGGGUCGAAGAAAGGAUAACAAAGGAAACCGAAAGUUUUGAGACAACCAUAAUCGGGAGAAUUUUUAUAAAGUAAUUGAUAUAGUGAUUUAACGGACAACGAAGAGUAUAUUCUAAUAUUAGAUAAGUACAUAGCAGUGUGAAAUGCAUGCUCCCAAAAUUGAAAUGGAAGAGAAGCAUGUGAAAGAAAACCGAGUCCUUUUUCAAUUAUAAUAUGAUUUUGGCAUUCCGAUGCACCAAUUUUUUGAGAUCUAUAAGGACAAGAAAUGAGAUGACAAAUGCCUUAAUUUUGUAAAAAUAAUGAUACAUUUCGGUACUCAACUCCCCAGUCAGUUUGAACUGAUUUUAUUUUUAUCCCAAACAGGGUUUCACUGGCAAACUUAAAUUGAGUGAAAAACUAAAAAACUUAUGAUUUACGUGACAUGAAAUAUAUCCUAAUAAAUUUGGUGCAAUUAUCAAUAAAUAAAACAAAGUAGGAGGAUUCGUUAAUAGAAGGAUGGAGGAAGGUUCCCAAACAUCAAAAUAAACUAAUUGAAAAGGACUACUACUAUAAACAUGAGAAUGGGAAAAGGGUAGGCGUCGACUCUUGCCUAGUUUACAAGGUUCGCAAACAUUAGAAAAAUCAAUGCUAGAAAUAGGUAGACUAAAAUUAGACAUAAGACGUCGAAGAAGAGCUUCAUUUGGAUGAGCCAGUUGACGAUGCCAACCAACAAGAGAUGUGCGUUCACCAAGAAAUUCAAAAGGUGGGGAAGACUAAGAAUGAGGCGAUGAUAGUUGAAGAUGGUAUAGGUCAUCAUCAUCAUCAAGUAUUUCUCAAGCAGUUUCCUGCCCUACAAAUCCUUCAUUUAGCAAUUAUCAGGAUAAAAUUUCAUAUAGACAUUAUUAUAAUGAGUUUUUGUAGAAAUACUAAGUAAAUUCUUUGAAAUUUUAGGGAAAUGGAGAAUAUUUUUAAGAUGAAUGGAUUGUGUGCGUGUAGGCAAAAUUGAUGAGCCAAUGUGCGAAAUGGGAAGUUUCAUACCAUUACCUACCGCUAAACAAUUAUUACUGGUGUAAAGCUUUAACGAGAGGUUAUCCAUGUCUGAGGUCAGAUGAUGCGUAGCACCCGAAUCAAAAUAUCAUGCAGGAUCAACAAUAGCCGAAAAGGAAGCAAAAUGUUCUUUUUUUUGAGUUGAACAUGAUGGUGAUGGCCUUGUUGGUGGAUAGUAUUUUUCAUUGGAGCAAUGGUAGCAAUUAUGAGCUUCAUGAUUAUUUUUACUACAUAUUUAACAUAGUACACGAUGCUUGGACUAGCGAUUAUUGGACCGAGAGAAUGCAGAAUGGGAAUAUUGUUGAGGUAGCAUAGAUUGAGCAUGAUUAUGAGAAUUGUGGGCAACAUGAUUAGAGAGUGGGGGUGGUCCAAGAAUAGAUGACUGGUUGGUAUUAUGAACACGUGGAGAGGGAGGAGGAUAAUCUGAAUUUUGAGUUAAGAGGGUAUGAGAAGGAGUAGAGCCAAAUUGAGUAUUAAAUGUGGUAGAACUAAUUUCUUCAGCCAAACGUUCUUCUUCUUGAAGGAGGAGUCAAAUUUCUUCAGGAGUAAUAGGACCAAAAUUCAUAUUAAGUGCACCCAUUAAAAUGCAUAUUGAAUGAGUAAUAGAACCAAAAUGCAUAAAGUCAUCAUCUUGUACAAUGUACAAGCUCUCUGCUAAAGAGUUGGCGAUUGCGCGUUUCUUCUCAAAGUAUUCUGUGAUGGAAAGAUUUCCUUCAGGAAGGUUUUGAAGUUUAGAUUUUAAUUUCAUAACUCAAGCAUGAUCCUGUGAUUAAAAUAUAAACUCUAUUUUAUUCCAAGCGUCAUAAGAAGAGGUAGCUCGAGUUAAGUGACCAAGAAGAGGAUCAGAAAUUAUUUGACGAAGCUAAACAAGAAUAAGAUCAUUGUGUCACCACUCAUCAUACUCAGGGUUAGAAGUAACCACUGGUUGUGCUUUGAUGGUAGCGUACUCUCUAGUAUGAGGGGCGAUAGUAAUGAUUUUUUGAGGAGUAUUGAAACCAAGAACAAAAGAGUCAAGAGAAAAGGCUUUGAGUAUGGACAAGGUAUUCUUUUUCCAAAGACAAUAGUUGUUUCUGUCAAGUUUGAGAGAGAGUUUUCACCCCUGGAUAAUGAUAGAAGAACCCAACUCAUUUGCAAGUGAUAAUAGGAUGCUGGAGUUUCGAGAAUCGGCCAUAGGAUCGAUGGGCAAAUUUGACACCAUUUAAUGAAUGAGAAAGGUUAAGCACAAGAAGGUUGAGAAUGUAAGUGCUGAUUUCUUUGUUCUGCUGAUUGCAUCUCUUUUUAGAUAAAUUUGUACACGUUGAGGAUAAAUAUAGGAGUCCUUAUCGAAUGACUAUUCUAUAGGAAAGGUAAUGUUUUUGUUACAGAAAAAUCUACAACAAUUCAAAUUCAAAAUAAACUCUAAUAAGAAGCAACCGAAAUGUUUGUUAUUCUACAAAGAUACCGAGCUCUGUUUCAUUGGAAAGAUAGGCUAUUGUAACGGUGCUCCACCAUUCAUUUAAACUUGAGCUGCUUUGCUCCAGUUCCAUCUAAGAAUAUUGUAGACCAUGGUCUUAUAAGUCUACAGAUAUGUGCAAUAUAAAGUUAUCCUAAUUCAUUAAAACUUGCUAAUCCACUUGUUCUCUAUAGGUAGUUUGUCUUGCAACAUAUCCUGUUAUUAUGACUUGUUUACAUCUGAGUUAUAAGCUAGUUGACUACAAAUGUAAAUAUCUUGACAUAUCUGUGACGAUGUCUCUUUCUCUCAAGGCGAGCUCUGGUAUUGUGGCGUGAGAUAAACUUCUGGGAUACAUUUGUACAUUUGGACAUGAAUGACCUUUACCAAAAACAAGAAUCAAAAUGGAAGCCCAAUUCGUGUGCCGUAAGACUAACCACUGAGCAUUGUUACUACAUUCUAAAUGGUUGUUGUAAUUUGAACAUUUGGAUAUGAAUGGCCUUCACCAUAAACUAUAUCAGAUUUUCCUAAAUUAUUAAAGAAUAGAACAAUUUUGAGGUCCGACUAUGGACUUCUGAUUAAUAAGUAAAUAACAAUAUGUUGUACACUUAUUGAGUAUCAAAUAUCGAUUGCGGAACAUAUGACAGUUGAUUCAACAAACUAGCAAUUGCACGUUUCAAAAAAGGACACGAAGUUAAAGUGUUACCAAAAUAGGCUAUAUUUUAAGCAUCCCACAAGUUAACGGGUAAACUUUUAAAAGGAUAGCAAGCACUCUCUAAAAUAGUGCGCUAAGCCUUUUUGGUAUCACUUUAACUUAAUGUCCUAUUUUAGUCACUUUUAACUAUUUCGGGUUCAUUUAGGUUCCGGAUCUAGCAUUCAUGGGUCAAAUAAUACAAAAUAGAGGGAGUAUAUAUUUGCUGUAUAAAGUUAAAGUACUUUGACAACAGAAGCUCAUUUUCUUGCUUCUGCCGAACAUAUAUCUUAGGGGAAAAUGCUUAUUUAUACACUGAGAGAGAUGAAGGCCAAGAACUCUAGACCUAGAAGCUUUAAGAUUUAACUUUCUUUAAUCCAAUACUAAGCUUCUUCAAGCCUAAUCAUAGAAAACCAGAUUUAUAGAUCAUCCAAGGGUGAUUAUGGUGGAAAUACUCUCAAAAUAGCCAAUCACAUCCAUUUUAAGCUCUAGGCGUUUCUCCAAACUCUUGUAUAAUAUUUUUUCUGACCCUUUAUCUUUUACCAUGUACAGAUCAAGAUCACCUCCUCCCAAUAUUUUGUUUUCACGUGAUCAAGGUAUAAGUCAGCUUCCUGAACUUGAUCUGUGUUGCGAUGAUUAUUCUUUUAUACUCCAUAACAGACCUAUUUUAUGAAGCUGUCCUGAGCUUAGCACACCAGUGAAACGGGGAAUGGACAUUCCAUUUAAGGAUUACCCAAUUUUGAUAUUAAUUGGUUCAUGUAAUGGAUUUAUUGGUUUGAUUACUAAUAUUUAUGAUAUAAAUACUUCAGUGUACAUUAGUAAUCCUCUUUUGGGUGAGUAUUUCAAUCUUAAGUUUCCCAAUUAGAGAAAAAUGAUUGUGGUGUUGUUUAUAUAUUUUGCUUUAGUAAAGUCUCUGGAAUGCAUAAGAUAGUGAGAUCAAUGACUAGAAGGUUUGGGAAUCAUCAUGAAGUAUCAGAAUUGGAGGUUUAUACUCUUGGGGUUGAUGAGAAAUGCCUGGUUUGUGUGAAUGGAGAUCUUCAGUGGAUGGAUACUAUCAAUAAGGACAACAUUUACUCCUUCGAUAUUUAGACUAAAAAGCUCAAGUCUAUGCCAGGUCCACCUGGUCUGGUAUUUACAUUAAGGUAUUUGACCCAAACAGAGUUGCAGAGAUCUACAUGUCCACCCUCAUGUUUGACGCUAGUAGAGUUAGGGAAUUAUCCAUGUUUAACUGAUGAUAGUGGUAGCAUUUUUUGGGCAUAUUGAUAUAUGGUGGAUGAAAGAGUAUGGAAUAGCCAAAUCUUGGACUAAAGAACACAUUUUGACUUGUUUCGGGCUGGCUGGUUUUGGGCGUGAUAUUUGUUAUCAUAAAUAUUUAAAAAUCCUAAUAUUGAAAGAUGGAGAAAUCUUGAUGCAAGGAAAAAAAGGCUCACAUCUAUAAUCUUACUGUUAGGCAGUAGUAUAAUAUUAUUGACAGAAUAUUGUCUUUCCUAGAAUAGAAUUUAAUUAAUAAUUGUGUAGUUAUAACAAUAUAUAUUCUUUCCUAGAAUAGAACUCUGACCUACAGUUGUAUAGCUAUAUGUAUUUCAUUAUGUGUUAUGGAAUGACACAAGUUGUUAUUCAAAAAAUCUUGGUUUAUUAGCUCGUUUUUCUGUCAUGGUAUCAAGAGCCACCGUCUAAUUUUUUUCCGUUCAUUCAAUUUUCUCUGGUACUUUGCUACCUUCUUGAGUUCUUUUUGUUCUCUCUGGUUCUUGUCCCCUCAUUUGUAAUCAAUCGAUCAAUGGAUUCACAAUCCUAGUAGCACAAUUUUCUCUCCACAAAACUGGAUGGUUCCCAUUUUGCUUUUCGGGAAUUCCACUUUGGAAUCUUUAUUCAAGGCAAGGGCCUUUUUGGAUUGUUACAUGGAUAUGCUCGUCCACCAACAGAUGCAAAAGAAUUGGAUCUUUGGAAAUUGAAUAAUGCGAAGGUAAUCACUUAGAUGUUGAAUUCGGCACAUGCUAAUAUUGCUAUGGGGCUUAUACCUUUUAGUUUGGCUUCUGAGAUGUGGACCCACCUCCGUACAGUCUACCAACAAAGCAACCUUACACGAGAGUUUGAAUUGGAAUGUAACAUUGCAAAAUACACAGGGGAAAAGAAUGUUCGCUCCUUUUAUGCUGGCUUGUUGUUUCUCUGGUUGGAGAAAGAUCAAAUUCUUAGGCAAAAUAUCUCUAAGGCAGGGCUCAAGGAAGUGUUGGAAGAAAAAAAGAAUACAAGGGUUGGGCAAUUAUUAAUGAAACUCCAUCCUGAAUUUGAGCCGAUUCAUGGAAGUUUGUUGAACAGGGAAGUCACACCUGCUCUUGACGUUGUGUUCGCAACCGUCUUGCAUGAAGAGACAAGACUUGGAACUCAGGCUGCUAUGGAGUCUACGCCAUUACCUUCUGUUUCAUUACUUGUAGGAAAAUCAACAAUUGUUGGUUCAAGAAAAUACUAAGAGAAGGGUCAAUAUUAUGAAUGCCAAGACUUUGGUCAUGUCACAGCCAAUUGUACUAAAAAAAAUUUUUUUUAUGCUUAUUGCAAAAUUAUUUGCCAUCAUAUUUCAGAUUUUCAUCAUUGCCCAAAUCGUUCACGAACUGCUCAUCUUACCAGACAAAUGUCCCUACAUCAUCUGGUUUCUUCCCCGCAGAUCACGAUCUGGAAAACUAAUCCAAGAUUCUACUGCAGCUGUUCUUCCCAAAGCCAUCUCAAGUGCACUCUGGGCAUCCUCUUCAGGUACAAGUAAUUCAAUUAAAUCUACUUGGCAUCUAAAUUCAGAGGCUUCUAAUCAUAUGAAAGACGAUUUGUCCCAAUUCUCAUCAUUGUCUAGCGAUGUUUCUAAACAUGUUAUUCAUACAGCAAACGGGCACACAUUACCCGCAUUAGGUAUUGGUUCUGCUGGUUAUCUUUCUAAUGUUCUUUAUGUUCCAAAUUUGAAAGCUAAUUUGAUUUCAGCUGGCCAACUAGUUUAUCAAAAUUGUGUUGUAACAUUCUCACCCAAUGGUUGUGUUAUUCAGAAUUUGAAAACCGGAAUGAUCAUGGCCACGGGGCAUAGAUUUGGCAUAAUGUUCCUACAAGAGUCGGUCCACUGUCACUUGCAUCAUUGUUUUCUUUCAGUUUCUACAGUGGGUGUUACUCUUUCAAAUAAAUUGCUCACUCUUUGGCAUAAUAGGAUGGGUCAUCCUCAUUUUUCUUGUCUUCAUCACAUGCUUAAAUCAUGUACAAAUUAUGCCGGUUCAUCUAUACAAAUUAUGCCGAUUCAAAGUGGCAAGCUCCUUUUUCCAUCCCGUUCAUCUACUUAUGAAGAUCUAUUUUUUUUAGUGGAUAGUGAUUUUUGGGUUCCUUCUCCUAUUUUGUCAAGGAUGGAACACAAGUACUUUGUUUAAUUUAUUGAUCAUGUAUCCAGAUACACCUGUGUGUUUUUUGUUAGAAAUUAAUCUGAGGUUCUGACUCUUAUUAUGAAUUAUGUUGAGUAUGUUCGUGCACAAUUUCAUAAAACUAUAAAAGUAUUUCAUUCUAAUUUAGGAGGAGAGUACACUAACACUAUUCUUGUUGAUUUUAUCAAAAAAAAAAAGGAAUUAUUGCACAAUGCACUUGUCCUCGUACUUAAGAACAAAAUGGGGUCGAAGAAAGGAAGAAUCGACAUGUUUUAGACACUACAUUGGCUUUGUUGAGGACGUCGAAUAUGCAAAAAAGAUUUUGGCCCAAAGCACUACAUACUUUUGUAUAUAUGAUCAAUAGACAAACUUCUCCAAUCAAAUUAUUUCAUAGUAAGCCUGAUUAUUCUCACUUGAGGGUUUUUAUUUGUGUUUGCUUUGUACAUCUUCUAGAACAUAAACGACAUAAGCUUUCAGCAAAGGCAGGACAAUGUAUUUUUGUGGGAUACAGUGACACACAAAAGGGCUAUCUUGGUUAUGAUACAUCUCGUCAUUAGCUUUGAAUAUCUUGACAUGUUAUUUUAUUUGAGGAUCAGUUUUCUUGCAAAAACAAUUCUAAACAUGCUUCAGAAUCUCUCUCUUUUCUGUAUAAGUUUGAUGAUGAUGUAGUAUCUACAGACACUCAGGUUGAAUCUUCGGAACAGCCCGUGGACUAUGAUAAUGGUGAUCUCCAGCCUUCAUCCCCUUCAAGUACUGAUUCUCUGCUUGAAUCUCAGGAACAACCCAUGAACAAUGGUAAUGAUGCUCUACAACCCUCAUAUCAUUCUGAUAUUGACUUUACAUCAUCAUUAUCAUCUUCAAAAGAAGGAUCCUCCUAUCCAGUUACUCCUCCACAUCGGUCUAGUAGAAUAAAUCGCCACGCUCCCAAACAACUUGGCUACUCUCCAGGGAAAUUUGGUAAAUCCUAUGCUUUGAAUACCACACUAUAUUCUUUUGAGGUUCCUACAUCUUACGCCUAGGAUUCUACACAAACGUAUUGGAAAGAGGCAAUAUCGGACGAGCUUUGUGAACUAAAUGAAAAUUCAGCUUGGGACUUUGUUGAUAAACCAGCGAAUGGAGUUCUCAUUGGAAGUAAGUGGGUGUAUUCCAUUAAAAUAAAGGAAGAUCGUACAAUUGAUCGCUAUAAAUCUUGAUUGGUUGCUAAAGGGUACAAACAAGAGUAUGGGGUGGAUUAUGAGGAGACUUUUGCACAUGUUUCUAAGAUGACAACAGUACGGACAUUAUUGACCUUGGAUUCAAUUAAAGGAUAGACUUUACAUCAGUUGGAUGUGAAAAAUGUGCUUCUUCACGGUGAUCUAGAAGAAGUUGUGUUUAUGAAACCACCACCUGGGUGUGUUCUGGAAAGACCAAAUGUAGUUUGUCGUCUUCGAAAAUCUCUUUAUAGCUUAAAACAGGCUCCGAGAGCUUGGUUUGACAAAUUUUGAUCCAUGAUGAAAACUGCAGGUUUCUCUCAAAGUUUUUAGAUUAUUCCUUAUUUCUUCAUACUUCUCCGAUAGGUAUCACAGUACUUUUCAUCUAUAUUGAUGAUUUCAUUAUCACCUGAAAUUAUCAAGAGAAUAUUACUAAGUUAAAGAAUUCUUACACACCUCAUUUAAGAUAAAGGACUUGGGACGUUUGACGUACUUUCUUGGGAUUGAGGUUUUAUACUUUCCUACUGGGAUCAUGCUUACACAACAAAAGUAUGCUAGUGAUCUUGUUGCUACGAUUGGUAUUACUAAUGACAAGGUUGGAUAUACCCCAAUAGAGACUAAUACUAAAUAUAAGGAGGCUGAUGGCGAACCAUUCAGUGAUCCCACAUUAUAUCGGCUGUUGGUGGGAUCAUUAGUUUAUCUCACUAUGACCAGAAUAAAAAUCUUAUAUGCAACACAAGUUCUAAGUCAGUUUGUGGCUAAUACUUAUCAUAUACAUCACAUUGCAUUACUUUGUGUUAUUCGGUAUGUCCGUGGUUCUAUGAAUCAAGGUGUUCUCUUCCAUUCAAAUUCUCCUAUACAUCUAAAGGGAUAUACUGAUGCAGAUUAGGCUGGUUAUCCGGAUUCUCGUCAUUCUGUUACUAGUUAGCGUAUUUUUCUAGGCAUAUCCUUGAUAUCUUAGAAAUGUAAGAAACAAUCUCGUACAUCUAAAUCAUCAACGGAUGCCGAGUGCCGGGCUAUGUUGGCAGCAAGUUCAAAAAUUGUUUGGCUAUGACAUCUAUUCUCUGAGCUUGGUGUUGCUAUCAUAUCUCAUGCAGUGUUACAUGCGGAUAACUAGUGCGAUUAAAAUAGCUACAAACCCUGUGCAAUAUGAAAACACAAAGCAUAUAGAGGUUGACUGUUAUUAAAUUGGGGAACUAGUUGUUGACCAUAUUAUCACUCUACAACACAUUUCAUCUCUUUAUCAACUUGACGAGUUGUUUUCAAAGGAUAUGACAUGCGCAUGACAUAGCUAUCUUAGCUCAAAAUUUCUACUGUUUGAUCACCGGUAUCAAUUUGAGAGGCGAUGUUAGGCAAUAGUAUAAUUGUAUAAACAGAAUGUUGUCUUUCCUAGAAUAGAAUUUAGUUAUUGAUUGUGUAGUUAUAACAAUAUAUAUUCUUUCCUAGAAUAAAACUCUAACAUACAGUUGAAAAUCUAUAAGUAUUUCAUAAUGUAUUAUGGAAUGAUAAUGUCACGACCCAAGCUGGGGGCCUGUCCGUAACGAGCAUCCUGAACCAUAGUGAGUCGAACGCCCUUCUAUAUCUGGUAAUCAUGCACAAUACUCAUAUAAUAAAAAAGGAUGCGGAAAAAUAAUAAACGGAAUCAUGCUCAUACUCUGAAUUCAAUUUAAAAAUACUUGAUGGAAAUCCAUCAACAUCUAGACAACAUCUAUUUCAGUUUGCAAAAUCUCUACUAUAUAUGAUCUCAACAAACUGUCUGGAUUUGGGACAAGGACCCCCAGUGGACCUAAACCAAAAUAAAUAACAAGUGACUAAAAAGAAAUAGGCCUUUCGGAAUAAAGAAGGCUCACCAACUGCACUCUUCAGCCUGAUAACUCUACAGCUUAGCAGGACCUCUAGACUCAGCCUCAGACCCUGAAAUGAAGGAGGUCAAUACGAUUGUACUGGUAUGCAGAGCAAUGCAUUUAGAUAUAUCAAAUAGAUAAGAGCAGGUCAUGAAACAUCAAGCAUGAUAUAAAUUAAAAUACAUGGGCAAUUCUUUGAUAAUCAUAAAACAUUUUUUUUAAUGCAAUUCUGAUCUUUGUAUUACUUCAGAUUUAAGUGGUACACCCUACAUAUCUGAAAUUUUCCCACGGACAAUAUAGGAUCCACCAUUAACUCGAUGGACAAGCCCCUAACCCAAGUUUGCCACAAGGGUUGAAGUAUCUAAAUCCGAUACCCAUCAGGGCACUAGAACAGCGUAUAAUCCCUCUUGGGAAAAUAAUAAACCUGUAUCGGCAAAACACAGUUUUAGGCAAUGAGUUCUCUAAAAUCGCGCCUUCUUCGGGUAACCACCUAAUUGUCUUAGUUUCCAUUUUUAAUCUGUUCAAAACAUGCAUCUUCUUAAGUUCAAAAUCUGAAAAUCUGAGUGAAAUCUAGUUUCUAUUUUUAUUUUGAGUCUGUUAUGGCAUUAUCUGUUUUGUUGUCGUCACAACAAGACUUGCAAUUCAUGUUUCUGAGCCAUAAAAUAUCAUAUCUUAGUCUCUUCUUUAAAACACAUCAAAUUCAGACCACUAUAUCAUUCAAACAGAAUAGGAGAAUUCAUGUUUCAAAAAACAAGUCAAAACCAUGCAAAUAUUUUCAUCUUUUCUACAAUUCCAGCAAGUGGUGGUCAAUUUCUCAAAACAUUCCUGAAAUCCUUUCAAUUAUUAAAUUUAGUAUUUAAAUCACGAAUAUAUCCCCCCUCUCCAAUUUUCAAUCAUCAUAAAAUUCAUCUAAAAUAAUAAGGCUCUUGACUCAUUCUUUAAAUCAUGCAAUUUAGGAAUUCGUAACUUGAAAAUCAAGUAGUAACAUAACAGGAGAGGGGGAAGAUUUAAUAAGUCACGCGCUCAAUUCAUAUUUCAAAAUUUCCAUCACAUAUAUACUAACAAAUCAAUUUCAAGGGGAAGGCCUAAAGACUAAAUCAAUCUUAUCAAUAGAUUUCAAAAUGCAUAAUUAUAAUUUUUAAUUCAAACCCCAUUGUGAAAACAUGAUUUCUAAAUAUUAAACAUAAUUAAUAAUAGUUUACUAUUCCCAUGUAGUUUUAGGAAAACCCCACAUACCUUAUAUUAUAGGAUUUGAAAGAUAAAACCCGGAUCUUGAUCCUUUUCUUGAAAUCUUGACCUUAAGAUCUUGAUUCUUGAUCUUGAGGAAAAGGAUUAGGGUUUUGUUCUUGGGGAUGGAAGGAUGACUUCAUUUUUGGAGAGAAUGUGAAUUUGGGGGUCUAAAGUGCUGUUUUGGGGUUAAAAUUCAGUGUUUAGGCUGAAUUAAUUUGGGUGGAAUUGACCCAAAUGCCCCUGGAAAACGUGGAGUUGACUGCAGAAAAAUACACUGGCCGAAAUUGCCAAGGCGCCGUAGUCUUCUCAUCGGCUUACUGUCUCUUCACAAAAAUGACUUUAACUUCUUGCUCGGGUAUUGGAUUUUGGCAAAGUUGGUAUCAUUGGGAAGCUAAUUCGAUUAUCUACAAUUUGGUGGGUAUUAAUCUACAAAAUUCUAUAUAUAGAAAAAGUUAUACUCAUUCAAAGAUGACCCUUGUAGAAUCAAAUAUCAAAUUUUGGAUGAAUGAAGGGUUCUUAGCUCAACUUUGCUAUAGGCCAUUUCCAUGAAUAUUUUUCACCUCAUAAUCACUUCAUAUACUAAGAGAAAUAUCAUGAAACACAAAUUUGAAUAAAAACCAUGGAAUUAGAUCUUACACACGUAGGCACGGUGGUUCGAUUUCUAGCUCAAAAAUGCGGAGUGUUACAUUAUGUCCCCCUUGGGAUCAUUUGUCCCCGAAUGAUGGGUAUGUACCUUUUGAAUCUCUAUAAGUGUAGAAUAGAGAACAAAUCCUCUCAUUGAACAUGUUUCCUUAACAAAGUAUUUAUGUGAAUCAAACAAGCUUCACGAUAACCCCUAGCAAAACGUGUAUGCAAGAAACAUGAGGCAAUGAGACUUUACAUAGGGAUGAUCUAGCACAUGAGUUCUAUGAAUCAUCAUCACCAUAUAUAGUGGGGGGUUAGUUGAUGAUCAUAGACCUGAUAUAUAUUGGUACUAAUCAUGAAUAGGAUUUUGCGGAAGAUAGGAUUAGAAGCAUUCUCUACCUUACAACGUACCACGAAUAGACUUAAACUUAGAGGAACUAAUCAUCUACACCCCAAACAUUAAAUAGAAUACUUCACUCUUAUACUUACGCCCUUAUCCACUUAAUGACACAUCAAUAAUUCAUCAUUUUAACACUAGCCCUCAUAUCCAUAUAUACCUCAUAAUUAUCACUUCCCUUUUCAUAAAUUACCAACCUAGUAUCUUUCAUAAAGCAUAUCAAGCCUACUAAUUCAUUCCCACAAAACAUACAUCAUCAACCUUAAGAUACUACUCUUACCACUACAUUCCACAUCUAACAUUCAAGCCUAAAGUCUAGAAAACAAUCGCGUACCACCAGUGAAGUAUGCAAUAUAUUAUACCUGUCCAUCAAAUUGGAAAAUCAACUUAAAAUACUCAUUUCAUUUAACUACUACCUACAAUAACAACCCCUCCAUUACAUCACUAUUACAGCCUAAAAUCCACUACACACCUUCUCACAAGUAGUACUAGUUUACAAUCACUAAAGAAAAAAAUGUCAAGAGGGGUAAAGUCGCAUAAUAGACAUGGUCAACCUUAAUCUUAUAUUAGAACCCAAUACAACAUUAUCAACAUACUUCACUUUCUCAUAUCAUACUUACCCAAAAAGAUAUUUAGACUACCUUUAAAUUGCACCCACACAACAAUGAGUCUAUACUUAUAACUUAGUGGCUAAUCUAACCAUUUUCAUUCACAACUUAUAAGGGAUUUCUAUAACCAUCUUAACUAUCCACUCUGGGCUCCUUCCCUAUUUUGAAUAAACAAAAAAACUCUGAUUAAAAAACUGUAACACCCCAACUUAGGAAGGAUUCCUACAUCAGCAAAACAUAGAAGUGAUGCUGGGUAUAUAAGUGAGAAAGCCUUACUCCCUAGUGAUGCAUUUUAAAGUCGUGCGGGCUUAGGACCAAAGUAGACAAUAUCACUAGUGGGUUGGGCAGAGACAAUAGUAUCUUUUGCCUGUGUGGUUCGGGAUGCUCAUCACGGCCAGGCCUCGGAUCGGGUCUUGACAGAAUGGUAUCAAAGCCGCUCUUGUGUCAUCCCUGACAAUGUGACCCAGAGUUUAAAUUGAGUAUAGGAAAAUCCUGGUAAGGAGGGGCAAACCUAAGUCUUGAGUCUCGGCAAAUGCAAUAUGGUGGGGCAAACCUCAGCGAGGACUCUGAGUUCGUAAGGGGGGGCGUAUGUAACACCCUAACUUAGGAAGGAGUCCCACAUCGGCAAAGCACAGUAGGGAUGCUAGGUAUAUAAGUGAGAAAUACUUACUACCUUUGACACAUUUUAAAUCCAUACAAGCCUGGAAACAGAGCGAACAAUAUCACUAGUUGGAUGGGAGUUACAAGGGUCUCUCGGGCCUUAAUGGUUCAAGGUGUCCGUUGAGGCCAUGGCCUCGGCUCAACUUGUGACAGAAUUUACCUAGACUCAAGACUGAAGUUUGCCCUGUCUUACUGGGAUUUGCCUACACUCAGUUUGAACUCUUAACCAUAUAUAAUACUAUCAUGACCAGAGUCGGGGCCCUCGCCGCGAAGGGCAUCCCAAACCACACAGGCCCGAGAUACCCCUGUCUCUGCCCAAUCCACUAGUAUUAUUGUGCUCUCUGGUCCCAGGCUCGCAUGGCUUUAAAAUAUGUUACUGGAGAGUAAGGCUUUCUCACUUAUAUACCCAGCAUCCCUCCCGUGUUUUGCCAAUAGGGGACUCCUUCCUAAGUUGGGGUGUUACAAACACUUCCUCCACAGAAUGCCAUAUAAUCCACAAAUGUUGAUACUACACUAGUCCAUCACUAUAAAAGAACAAAUCAUCCCUCAAUAAAUGGUCAUACAACUAAAAAUAUUUAUUUACAAAAAAGUCACCCUCACUUUGACUUCCAAUCUUUGGACUGCAUAUCACCAAAUUAUUGGCCCAAACUCACUACCAAUUGGUAUAACACUUUAACAUAUACUACUACUUGGGUGGAAAUACAGUUCUAUUAUUAUGCUACACAACAUUCCCUGCAACAAAAUUUUGAAAAGGGACUAGAUACAUUUAAUACCUCAGGCUGAAAAGCACAAUUUUAUCAGGAUCAAAGUUUACACUAGAAUCAAUACACCUGAAGAAAUAACAGACUCCUCUCAAGUCCUUUUACAAUUUCACGAUCUUUUAUAACUUAAUCAGAAAGGAUCAUACCAUUUAGAUUCUAGACUUCUGCACUAGAAUCACCUCAAUAAUAAGACAUAUCUAAGAACAUCAGAGUAAUAUUUGGAAUAACUUUACUUUCAUAAGGGAGAGACCAUAGCAUGAAUUAGAGUAUGAAAGAGGAACAUCCUAACUCUAUAGCAUGAACUCGAACACUAAGAAAGGAAAAUAUUCGAAAGAGCAUUGUCAUCUCUUGUAAUCUUGUUAUCAUUAUGUUGUUGAAACUAAAAGUCUAGUGAAGUCGUGUGGGUCUCUUUCGAUUCACUAGCAUAGUUUUCUUGUUAUUCAUCCUUUUGUUGUUCAAAACACAAAAUUUAAAGUCUAGUGGAGCCGUGUGGGGCAUAUUUUAAUUCACUAGAAACUUGUUGUUCAUCUUGUUGUUCUUGUAUUAGUUGGAACUAGGGUUUAGUAGCAUAAUGCAAAGAAAAUUAGUAAGGGCAAUUUAUUGAGUAUAUGUGUAGCUGAAUCUUUUUGCAUGAGAUUGAGUUGGUAAUGAAGUGAUACAUCCUUGUGUGUUAGUUUAGUAGAAGGUAGAAAAGGAGUUAUUUGUUAACGUGAAUUGUUGUUUGCUUGAAGUAAAAGAGUUGUUGACGAUGUUUGUUGUGUAAGAAGAGUAUAGGUUAUUGAUGAAGGUAUUUGGUGGAUGAGUGUAGUUAAUUUAGGCAUCCCUGAGAUUGCAAGAGGUAUUUUAAUUGAAACAUAUAGAGUUACGGACUAAGUUUAGUUGUAAGGGAUAGAUAUUAAUGGUGUGUAGAAGGAGGAUGUAUUAAUGGAUUGCGAAUAGGUAGGCCAUAUGAUUAUGGUCGAUUAUUGUUGUUAUGGAGUUCUGGUGUACUAGAGUUUCUUGUUGUUUUAUUUCAUAUUUUUUUCUUCUUUCCAAGUGAGAAUUGUGUUUAAGGUUGGAUUGUAAAUCAUGUUUAUCACUAGACAUUAAUUUUGAAUAGUUGAUGUCCAUGAAGGUAGAUGCAAUGAUUUCUUGGUUUAUGAUUCUAGUUAUAGGGAUGUGAUCUAAGAGGCUUAGACAGCGUACGCAAGAGAUUAUGUUUAAUUCAGCCGUAGUGAAGUACGAUGUUGUAUGUAUGGUGUAGAAUUAUACCCAAAGAGAUAUGGAUUAUGGCAUUUCCUAAGACUAUUGCAUGUUGUGUGUGGCUAGUAGUAUCGUUAAGUUGCUAGAUGAAGAAAGACUAGUUAGAUGGUACAUGGUGUUCUAAAUGGCCAAGUUAAGAAGUUAUGAUUAAUGACGUUGAGGCUUUUUAUAUAAUCUUGAUUCUUAUGGUUUAGAAAUAUAAGUUUGCAAGCAUAAUGCUGCUAGACUAUGACAAAAGUGAUAUGGUCCGUCAAAGGUUUGGAGAUUUCCACGUUUAGUGUUAGGAGAAUCUAAGUUGGUGAAUGUUCAAUCUAUUAUAUGAUGACUUUUAGGGCUAUAAAGACCUAACCGUUGAAUCUUAGAAGAAAGUAUUAGGAUUGAUUGCUAUACAUGAAGAUACCGUCUUACAGGGUAAAUUUAUUUUUAUGUGUAUUGUUAUAUCCUUGACUCUAGAGUAAAGUGAUUUCAGUUUAUACCAGAAUGUAUAUAGUGGUUCACAGACUUAGAGUAAUGACUUAAAUCUAAGGGGGAGAUGAUAGAACGAGUAACCCAGUCAAGUUUUCAGAUGCUAAUAGAUGUGCCAGUAAGUUGUGGAAUUGGUCAUGAGAAAGAAAGAUGCUCAAUCUAUUCUUAUUUCGAUAGUUUACUUCAGUUAUUCUGAUACAUACUAAUGCUUUAUGUUUUAGCUUCAUGAUCAUAGUCCGUGUUCAUGCAUAUGAUAGGAAUCAUGUACUCUCCUAGUUCCUAGUAUGUUGAGUUCCCAGUUUGUUCAGCAAUCAGAAUCACUUUCCGUAAGUUAUGAAUUCCAAAAAUUCAGGCAUACAGUUCAUGACUCUUGUGCACAUGUGAUACUCUUAACGAUCAGUGAAAAAUUCAGAUUUAGAUCAGGUACGUCCUCAGAUUAGGUCUCCUUAAUGAGUCCAUGACUUGAGUGCUCUAUUCCUCACACCUCAGUAGGGUAUUAAGUUAUGCUUAGUAUUCCCCUCAUGUUCCGGAUUCCGGUAUUCCAAUUUUUCAAUGACCUUUUCCCUUAGGUCGAGAUAGUGAUGAUGAAUAGUUGUCUAGAUGGAAAAGAGUAAACAUUUCCUGUUGAUGAAAGAUGGUUGUGUGCUUAUUUGAGUUAAGGUAGUGAUUGUGGAGUAAGAUUGAGGCCAAGUCUUUGAUACGUGUCAAGGUACUCUUAUGUGUAAUAUUUGGGAAAAAUUGUUGUGUGCUUGUUAUAUGUAAGUUCAUAAGUUGAAAGAAUUUUGAGGUGAAGUUUCGUGUAUGGCUUGGUUAGUUGAGAAUAUUUUGUAUAUUAUCUGAAUAGUGAUAGGAAGUUGUUAUGGAUAGAAGUAUUAGGGAAUAUGAGAAAGAUGCUUUAUGAGUGUUUGUUUAGAAGUGCAUAUGUGGGUAUGAAGAUAGGCUUGAAUGUCAUGUUUGUAUACAUACGAAUAGAUGCUUUAAGUGUUUGAGAAUGUCUAAUACAAAGUUGAAGGUUAUUGUUGGAGUGGCUAUAAUAAUUAUGCAUAAGAUGAGGAAUUAUGAAAUCCAGGGUGUACUGCAUUCAAGAUUCAGGCUAGUACUACGGUAUUAUGUGGUGCGUCUUGUGAUUUUGAGUUAGGCUUGAAGAUGGUGAGGGGAUUUAGUUCAGUUUAGACAUUAGUAGAUGGAAAUAUCAGAGGCCAUGUGAGAAACAUAAGUGGAAUCAAUGAGCAUGGUGUUUAAAGGGAAAAUAUAGUUGAGAGAGUGUUUUAGAAGUGUGGCUAACCUUCAAAGUAUGAAGUUGCAUUGCCUAAGGUUUGGUCAUUCUAUCCUAGUUUAUGAGUUAUAUGUCUAUACUUCGUGCUAUAGAGUAGUGUCAAUGUUGUGAUCCCGUAGUUGGAUGUCUGGUGUAAAUUAUGCCCAAGAUCCUUUGCUCCCGAAUGCUACUACGACUUCUUUAGAAAGAGUGUUGAAGAGAUACCCCAGUUAAGUAUAAAUUUCUAGUAUAAUACCGUUUGUAUAUCUAGCAAUUCAGUUUAACAGUCAGGAAGACAAGUUACCAUGGUCGUUGACCUUUUCAUCCAGUCCAACUAUCCAAAGUCCAAUAUGUAUGACCAUUCUAAAAGAUAAUCUAUUCCAUCAGUGUAAGUUUCGAACUUAGUUCAGUCCAAGCAUUACGUUUCAGAUUCAGUUAUUUAGUCAUAACUUAGUUCAUAAGAGUUCUACACAUAAUCUCAAAUUUAUCCAGCUAUUUUUGCUCAGACAACAUAAUACCUUUGUACGAUAUAAAUUUUUUAGCCUCAUCAUUCGUACAUACAUAAGAUAUCACUUCCAAAUCCAAUGUGUGUGAUUUCAGCAUAAAAACUUCGGGGGGGAUCCUAAACUCUCAGCAUGAAUCAACUCCUUAAAAUAAGUAAGGGCAAGUCUGCUCAGAAUUCAAUUCAUGAUAGAGGUUUAAAUAUUUCAGAUCAAUUAUAUCCUUUCUUAGAAGACACAUCAUUUCCACAUUAUUCCAUACCUUUAAGCUUCAACGUUCCUACCCAUCAUUCGGGAACGACUGAUCCAAAGGGGGAGAUAGUGCAACACCCCGCAUUUUAGGCUAGAAUAAAAAUCAUCGUUUCUAUCCAUAGAUGAUCCAAAAGCUUUAAUUCCUAUGCAAAUUUGGCAUGUUAAUCAAUUUUGUAGUGUAGGAACCUAUUUGAUCAUGAAUUGAGAUCAUAGACAUCCCUAAACAUAAGGACGAGUUGAAAGUUUUACUAUCGUUCAUGUUUGAGUGACCAUCAAAACUUAGGUCAACUUCAAUUGAACAUAAAUCUUUGUAUAUAACAAAUAAGACGGACUACUAUAUAUCAAAUUAAAGCUCUUUGAAUUAGCUUUCAAACGAUACCAAUUUUUCCAAAAUUCGAUACCCGAACAAAAGGUUAUAGCCAUUUUUGUGACUGAGACAGUAGCAUUGCACGAUUAGCAUGUGACGCAUGCUCUAUCACACGCACCCUAUUUCCAGGUUUUAUUUUCGCAUUUUAAAGGGAAAAAGUGGUAUUUUCAAACCCCUAUUCAGCCAAAACCUAGGAUUAAACUCCCCAGACAUAAAAAUAACAUUACUCUCUCUCAAAAUCACCAAGAAUACUCCUUAGGUUUCAACCCAAAAAUCAACAUAUCUCAAGAUUUAACGGUAGUUUUUCCUUAAUUAUUCAAGAAUCAGAAUCUCCAUUGCGAGGGAUACAAGAAGCACCCAUCAAUCGCACUUAUAGAAUUCCUAACGCAAGAAUUGAUUCAACAGCUUCUAAUUUAAGGUACGUGGGGUUUAUCCAAAAACUACAUGGUCUUGUUAAAAACACUCAAUUAUGAUUUAAAGAUCAUCAAGCAUGAAUUUAUUAAAGGGGUUUUGAAAUCCAUGAUUUUAUUAUGUUUAUUGCAUGUUUAAUGAUAUUGUUGUUUUGGCCUUUAGACCUUAUCCCCUUAAAUUGAUAUACACAUAUAAGUAUAUGUAUGAAACUUUAAAUUGAACAUUUGUUUCAGAGCACAAAUAAUGAAAAUCUCUCUCUUGUGAUAACUUUAUGUUUAUGAUUUUAUGAUGAUUGAUUGAAAUGCAUGAUUUAUGGCUUGAAAAUAGUUUACUCAAAUACCAUAGUAUUUUGAGCAUGACUUAGAGAUUUAAGAGAGGAAGUUUUUUGAUGUAAAUAUAUUUUGUUAAAAGUGAAAGAUUUGCAUGAGAUUAAGAGUUUUGACAUCGCCACCUUGCAUCAUUAAAAGUAUGACAAAGAGAGUUGCAUACAUGUAUUUACAUGAGUUUUAGAGAAAGAGUUCUUUGAACUGAUUUAUUGAUAUAGUGGUCCCGAAUUUAUGCUUUGAAAACAGAGAUUGUAAUAUGCUAAUAAUUGCUCAGAGAUGUGAUGUGCAAGUCAAUGGUAUGACUGUAUGCCAUAACAGAGUAUGUCUUCAGAGAAUACAUGUUUUAAAGAGUUAAAAAUGGGCUUAAAGAGGGUUAGGUGGUUACCUAAAGAAGGCUUGAGUUCAAGUAACUCUUAGCCUAAAAUCGUAAUUUGCCGAUCUGGGUAUAUUAUUUUUACGCUGGCGAUGGCCGUGUGGCGUUGUGAAGUUAGAGACUCCAACCCUUGUGGCACACUUGGGUUGGAGGAUUCCCCACCGAGUCAAUGGAAGAUUCCAUAUAGCCCAUGGAAUUUCAGAGUUGUAGGGUAUACCACCUAGCGCAGAAGUAAAACAAAGAGUCACAGAGUUCAGAUGAUUUUAUAGAGUCUUUCGAAAAUGCCCAUGUGAUUCAUUACCAUAUGAUAUGUUUAUGAACUAUUUUAAAUUGUUCUCAUAUAUGUUGAAUAUAAAUUAUUAUUUUGUAUUUUCUCUGUGUACCGGUACAAUUGUAUUGACCCCCUACCUCCCAAGUUCGGAGGCUCAGUCUAGGGGCACGGCUAAUCAGUAGAGUAUCCAUAGAGAAGUGAUCCGUGCAGUGGUGAGCCUUCGUUGUUCUAGAAGGCCUGUUAUUUUAGAUUAUGUUAUUCCUUUGUUUUUGUCUAAUUGGGGCCUUGUCCCAGCUUUUCAGAUAGUUGUCUUUAGAUCAUGUAGUAGAGAUUUGCAGACUGUUCCAGAUGUGGUUUAGUUGAUGUAAGAUUUUAUUCCUUAUUGUUAAACAGAAUCCAUUGUAUGACCAUGUUUUCGUAUUAGAAUAUAAUUCCGCAUUAUUUCAUUAUAUGAAAGUUUUGAUGAUUACCAGAUCAAACAGAGUAGGACAUUCGAGCCUUCAUAGUUCGGGAUGUCCGUCACGGCCAGGUCCUUGUUCAGGUCGUGACAUUUUAAAUCUUGCAAAGAGAUGAUAAAUUCCUAUGUUUUCUUGAGAUUUUAAAGUGAUGACCCUAUUGUGAUGUUAUGAAAUUUUUGGGUGGUCAUAUGCAUGUUUUAAAUAUGAUGACCUAUGAAUUUGAUAUGAUAUGGACUUGCAAGUCAGGGUAUGAUGAUACCCGGUGAUAGUAUGCCCUUAAUGGAAUAAUUGAUGGAUGUUUUGAAUUCAUGAUGAAUGGUUUUAAAGAACUAAAAUUGGGCUUAAAGAGAGGUAGAUGGUUACCCAAAAAAGGCGUUUGAGUGUAAGGGCUCAUCACCGAAAUAAUUGAAUUUGCCGAUUUGGGAGAUAUGAUUUGCUAAAGCCAAUGUAUACCUAUCCUCGAGAUGUUGGUAUACUAGAAUAGAAUUUUAGGACUCCAAUCUAUGCGGCAUACUAGGAUUGGGGGUUGGCCGCCGAGUUAAGGGCGGAUUCCAUAUAGCCCAUCGAAUCGUAGAAAUAUAGCAUGUACCAUCUAUAUCAAGAUUAAUAUAAAGAGUGAGACAUGUUUUCAAAUAGGUUCCAUGGAGUUCACUAUAGUAUGCCCAUGUAUUUUUAAUUACUUACUAUUAUUAUUGACUUUAUGAAAUGCUCUCCCUUAUUUUGUGUUAAAAAAAGUUAUUUUCAGUUGUUUCACAUACCAGUACAUCUGUAUUGAACCCCUAUAUUUCAGGAUUCUGAGACACAGUCCUGCGUCCCGUUAAGCAGUACAUUGUCUUGUCAGGAUUUUGCAGCAGGUGAGCCUCCUUUACUUCAGAAGGCCUGUAUUAGAACUUGUUAUUGUUCUUUCAUUUUGAUUCAUGGCCCAACUGGGGGCCUUGUCCCAAAUAUUAGACUGAUGUCAUUUCAGUUAUUAGAGAUUUCACAGACUAGUGUUAGGUGUUGUGGAUCUUGAUGAACUCAUAUCGGUAUUGAGUAGUUUGAAAUAAAAGUGACCAUGAUUCCAUUUUGUUUGUAUUUCCGCAUUUUAUAUUUGUAUAUGAAUGGUGUAUGAUUGCAAGUUAGAAGGGCUCUCGGGCCUUCAAGGUUCGGGAUGCCCGUCAUGGCCAGGGCCUAUUUUGAGUCGUGACAAAUUCACGCAUGUACAUCCAUCACUAAAUAAGACAUUGUCUCCUUCAUGGGUCUUUAUCAAGAGGAGGUAUUAAAUUUCUCUCCUCACAAGCUUUGAUCAGCUAUAAUUCUCACCCCUAAGUUAGUUGCUUCCUCUUUGUUUGCCUUCAUCAACAAUCAGUUGUUAGAAACUCAUUUCAACUUGAGUUCCCAUAAGGGUGACAUAGGAAGAAUCAAAUAUUUCUUUGUCCACUGGCAAUCUAUCCUUCUUUCUUCUAGAUAUAGGAAGGUUUCUCGUCUAUUUUUCAGCUACUAUUCUAGAUGGACAUACUCCACUUGUGUGACCAUUUAUUCCAUAAUGGGUGCAUAAGAGAUUCUCCUUGCCACUAACAUGUUUGCUAAGUGAGUUUGAGGUGUUACUUUGACUAUGAUACCUCAAUCCUCUCCUGCUACUUAACCCUUGAUUGGUGAGAGUGGUUAUAACUUUAAAUGAUAUAGUCCACCGGAGAGUCUUUUCAAGCUCAGCCUAAACCUGAACAAUUUUUUCUCAAGUUUCGAAUUUCUUUCAAGUGAAGCAGUCAAAUCAGCCUUAGCUUUAGCCAAUUCUUCUCAAAUUGUAUCCUGCUUCCAUCAUUCUUCCAUUUUGAAUUAUUCUUAGACAUUUCACUAAGCUUCUCAUUUAUAAGAUUAUUUUUAUGGGAAAGUGACUUACCUGCAGCCUGAAUCUCAUUCACCUAUUCAUUCAAUUCAACCAUCUCUUCCUUACAUUUAUCAAGAUAUUCCUUCAUCUUUGCUUUAUCCUUGGUGAGAUCAGUGACUUGUAUGCUUAGGUUAAUCAUUUAUCCUCACAAUUUUCCUGAUCUUCCUUUUGGAUUUCUUUGUCUUUGGUGAGUUCAUUUACAAUGUUAAUCAGUACAACAGCAAGAGAUUUCAACUUGAUGGGUGAGUAGUCCUUAAGAUUUUCCUUAAUAUCCAGGAGAGUUACCUGAUUAUCUUCAUCAUCAUCUGAAUCUUCCAUCAGAGCAAAGAGUGAAUUAAACAAUUGAGCAUCAUCUUCCAUCACCAUUAUGGACAUAUCUUCUUCUUGCUCAAAUUUAUCUGAAUCACUGAAGGAGUCACCCCAAGCAGACAAUACCUGAUUAUCAACUUUAUCAGCUUCAUCUUUCCUUGUAAACUUUAGAGGGUCCCGGUUCCUACCUCUUUCCUUCUUAGCAACUUGUUUCACAUAACCCUUGUACUCAACUUUGUGCAUAGGACAAUCCUUAAUGUAAAGACCCAGCUUCCAUCAUUUGUGACGGGUGUAAUUUGUCUUUCCUUCCCUAAUGUACUUGCUGGAUUCUCCCCUUCUAGGUAGAGCACCUGACUUUCUCAAGUCUUCGGAGGAACUGUUUUGCUAUAUAUGCAGUUUUAUCAGCCUCAUUACUAUUAGUCUCCUUGGUUUCCUAUAGGGGCAGACUCUUCUCCAUCUUGUGCUCACUCUUGGACCUGUCCUAUAUCUUCAUAAUCUCAUAAGUCUUGAUAUUUCCUAUCAACUCAUCCAUGGUAAUAUUUUUCAGAUUCCUGGUUUUAGUGAUGGCAUUAACUUUACCAUCCUAUUUCUUGGGAAGGAUGCUUAAAAUCUUUUGAACUUGUUUGGUGGUUCUAAUAUCCUUCCCAAACGGUGAAGCUCAUUGGUUAUUACUUUUAAUCUAGUGUUCAUCUCCUGAAUAGAUUCUCCUACUCUCAUGGUAAAAGUAUCAUAUUGGGUGGUUAGCAUAUCUACCUUUGACUCUUUCACCUGACUUGUUCCCUCAUGGGCUAUUUCAAUGCAGUCCCAGAUCUCUUUGGCAGUCUAAUAAGUAAAGAUCCUAUUGUACUCAUCAGGACAAAAUGCCUCCAACAAGCAGCUUUUUAGCUCUGUAGUUCUUCUCAAUCUUCCUCCUAUCAGUUUCAUCAAAUUCCUUUUUACUCUAAGGAAAUUGUAAAGUCACUUCACCAACAUUUACAGUUCUUGUGGAAAUAAAAGGACCGUCUUCAAUAACAUCCUACAAUUCAGAAUCUUCAGCUAUGAUAAAGUAAUCACCCUAGUCUUCCACAACCCAUGAUAUUCUCCAUUGAACCUAGGCAGUCUAGUAGUGGACAGGCCUUCUUCAAGAUUUGGCGAAGCAGCCAUAUUAAAGAUCCUUACAAGGUGUUAACCUUUUUCAGGAAGAGCUUUCUCAUAUAGCAAUUAAAGAGUUCACGCGAGUUGCCCGCCAACUUUGGGACCUGGUCCCAAAUAGUCUCAAACAGAAAUAAACUAAACAAUAAAGUACGAGAAAGAGAAAGUAAAAGAUACAACAAUUUUACGUGGAAACUCCUUGCUCAAAGGAGAAAAACUACGACCUACCUCAAGAAUUUCUAAGCUCCAUUAAUAUUCAAGAAACUUGAACACAAAUCCAUUGCAUCCAGGAUGAACCUCCUAAUUCUUUCUCCUAGUAAUAACUCUAUUAAAAAUAGAACUUGUAGCAACUCUACUGCACAUCACCCAACCAACUCUAACUGAGCUGACUAGCUAACUCUGGCUUCCUUAUCACCUAACUCUAGAUGAUAAUAAGGAGUAUGUAACUAAAAUCACCAACACCUACUAAUAACAACCAAUUAUAAACAUAGUACAAAGACACUAAUACAAUAAGAAAAUAAAAAUACUAUUUUGCGAGCUAUUAGUUCCCUAUUGCGAAUCAGUCUUUGAUUCAAGAGCUUCAAGAGAGAUAUUUUAUUUUGAGCAUAUGGAAGAUUGAUAUUCUUGUUGUGGAAGAUGAUCAAUAUAUUUAUGACACAAGAAAACCUAGAAAGAGUCCCACUAGCUGAAUAAAAAGUGCAACAACUUUUCCUACCAACUUUUGUACUAUAUUGACUGUAACAGUGACAUAUAGACCAAACCAAGUUUCUAAGUAGUCGCAUCUUUGUCAUCACACAUUUUCAGGAACUAAGUCCCAACAUGUAAUUUGCCAAUCAUCAAAACUAAGGACGUAAUAGUAUUAUUAUUGAUUGUAGCGUCAGACCAAAAUUUCUUACAUAACAUGUGGUAUAUUGAUGUAAUAUGGUCUAAUCCAAACAUCAUAGUAUUGAUGAUGCCUUAAAAUUACAAAAUGAUGUGCAAUGUCUGAAUAUGGUUUUCAAUGAAAAUCCAAAUGGUGAAUGCAUAUGAUGAUGUGUUUGUUUAUGUAGUGGUGUUUAAGAUCCUCUCAAAUUCCACAAUUAAGAGAUGAAUACAUAAAGUUGUAACAUAGUGUUCAUAGUUUGUUGCAUAAUUCGGGGGGUUUUCCGAAGAAAACACUGACAUAUAGUUGAGAUGGCUUUGACUUUGGUGAUAAAUAAUGGAGUACCAAAGCAUCUAUAGGUUAAAGAAUUCACUACAUCCUGAAUUUCAGCUUGAUUGUUGUAUCCAACACCUAAAGGGGUAGAAAAAGCAUAAAUAAGGUUGCCUUUACUAUCUCUAAGUAUAUCUCCUGUUCCAAUUCUUCAUUUUUAUUCUUUAGUGUACUACCAUCAGUAUUCAAUUUAACCAUGGAAGGAGGGGAUUUGUACUAAAAAUUUGAAUAACCUUUAACUCAUGUUGAUAAUUUUCAAUACAGAGCACCUUGGAGAUCUAAAGGAAAGAAAUGUACGUGUAAGAAAUAACAUAUCUGCAAUGAAAGUCGAACACGACUUUGUAACUAAAGGAAAGAUAUAGGCUUCUAUUUCCCUUUCUUUUUGGUUACUAUCUUGGGGGUCGUGGUAUUGAUCCAUUACUGAUAUCAAGGAUGGAUCCCUACCUCCAGAAGGUAUUUUUAAUCAUUGGGGUGUGCUGAUGUUAAUUAGAAUUCUAUUCCUAAAUAUCAUUUUAGAGUUACCCUACCCUAUUUAUUUGAGAAAAAGAAAUUCCAGAUCCAUAACUAUUCCGUGUAAGUUGAAAAAGAUAGUCAUGUGCAUCUCAACUUCAAGCUAGACCCGGGAAAAGCCCACUCACAUAUUCUUUUACACACAAAAAUGGUGCAUUUAAAGCAAACUAAGAGCAGGGAAGGAACUAUGACCAGAAAAAUUCUCACUAAUUAGGAUGCGUGACUGACCUAUCUUUUAUUUUUUUACAAAUAAUCUGGGCAUUUACCUUUGAGCUGGGAGGGCUUCCACUAGGGAAAGGCACCUACUCUCCUAUUUUUAUUCUUCAUUAUCUAUAUGGAACUUAUCUAAAACCACGCUAGCUACUGUGUCAAGCUCAUAUCCUCUGCCUCUUUCUUGAAAAGAAACUAUGCUUGAUAAGGCAAAUAACGAUUCAUAUUUUUUCAUAUAUAUGUGUCAGAAGCAUCAAAUGAUGUUUUAUGAGGUGGGGGAAUCCUAAUCCAAGGACCUAAGCUCGCAGUAACAAGAGAUAGUGUAACGCACCGCAUUUUUAAGCUAGAAAUCGAACCAUCAUUCUUACGUGUGUAAGCUCUAAUUCCAUGGUUUAUAUUUAAAUUCAUGUAUCAUGAUCCUUAUCCUAGUUUAUGAAGUGAUUAUGAGGUGUAAAGUGUUCAUAAAAAUUACUUGUAGCAAGGUAGAGCUAAGAGUCAUUCAUUCAUCCAAAGUUUGAUAUUCGAUUCUACAAGUAUCUAUUUUGAACAUCUAUAACUUUCAAUACACAUAGAAUUUUUGGGCUCAAGAACCUCCAAAUUGUUGAUAAUUGAAUUAGCUUUCCAACGAUACCAAUUUCAUCAAAAUCUCAUACCCGAGCGAAAAGUUAUAGUAUUUUUUGUGAGAGAUUCAGUAGCUGCGUGCGAUGUGCUUGCGACACGUGCUCUGUCGCAUGCACCUAAUUCUCAGGUUUUGUUUUUGCAUUUUUAAGGGAUGAAAGGUCCUUUCCUUCCCCCUACCCCGCCUAUAACAUAGAAUUUCAGCCUCAAGAAGCAUCGAUUGCAUCUUUUAUUCAAUUUUCUCUUAAAAAUCAAAAUCCUAACUCAUCCCCAAAGAUCAAGAACUCAUCCCUAAGAUCAAGAAUUUCAAGAAACGAAUCAAGAUUUGGGUUCCAUCCUUCCAAUAUUAUAAUCUAAGGUACAUGAGCAUUUUCUAAACUACAUGGGCUAGUUGAAAACACAUUGAAUAUGGUUUAAAGUUUAGAAAUCAUGAAUUUACAAUUAUGCAUUACUAACUCUUUAAUGACAUUAUAUCUUGGGUCUUGAGGCCUCCCCGUGAAAAUUGAAAUCUUACUUAUAUAAAUAUAUAUAUAUAUAUAUAUAUAUAUAUAUAUAUAUAUAUAUAAAAAUGCAUGCACUUGAUGAAUCUAAAUGUUUAAUUGAGAGCAUCAAUUAUUUGAAAUCCAUCUCUUGCUUAAAGAUUUCUUGUAUUAUUACGUAAUGAUUUAUUUGAAUGUAUAUUGCGAAGUAUGUUACAAAUGCUUUUAUGGUUGGUAAGACUUGAUUAUGAUUUUUCAAUGAAGAGUGGGUAUUGUAUUUGGUGUUAAUGGUUAAAGAUGUUCAUUAAGAAAUUUGCAUGAUUUGUCACAAAUUUCAUGGCCAUCACAUGUUUGUUGAAAAACUGAAAACAAUGCCUUUUAUAUAAUUUGACAAAUGCUUUAAAGUAUGAAUCUGGUUGAAUUGUUUAAAAUAUGGUAGCCAGAGCCUUAUGUUUUGAAGAGGAGACUUUUAUAUGAUGUUUUAUGGCUCAGAAAGAUGAUUUGAAAGUCUUGGUAUGACGAUACCAAAUCAGAUAAGGCCAAGAUAAAACUCUGAACAAUUUACAGAUUUCAUUUCAGAUUUUACAUUUUGAAUUCAGAAAGAUGCAUGUUUAGAACAAGAUAAAAAUGUGCACUAAGAGAAUUAGGUGGUUACCUGAAGUAGGCAUGGGUCACUCGAUUCAUUUCCUGAAAUCGUGUUUUGCCGAUAUGGGUAUAUUAUUAUACGCUGGCCUAGUUCCCUGAGGCAUAUUAGAAUCAGAAUUAGAGACUCCAAUCUUUACGGCAAACUCGGGUUGGGGGCUUAUCUGCCAAGUUAAGGGCUGAUCCCAUAUACACUAUGGGAUACUUUAAGAAAUGUUCGGUGUACCACCUAGUUCAGAAGUAAUACAAAGAAUUAAAAUUGCAUUGACAAGACUAUUUUAAGAUCAUUUGAGAUUUCCCCAUGUAUUUUAAACUACUUCAAGUACAUUGUUUUAUGACUUGCUCUCACCUAUGUUAGAUAUAUAAAUUCAUUAUUUUUGAUUGCUCUAUGUACCACUACAUAUGUAUUGACCCCCUCUAUCUCAGGAUGCAUGGCACAGUCUCGGGGUCCCAUACAGCAGUAGAUCUGUGUGUGUUAGAAGUUGCAGUUGGUGAGCCUUCUCUAUUUCGGAAGGACUGAUUAUCAGAUUUCAUUGUUUGUUUUCUUUUAAUAUUCUACUAGGGCCUUGUCCCAGUUUUAUCUUGACAUAUGAUGGUUAUUGUAAUGUUAGAGAUUUUGAAGACGGUUGUUUUAUCUUUAGAAUAUUGAAAAUUUUCCUUUUAAAAUUGUUCAAGUUUUUGAGACUGACCAUGUUUUGUUCGUGUAUUUUUUCGCAAAUUUUCUUAUACUACGUGAAUAUUGUGCAUGCUUACUAGAUUUAGAAGAGUGCCUGAGCCUUUAUGGUCGGGAUACUCAUUACGGCUAGGGCCUUGGCUCCUGUCGUGACAAACUUGGUAUUAGAGAACAGUUCAUGGUCCCAAGAUUUUUUUGAAAUCUUGUCUAGUAGAGUCUUACUUAUGGGUGUAUUGGGCACCACACUUAUAAUCAGGAGACUACCGGUCAUUUUGGAGUUGCUUCCCAUUCUUUCAUACUCUAGUUCGUGCUAUAGAGUCGUCCAUAAGAAAUUUAUCCAAGUUCAUUCCUCGUUCUAAUUUCAUGGAUCAUGGAUCAUUGUCGAGGCGAUACAAGUCUAAGAGUCGACCUCCCCUAGCGAUAUAGUUCUCUAUAAUUAAGUUGUCCAUAAAGUUAUGAAUUUAGCAUAAGGAAUUGAGAGGAUUCCAUGAGUGCUUUAAAGUGUAGUUAUUUAAGCAUAUACCCCUAUUUGUGUUGUGCAGUUGAGCCUGAGUUAUGGAGUGUAUUUAGUCUCCUUUAAUAAAAAUUCUUGUUGGGGAUGUGAUGUUUAAGGAUAAUGAUGUGUAGCAGAACGUUGGAACUAUAUUUCCACCAGAAUAGUAGUGUAUGUUAAAGUUUCAUGACCUAUUGGUAGUGAGAUGGUCUAGAAGUUUGUGACAUGAAGUCACAAGGUUAGAAGUUAGAGUGAGGGUAAAAUUUGCGUAAAUAAAUAGUUUUAGUUGUAUGAUCGUGGAUUAAGGAGUGGGUUCCCAUUGUAUAGUUAUUUACUAAUGUGUAGCAAUAUUUGUGUAUUGUAUGGUAGCCUAUGAAGGAAGUGGCUGACUAUGCUUAUUAUAUAUUCGAAAUAGGGAGAAUCUUAGAAUGGAUGGUUAUGCUGGUUGUAGAAAUCAUUUAUAAGUGAUAAGUGAAAAGGGGUAGGUUAGUUAAUAAGUUAUAGGUAGAGGCUCAUUAGUAUUUCUUGAAUUUUCAAGAUCACUGUGAUGUAUCAUUGGGUAAGUAAGUAUGAUGUGAGGAAUUAGAAUAUGUUGUUAAGAUUGAAGUGGGUUAUAUUAUAAUAUUAAGAUCGACUAAUCCUAUCAUGUGACUUUACCCCCCUUUGAUGGUUUGUCUUUAGUAGUAGUAACUAGUAUUUCAUGUGAGAGGGUAUGUUGUGGAUUUUGAGUUGAUUUACUGUCUUUGCACUAGAGAUUAAUGAAAAGAGUUGUGUUAAUGGGUAUUUUGAUACCCCCCUUUUAUGAUAAGGAGUGUGAAUGCACGCGCUCAUGAGAGUGGGAUUGUAUAGUGAAUGCUAUAGAGGAUAGCUAAAGUUAAAAGUAGCAUUUACAGAAAUGCAAGGCCUUCAGGGUAUAGUUCUUUAGGGAGAGUUUAGCGUUCAAGUAUAUGGUGAUGUCUUAUUGUGCAGAGUUGUGGUUAUAGAUUCGAUAAGGGGAUAUGUCCGUAAGUCUAGGAUUGUGACUUUGAUCUAAAGAGGACAUGGUAAAUUAAGGUAGUUCCUGAAUGUUCUUGGUGUGGCAAGUUGCGGGGAGGAAUCAGGAUAAACCUAAUUCUACUCAAGAAUAAUCUUCCUACUUCAAUUUAGGAGAGUAUCUUUCUAAUGUCCUACGUCAUGUGUUCAAGUCAUGCCUAUGCCUAUGGUUCAAAUUCUCUAUGGACUUAUGUUUUUUAUCUGACCUGCAAACAAGAAGCAAUUAUGUCUUUCAGUAAUCCAGUCUUUCAUGUAUUCAAGCCAUAUGUUAUGUUGUUCGUGAUCCACGAAAAUCUAUGUCUCUUAGAAUACUUGGUCCUGAGAAAAUACGUUUCUAUAUGUCACUGAUUCAUCCUAUGUCGGGUUUAGCCAAAGUGAUUAAGUCUAUGCAAAAUCAUGGCAAAUCUCAUUUCCUUAACUGAGGAGCCAUAGAUUCAAGCAGCAAUCUUUGGUUUAUUUGUAAGGUAACACCCCGUACCAUUCUCGACUCAAUUCCACUCUGGGUCGCAUGUAUGGAGAGCUGACAAUUUGAAAAUUUUUCUAUUUGCUAAAAGGCUUAGUCACCUUCUGAGCUCCUAAUCUUUGAUGAUUUUAUUUUCGACCUUCUCAAAAAUAGAAUGUCACCUUGUAAAUUGAUUCAUGAUCGGGGGAGUCAAGAGUACAUCUCAAGGUAAGUUUUGGGUAUUUUGGACAAGCGUAAGGGCAUGUUUGGAAGUCUAAAAUAGUAGCUGCAUGCAAUCAUCGCGUGAUGCAUUCUUCAAUCCACACCUAAUGUAGCAUGCGAUAGAGCAUGUUGUGCAUGCUCUAUUUUAGGGUUCCAGAGCGUGCGACGCAUUCUCCAUAUAAAAUUUCAACUUUUACUUACAUUUUCCUGGGGCGUUUGGUUCCAUUCCACCCACUUUGAUUUGGCUCGUGUUUCCCGAUAUGGUCUGUCCUAAUUACUCGUACUAUGUUGUGUUUAUGCCAGAGCAUCAGUUUAAUUGCAAUCCAUACAUUUCAUAUAUGAAGCACUUCGUGUCUAUUUUAACCAUCGUAUUUUCAUUUCAUGUCCCUCCUUGAGUAAUGCAAAGUAUAAUUUAUGCUCUGAUAUGUCACGAUCCGAACUAGGGCCUAGCUGUGACGAACAUCCCGAACCAUGAAGGUCCGAGCGUCCUACUCUAUCUGGUAAUCAUGCACAAUAUUCACAUAAUAAAAGUUGAUGCAGAAAUAUAAUAUGACAUGGAAACAUGGUCAUAUAAUAUGACACGGAAACAUGGUCAUACUCUGGAUUUAUUUUAACAAUAAGGAAUGAAAUCCGAACUCAACUAAACAACACCUAGAAUCGUCUGUGAAAUCUCUACUAGAUGAAAAUCUAACAACCAUCUGAAAGAUCGGACAAGGCCCCCAGUAGACCAAAACAAUGGAAUAACAUAAUCUGAAAUAACAGGCCUUCUGGAACAAAGAAGGCUCACCACUGCACAGUUCACUUCUCUCUGGGAUACUCUACUAAUUAGACAAACCCUUAGACAGACCCUUACAAGUUGAAAUGAGAGAUAAAAGUUUCUUAUUUAAUCCAAAAGAAGAUGCAAACAAACCUUGCAAGACUAAAGAUUAAUUGACAGAUUUAUUCAAGAAUCAAAUUCUGCCGAGACUAUAAUCAACAAUUUCUGAUCAUAGGAGGAAUAUUUGUAAAUAUGUCUCAGAAAUAAAGUAGAUAACUAUUAGCAGUUUUAAAUUAUUAAAGUUCUGUGUGGCGUAAACUUAGGCAUUAGUUAUCUAUUUGAAUUUGAAUUUAGGUGUUUAUUUUUAUAUUUUCUAGUUAGAUCUUUAGCUAUAAAUAUAUGCCUUUGAGUUAUUAAUAAAAUAUUUUUCUUUGACAAUACAAUUGCAGGAUUUUUUUCUCAAGUUUUUCUUUGUUAUUUCAUUAAUUUCAAAGCUAAAAAUCAACAAUUUUCAUAUGUAAAUGUGAGCAUUAUUCUAGAAGUAGAAAAUGACGGAAAACUUUGGCUAUGGGCAGAUAAAUGGUGUGAGGAUGGACUUCUUAAGGACGUGCUUCAAUUUGAUGAGAGAUAAGGAUGGGACUUUCAAUGUUGAAGAAGGCUCAACCAAAGUCGUUUGCUUCACACGGAGCAUGCUUAAGUCUAGAUAUGUCGUUAACACAUUGCUUUACAUGGCAGAUUUGGUCUAUAUGCAUUUUUAAAGAGAUAUUGCAUAUUUGGCUAACACAGAAUUGACAUGAAACAGAAGAAGCUUUGGAGGACAGUCCCCUUAUGCAUAGAAUGGAUUAUAUGGAUUGAAAAGAAUAAAAGAUGCUUUGAUGAGAAGUAGGAAUGCGUAGCUUUUAUAAAAUUUAAAUAAAUCGAGAAUUUAUUGUUUUGUAAUAAAUUGUAGGGUCAUUUGCGACUAUUGUGUUGGAUUUUCUGGACUUUAUUAUUCGCAGUCUUUGGUCAAGUCCAGUUUGUAUAAUCAGUCCUUUGUUUGUAUGUUGUAAUUUUUAUGAGCAGGUUUUAGGAUGUACUUCUAGAUUGAUGUGGUGUGAUGGAUCUACCUUCAAGUAUGAGCAGUUCUGUUUUCAUUUUCCAUUGGAGUGUGUAGGAAUACUCUUGAUAAAUUUACCGGCAUUUUAUAGUAAAGGAGGAUGCUAUGACAUUCUCUUAAUUAAUUCAUAGACAAUUCGAUUGGAUUAUGCAAAGUUACUUUUGAUGAAUUUAUCGUGCUAAGUGUCAAACACAUUAUCAUUUUAUGACUUAAAUUAAGCACUCCUAAAAUAUCAAACAUUUAGAUUAGAGAUACAAUAUAGAAACACAUGAAUUUAUAACUUACACACUAAAAUUAUACAACGUAGGUCCCCGCAUCCUUAAAUAUAUCAGUGAGAUUCCUUUUGCGAAAAUAUGUUAUAUAUCAUAAACCCUAGUAAAAUAUUCACUACCACGCAGUCUUCGUCACUUCAAUUCAGCAAUUGAACUUCUUCCCUAUAUUAACUCACUACUGUCAACAUCACUCCCCUAUUGGCGAUAUUUUCCUUUCUUAAUUUUCGGGAUUGGAUUCAUCAGGUGAUUUGGGCCAUUCUGUUCAAAUUCCUCAUUUGGUAUGACUAUAAACAGUUUCAUUUUCGCUCCAAUUAAUUCUUUUAAUGCUGUGACUACAAACAAUGAUUCCAUAACCCCAAAUGAAUUGUGUUCAAUUAAAUCAGAUAUGUCAGGAAGACACAGGGUUUAGGAUCCAUAUCAGAGCAAGAAAGCAAAAAUGGUGUAUAUUUUAGGGUUGAAUCUUGAAGAUUUGUCAGAAGAACCGUCCUGUGUGGUUACAAGGGAUUGUCGGACAGAAAGUAACUCGAUGACUUGCAUGAGUUAUAGGUCGAUAGGAUUGAAGUCCAGAAUGGGAAAAGGCCAUUGGAAGAUGACCAGGAGGUUGAAAAUGUCCAAUGCAGGUUACAAAAACAGCCUGAUGGUUCCAACCUAGUGGAAGUGGAUCUUUCCUUGGUGAGUUCUUCAGCAUCCCCUGAUGAGCAUGCUGACAGUCAGGACCAUGAUGAGAAAGAUGACAAUCAGAAUCAUGCUGGGGAUAAUUCCUAUAGGAGCACACUUUUUCCUGCCAUCGACUGUGACAGCUCCAUCAAUUCCCUCAAUUCAUUGUUCUAGGUCACAUUAUGGAGCCAUAGCAUCUUUGAACCGUAACUUCAGCUCAUUAAUUAGGAGCAGUGAACUUUAUACAGCGCGGCAAUGAAAUGGUGUGGUGGAGCACUGGGUGUAUUUCUCCUGCCACCAGCCUGAGUGGGAAGCUUUUGACCCAGCUAGGCUGUGUUGGAUGCAUCUGCCGAGAAUGACUCCCAAUGAUGUUUCGUGUUCUCCGAUAAGGAAUCUUUGGCGGUUGGCACGAAGCUUCUUGUUUUCAGAAGGGAUGUGUUUGCCAAUGUCAUUUAUCAGUACAGUUUACUGACAAAUACGUGGUAACCUGAGAUGCAGAUGAAUGUGCCACAAUGUUUGUUUGGUAAAGAAAGCCUGGGGGAAAUCGCCAUUUUUUCUGGCGGUUGUGACUCACAAGGUAAAAUCCUUAGCUCUGCCGAACUUUACAAUUCGGAGACAGGCACGUGGAGGACUUUGCGAAGCAUGAAUAAGCCACAUAAGAUGUGUUCUGAUGUAUUCAUGGAUGGAAAGUUUUACGUGAUAGGAGGCAUUGGUAAAACCAACUCAAAGCUGUUGAUCUGAGAAGAGGAGUAUGAUCUGGCAACGGGAACGUGGAAUGAAAUCCCAAACAUGUCUCCUGUGUGACUGUCACGACUUGAACCGGGGCCCUGGCCGUGACGAGUAUUCCGAACCAUAAAGGCCCGAAACAUCCCUUAUCUAUCUGGUAAUCAUGCACAUGACUUAUAUGAAAAAAAAAAUGCGGAAGAUACACUAUAUAACAGAAACAUGGUCAAGAAUCAUAUGAAAAGAAUAAUGGGGAAUAAUGUCCCACAAUCUCAAUCAAUAUCUCUAUAACAUCUACGAAAACUCUACUACAUGAAUGAAACAAAUAUCUAUCUGAAAAAUGGGACAAGGCCCUCAGUAGACCCAAAACUAAUAAAUGAUAAAUGCAACUACCAGGUAUCAGGCCUCCCGAAAUAUAGAAGGCUCACCAAGUGACUCUGCGAAUCUGUUUGAGGAAAUCUACUAAUUUUCUUAACCCCUAGACUAUGCCCCGAACCUGGGAGGGAAGGGGGUCAAUACAAAAGUACUGGUACGUAGAGAUAUCAAAACAAAACAUAAUAUUUUUACAAAAUAUAGUUGAGAGCCAUUAUAAAGAAGUUUCAUAUCAAAUCAUUCGAAAAAACAUGGGCGUAAUGCAAUUGUUUUCAAAAACAAUGUAAUGCCACUAAGCUAGGUGGAAUACCCUACAUAUCACAUUUACACCAACUGUCAAACCUUAGUUUCCAUCGAGAUUAGAGUAUAAGUGAGGGGAAGACACACAAGCUCACACAGCAGUGUGUCUCGACCCAAUAGUAGUGCACAAAAUCACAAAGAAGGGCUCCUAACCAUAGUCCCAAUUUGGGAAUGACAUACAGUCAGGUACGCAAGAUCAAAAAGUAGGGUACCGAAUUCCCAUGUCAGCAAACACGGUUUUCAACGAUGAGCCCUUACACUAAAACACCUUCUUCUGGCAUCCACCUAUCUCAUGAAAAAUCAUUGCAUUCAAAUUUCAUAUGAUUCAAUCACAUAUCAUAUUCUGUAGGGUAUCGUCAUACCCGACUUUCAAGCCAUCAAUAUCACAUCAUUCUUCUCAUUCAACCAUUGUAUUCAAUAUGUUUGAACACAAAUAGCUCUCUCGUUUUCAAGUCAAAAUCAUAUCAAUUCUCAAAACAUUUCAUUUCAUGCUUUCAAGAUGUUUUCAAAUAAUUUACAUCAUAUGAACAUUUAAAAAAAAUUCACAUCAAGAAAGGGAUUCCAUAUCAUUCAUACUCUCAAGUUAACAUCUUAUUGGAAUACACGCAUAUACAUAUAUCAUAUAUCAAAUCACUUUGGAAUUAGGCCUAAGGACCAAAUCAAUAUCAUAAAGAUGCUUGAAACAUGAUUAUAUUCAUAAUUUCAAAACCUCCAUUUUUAAAACAUGAAUUUUUAAGCCCAUGAGAUUUUUGAGAUAAUCUCGCCUACCUCUAUAUGUGAAUAUGAUAGGUGCUUCUUGAAGCCUACGUUGCGGGAAUUCCAAAACUUCAAUUUGUUUUGAAAACCCAUGGUUGAAUCUUGAUUUAUUGGGGUUUUUAUUUUGAAACCCUAAGGGGAGUUCUUGAGAGAAAAUUUAUUGAUGAAUUGGGGACUAAAUCUGUUGUCAUAGAUGAAAUUUGGGUGAGGUGAAUUGACUAAAAUGCUCCUAAGAAAACAAACAAAUUCGAAACUAUCCCUCAGUUGACAAGCUGAUAGGCUGAAGUGAAACGGGUAUAAAUCCUUACUAAGAUGUCGGAUUUGAAUGAAACCAGUUGCAUUGGAAGGAAGACUCAAAGAUAUUUCAUUUGAUAGGUAGCAGCUCUCUCAGUUAAUUAUAUUCAGAGAGUUAUGAUCAUUUGAAGUUGACCCUGAAAUGCUGAAAACUGGGCAAUAGGCUAUGCAUUUUGCUACUGUUUUGAAAUCCAAACGCAGCCUUAUGUGUUCCAAAAAAUUCCGAAACAUAUCCGAGAUGUACUAUGAGCUUUCCUGAUCAUAACACAACUUGAAAAUCUAAAAAUGGAUGUCGGGAAGGUUGAAAAGUUGUAUCCCGAAGAUUGCCAGCUAAAAUGACUCUAAGUCCUCAUUACACUUAGAAAAAUAUUCUAGUUGUUAGCCCCUCAAACAUAACACUAAAAAUGAAAUCUACUCAAGAAUUUUACGGGUCAUUACAAUAGGAGUGUUUAUCACACGUAUGUUAAUAAAGAAUAAUUCAGUUCGGCUCUAUAUACAUAAGAACGACGGUCUAAACUCUAGCCCGAAAAUACGGGGUGUUACAUUAUCUCCCCCAUGGGAUCAUUCGUCCUAGAAUAAUAGGUAAGAACGUAUUGAAGCUUAGAGGUAUGGAAUAAUGCGGACAUGAUAUGUUUCUCUAAGAAAAAAUAAACUAAUCUGAAACAUGACUUUAAGGCUGGAACUACUGAUGUUCUAAAUUCUUAUACCGGACAUGCAUAUCUGAUGCAUGGAUCUGUGACUGAGUUGUUCUCAUGAACGCAGGAAUGAAUACACUGAUAAGCUGAAAUUUUUCUACUGAACAUGCAUUUCUAAUACAUGCAUAUCUGACUGAACUGACGUAUCAAUGUAUGAAUAAAUACGCAAUGAUAGCUGGUGCGAGACUUGUAAUAACAAUCUACGCAUGCAACUGAAUGAGGUAUCUCCCCCUUAGGAUCCUAUGUCCCUCUAUGAAUGCUCAAUUCACUAAGAUACUCGGAAAACUGAAGAGAUGAACAGGACACCUACGAAUUGAAUCAUAACUGAACCUCUGGAAUUUGAAUCUAAUGCAUAACGCAUGAACUGAUCUAUACUCGCGAUUACUAGUAUACUCUAUCUUCGAAUAGUAGCAUGUCUGAGAUUUCGGGUAGAAUGAAUAAAUGAAAAGACGAGAAAACAAGCCAUCAGAAUCUGCUUGUUAAACUUACUUACUGACUAUACCGACUGAAUUAUGUUGGACGUUCAUACUUAACUAGAGUAUUCUCUACAACACUCUCUCUAAGGAAGUUCUAGAAGUAAUAGGAGCCACGAAUCUUGGGUAUGGAUUACAAAAGACACCCACUAAGGAAUCAUCACAAUGACACCACUCUGUAUUCUGGAAUAUAGACAUAUAACUCCUAAAUUAGGAUAGAAUUACCAGACCUUUGGCAAUACAACUUCUUAAUUUAAAGUUUAGCACACUUCUCAAAUAUCCCUUAACUAUACUAUUCCUAUAAAUAUCAUAUUCAUUCAAUUCAGCUUAAAAUUCUUAUAUAAGCAUUGACAAUAUUUUUUUUUCUACUACUGUCUAAAACAGCUUAAUCCUUACACUGCAAUCAAUCUUAACUCUAAGUCACAAAAAUACAGCAUGCUACACCACGCUAUUAUUCUAAAUCAUAUGAUGCCACCUUCCAUACCUCUUUUGAAGAUCACAUCCUAAGCAUAACAUGCCUUACCACUUUAAUGACUACUCUAAACUCUUAAUAUGAAGUUGCUAAUACAUAUUGCAACCUUCCACUACAAUCCCAAAACGUCAUUCAAGCGUAUUUUAUAACCACAUGUUGACUUCAAGGAAACCACCCAUAAAUACAUACUUCACAUAGUUUCUAAACUAUUGUCAAUAUAACUCCCACAUGCUACACUAAGACAUACACACAAAAACUUUUCCACUAACCAUCACGUGUAUCUAAGACUUGGCCCCAACACUUACUUCAUAAUUAUGUCCUUAUCUAAGCAAGCAUACUCUGAUAUUUCAUCAACAAGAACAUUUACAUCAUCACCACUAUCAUUGCAUAGGGAGGGUUACUAAAACGUUAAAACAUAAGAUCCUGAAGCAUGAAAAGAUUUUUAUACGAGACUGAGCACACUAUAAAGAGUGAAUACAUGGGUCAUGAGUUGCAUGACCUCAACUAGAGUUCAUAACAUAAGGAAGGUGAUUCCGACUACUUGAAUGAACUAGAACUCAUUAUCUUGGAACUGGAAGAGUACGUGACUCUCUAUCAUAUACAGGAAUCAUGAACUAUGAUCACGAAACUAGAUCGUAAGGCAUGAAUAACCAUCCGAAUAACUAAAAAAAAUACUGAGGUAGGAAUGGUUUGAGAUUCACCCUCACUUUCUGAUGUUCUAAAUCAUACUGCAUCACUACUAGAAUCUGAGAGCCUUACUUGGUUAUUCGUUCUAUUAUCUCCCCCUUAGCUUCAAGUCAUCAUCUAGAGUUUGGGAGAUCCUUUACCAGAUUCUCAUUGAACUACACUUACUGCACUCUAAGGUCUGAAAGAAAAAAAUGAUAAUACAUGCAUAUCGUAGACUUAACCCGAAUGACUACCUUCUGGGAUACACUCUAUCUUUCCAAAGCCACCAAUACUUAUUUCUAUCAGUUCAACCUUCAAAAUUCAAACUUAGAUUCUAACACUUAACAUUGCUAUUUAGAUCACCAUAUACCAUCUAACUAGUCUUUCUCCACUUAACAAUUCAAUGGUACCACUAGCCACACAAAUUAUGUAAUAGUCUUAGAAAAAUAUGCCGCAACCUCAUAUCACCUUGGCAUACUUCUACACCAUACCUACAACUUUAUAUUUCAUUACAAAUCAAUUUAAACUUAAUCCAUUUCAUAUACCGUUCAAGCCUAUUAUAUCACUUUCAUAUAACUAAUAUCAUUGAUCAAGAAAUCAUCACAUCCACCUUUAUGAACUUCAACUGUUCAAACUUAAUUUCUAGUGCUAAACAUGAUUUUACACCCCAACCAUACGUAUGAUUCUCACUUGGAAACCAUGAAAUAAACAUCAAGAAACACUAGUACACUAGAACUUCAUAACGACAAUAAUCGACCUUGACCUUACGGUCUUUCUUAUCAUAACUAAUUAGCACGUACUAUUUCAACACAUCAAGCCUACUGAUAUUUAUUCCCACAAAUAUGCAUCAUUAAUCUUAUGCCACUAUUCUUACACCCACAUCCUACAUUAAAUUCAAGUCAAUGGUCUAGCAUCAAUCAUCUACCACCAAUGACGAGUGCAACAUAAUAUACUAAUCCAUCAAAUUGGAACAUUCUAUCCCAAAUACUUCAAAAUCUGCUACAUACCUUCUCAUAAGUAGUAAUAGCUUACAACUACUAACAAAAGAAGGUUAAGGGGUAAGGUCACAUAAUAGACAUGAUCAACCUUAAUCUUAUCUUAUAACCCCAUACAAUCCUUUCUACUUAUACUGAUUUCUCACCUCAUACUUAAUCACUGAAUCAUACAUUUAGACUGCCUUCAAAUUCCUCAAAAAACCAUGAGUCUAUAAUCAUAACCUACUCUCUAAUAUAGCCAUUUUCACAUUCAAGCAACCAACAAAUUUUCCUGACAAACAACUCCUUCUCUACCUUAUACUAAACUAACUCACAAGGACGAAUUACCUCUUUACCAACUCAUUCUCAUGCAAACAGAUUCAGCCAUACAUAUAUUAAACCAACGAAAGAAAAAGUUGGACAAAAAGUUGCUAGUAAAUUGAAACAGGACUCACACAGCUUCACUAGACUUUGGUUUUGUAUUUUGAAUAACAAAAUGAGAUGGAUGACAAGGCAACUAGGCUAGUUAAUCAAAAGAGCCCCACACGGCUUCACUAGACUUUAAAUUUUUUUUAUCCAAAAACACCAUGAUAACAACAUUACAUAUUACAAGGGAUACAAAAUUGACACAUAAUAUUUAAUGGUCUAAGAAUAUACAUGUUAUUCUAUAUAAAUAAAAAUCUGAGUAAAACACUUCCUUCAUAGACUACCAUAUUGUCCACACACGCUGCUAGCUACCACAUUUGUUUAUCACUAUAAAGGGGUAGAUUAUCCUCAAACAUCUGUUAUUCAACUAAAAUAUUCAUUUACAAAAAAUCACCCUCACUCUGACUUCUAACUUUGUGACUUUACAUCACCAACUUCUUGAUCCAAUAUCACUUUAACUUAUGCUACUAUUUGGGUAGAAUACAGUUCCAACAUUCUGGUAUACAUUGUCCACAUCUGUAACAAGAUUUUUAGAGGGACUAGAUUCACUUAAUACCUUAAGCUGGAAUGUACGAUUCCAUUAGAAUCAAUAUUUACAUCAGAAUCAACACAUAUUGAUGCACUAACAGACUCCUUUUGAGUCUUUGCACAAUUUUUAAAAUCUUAUAGGACUCAAUUGGAAAGGACUAUCUCUUGUAUAUUCUUAACGUUUUGAACUUGAAUUAGCCCAAUAAUGGGACAUGUAUGAGAACAUCUGAGUAAGGAAAGAAAUUGGGAUGACUUUACUUUCAUAUAGGCGACACCAUAGCACGAAUUAGAGCAUGAAAAGGGAACAUUCCAACUCUAUUGCAUGGACUAGAACAUGAAGAAAGAGAGACAUUCCUAAAUGCCUAGUAGCCUCCUUCUUGUAAGUGUGGCGCGCUACACACCCAUAAUCAAGACUCUACCCGACGUAAUUUCGUAGACACGCUGGGACCAUGAACCGUGGUUUGAUACCAAGUUUUUCAUGACCCGAACUGGGGCCCUAACCGUGACGAGUAUUCCAAACCAUCAAGGCCUGAAACACCCCUUAUCUAUCUGGUAAUCAUGCACAUGACUUAUAUGAAAAAAAAUGCGAAACAUACACUAUAUAACAAAAACAUGGUCAAGAAUCAUAUUAAAACAAUAAUGGGGAAUAAUUUCCCACAAUCUCAAUCAACAUCUCUAUAACGUCUGUGAAAUCUCUACUACAUGAGUGAAACAAAUAUCUAUCUAAAAACUAGGACAAGGCCCCCAGUAGACUUAAAACUAAUAAAUGAUAAAUGUAACUGCCAGAUAUCAGGCCUUCUGAAAUAUAGAAGGCUCACCAGGUGACUCUACGAAUCUGUCUGAGGAAAUCUACUGAUUUUCUGAACCCCUAGACUGUGCCUCCAAACUUGGGAGGGAAGGGGGUUAAUACAAAAGUACUGGUACGUAGAGAUAUAAAAAAAAUAAUAUUUUUACAAAAUAUAGUUGAGAUCCAUUAUAAAGCAGUUUCAUAUCAAAUCAUUUGAAAACACAUGGGCGUAAUGUAAUUGUUUUCAACAACAAUGCAAUGCAGCUGAGCUAGGUGGAAUACCCUGCAUAUCACAUUUACACAAACCGUCAAACCUGGGUUGCCAUCGAGAUUAGAGUAUAAGUAAGGGGAAGACACACAACAUCACAUAGCAGGGUGUCUCGACCCAAUAGUAGUGCACAAGAUCACAAAGUAGGGCUUCUAACCAUAGUCCCAAUUUGGGAAUGACAUAAAGUCAGGUACGCAAGAUCACAAAGCAGGGUACCAAAUUCCCAUGUCGGCAAACGCGGUUUUCAGCGAUGAGCCCUUACACUCAAACGCCUUCUUCGGGCAUCCACCUAUCUCAUGAAAAAUCAAUGCAUUCAAAUUUCAUCUGAUUCAAACACAUAUCAUAUUCUGUAGGGUAUCGUCAUACCCUACUUGCAAGCCAUCAAUAUCACAUCAUUCUUCUCAUUCAACCAUUGUAUUCAACAUGUGUCAACAUAAAUAGCCCUCUUGUUUUCAAGUCAAAAUCAUAUCAAUUCCCAAAACAUUUCAUGCCAUGCUUUUCAAGAUGUUUUCAAACAAUUUACAUCACAUGAACAUUUAAAACAAAUUCACAUCAAGAGAGGGAUUCCAUAACAUUCAUGCUCUCAAGUUAACAUCUUUUUAGAAUACAUGCAUAUACAUAUAUCAUAUAUCAUAUAUCAAAUUACUUUGGAAUUAGGCCUAAAGAACAAAUCAAUAUCAUAAAGAUGCUUGAAACAUGUUUAUAUUCAUAAUUUCAAAACCCCCAUUUUUAAAACAUGAAUUUUUAAGCCCAUGAGAUUUUUGAGUUAACCCCACGUACCUCUAUAUGCGAAUAUGAUAGGUGCUUCUUGAAGCCUACGUUGCGGGGAUUCCAAAUCUUCAAUUUGUUUUGAAAACCCAUGGUUGAAUCAUAAGUUAUUGGGGUUUUUAUUUUGAUACCCUAAGGGCUAUUCUUGAGAGAAAAUUUGAGAAAAGGAUUAUAUUUUGAUAGGUUGUGGGGAUUCCAAAUCUUCAAUUUGUUUUGAAAACCCAUGGUGGAAUCUUAAGUUAUUGGGGUUUUUAUUUUGAAAACCUAAGGGGUGUUCUUGAGACAAAAUUUGAGAAAAGGAUUAUAUUUUGAUGAAUUGGGGGCUAAAUCUGGUGUUAUAGACAAAAUUUGGGUAGGGUGAAAUGACUUAAAUGCCCCUAAGAUAAUAAACAAAUUCGAAACAGUCCCUCAGUUUUAAGUAAAACGGGUAUAACUCUUUACUCAGAUGUUUGAAUUUGAUGAAACAAGUUUGUUUGGAAAGAUGACUCAAAGAUAUUUCAUUUGAUAGGUAGCAGCUCUCUCAGUUCAUUAUAUUCAGAGAGUUAUGAUCAUUUGAAGCUGACCCUGAAAUGCUGAAAACUGGGCAAUGAGCUAUGCGUUUUGCUACUGUUUUGAAAUCGAAACGCAGCCUUAUGCGUUCUGAAAAAUUUUGAAACUUAUCCGAGAUGUACUAUGAGCUUGCCCGAUAGUAACGCAACUUGAAAAUCUAAAAAUGGAUGUCGGGAAGGUUUAAAAGUUGUAUCCCAAAGAUUGCCAGCUAAAAUGACUCUAAGUCCUCAUUAAACUUAGAAACAUAUUCUAGUCGCUAGCCCCUCAAGCAUAACACUAAAAAUGAAAUCGACUUGAGAAUUUUACGGGGCAUUACGAUAGGAGUGUUUACCACACAUAUGUUAAUAAAGAAUAAUUCGGUUCGGGUCCAUAUACGUAGGAACGACGGUCUAAACUCUAGGCCGAAAAUACGGUGUGUUACAGCGACCAAACCUUAGGAAUGGCAUACCUGCUACAUCUGCAGCAGCUCCACUGGUAGCUGUUGUAAAUAAUCAAUUUACACGUCUGACAAUACUGAAAUGUCUGUUGGACAGUAAAAAAAGCAUAACAAAGAAUGGAUUUAUUGAGGGGAAUUCGUGGGUACCUUUGUGAUAACUGUUCUGUCAUGGGACGCUGAAGAGAUGGAAUGUGGCUUGUUGUACUGUAGAGGUGGUGGGUGUCAAUCAAUAUAUAAUUUGUUUCUGGGGUAACAGGUUUCUUGCUAAUGGGUAAUUUAUCCCAACUUUUUUCUCUUAUCAGUUGAUAGAUUUCGAUUAGUGUUUAAAGCUUCUCUAGGAAAGUCAUAGUACCUAAAUCUUUUUCUAUUUCUGGUUUUGUGAUCUUUAUUUUCUGACUUUUACGAGGAGAGAAAUAAGGGUCAGCAAUGUUGGUUUUUUGUUGGUAUCUUGGCUUGUGUAACCCAUGUAAUCCAUGCUUUGUUAUGCUUCUCAUACUUCCUAACCGACAUUUUAGCAUAGUCAGAGGUGUACAAUCUAUAUCUAUAUAUCUAUAUCUAUAUAUUAUUAAAAGGAGAGGACAAAGUCUUUCCAUUAAGCCACGUGGAAACAUUACAUAUUGACACAUGUCAGUUAGUUAAUUAGUUAGGAAAUAAUUGUUAAAUCAAUUUGUUUAAAAAUUUUGAAUUCAAACUUUCAGUUACUUUAUUUUAUAUUCAUUUGCUGUUUUUAAAAUAUCAAAUUCAAAUUAUCAGUAAAUUUACAAAUUUUAAUUUUUUUCUCAAAUUUUGGUAUAUUAGUUGGUUAUAAUUGCUACUUACACUAUACAUAAUAUAAUACACUCUAAAUUGUUUAAAAUUACAUUAGAUUUUAAUUAUUUUUUCCAAAACUUCUACGUUUACCUAACAAAUAUAAACUACUUCGUAGAAGUCGCAUUACAAAUUUCAAAUUAUAAGUACAUACAAAAGGAAAAUCCUAUUCUUACAUUCUCCCGUCACGGGUUUAAUAUACAAGCUUAUGGAGUCAACAACUACGAUAUCAAUAACAUCUUACAAAUAAUAAAAUACACUUUUUAUUAUAAAUUUUUUACUUGAAAACAAGAUUCAUUAAUUGUAUAUAUUGGCAUCACUACAAUCAAAUUUUGAUUAUGAUGCAACCUCCUCACUGAACCAUAUGUCAUCAUAUACAAUAUCCAUCUACAUUGAAUUGCAAAUAAAUUCAGAUUUUAGUCAUUCAUUAUUACAUUUAUAUAUAAAAAAACAUUCAUAACUUAUAAAUUUGAAUAAUGUGGCAAAUUUAAACUAAUUGAUAAAGUUAAAUUGAAAUUUCUGAUGGAUAUAUAAUUAUAUAAGUUACCAAGAGAUAUUCUAACUCUUUUAUCACCAUCGUAUCAAUCCAGUACACAAUUGAAUCCUAUUUAUCCAGAACACAGUUGAAUCCUACGUACUUCACAACUGCAUCUUCUUAUCCUUAUAGUUAACUGCCUUGAUUCUUCUUCCCCUUCAUCUAUAAAUUAAGUCCAAUUCUAAUGUAAUACUACUUCAACUCUUAAAGUCCUUACUUUAUUAUAUAGAAAGCUUCAAAUACUCAUGGAAAAAUUAUGAGUUUGUAAAUUACUCCAAUAUUUUUAUCCCUUACCAUAAUAUACAAAUACCUACAUACUCUAUAAAAAUGUCAGACUUCAUAAAAAACAUAACAAUCACAAAAAUGCAUUGGAAGUUAAAAGUCUUGGUUAUUCGUCUUUGGGAAGUGAAAGAUCGCUUUAAUCCCGACGCUUUGUACCCAAUUGAAAUGAUUCUGCAGGAUGAACAUGUAUCCAACAUUUUCUAAUUUUUUAAUUUCUUGAUAAUUUCUAAAUUCAUUGUUUUAGGGUGAUUGAAUUCAAGCUUCUAUAUGUAGUUCUGUGCUUAAACAAUUCAAAUAUAAUAUCAAAAUACAUUGUUUAUAUAUUAUGGAGAAUUUCAUAGUAUGUAAAAACACUACCAAGAUAAGGGCCACAACUCAUAAGUUGAACCUUAAUUUUACACUACGAACAAUUGUUACUGAAAAAAUUAAUCCAUCAUUUCCAACAAAGUUCUUUGAUUUUCGACCUUAUUCAUAGUUGAUAAAUAAGGUUUCUGUGAAUGAAUCAGAGUUAUUUGGUAAGCAAAAUUACACAUCAUCAUUAAAUGUAUUACUUUAAAGAGGGAUGUACUUUUAACAAAUUUUAAUAUUCGAGAUGUUAUUGGAGAAAUCAUUAGGUUCAGUUAGAUACAGACUCACAAUGUUCGAGGAAAUUCCAAAAAGUUUAUGAAUAUUGAACUAGAAGAUGUUGAGUAAGAAAAAAUACUGCUAUGUUGAUUAUUUAUAAAUUUUACAGUAUAAUCAAUAAUAUUAACAUAAAUUGUAUAUUCAUUAUAUUUUACAGAAAAAACAGGCUAUUAUUGACACUUUGGGGAGAAAUUUGUUGAAAAAAUUAAUUCUCAAUUUCUAAGUUCUAUAACCAACCAGUUGUUAUUGUUCUACAACUCAUACAGGCACAUAAGUUUGAAGGUAAUAAUUUUAUUGAAAUUUACUUAAUAAAAAAAAACAGUUUCUUACAUGCAUUAUGCGAUAGAUUCUUAUACCGUGCGCAAUACCUGGAAUGCCUCAAAGUUUUGGAUUAAUCAACGAUUAAUUUUAGCUUUAUAUGUAAUAUUUUAAAAUGACAGAGUAAUAUAUUCAUAUAAUGUCGUACAAUUUUUUCUUUUUUGUAUGUAGACUACUUUCUGUUCGUGAUAGAAACUUUGACAGAAUAAAUCAUACCAUCUCACAGCAAAGUAACACUAUGUUGGAUGAAUUAUCAAAUGGCACUUUACAAGUCAAGACAAUUUCUAAGUUGUUAGAGAUUAGGGAAUUAAGUACACCAUUUUUAAUUUUUUUUUCAUGAUGUUUUAUUUUUUUAUGACAAUAUAUUCCAUUUUUUUUUUUUUACUUUUUUAUUAUUCUUCACCCUCCACCUUUUCACAAAUUAUCUUUAUAUUUUUUUGCCCAAAUUUAUCUACAAAUGCAACAUCAAAAAAUAUUACACAUCAAUAGUCCUACCGUGACAUAUUUUUUUUAAAAUAAAUCUAUUUCAUUUGUUAAACCUACACUUACAUAUUUUUUUAAAAUUAAUAAUCAGGAAGGUCUCACUGAUGCGUUACUACUACUAAUGAAUUGUUACUGGAUGCAACAAGUGUCGAAAAAACGCAAAAAAAAAUUGAAAACACUUAUGUUUACACGAACAUAAAAUGUUUUCAUGAAGAUUCCACUGUAACAUACAGGUAAAUAUAUAAACUUUUUCACUAAUACUAUAUAACAAUCUUUUAUAUUUAAUUGGAAACAUGCAGCUAUUUAGGUAUAGAAUUCAAGUUACAGUCAUGGACGAUACUGGCUCUAUAUCAUAGAUGAUUUGCGAUACUGAUGCCAUGUCUCUAAUUUGCAAGUCUACAAAUGACUUGAAGAAGGGAUUACUUCAGGUACAUAUUACAUAUAUUUCAUCAAUUAUGUUAGCUGUUAAAUUAAUUACUAACACAUAUAUUAUUCCUAUAAUACUGUCAAUGAUGAUGAACCAUCUUAUCCAAUGGAACUGAAUAAUAUGCUACAAAGAAAAUUCCUUUUAAAGGUGAUUGUCAAGAACGAAAACAUUCAAAACAAUGAUGAGGUGUACAGUGUUGGUAAGAUUCUAGAUGAUGAAGAUAUGAUCAAGAAAUAUUUUCCUAAUGAGUCUGAUACCUCCAAUGUAUGUAAACUUUCUUCAAAAACAUCUAAUCAUUUAACAUUUCAUAUACUUUCAUAAUUAUGCUUUUCUAAACUAUGUUUAUAGGACUAUCACUACAAGAAAAAGGUCUAUUUAAGAACAACAUUAGAGAAAAGUCAAUAAUUUGGUCACUAAAAGUAUACUUAUUAGGACGAGAUUAAAUUUUGAUCCUUAAUAUUAUAUUUUAUUGCGAAGGUACAAAAUCCACUCUCUAAUAUUUUUUUUUACUGGUCCCAAAUUUUAAUUAGGAACUUUGAACAGGAAAACUUAACACCAAAAUAAAAUAUUAAAAUUUCAUUAAUUUAUUUUAUUUCACUAAACUUAAUAUAUGUGCCAAUUUCUUUUUACUUCAACUUUCAUUAAAAAGCAAUUAGCUCUCGCCUCUCCUCUAGCAUACGUAUGUAUACAAUGUCUGGUCGCAAUUCUACCCUAGAUAUCCAUCAAUACACGCACCAAUUCUACAGUGAGGGAGCAUAUUUUCCAAUUUCUUCCUCAAUUCUGUGGGUUAUUGAAGCUAAUAAUUUGCCCUAAUCUUUGUUUUAUCUCUAUGGCAAAUUUAAGGUACGAUUUUUGUUCUGUAAAGUUGCUAUUUUCUUCCAAAAUUAUUCUAAAUUAGUUUUAUUGCUUUGUUGUUAGAGCUACUUUUAUUGUUCCUGCUUUAUUCGAUACAAAUCUGUUAUUUUUUUAAUUUGUACAACUCAGUAAUUCAGUAUGAAAUUUGUCAAUUUAUGAUCUGUCAAUUAUCGUCUCUCUAUCGCAAAGCUACUAGGAAUAGCAAUGGCGUGUAGCGGGUGCAGAGAUGGGCUGAUAUACUACCACGCGGAGUAGGGUGGGCAAUUCACCAAGUGGGUCUGGGUAGGGUAGGCAAGUCACCAAGUGGGGCUGGGCUGGGCUGGGUGUGACAGAGCCUUAGCUUUUUAAAAAUAUGGUGGUGUAGUGAUGGAAUGACUGAAAUUGUUGGAAGAAGCUUUGGAUCAGAAAAGUUGGGUUCGCUAAUAUAAGUAGCACGCAGGUUAGCUUACAAGGUCAUGUAUUUGCUACAACGAAAGGAACUACUCUACUUAACAGAUUAGAGGUAUAAGGAACUACUAUUUUUUUCAUUGUAUGGUAUAGGGUAUUGUCAUAACAAGAUGUAUUUUAACUAUGACUGUUUAUUCUUGUUGUCUAAAGAGUUAAUGCAGUUUUUCUCUAUAAUAGUGUUUGAGUGAAACCAAUCUUGAGUUGUAAUAAAGAACUUUGAAAAAAGUAAUGUAAAAGCAGCGCAAGGUGAUUCUUUUUUACCUAGAACCUCUGUCCUCCUUGCUCGAUUUCAAAAUCUUGUAUAUGUAGACAAGACAAGUACCAUCACUAGGAUCAAAGAAAUAACUAUUAUCCAUUCCCAUAUCCUUCUCCCAUGGGAAAGAGGUGCAUCCAUUCAUAAGAAAAUCAAAAGUGUUAGCUGUUUUGUACUCAUAAAAAUUAAGCUUCAGCUUUGGCCAUUUAAGCGAUAAACUUUAAAGGAAUUUGUAGAGGUAUUUGCUUAUUCUGUUAAUACAAUGUUAACAGAUUGUUGAAAUAAUGCAGAUUUACCAGAAGGUAUAGUACCUAAUCUGAUGGAACAGGACACAUUGAAAUGGGUAUUCGUAGGCGAAAAAGGCUAUGUAGGGAAAACGGCGUGCAGUUAUUUACCAGGAAUCCUUCUUUCUCAUGUCCGAUCAUUGUUCUAAUCAUAUUAACUGAUCCAACUCACAAUCUUAGCGAUGCAUUUCAACAGCGUUUUGCUAAAACUCUCAAUGUCGUUAAUGGAUUCAACAAUUUAGACGGAAUGAUAAUACGUUGGAUCUUAUUUACUUUCUAGUGUUUGGUUACCUGACUCGUAAACAAAAAUAUUUGGUCCAUCUGAUUUGUUGUUUCAAUCAAUGUCCGUUGUCAUUUCAUUUAUUUUUCAAAUCAUGUUUUGUGAUCCAAAUUGUGUGCAUGAGCAACUCUGUCCAUAGAGUGCAUUGCUACUGCUGAAUAAUUACAAGUUCUAUUCAAACAUUGAUUUUAAUACCUUACAUGUUAUUUUCCGUUUAAAGUGAUAUGGCAGUGUAAAAAUUCUCUUAGCACUAACUGUGUAUAUAAGUUGUUGUUGAGUGUAACACGUGCAAGUUGUGUACUACAGCGAUUCCAAAGAGUGACCUUUAACUCAGAAUUUACUGAAUUAUGUAGCUUUUUCAGUUUAUUGUCAAUUUUACUCUGAUAUGUCGUUAUGGGGUAAUGAUUUUAUGAUUGAAGUUUUGUUCUUUAGGAAGUUGAUCUAACUAUAGAGAAUGAAGAAGGCAGUUCGGAAGGGGUGGGCGAUUUCUUCAGGAAACGUGAUAAGAAGAUCAAAGAAAUAAGUCAAGUAUUCUGAAUAUUUCUAUUAUCUUUCAAAGAGUGAAAGAUCUAUUCUUAUCUGAUCCUAAGCAAUAAUAACUUAUAGCAAUGGACUAUAUUAUAAUACACAAGGUGGUAUUAGUCGAUUGCAUGUACAACAUACCUAGUGUAAUCCCACAAGUGGGGUUUGGGGAGGGAAGUGUGUAUGCAGCCUUAACCGUACCUUGUGAAGGUAGAGAGACUGCUUCCUCGGCUCAAGUAAAGCAUAAUAAAAUCAAGUACGGAAAGAAAACUAUAGCAGUGAAAUAGUCAUGCUGGACAUAAUGGAGAAUAGAAUAAUAGUAACAUCACAUAAAUAUGGUAAUAAAAGAAAAGGAAAUAACAUGUAAUAAUAAAAUCGAAGAAAAGAUAGUAUGUGUAUAAUAAUAACAACUAUACCAACAGAUAAAUUUCUAGUUCCAGGCAGCUUCUAGCUUAUACAAUUCCUAGUGGCAUUCGAUACUUCCUGGAAGGCCAUAGCUGAAUUACUCUCACCGAGAGAACCAUUUAUUCAAUAUUUGUCUACUACAUGUAUGGAUGAAAAAGAGUUGCUUGGAUGCUAGUGUACCCGCUAAAGUUGGAAUGUAAAAACUAGCCCAAUUUGCCAUUUUUUAUGCAGUCGUAAGCAUUAGAUUUUGUUGAGCAAGGACGUAGUAAAUGUAAUUUGGAUGAUUUCUUUCUCUUUGUAUCUGGAGAUGUUGUAAUACAAUAUAUCAAGCAACAUGAAGAGGAUCACUCCAAUUAAUCAUUUAUCUUUUCAAAAUAUUUAGGUUUCUCUUUUCUUGAUGAUCAUAUUAGCAUCAUUCAACUUAAGUUAUUUAGCCUGAGUUUAAACUUUCAGUUGUAUAUCUUAAUCUAGAUAGCAAGAUAAUACGUUUUGGUGAUUGUCUAGAAUUUCAAUUCCGCUCAUUUCAUUAAGGAAAGAGCAUAACCUUAUAGAUCAUUAGGUUGGAAGUUGCGGCAGCAAGCUAAUCCUACUCCACACAUUAGCACAUAAGUUGCACUGAACACUGAAGGAGCUAUACUCCACACAUUAGAACAUAAGUUGCACUGAACACCGAAGGAGCUAUAUAGGGAAAUUGUUUUCUCAUGUCGCUACAGUUGAAUAUGGGUGAAUGAAUAUACAAUGAGGUUCUGGUAUUUUUAUAAAAUUCUCAGGUUUAGAUAUCUACCACGGUCAAACUUCUAGUACUCUAUUGGAAUAAUUACCUUCCCAGCACAAAGUCCUAAAGUCGAGUUCAAAUUAUUCUCAACUGAAUCAGCAAUUGGCUUCUAAAUUCCAGAACUUCCGCAAAACCAUUAGACCUAAUGGGCAGUACCAGUGUAGUUGCCUGAUUGAUUUAUUCUUGAAAUAUACGAGGGUUAGUGAUUUUUCAUGUUAUGCAGUGAUGUAUGCAUAACAAACACUCAAAGCCAACAUGGAGAUAAUUUAAAUUGUCUUGGUUUAUCUUUUGUGCGG
rnacentral:lncRNA from 1 species